AUACAAUUUCCAGUACACCAAUGGGGACGUGCCCAGGAGCAUGAUAGAUUGGCAACGCCCAGUAUUGCUCAACACAGUCGACCGCAUAAUCACGUUGAAGAUACUCUCUACUAGUGUAAUCACGCACAUCAAGUGCAUAUUCAGGCAACCCACUGCAGAACACCCGACCAGCGGGACCAAUUAGCUGUACAUCAUCAUCAUCAUCAUCCACGGGUAUUAAGUACUCCAAACAGUGCUUCCUAUAUUCACAUAGUUUCUUGACCUCUAGAUGACUGGAGUAUUGGAGAGCAAAAGGCUGGUCACAAGUUGUCAAAUACGUUUUGUCGCCAAUCUUCACUAAACCCCAAAACUGAACUAGACACCGCCACCACUCCGGCAAAAGUGGGUCUAAAAGAAGUUCUAGAAAACGUUUGAUCUGGUUCUUAAUCAUGGCACCGUCAGCAGCUGCAAUAGGAAAAUCAGUAAAAAAUAUUAAAGGAUGCUUACUAGUAUAUACUCUACUUUGGCUAUGAAUGGUCGAGUUGGGCCUUUCUGUAUUUAUUAAUUGCAGAGUACUCUACUGAUUGACCCCUGCUUUUACCGAGACGCAAAAAAGGGUCAAAGAAAGAAAGUUAUACAUGUACUCGUGAUCCAUCAUAAACUUUGAGCAAAUUGCAGUUUAGAAAAAUUCCAAAUUCACAGACUUGCAACCUAAAUCUACAGAUCUGAUGAUGUAUCCAUGUAUAAUUUUCCCAAACAUUAAUAGAUGUACCUUCCAAUUGGAUGGCCCAAGUCUUUGUAUCUUUCUAACACCCAUAUAAUCGUUUAAUUUGUCAUAAAAAACUAAUUAGUUACUAGAAUAUUUUCUGUUCUAAAUUGUUCCAAUUUAUUCCCCAGGAGUUUUAUCAGAGUCAGACUUUAUAGCUAUUACAAAUUUAAUUGUGAUAAAUAGUCCAACAAAAAUAUCCACAUACAUACAUACAUACAUAUUAUAUAUGAGAGAUUAUUGAAAGAACUCCAUACUUACUGGCUGAGAGAUGAUGAGACUUUCCGCAGCGUCCUUCGUCAUCGCCGCAUCUGCUCCAGAAAACCCACAGUUGCUUCAGAAGGUCAGGUGAAUGGUAAGUUGAACGGGAACAUGAUAGUUCACAGGGCCCCAAACCUUCCGUAGAAAAAGGAGCAUGAGCUUCUAUUGCCAUUUGCCCAAGAGAAAACUACAAAUCUUCUGGAUCGACCCUGUUCCCCGAUUCUCAGUUUCUAACAACUCGAUCUAUUUUAUCUUCUGCAUAGGAAAAUAUGCAUAUACACACACUCGAAGAGUUCAAAGUCAAUAGACGACGAGAGAAAAAGGACCGACAGGAAGAAGUACAAGCGAAAUAACGAGGAAGCAAACAACAGCGAGCAAGGCCAAAGGGUUUAAACAGCCAAUAAGAUAAAGGGAUAAUUUCAGGAACCUCCCCUGAGGUUUCUGACUAUUCCAAGAAGCUCCCUUCUAGUUUAAAAAAUUACAUCUACCUCCCCUAUGAUUAGCAUUUCAGUAACAAUAUAGACCCAAUAUGUUAACUUUCUCCUCAAAAAUCCUAAAAUGUCCCUUUGUUACUUAGAAGGGGGGAAAACAAAUUAAUAAAUUUUUUUGAUAUUGCAACUAUUGUAAUCGGCAUAAUCACCAUCCUAACGAAGUCAAUAAAUCACUUCACCUUAAUUCCCAUAUUCUUGCAAUUUUGGCAGCCUACUAUUGCCGCCUCAAAGUUUUCCAUGCAAAUCAACUACGACCAUUAAAGUCUGCAUUCAACCUAAUAUUUAGUCUCAUUUUUUCCCCUAAAUUGAAUGUUGAAUUGAUCAAUGUCACUAUUUAACUUUGUUGUUACUAAAAUAAUGUAACCUACUAAGAAUACCAACACGGAACAAACAAAAGCAACACUAGAGACCACAUCCCAUGUCUCUAGGCAAAUCUAAUUAUAGUUUUUAUAUCUCAAAUUUCUUUUUUACAUAAUUGGUAUAAUAUCGUAACCUUCUUUAAUCCGCAUUCCCUUUGUAGCUAUCAUUUUUAUUUUCCUGUAUAUAUUCUGUAUCACUACCGUCUUUUUCACCUUUAGUUAGUUUGAUAACAAAUAUGAUCCAGCAACUUGUCAUUUUGUAAUUUCAAUUCAAUUAUACUUAUAAAAAAAGAAAACAGAAGAGAGAGUGUGUGUCUAUUUGCGAAAAAAGAGAUGUAAGAGAAAAAAGAUAAGAGAAAGAGUUAGAGAAAUAGAACAAUAGUUUAGUUUGUGUGGUAGCAGAUGUUUUAAAAUAAAAGACUAGUUGUAAUUGUAGAGUUUUUUUGUUUGUAGGAAUUAUUUAUAAGUGAAGGAUAUUAUAGUCAUUUUACUACAUGAAGGGAGGUUAGUGUAAUUAUUCAAACCUGAAGGGAGGUAAGUGAAAUUGUCAGAAACCUCUCUUAAGGAAGAGAGGUUUCUGAAAUUAUCCCUAAGAUAAAUUCGUCCAAAGCCCAAACAGUUCAAUGGGUUCAAAGCUCAAAUUGUUCUUCACGCGGUUUCAACAGUUCACGAAGAAGUUAGCUGUGCUUUAUACUUUAUAGGUAAAGAUUAAUCUCUUGCACUUUCACCUAAUCAGACCCCACAUCGGAUGCUGUACAGAGCCAAGCAGGAGCAACGCCAAAUGGUUCAAUGAGUUAUGGGAAAGCAAAGCCAGGUGGUCCAAAGAGUUAAAUUGAGUAGGGUCAAACAGUUCGUGUGUAUAGGAUUUUUCUAACAAUGUACAAUAGACUCUCUAAAAUUCACACACUAACAAUUAUUACCUUAUUUUACACUUAUAUUCUAUGAUUUGGCAAAAUUGUGGAUAAAUAUUUAAAUAAUUAUUUCUUUAUUAAAAGGAUAUAUUUGAUCCAUACAUAUGUAUGGUUUAUUCAAUUAAAUUGUGCCACUUUAUAUGUCCCUAUAAUCCUGGGAAAUCAAAGAAAUAUUUAUUAAUAUUAUCUCUUUAUUAAUAAAUAUAAAAAAUAGAGAGAUAAUAAUUAAAAUGAUGCAAUUCUUAUAUGACUGUAUGACUAGACAAGUAAGACGACACAUUUUCAACCUCUACCCUAUUCUACAACUAUAAAUAGGGGUCUAUUCACCAAAGGUCAAUCACUCGUCAGAUAUUUCAUACUCUCGUAUUUUCUUGAAACUCCAAGCUUGUGAAAGACAAAGAAUUAAUAUAAUUUAUAUAAAAUCUCGUGGUUCUUUGGCUAAUUGGAAGUGUUAGAUUUUUAGUUGAUUAAUCCUACUACUCCAAAGACGUCACGUUUGGAUUUGGAAGCAACAUUACAAUUUCAUGGGUGGACUGACGGGGGAUUAUUAAAUUGAUGGGUCUGGUGUGUUCUAGUUUGUAAAUAUUGGGUGCCCCGGAUUAAUUAGGUAAGGUGAGAUUUAGUAAAUUCUAUGCUUUUUUUUUUCCCUCCCUUUUAAGAGCAAUUCCAUGCAUAAUUGACGUGUCAUUAUUUCAUGAUAACGCUGUUGCAUAUAGUCAAGAUUUAGAUAAUCGUUAUUCAAUUAGAUUUGAUCCUUUUUACUUUUCUUAAAGUUAAAUUUAUUCCUUUUUUUUUGGGGGCUUAUCUAGUCUUAUACAUAAGGACUCCUUCUCUCUCCUAUUUUUUUUUUUUUUUUGGGUGAGUUUUGUGAAAUUCUUCCACCUAACGCUUAUGCCAGACAUUGCCGUCUCGAGGUCAGGGAUGUUAGUGAGUCGAGUUACUCGCGAACUACUCCCGAGUAGCUCGGUCAACAACUUGACUCGAACUCGGUCAACCCGAGUUCGAGUAGCUCGACUCCACAUCGAGUCGAGUUUCGAGUCGCAUUUUCCGGACUCGUGGCUCGUCGAGUAGCUCGACGAGCCGCGUUAAAUAUUUUAUAAUUUAAAUAAUAUAUAUUUAUUAUAAUUAUAAAAUGACCAUUAUAGGUAUAAGUUUUAUGAAAUUUACAAUAUACCCUUCUUUAUAAUAAAAUCCGGCAAAAAAAUAAUAACAUAAUUGUAAAAAACAUUAAAAAGAAAAAAUGUCUACAAAAAAAGGAAGAAAAGACUUUCUUCCUUCUCUGCGACUUUCUUCUCCGUUCGAAGAAAGCCUAGCAAAAAAAUUCACUUUACCAGCCGGCAGCCACUGAGUCUGACUGAUUUAGAUCUACACCCUCACUCCGUUCGUCGCCGACGCCGUUGCUCGCCGCAUCUGUGAGACUCCAUCGCCAUCGCCAUCGCCUUAACAAGUCCCAAGUCCCAAGUCCCAAAUCGAAGCUGCUCUCUGCCUCUCCGGCCUCCGCCAGUCCGCCGCGCUCUACGUCUCCUGUCGGCUGUGUCCUGCCGUGCUGGUUCAUCGCUGCCGAGUGUCGAAGACGAAGCACCAAGAUCUCACUAGUUCAUCGCUGGUUCAUCACUGCUCAUCUCUGGCUCACUUAGGUAAGUGCUCCUCUAUUUUUGGCUCUGUGUCUCUGGCAUUAAAAUGGGCCAAGAUCGACUAGGAAACUUGUUAUCCUGAAUUGAUAAGGGGACGAAAUCUGAGCUUCCAAUUGCAAACUCUAACUGUUGUAGUAUCCCGCCGCCCUCGAACUGUACUCGGACGAGACAAUUUUGAACGUAGAUUGAAUGGCGUAUUCUUUUCUGACUCGGGCAACCAAGAAAUUUAGUAGUAAAACUCAUGGAAAUGCUAGCUAGGAAGUUCAUGGCCAACCAGUUGUCAAGAACCAUGGCAUUGCAAUCGAAUCAAGAACCAACACACCCACGAACCCCCGGCCGCCGCCAACAAAAACAAAAACAGAAAAAAAAGGGGAAUAAUGGAAUAGGUAGCGGGACGGCAAUGAAUCAGUUGUGCAGCCUUUAAAAGUUAAGGCCUUGGGGAAAAAGUUAAUGUCUCCCCUUCCCAUUGUAAACAAAAAGGGAAAGUGAGUUGGUUUGUUUUAUAUAUUCCUCUUGUUUUCUUCAGUAGAAUGAUGCCAUUCCCUUAUACCACUAGUUUGUGUGUUAAUUUAUUGCUUAUAUCAGUACUAGUUCCAUGUUAACAUAUUAGGAUUUAAGAUUCUGUUUCGUUUUCACUGGUCCGUCUUGUAAUACUUCAUCUGAUCACAAGACUAUGGUGACACGAUACAGAGUUUGAUAUUGAAUUCUUCAAAAUUUGUUGGAAAGUUAUAUCAAAUUCCUAUUCCCUUUUUUUUUUUUUUAAACAAAAAAGAAAGUCCUGUCCCCUUGUUUUCGGUUCCAGUUGGACUUCCAUGUAUUUUGUUUUGAGUCAUGCAUUUUGUUGAUUUUUGGCCAGAAAAUUUCAUGACUGGUUAUCGGGUAGUUUUCAACCGCGAGAACAUGACUUUGGGAUGGAAGCCAUCUAACUGUGAGUGUUCACUUUUUCUUUUGCCUCAUGCAACAACAUAUUAGAAGUUUGCAACUCUCUGCCCAUAAAUGAAAGCAUUGUUCUCAGGCUACGAUGAUGUGCAAAUCGAGUCAAAAAGCUUGAUAAGACUCGACUUGAUAAGGCUCGAUUAAAGAUCGAGCCUUAUCGAGUCGAGUCUCGAGCCUAAAUGAAAUUCUUCGAGUCGAUCUUCGAGUAUCGAUUUUCGGGCUCGAUCGAGCUCGAGUCGAGCUCGAGCUUCUGUGUGUAUGAGUCGAGCUCGACUUGGCUCGAUUACAUCCCUACUCGAGGUAAGACUGGAAUUUUGGUUCUUUCCAAUCCUGAAGUUGGUUUUCGGAAACUCUGGAUUGACUUUUACGUUUCAAGUACUAAAAAAGCACAAAAAGGGGGAAAAAAAAAGAAGGAAGAAGAAGAAGAGGAAGAAAAAGCUACCCGCUCAACACAAAUUGUGAGAUGUUAUAAUUUAGCACUAACCACCUUUUUCUAAUUUGAUCCUGCAUUUUCUGUGUUUUCAGACUCAGAUCGGAUCGGGCAGUCGAACCGGUAGAAUCGAAAAUCGGUCAGGCAUCCGGUCCGAACUAGUUAAAAAACUCGAGUGUUAAAAAUUCGGUGAAUCGGAUAAUUUGAUCAACCCCGGUUUUUUUUUUUUGCCCUUUUUCUGCCUUUUUUUUCAAUCAAAAGUUUGACUGACCAACUAAAAAAGAGACGAAAUUAACAAAACUUGGGUCAGCACCUCUGCUUCUCUUUCCGUUGUUUUCUUCCUUUCUUCUUCAGCUCCAAUAACCCUAAAAUCUAAAAGCCUCCACCGCUGACAUUUGAGAUUCACCGAUCGUCGCUUAAUCAAGGUUGCCGUUAGUCACCUGUCCUUCAAUCUCUAGCCUCCACCGCCGCAACAUCACCAGUUUCUUCAGAUUUCAAGGUUCAAUCAAGUAAUUAACACGCUGGUGAACCGAAGCUAAAUCUGGUAAUUUUUAUAAUCUAAAGCAGUCGUGAAGAUAGCUAAUUCAUUAUGUUGAAGUUGAUCUGUGACUAAAAUUUCAGUAUUUUUUGAUUUAUUAUGCUGGGCAUUUGGGAUUUGGAUAUGCUGGGCAUUUGGGAUUUGGAUAUUAUGGGUGAGAAUAUCACGUCCUUAUUAGAGAAUCUGGAAAUUUGAAUCUGAUUGUCUCUUCUUGUUUUCAAGUUUCUUCCAUUGAUGAUUGGUUACUUUUCUUUGUCUGUUCCAUCUGGGUUAACCAUUUACUGGUAAUAAUUCGCACAACCAUGCUUAUAUGUCCCUUCACGUUUCUCUGUUAUAGCAUCAGUACCAGUGCAAACUGGUUGGAUACACUGGAUCAAGAAUUUUCAAGUUGAUAAUGAUCACACAGUUCAAGCGAAUAGUUAUCUUUUCGUUUUGAGAAUACACUGGAUCAAAAGUAAAAAAUGUCUGUUACAUGAAUGAGUCUCUUCUGUAGUUUUGUUGACCAACUUAUGUGCGCCCUACCUCAAAGGCCGAUGGAUACAAUUAUUAGCCGUACUAGUACCAUGGACAUAAAUGGUAGAAUAAUAUGCUACAACCAUUUAAUGCAGUUUUUAAUGUCCUAUGGUCCAAUAAAGCAGCAGUCUUUAGUGUAAUUUCCUACCUCAAUGUCUCUUCAGUCUUCUGUAGUUUUUAAUGUGCAGCUUGAUGAUGAGGAUGAUCUUGAUGACAUCGAUUUCGAAAGUUAUGAAAUUGGAGAAAAGGAUGAUGAAGAUGAAGAUGAAGAAUGGCUUAGAUAGUUCUUUGAUUUAGAAAUUGAACGUGUUGUUUUAUUUAGAUUGAUAUUUAUCAAGCAUUUGAACAUGAGCUUGUUACCUUAUUUGGAUUGCUAUUUGUCAGGGAUUAAACAUGUAUGGAAUUUCUAUUUUAUAAAUUUUGUGAGUUUGGAUGAAUUUGGUGUAUUGGAUAUAAAUUUAGAUGAUUGGGUUCUUUGAUUAUAUUUUGUAAAUUUGAUUUGCAGGAAUAUAUAUAUAUAUAUAUAUGACGUAUAUAUGACGUCAUCCGGUUUGACCCCCUAUUGACCCCGGUCGAACCCAUUGACCCCUGACCCCUGACCCCUGAGUUCGGCCGAGUCGAUUCCCGAGCCGAGUCUGAAAACAUAGGCAUUUUACUAAUAAAAAUAGCAACGGAAUCGAAGUUCUUUAAAAAUUUUCGAUUCAUCCAAUAUUUGCUUGAAUUCAAUCCAAGGGAGCCUAAUAGCACUAUUAGCAAGAAAGGGCAGCAUUGAGCUUAGGCUAUGCUUAGCUCGGCAAUAUCAGCCAAUGGAUCCUGACUGAACAACUCAAGUGUAGUUACUGGCAAAUUAAGCACCCAAUUACCCCAUGACGAAAUUACUUAAAAGUCAUUGCUCAUAAUUACGGUAUAACCUCACCAUCUUACAUCGUUGAUAACUUCAUCUUUGAUAAAAAAAGGUGGUUAGAAAUAUAAAAAUAUUUCUGGUAACCGUUCCAAUUCCUGGUUCAUCUUACAAUAUCCGGAGUUCAGACUUCAGUGCCUGGUCCACGGAGAUUGAUUGACAUCCUUAACGGUAGGAAUGACAUGGACGUCGAUAAAAUCUGGUUCCCACUGGCUGCUUGUCUCCUGUGUCAAAGAAAGUCUUGCUCAUUUUCUGUAGCACAAGCAACAAAGGUAGUAAAAUGAUUGAAAAGAAUGAUAAGGAAAAAAAAGGCCUCUUCACUUCCACGGCAAACUGGCCCUAGCCGGCCAUGGCACCAUCUAAAGUACAAAAUGUCAAGAACCAAAGUUCACAGUGCAAAUAGAUAAUUGUUGGAAACGUCCAAAGUGCAAAGUGAAAUUAAUCCAAAUAUAAGGUUUAUCCACUCCUUGUCUUCUUAAACCUUAGAUUUUAUUAUAUAUUCAGCACAAUUUUUAAACGCAGGCGGUCAUCUAGAGUAGUCGCAAUCCUAGUUAAUUAGUAAAGCUCAUAUAUAAACUCCUGUUAUAGAGUGUAUUCUAUGCAACGUGGUCGAUUACAUUGGCAACUAGGUGGAACUUCUCCAACAGCUAAUUAGUUUAUAUACUACAUAAAAGUGCCCGGUUCACUUGUCCAUGCAUGACGAAGCUCGCAAAUCGUUUGUGUUUUCCAGUUGAAAUCCUCCAAAAAAAAAAAAAAAAAAAACUGAUGGCUUCCAGAAAAAAGAAUUUAACCUGUAUAGAAUCUUUUGGCCUUUUGGCUUUUGCCCAGUUGGGAGUGUUUGAUUUUUGUAAUCUUCCAACUCCGACGAAGCAUGCAUUACAAUUUCAUGGGUGGACUGACUGUGGCAUUAUUCAAUUGAGCGGUCAGAUGUGUUCUCACCUGUGUCUAGAGACGGGGAUGACGUUCAAUAAAUUUCUUUUUUUUUUUUUUGUUCUGUAUCGUUCAAUAAAUUCCAUGGCCAUGCAAUCCUCUCUUCUUCUUCUUUUUUUGGUUGGGUGGGUAAAGCAAUUAUGUGCGUAUUUGAUAUGUCAUUUAUUGAUGAUAUCCUGUUGCAUAGAUGUGAUCGAACUUUAGAUCAUAGUAAAUCAAUUUGAUUUAUUCUAUAAUACUUAUUUUAUAGAGAUUCAUUCCUGAAUUUUCUUUCACUCACUCUCUCUUUUUUUAAACGUUGAAUUUUAUAAACAUUCCUUCACGUAGUAAUAUUAACGGCAAACUUUGCCAUGCCGCAGAGGUGGUGCUGCAAGAAUGUUGAAAAUGGUGGUGUCCACAUCGAACAGAAUUGUUACCCAAGAAAUGUCUCCAAAAGUCGAGCAUCUCAUGUAUUCAUGAUACAUAACCAAGUGGAAAAUCGUUUUGUUGGUUGUUAGUCCUGUUUGAUUAUUUCCUGGAAGCAGCGUUAGAACUUAGAGGUCAAUGCAAGGGCGGAGAGCUGAUGGUUCAGUAAAUUUGGGGACAUUAUUGGGCUUUCACACGCAUCUCGGAUUUUUUUUUUUUUUUUGGUCAAAAAAAAGGGCCUGGUCCAACUUCAGCCCCAACCCUUAUUCGGGUUGUUGGGUCUUUUCCCAUUUUGGUUACAGGGAGUUGAACCCUGGUGGAUGCUCUAACUAGAGACUACACCACCAGGUGAGCUACCCUGGUCGGACUUUCAUACGCAUCUCGGAUGAAAAGACAAGUUUGGUCGUUUCUAAUAAAUGACAGUGACGGACAAAAGAUCAAGAAUCAAUAAUUUUCCCAGACUUAAUUUGGUUGACUUUCGUGAUCAGAGACCCUUCUUUAAUUCAUUCUACAUUAGCUAAUCACAAAUCUUAGAUUACGUGAUGAAGAUAAAAAAGAUUAUAAGUAGAAAAUAUUGAAUUCAAAACCUUAUUUUAAAAAACAAAAUAUGAAGGACCAGAUGCAGGCUGACGUUUGGGGCCAAAAAGAACAAAUAAAAAAUAAAAGUAUGGGCUGAGGCUUUAAAACGGUGCAGGCUCAGGUUGCAAGGAAGGGUGGCAAUGGGGCGGGGGAGGGGCCCCGUUGCCCAUUAAUUCCCCCUGCCCCCAGCUUUCCUCGCCCUGCCUCCGUGGGGUUAAAAAUUUUUUGUUAUAUAAUUUUAUUAUAAUUAAAUUUUAACAAAUAAUCAAGUACUAAAAUAUCAAUACAUCGCCAAGUUAUUAUUCAUUAUAACUUCACAAUUGAAACUUAUAAAAAUAAUUAAACAAAAGUUAUUUGAAUACAAUCCAAUAUGACUAAAAUAAUCAAGUUUUCACUUUUGAUACAAAUAUACAAUCACUAAAUUAUUAUUGUAUUUUUUGUGAGAAAAAAGUGUUAUGUGUUAAGUGUAGUUAGGAAUUUAAUAUAAAUGUAUUAAUAAAUUUAGUAUAAAUAAUUAAUAAUUUUUAUUAGUAGACAUAUAUAAUUAGUAGCAUAAUUGAUAAUAUCAAUUAUAUUACAUAUACUAAUAUACAUUAAAUGAUACAUAUAACUAAUAAUAUCAUUAUUAUAAAUUUAUAACUAAUUAAAUUAAAUAUUAUAUAUAUAAUUAUAUACAUAUAUAUAUCUUUAUUUUUUUAAACGGGUGGCGGGGCUGCCCCAUUCCUAAACGGGGGGACAAAAUUCUCCCCACCCCCGCCCCAGUAGCCCUCCGCGGGCACUCGCCCCCAUUGCUACUCCGAGUCCAAAGUGCUAGUUUUAUAGAAACGAGCGGAUUUAGGCAUGCCCUUUUGUACAAAAGUGGGUUCAUCAUUAAGUCUUAAAAAUAGCUUUGCACAUCUUUAUUGCGAUGUUGUCAGAAAUUUCGUUUUAUACGAUCAUCUCAUACAUUAUUUAGACAGUAUUUGUUUUAAAUCUGAGGCUAUGGUACCCCAAAAUGUUCUUAAAACUGGUGUUGCUUUUGAGCGAAAUUCGAUUGGACUCACUUUACUUUAGCAAUUCAAAAAUCAGUUAAUCGAAAUCUAAUUUGCAUAUUGUUAAAACUACUAAAUUUCCAGUUUUCAUGGAGCAUUCGUUCGUGAUUGUGAGAUUUAUUUACUCUACAGAGUCUGUGCAUUGCAUAAUUUACAUUCAAAUUCAGCUAAGUUACUAAUGAAUGCGGACUUCCAAUUUAAUUGAGAUUCGAUGUAGGAUAUGAAAACAAAAGACUCGUUACUUUUAUGGAUGCAUUACUGGGGUUUCUAGCAAUAGGAAUUUAAGAUGCUUUUUCGGGCUAAAUGAAAGUAUCUGUGGGGAACCCCAAAAAUCCCAUUUUAGUCAACAAUACUGCCUUGACAAAAUAUGAUGAUCAUAUCAUACCUUUGCACUUUCUAUUUUUGCCCUUUUCUUCUCUCUCUCUCUCUCUCUUUACACACACACAACUGGAUGAGUUACUUUUUCUACCAUAAGCAGAGGGUUUAUAAGUCUCCUCAGUACCCUCACUAGUUACCAUGGCUUUUGAGGUGUACUGUGAACUUAGGUUUGUAAAGUCAAUAGUCAGUUUCUACCAUUUGACAAAAAGACAGAAACUUCAGUCAGGGAGGGCUUGGGGCCUAGUUAGGUCUUAGUAGCGGGGCAUCCUGUGGGGUUUCUAUCCCACAUCGCUUGGGGGAUUUGGGUGUUGGGUUUAUAAGUCUCCUCAGUACCCUCACUAGUUACCAUGGCUUUUGAGGUGUACUGUGGACUUAGGUUUGUAAAGUCAAUAGUCAGUUUCUACCAUUUGACAAAAAAAAAAGCAGAGGGCUGACCUGUUAUGUAUGUACCAUACUUUACCUUAAAAUGUUUGAGCCAGAUAGCACAGAGCAUCAUUAAUUCCGUCAUUGUUAGUGCAUGGACUUUCAUUGCGUUGUUAUUGCCUUAAGAUUAGUCUUUUAAAGAUCAUAAAGAUAAUAGAUUACGCCCAGGAAGUGUUCCUUAGAGAAUGCUGUUCAAGGCACAGGUGAAUUUAUUUAUUUUUUGAACGGCACAAUUGAAUUUAAAACUUUCCACUUCUGUGUAUAACUCUACUCGUUACCUGUUUAAGAGAACCUACCAUCGAUGGAUUGUUAGAACCUACUUGAUAAGAUGCAGUUGUUAAGUAACAGGACAAAAGAAGAAAAACCCUAUAAGCUCCCGGGAGGGUAGGGAAAAAAGAAUUUUGAAUAGAAUCGGGAAAAAAAAAUUGAAUCGUCAUACAAGAAGAAAGGUAGCAAAAUGCUGCCAUACAAGUUUGAUUAAAAAUGAAUGUGAUAUCAAAAGACGCUAGAAGCAAAUAUCAACACACAUUCUACUGCAUAUGUAGUUCUACACGAUGAGGUAGAUUUCUAGGAAGGGGUUUAGUGGAAGAGGGUUUUAUGUGUCCAUUGUGAAGUACUUACUCUAAAGGUCCAUGUAGACUUGAAUCAUUUGUUACGGAGUCAUUUCCACCACCUCCGUGCAUUAUUUUUCAGCUAAGCAGUUCCACCACCACCUCCGUGCGUUCACUGAUAUGAUCGCUUCUGUGGUCAUUGUUGCUGCUAACAUGAUCUGUAGCUUCUGCACCAUCGUGAUCUGUAGCUUCUGUGGUCAUUUCCACCACCACCUCCGUGCGUUCAUCGUGAUCUGAAACAUGAUCUGUAGCUUCUGCACUGAUAUGAUCGUGAUCUGAAACAUGAUCUGUAGCUUCUGUGGUCGUUGUUGCUGCUGCAGUUCGGGGUUGAUUAGUGUAUAGAGGUCGAGAGAUUGCAAUCAGAACCCACAGUGAAACUAAGAGCAAGCAAACCGGCACAGGGACAAGGAAGGAGAGUAAAGAUGUUACUGAAAUGAGCGCAAAAAUGAACAUGAUGCUUUGAACAAAGCAGUAGUAAAUCUUCUUUCCUCGGGAAGAGAGAAGUCCAGCAGAAAUCCUUAACCUGGCGUAAAAUGAGAAACAGGAAAUAAAGAAGCUUGAGAUAGCCAACUCCAUGGUCUUUGGGUGGGUUUCAAAUGGGGAUUCAGCUCUUCCUUGGUACUUAAUUUGAAGAAGACCAAGUAACGCGGGGAAAAUGAAGAUGAAAAUAGUAAUAUACAUUUAUUAAAGAUAAUUCAAAUGCUUGAUAAUUUUGCUAACAAUUUCUCACUAAGCAUCCAAAUUAGACAUUACAUGCAUGGUAUAAAUAGAUUAAAUUUUAUCUCUCUUUUCUUCUUUACUCUUGGUAAUAAUUUCUUUUGAGGUUUAUGUAUAUACAUAUUGCCAUUCCCUUUUUUUUGGACAAAUUAUCCAAUUGGCCCUUGAAUUCCUUGUCUAUGUAAAAAUAAGCCCCUCAUCUAUUUUUUACUGACUUUAAACCCUCGAACUUGUAAAAUUGGGCACCUGUGACCCUUUUAGCCAGUUUCUCCGAUUUUGCAACCGGAAGCCCAAUUCACACGAAUGCCGGUGUGCUUCUUCAAAGGGCAUUUUUGUCUGCAUUUUUUAAGCAAAAACCCUUGAAGUAACAAAUAGGCAUUUUUUCUAAGCAAAAACCCAUUGCAUCACCAUUCUUUUUUCCCAUGAAUUAUACCCAUCUCCUUCACAUUCCCAUUUUUUUAUUACUAUUGCUCCCUCCUCUGGUCCUCCUCCUCAACUCUUUCCCCUUUUCUUCUUAUUCUUCUUCACCAAAUGUCAUCAUCACCCAAAUCCUCUCAUAAAAAUCAUCGAAGCCACUUCCCUCUUCAGAAAUCCCUUUUCCAGCAAAACGCUUCUUUCCCUCAUUCAAGCCCUGUUCAUACCACGUCUAAUAAAACUGCUAAUUCUUCUUACGGCAAGUCAAUUUCUGCUAGUAUUAAUUUUGCUAGUGACUUCAAUCAUCUUUGUCCGCAUUUAUUGGAGCUCCGAUCUAAACUUGGACCCGACCCUUUUCGGAACCUUCAAGACUGCCUUGAGGUCCGCCCCCUUGGCUGGGUCUCCGUUCGCUGGAAGCCCGGUCAAGAAGUUGUGCAAUGCGGCACCUGUAAGGCCUCGUCCCCGAGAUUGUUCGCAUGCAUCUCCUGCGCCGCCGUCUCCUGCCAGCUCCACACAACUUCCCAUGCCACGCAGGCGGAUGACGAUAUCGGCUGCUCCUCUCUUUCCUCCUUUCAUGCCAUCGCGGUGGAUGUUGACUGUGUCAAGCUCUUCUGCUGCGUCUGCAAGGACCAUGUCUACGACAGCGGCUUAUUCAGCUCCUCGUCCUUUGAAUAGAAGAUGCGGACAAAAAUACCCUUUGAAGAAGCAUACUAGCAUUCAUGUGAAUUGGAUUACCGGUUGCAAAACUGAAGAAACUGGCUAAAAGAGUCAUGGUGCCCAAUUUUACAAGUUUGAGGGCUUAAAGUCAGCAAAAAAUAGAUGAGGGAAUUAUUUUUAUCUAGAUAAAGAGUUCAAGGAUCAAUUGGAUAAUUUGCCCGUUUUUUUUUUGCAUGAUUGCUCAAUGUCUCAAGAACGCUUGGGAGCAACUGUUCUUGGCCAUUAUGGGAAAAUCAUUCUUUAUUUGUUUAUUCGAUGGUAUAACACAUUCUGUCUUUUGCUUCACAUGGCUCGAGGAAAAAAUAAUUUGAUUCGAAAUUUUAUCUAUGUAUUCAAUUCUAAUAAAUCAUAAAAAGGUGCAUAAAACCAUCAAAUCAAUUAGAUUGCGGUUUAAGUCUUUUUUUCCCUUCCUUACGAGCAUGCUAUUUUUUGGACAUUUCUAAUAAUAUCGUCUCAUUACUACUUUGGCAUUUUUAAUUUCCAAAAUUUUAGCCCCGAUUAGCAAAAGGGUGAUUCAAGAAACCCUCUAGGUGUGAUUCAAGAUGCAAAAUCUAAAGAAACUUAUUUUCUUCCAACAUUGAGAUGUAAUUCAUUCAUUGAAUUUACAAGCAAAUGCUUUAUUUCAAUUUUAAGAAAAAAGAGGUUUUGAGUACUGAAAAAAAGGUCUUAAUUUAUACAAGUUGCUCACUUGAGCUUGUAAUAAUUUAUAAAAUACAUAUGCUUGUGACAAGUAGGAUAAAUCAGGAGCCAGAGGAAAUGCAUCUCAAGUACAUCAAUUACUAGUCCCCAAAACUUCUAAUUUUAAAUGAAUUUAGGACAACUUACGGAAAAUUAUAAUAGCAAAUGGUCAAAAUCAAAUUGUUGUUAGUCCAAAGUUUUGAAUUUGCACUUUUAGCACCUAAUGUUCGAAGUUUUGAUCAAUAUGGUCCCAUACUUUUAAUUAAUCAUAAUUAGGGGUUUUAAGAUUAUGUAAAUGUAAAUUGAAUUAAAUACAAGACAAAUCCAUUCCUAAGUUCCUCCAAAAUUUUAUAAACAUAGUUUAUAUAAAAAUCAUUGUUUAAGCAAAACAGCGUCUCUUUAUUGAAUAAGUUAAAAUUGGAUGACAAUAAUAUAUAAAAUAAAAUUUCUCGAAGAAAAUGAGAAUUCUAGUUUUAACAUAAAACUUUAAUAUCAUUACUAUUACUAUUACAGCAACUCUUGCAUGACUUGUAGACAGAGGACCCAAACUGUUAUAGUUAGGGGUUGUUAAGUAUAAAAUGUAGUGAAGGUAAGUAACAUUGUGAAGAGCAUUUGGAACUUUUGAAAAAACAUCUUUGUGUUUCUUCUUGUCUUCCUACCUAUUAAAAUCUAAUGUUUCAAUACUAAAGUUUUAUAGUAUUUAUUUUAACAUUUCUAAAAUUAUGAUUCAUUCAAAUAAUUUUAUAAAAAAACGUCUUCAUUUCAAACUCAAUUGACCACCUAUUGAAUAAAAAAUAAAAAUGGAUCAACCUAAUUUUACUUAUAAUAAUGCUCAUUAUAUUUUAAAGGAAUAUUUAAUUAAGUUGUUUAAUUAUCACUAAAAGUGAAAAAUUAUAGAACCUAUUAUCAAGUAAUUAUUUAAUAGUGUAAAAUAAUAAUUACACAUGUUAUACCAAAUUUGAGAUUAACCAUAUAAAAGAGAAGAAGUAUAAGAGAAAUUAGUGGAACAAAUAAAUACAAAAAAUAGGAUUAAAUACAAAACAUCCCUUUGUGAUUAAUCAAAUGUUCACCUUAACUUCUUAUGAUUUAAAAACCUACAUUAAAGCCCCUUGUGCUUUAGACUAUAGUGAAAUGUUAAAUUUUCCGUUGCAUAUAACAAUGUUAAAUAUUAAAUUGGUCAUUUAACCUUUAGGACAAAUUCAUAUUACGAAAGUAAGCCUCUUUUCUUCUUUUCUUUAUUUUCAUACCCUUCCUUUCCAAUUCUGUUUUCUUUUUCUUUUUCUUUUGUAUUCGUUCUUACUUCUCACAUUUGAACCUCCUCUGCCAACCCACACCAAUCUUUUUCACAACCAUUAGACUUGGACCCAAUAGGAAGCGGUAGCUGGAUUGUUUAGAGAAACCAUGAGAAGGUGGGGCAGCUAAAUCAGCAAAUUUUUUCCUUUUAUUUUUUUCCAAUACUUCCCUAGUAGUUUCAGAUGGGAAGCACUCUCAAAAAAAAACUACCUAUUCAAUUUGUUUUGCUCCAAAGUUCAACAUGCUUAAACUCUACAUGCACAACUCGCAGAGAAAUAUCUGCCGUGAUUAUACUUGCGAUUGCAUCACGAUUCAGGAGCUAUUACUCUCUUGGUAAAUUGGGUUUUUAUUACAAAGCUUGGACUAGGCUUGCUUGGUGCUGCAAUGGUGCAAAACAUCUUGCGAGAGCUUCUUGUCAUUGGUCAAAUAGGAUAUAUUAUUUCUGGUCAUUCACUAGUUUUUUCAGUGGGCUUUUUGAGUCACUGACCAGUUUUAUGAAGUUUUCAUUUUUCUCCGUAAUAAUAUUAUGGUGCUAUGAAACUUUUGUGCAAUAUAUUAUGACCCUUUUGGAGAUUUCAGCCUUUACCUAAUUAGCAAAAUAGUGGCUUGGCACUUUGGUUUUCCACAAAGUUGCACUAUAUUUUUCAUGUAAUUUUGCAACCAUCCGUUAUGGCUGCCAGCAUCAACUAUGGUGGCACACCGCAGAGUGCAAGAGACAUCAACUAUGGUUGAAGAAGAACAUCCGAGACGAGGAGGAAGACUUUUUCGUGAUAUUCUAUUGCUACCUAAAGUCAAUCUGAAAUCAUAGUUUGAACCCAGAUUCUCUUUAGAAUCGCAUUUAAACCUUAGUUUAAAGGGCAACUCCAUAAUUUCAUCAUUGUUUCAUUUAAAAAUUAUGACUAUUUUCAUUUGACUGUUAAAUUGGAUGAAAAAACUAACAGUUUCAAUUAUCUUAAAACCAUGAGGGGGUAAAUGGUAGGUUUUUAAACCAUAAGGAGUCAAGGUGAACAUUCACUCAACUAUAGGGGAUUUUGUGUAUUUCAAAAGAAGAAAUGAAGUAAUAAUGGCAGCAAAACUACUUUUUAAAUUAUUUUAUUGUUCCGAAUCCAUGUCAAAACCAAUCAUUCAACCCAAUCCAUACUCAGGUAUGUUCAAUGAUCCUUAGUCAUAGUUCAACCAACCCUAUCUUGAAUUGAGAAACAUGUUCAUAAUUCUUAAUAUAAUGUCAGAAUAUCUAUUUAAGAAAUUAAAUUAAAAAUUUUAUCAUAAAAAGAGCCAAAAAAAUAAUCAGUUUUAAUAGAAAAAAGUAAACAAGAUAUGAAACUAAAUAAAAAACUUGAAAAAAAAAAUAAAAGUAGCACAAAGAUCUAUGCGAUGCCAAGUAAAGCUUCAAUAGAGAAACCGGUAAAGUUUUAAUGGCAAAGCUUCAAUAGAAAAAUUCGAUUUGAUUUGUUCAAGUGGCAAUCACCAUUAGGGGCACAAUGAAAUCAAAUAGCUUGACUCGAACUCACGAGUAAUUUGGCCAACUACUCGACUCGAGUUCGGUCAAAGCCGAACUUGAGUCGAGUUUGAGUUACUCGCUUGAAUUAACUAGUCAAGGUCAAAUAUCUAUUAGGCAAGAUUGAAAGCUCGAUGAAUAGCUCGAGUUCAAUAGGCAUUUAUUUAAUAUAUACAUACAUAUAUAUAUAUAUAUAUAUUCAUUUAUUUAUUAAGUUACUCUUUUGGGUUUGUUAGUUACAAUAUUUACGACCUUAACGAGUUCGUUAUAAUAUUAAUGAAGGGUGAAUGAGUAAUUUUUGCUGGAGAAAUAUGAUGAAAGGAUGAAAAUGAAAAAACAAAAGCUCAUUCUUUUUUUUGAGAGACGGUAGAAGUUUUUAUUGAUAUGUCAAAAUUGUACAGUAUUUAAGCAACGGCUCAAUUAUCUUUUAAACUCAAAACACUCAAAAAGUCUUCAUUCAAAUGCAUGCAAGAGAAGCAUAAUUAACAAUUAAAGGAAGAGAACAAUUAUAAUUGAGAAACAAAAAAACUAUUACGGAUUAUAUUGCAAAAAUUAUAAAGUUUUUGGGAUCAAAAUAUAAUUUUUCAAAAAUUUAGGGGUCAAAAUUUAAUAAAGAUAAAGUUUAGGGUCAAAAUGCGAUUAAAUUAAGGGCCUGAAUAAAGAAAUCCAAAAUUUUAGGGCAACUGUAAAAUUACUCAGAAGAUUAGGGCCAACUUGCAAAAUUCGCUUUCUGAUUGAGAAAAUUACAAAUAAAAUGAUUUUGGGACAUUUUAAGAAUUUGGGCCGCACAACUUUGGCCCACAAAAAAGAAAUAAAUUGUCUUAUUGACAAGGAACAGACAAGCCCAAGUAAUUACACACUCAAACAUAUUAAUGAUAUUGGGCUUAAACUCCCAAUCCCAGUCACAAGCCCGAGCAAAAAAAUAAGACACUAGCUCAAGUAAAUUAAAAAAAACAAGCCCAUUGUUUUCUUCCUUUUUUCUUUCUUUCUUUUCCUUUUUUUUCCGUUUUUUCUUUCUUCUUCUUCUUCCCAAAAUUGAAGAGCUGUAAAUGGUAUAAGCUUCUCAGCAUCAAGCCCAAAGAUAACAGUGUUUAUGCAGCUUGUAUCAUCAUCCACAGCAAUUCCAAUUCUGGUCCUAAUACGCAUUGAGAAUAAAACAUUAUAUUCUAAUUUUUCAUUAUAGGAGAGUGAAACUUAAUUUGGCAAUUACCUUGCUACAACUUUGCUCUCUUCUUUGCAAGAUGGGCAUCUUAUAACCCAUCCCACAUCAGUAUUGAUAGCCUUUUGGCAGCUAUCACAUGUUUCAAACCAGAAUUUUUACUGUCCAGGGGUCAACCUGGUUUUCCCUCCUAUCCAAGCUGUUUUUACCUAAUAGAUUUUUUUGAACAGAAAGAAGAACACUGAGUUUUGCAUUAUUUUGGAUAGCUAAAAUAUAUAAAUCAGGUCAUAAAUAAAAAAGGAAGUUACAUCUUUGAGUGUGUUAAGUGCAUUGGCUCCACUGAUCACAUCAUUAGCACUUGGAGCUGGUGCAGCCUAGAUGAAUCUUUGUAUGCCAUUUGUUGAAUCAACUCUACAAUUUCUUCUUUAUUUGCAUUAUACCUAUCCAAAAAAACAAUGCAGUAGACCAUAAGAAUUCAAAGGGAUCUAGAAGAGUUGCACUAAAAUGGUCAGAGAAUAUAUGUACCAUUCCUUGAGUGCAUUUGCUUUAGGAGUGGGAGUAUUAAUCAGAAGACUACUCCCAGGCUUGGUUGUUAGGGAUAAGUUUAACAAUAAAAGUAAUAUUUUGUGUUAAAUAAUAAAGCAAUUUCUAGGACAGCGAUUGGCUAAGUUAUUCGAAGUGGUUGACUGUCAUGGAAAUAUGAGGUGUUAAAAGGAUAUUAACUUCACUUACAAUUAAAAUUUGUGAUUUUCAGCUUCAUGCCAAUGAUAAUGUUGGCAUUCCCAGUGCUGUUUGCAAGUUGCGUUCUUGAUUUUGUUCAAACUCAUUCUAAAGAGUAGGAAGCAUCGCCUUUUCCCUUUGCAAAGAAGGGGAAAAAUGGGGAAGAAAGUGAAUGAAACAGUUUUAUGCAUUAGAUAGAAAUAUUAAAAGUAAGGUUUAUAUAACUAACUCUUGAUUCACGACAACAAAGUCUCUUGUUGUAGAGCCAUUAUUCUGUUCCUUUGUUGCAAAUGCACUAACAACAACAGCCUAUAGAUCUUUAUACAAACCAAAAGAGGAGAUUAGAUGUGUUUCAAUAAUUAAAGGAAAUAUGAAAAUGAAUUUAUAUUCCAAUUAGUAAAGCACAAGUAUCACUUACUCUGAACAUUUUCCUUGGCUGCGAACCUAAAGAGGUCCUCAAAUUUGGUGAAUUCAAAUGUAUGGUAGCAUUGGUGGAUUUGGCUCUACAUAUUCUUCAACUAAUGUCUUGUUAUGAAUCACCCAUGAGAAUUCAUAGUCGCUAAUUUUAUACUUUGCAUCCUGUUUUUUGACGGUCCCACCAGUGAUGUAGUAUCACUUAAAUGGCUGCAGUAGAUUAGCAAAAUAACAAAUGUCAUCCCCACAAAUGACCGCUGAAACCUUAGUCCCCUGUUCACACAAAGAACCAAGAUGGGCAAUAUUAACCAAAAGGCUGAAGCAGAACAUUCAAGGUAAGAAAUAUACAACCGUAAGCAUGUAGAGGUUUUUUUUUUGGGUGGGGGGGGAGGGGGAAGAAAACUUAUAACAGUAAUGUUUGAGUUGCAAGAAGUCAAUCAAUAAGAAUAACCAAAGACGUAUGAAGAAAAACAGUAGAAAAACCACAUAAGAAUUAGACAACUAAACAACAAUUCUUUGGAAGCCGCCAAGUUUAUAAUUACAAACUGUAUCAAGCUUAAUGUUUUCAAUAUAUAGAAAAUUAAGCUGAAAUAGAAGUUUUAUCUACGCUGCGAAUUUGAUUAGGCUCAAUUCAAUUGGCUCAUAGCCCCAUUCCAAAUUAUGGACCAAAUAAGUGUCCUAACUGAUAACUUACAAGCGAUCAUCUUCUUAAUGGAUCAAUUUUAAAUGUUCACCAUUUUUGUGGGUAAGGAAUUAGCAUGAUACACUUAUAUGUGCUUAAAGCUUCAAUUCUAGUUUUCAAUGCCACAGACGAUAUUCAAUUCCAAGUUUUCUAUAGAAAGUUAUGAUCAAAAAAUUUUUAUAGUAAUAUCUUGAAAUAAUACGAUCCUACGAUCUAGAAUGCAAUCCCAUCGAUUUUGUUUGUUUAGGGUAAAAUUUUGAUCCUAAUUACAAUUCUACAUCCGGAUCGUGAUUUUAACGACUAUAAUGAGUAAUUGACCUAGUAAAUUUUAAUUUUAAUUUAGAAAUUAGAUAAGUAAUCUUAGAUAUAACAUGGUGACUUUCAAAUCGAUAUCAAAUUUGUAGAUAAGUAAUCAUAAAUAUAAUUAACGUAGUACUCCAAGAAACUAGAAUUGAGUUUGUAGAUAAAAUAAUCAUAAACAUAUAUCACAUAAUACAAAUGUUUCAAAGGUUGAACACUUCAACUAUUGAAAUAACUAGAUGGUUACCAAUUUAAAUUCUAACUCUGCAACUAGUUGUACUAGACAUGGCACCUAUAAAUCACAAAUUUGACUAGUAAUAUAGUGUCAAAAUUUGAGACUUUUUAAUAUAUUAAUGUUAUCUAAUUAUAAGGAUAACCAAAUUAUCGUAAAAAUCAAAGUUUACUCUUAAAAGUAAUUAGUGCUAAAUUAAAGGUUUUGUUGUGAUAUGAAUUAUCUAAUGAUAGCAAAUGCAUUGAAACAAGCAAGCAAAGAUAUCUAGAUAAAUGCCAAUUACAAUCUCAUGUUCAAAUUAACAUACACUAGCAUUUAUAACAUUUACAAUUCCGUGUUUAAAUGCACAUCCAAUGUGUGUGCAAUCAAAAAAUAUAUAAUAUCUAUGAUCAUAUAAUUUAAAUAAAAUUUUUAUUAUCGAAACAAACUUUAAUCUUUUAAUAAUGUUCAUAAAAUAAUUUUAUAUUAGUAGUUACAAUAUUUAGUGGUGGUUAUGUUGAAAACAUAUAAUUAAAUAGUUAAAAGUAAAAAUAGUGAUAAAUAGUUAUAGAUAGUUAAAGUAAAAGUAGUUUUUAUAAGGGCAAAAAAUAAAUUUUAUAAAAUGUUAUCCCCGGAUCCAUUCUUCAAACUUUAUAUAUAGUAUAGAUAACCAUACACCUACAUUCACUGAGUAUUCUAUUAUAACAAAAUGUACCUACAUUUUCAUAGUUUUCACAUUUACUAUCCCUUCUUCUUUUUUUUUCCAUUUGUUUAAGGUAAUUUAUCCAAUUUUUGCCAUUCAAUUUUUUAAUUCUGCUUAUUUGUUCAAAAGCGAUUUUUCUUUAUUUGAUUUACCUUUUUUUAAUUCUAUUUAAUAUAAUUUAACCAACAUUUUUCUUUUUCUUUAAGAAAAAACACUAUUCUUAUAAUUUGUAAAUGUGAUGGCUAUCCCAACUAUCCAUGACUAUGCAAAAGAAAAAAAAAAAAAGAAUAGUUGGUGCAUAUACACAAUUAUCACAUUUGAUACAUGAAGUUUUUCAAUUAACUAAUUACAUUAAUGAAUUAUUCUACGACAUAAAUAAUCACAAAUAACCAAGAGAUAAUCCAAAAUGCAUAGAUGAAAUUCACAGUAUGGAAGCAUAUAAUUUUAUAACCUUUUAAACUUUGUAUGAUUUCUAAAGGAAGUAAUUGACUUUCGAGAUACCAUGUAUGCAUAUUGAAAUUAAUAUCGUAUAUUUAAUAGUAACUUGUAUAGUGCUUGUAAUUAGAAUGUAAAAGGUAACUAAGACUGUUAAUUAUCCACAAUAUAUAUAUAAAUGUGAAAAAAAUGUUCAAAACAUUAUUCACAUUUUAUUAAAUGAAUUUUUUUGCCAUUCACUUUCAAAAUAGUAACUUUACGUCCUUUACAAAAUUAAGAUUGUAAAAUUUUGUCCCAACCUAGGUUUUUGACUACUUUUUAUCUUGAAUCAAUCAUGUGACCUACACAAGGUCAUUUUUUUAUGGCAAAAAAGUUAGAUCUCAUUUAUUAUUAAAUAAAUGAUGAAAUUCAUAUUUAUUUUUUGCCAUUUGUCCUAAAAAGUAAUCUGACAUUUUUGCAAUAUUCAUUUUUGUCCUAAAAAGUAAAAUCUAACAUUCAUAUUUAUCUUUGCCAUUUGCCAUAAAAACAUUUUUAUUUAGUAUGCAAGAAUUGAAUCUUUUUCAACUGUAAGUAUUCCUUGUAGAGUGAACUAUAAUCCAUUUGGUACCAACAUGGCAUGUUAAGGUCGAGAUCGUAAUUCUGAAAACACGACUAGUAUGUUAAGUAGCUUGUUAGCGAUAACAAAACUCAGGUUUUGAUGCAAAAAAAAAAAAGUCAUUAAUUCACAGCCGGUUGUCAUUAAUACACGCAAAAAAAUUUUCCGGGUUCCAUCUAGGGGUGCAAUCAAGUCAAGCUGCUCGCGAGGAGCUUGCGAGCGGCUUAGUAAAAAGACCGAGCUCGAGCUACUCGUUACAUUCAACGAGUCGAGUUUGAGUUCCAAAAAUAAAUACUCGAGUGCUCGACGAGUUUAAUCGAGUUUUUAUAUUAAAUUUAUAUUGUAUAUUUUGAAAAAAAAAUUAUAGGCUUAUUUCAAAACUCGAGCUCGAGCUCGAGUAGAUUGGGCUUGAUAUUUACUCGAGUUUACUCGAGUUCAAACGAGUUGAGCUUAAUUUUAUUUUAUCGAGUCGUGCUCGAGUCCAAAUUUUUUUACUCUUUCGAACUCGUGCUCGGGCUCGAAUAGCACUGAUUCUGAUCGAGUUUGAGCUCGAGUAUCGACUUGGGUCGAUAGUAAAUCUAGUUCCAUCCAUCAUUAAGGCUGGUUUGUUAAGCCAACCCUACAGCCAGUUGCCUUAUUUUAGUUGGGCCCCAAUUGACAUGUGAAGGAUGUCCAUGAUGUCCAAGCUGAGUUGUCUUGUUAAUACUUCUGCCCACGGUGGAGAGUUCCCUCUACUUUCCAGUUUGCACACUAGAAGCAACCGACAAGAACCAGUCAAAAGUCAUAACCACAAGAGUUGGUCGGUCAGUCCUGCGUUUUGCAGAUAGCUUUGCCUUGGGGUUUUGGGACCCAAAACAACCAAUUUCUUGAUUAAAUUUCAUUUUUUUAAAAAAAUUUCCCUUGAGACACGAAUAUGUAGCAGACACAAUUUUUGGUCUUCCAUUAGCGGCUGAUGAGUAUACAAAGGGACAAAAACGCGCGCAUAGACCUUUCAUUCUUCUAGACUGGUAAUUCUGCAUAUACUUUGCACCCAUCAGUAUCAAUGGCAUACAAGCAUCGAGUGUUACACACGUAUCGAGUGUGCCUCGAUGACUAGUAUUAAUUAAAGCUCUAACUCCACUUUGCAUCCAUUAAUUUUUUUCAAUGGCUUCUCAAUUUGCGGCUUCAAUCUUAUUUUUGAGCACGUUGUGUUCUAAACUUUCAAAUUUAUCCCACUUGGACCUCUCUGUUAACUCCAUUGUGAAAUUGACAGAUUUUGCGCGUGGGCAUAAACUCCACGCAAAUGUUAAAUCCAUUUGGCUUCUCAAACUCCACGCAGAUUUUGUACUCCAUUUGUGACCUCCAUUAAGAAACAUUUGUUGACAGGUUCAAUUCUCUUUGUGCCCAUAACUUAUUACUGCUCCCAACAAAUUACGACCCCAUGUUUGGUUUAUAUUUAAAUGUGCUAAAUAGGCGCUUAUUGAAAGGACUUUGAGGAGUUGGUUUUUUUUUUUUGGUUUAAACUAUAAUUAAUUUAGUAAAGCAUCUGAACACGGGAAGUGCAAAAAUUGUGAUUGUGUAUAUUCACCUGAUAAAUUAGAUAUAUUUGCACCUGCCCUGGCACAUUUCUUUUUUUUUUUUUUUUAAAUCCAUUCACAAAAAGAUAAACUUUAGUGGAUGCAAAUUAAGAUCCGAAAUGAUCAGAAAUAAGGAGGAGACGUUCAAAAAGGAAAUUAAAUCCAAGGCUAGCCAGCGUGUUGUUGGCACCAAAAACUGCGGACAAAACCACACAUGUUAUUCAUUAGGUUGGCGCAGGUUUUAAAAAAAUUCAAUGACUCAAGCUGUGCCAUUAGGGGUGUGCAAAAUCGAAAAAUUUCGAUUUACCGAAAAUUUUGAAAUCGGUAAAUCGGAAAUCGGAAUUGAAUUCGGGUUUUUCGAAUUCAUAUAUUUCGAAUUUGGUUCGAAUUCGGUAAUGAAGUUUUUCAAAUCGGAAUUUCCGAUUUUGAUUUCAAAUUCGUUUUUAAUAUAUAAAUAUAUUUUUUAUACAUGUAAUAUAAAAUUUAUAUAAUAUAAUAUAAUAUAAAAUUUAUAUAAUAUAAUAUUAUAAAUUUUAUAUUAUAUAAUUAUAUAUAAAUUUUUCUGAAUUCGGUGAAAUCGGAAUUUACCGAAUUCCGAAUUGAAUUCGGUACGAAUUCGAAUUCGAAAUUGGUGAAUUCGAAAUCGAAUUCGAUCGAAUUAUUAGAUACCAAAAUUUCGAAAAAUUCCGAAUUCAAACUUCCGAAUUACCGAUUUCGAAUUCAAUGCACACCCCUAUGUGCCAUACUAUCUCACAAUCUGCACUCUUUGGCUUUUGAAGACCGCGGGGUAUUUACAAAUAGUAAAAACUAGAGAUUAUGAGCUUGCUGCUUUUUCAAUUUUUGUUUUGAAAUUCAUUGACUCCCAAGGUAAAAACCUUGUAUUUAUUUAUUUAUUUUUUGUAAUGGUGUAAGGAUGACAUUUAAAAAAUAAGGAAUAAACAAGAGGAUUAGAAUUCAAGACUUCCCUAAAUAUAUAUGCCACUUAGCUUGUUUAUUUAUUUAUUUAUUUUCGUUUGUAUGGAAUGUUUUCUUGAUUCGACCACUGGGUCAAACAAUCUUCUGUGCUUCAGCCAAACGCCACCGUAGACCUUAAAAAGAGCUCAAUAGCGUGUUGAGCAAUUACAUGUGGUUAUCAAUUUUAAGAUGCAAUAAAUUGAACCAGAAACAAAAGAUAUAUAUAGAACAGGUAUUUUUAUCUAGAACAAUUGUCUAAUAGCGUCCAUUACCUGUUCUAUUGUCCCCGUACUUGCAAUGAUAUCUAGAUUAACAGGAUAGAUCAUUCAAAAAAAAAAAAGAAAAAAGAUUAACAGGAUAGAUGUAAGCACUAAAAUAAUACAUAUUACUGUUCAAGAUAUACACCAACAUGCAUGUAACUAAUAGAAAAAUAUUAUUAAAGUUUUGGGUAUAUUUGUCGAAAUCAUUUUCGGAUGAAUUAGUUUUAUAUUUUUGACACUAGAUAGUAGAAAGUUCAUCAAAAUAAAGUUUAUAAAUAGAUAGUUAAUUAGAAGUAAUCCGAAAAUAUAAUUGUUAGUUGCUACUUGGUAGUUAAAGGAGAUAUUGGGUAGUUAUCAAGGAUAGUUUAAAAAGAACAUAAAGCGACAACAAUAUGUUUAUUUCAAAAUCCCCUUCCUCCAAUUUUUUUUCUUUUGGUGGGACUCUCCUCCUUUAUAUAUAAUACAGAUAAUAAUAAAAUAUAUAAAUUAAUAUAAAAAAUGUAAAUAUCAAAACAACAACGUACAAAACACAACUUUUAAUGCAAAUAUAUCUAUAUAAUUUCUUCUCAAUUUCCUUGGUUAUUGGCAUACUUUGCAUUUAGCCUUGAUGUAACGACCCCACCUCCCCCUAAGGCGUACCAGAGGGUUCGGCGGGCCGCCUGCCCAGCUCUCGCCGGGAUUCAGUCGUUCGCUACCGUCCUCAAUUAAAAAUUGAAAUAAAUCACAAGAAUAAAUAGGGCAUUGAUCCAAACUUAAAGCGGAACUUAUAUACAUUGCCAAUCCAAAAGAGAAUAUAACAUCAAAUAGACAAGGGUUCUCAAUCCUUCAUACGUCCAACCCGUGCCAAGCACUAGGCGAGAACCACUACAAAAGAAACAAAAGAAACAAAACUAGAUUGGCUAGUCUAUCUCAAGCUCACGUCCUCGCUCGCCUUCCCCUGUAAGGAAAACAAAACUAAAGGAAUGAGCUAAAAGCCCAGUGAGGUUCCGAACACAUAAUCAGAUAAUCAAUCCAAUACAUUAAACAUGGAGUAUCAAUAAUUCAAGAAACAUUUACAAUGGAAAGCAAUAGUAACACAUUCAUUAAAAGGAUACGGCUCACAAGGAGCAAUUCGUUAUUUCGUUCAUUCGUUCUCCUGACAUUUCCCCUUAUUCCUCCAAUCAUUUGAAAAUGCAUUUUUCGUUUAUCAAUAAACCCUCGUUCGUUCGUUCGUUCAUUCAUUCACCCCCGUCCUGGCCGUUGGCCAGUCUCCACCAACCUACAGGGUAAUACUCGAGUAUACCAAACGUUCACCUAAGUCCCUAAUCGCCCGACCGAGUCCGCUUCUGGCUCGAGACGACCGGUAACAAGGAGCAAUGGCCAGUUCAGCCCAAAAGGCUUACAUUCAUGUGCAAGUAACAUUUCAAUCAUUAAAUCCUUGAAAAUUAUACAGUUAUUUAGGUCGAGUGCGAUAAAGUACACACUCGCCUAGAAAGCUCGUUUUGGAAAUCAUUAAAAGCACUUAACACAUUAGCAAAUGAUAACAACAAGCCAUAGAAUCAAAUAAGGAACACUCACCUAGAAAUGCAAAAUAUCGUGCAAAAUAUCCUUCCGGAUAUUACCCUUAAUCACCAAUGAAACCUAAGGUUGAACAAGAGAACAUAUUAUAGUUUAUCGAGCAAAACAUUUAAGGGAAACAAAGAAACCCGACUAAUUAAGAGUAAAACGUGUAAAGAUGACUUUCAAGUAAGAAGAGGGUUGUUUGAACCCAAGGAUGAAAAAUCAUGUUUUAAAAUGGAAAACCGGUCAUGGUAUUGGCCUAACAAAAGUAUACAAGUUCAAAUAGAAACCUAGCCCUCGGGCGAAAAUUUGGGCAGCACGCCCUUUGGGCUUACCUAAUUUUUCAGCCAUUUUGGCUUCAUUAUUUUUCCUCAACCACAACCCAACAUCACACAUAAGCAAUUCAAGUCAAGAGCCGUUCCAUAGGCUCACAAUAUCAUAAGAAUAAGAAUUACAACAAUCACAAGUGCAGAAAUUCAACUUAGCACAAGACAAAUUUGACGUACGAAUGCGGUAAUAACAUAUCCGAAGCUACGCUUAUUGGAUUGAGACGAAACCUACGCCAUUUCGAAGCUAAGACUCAGGGCUACAAUGUUCAUGAAGGUCACUUAGUCCAGUUUCUAAUGUAACUUGGUCAAAUUCUCGAAUUACUAAACCAGAAACCAAUUCGUCGGCUGUUUAAACGUAGAACACUGUAAUGGACAUAAAUCAGAGUACACAAGUCCGAAUCAGGUGUUCUUAGAGGUUUUUGAAAGCUAAUUCAGAAUGCUACAACUUUUAUGUUUUGGCAAAAUGCUAAAUCAGAAUGGAUCCUAGUCAAAAAAUGUGAUAAACUGGACAAACUGAUCACACGGGCUGCUGGGAAAAAACUUAAAAUAGUAAGGGUAUUUUGGACUUUUCACGAACUACGUUGCUCCGAUUGAGCUGAAAUUUUAUAGGCACCUAUAAAACACCAUUCUCUACAACUUUCCUUCUUUGACCUAAGGCCAAUUCGACAUCUAACAUACAGAUAUAAAUUCGGACAGAAAGUUGGGGAAAUUUUCCAGAUUCUGGAAUUUUGAGUUUCUAGUGCAACUUUCCUUAAUUUCUUGGUCUAAUCCCUACCACAACACCUUAUAACACUUCAAUUGCAACAUAUAAGUAUCAUACAACAAAUUGGGCAGAAUUUCCCCAAACCCUAGUUCAUGAAAUAAAAAGGGGAAAGCUACUAAAACAUGAUAAUCAUCCAUGAUUCCACCACUAAAUCAAGUUGCUAAGCUUAAUUUAACAAGAUUGAAAGUAAAACUUGGAGAGAUAAGCUCUCUUACCUUGGCUAGAGGUCACUAAGAGCAGCCCAAGCUUUCUCCUUCAAAAACCUCACCACAACUCACUAACUAGUCACUCAAGAACAAGUUUAAUCGGUUUAGUUCUUUUGAUUUCUCACUUGGUAGCUUGAGUCAAGAAGAAAUGAAGAAAUUUCUCUCUUGUUCUUCCCCUCUCUCUCUCUCGGCUCCUUGGCAGAAAUAUGAAGAGAAAUGGAGCUUAGUUGUCUUAUAAUAAAGCAAGAGGAUUAGGAUUAAUGGUGUCCACAAAUUGGCAAACACUUGAACUAAUCUUGGCCACAAAAUUUUCUCUUUCUUUCCCCUUGCAUAUGAACCACAAUUUCGGUCAAGCUUGCUGCCAAGAGAGAAGAUAUUUUGCUCAAGUUCAAUAAAUUUGUUUGGUAAGCAAAAAUGGUGGUCAAGUGGUGCGUUCAAACGGUAGUGCGCGGGACCCGCCGGUUCGCGCCGUUUUUCUUAAAACUCACGUAUUAGGGUUUUUACUUCCCAUUCACUAACCUUAUAUCAUUGCUACUAGUCACAUAUUAUUUCUCAUUUAAAAGUCACUUUUAAUCAUCAAAUUGAUCCUUGGCCAGUACUUAAAAUUCAUCCGGCGGAAAAAUCGUGAAACCCUAAUUUCGCUCCAAACUUGAAACCGAAGCGUAAAACCCUAUUUUCUAGGUUUAUCUACACUUAAUGUGAAAUAUUUGGGUAGUGGCCUUUGAUAAAUACUAAUUUUCAAAUAAAAUGGUAUUUUUGAGGAAAAAUACAAGGAAUUUGCGAGUCCUCACAUUCUCUCCCCCUUAAAAAAAUUUCGUCCUCGAAAUUUUACCUUCAGUUGACUCAGACGAGUCCAGAACUUGUCGGUUGUCUAAAGCAUAAACCUUUGCCGGUCCGCUAGUUCGUUUCCCUCUUUCAUUCACUUGUGAUUUAGCUCCAUCCAGUUGCAGAGUAUUGCUUUCACGUGACUAUCUCCUCGGACAGUUGCUAACUUGAUGAUCGCCACUUCCGCAGAUUAAACAUUUCCGCCCCUUUCUCCAACAAUCGCUUUCGACAUGAUUUGCCUUUCCACAAUACCCACAGACCACGUGAGAAGCCAUCUUUUGGCUUUCUUGAAAACUUUUCCCAAAUUUGAUUUGGCUUUCUUUUGUAGAUCCUUCACCUAUCGCCCCUAAUGUCCAUGGUGGGUGGGACAAAAAGUUCACUUUUUGCACUUUGGAAGGGACUCUCGCUUCACUUAAUUCCUCCACUACACUACUCGAUGCACUCCUUUUCUGGGUCUGGGAAGCUUUUAUCUGUGCCUUUGCAGUCUCGAUUCUUUGAGCUUUCUCAAGGGCCUCCGUAAACGUAUUCACUUGUACCGCCGCUAAUGCUUCUUGGAGUUCCAAAUUUAAUCCUUGUAUAAACCGUCUUACUCUUCGCCGUUCUGUGGCCACCAAUUCAGAAGCAAACUUGGAUAGUUUCGUAAAUUUCGUUUCAUAUUCGGCCACACUUAACGUUCCCUGGCGUAGUCCAAUAAACUCUUCCUCUCUCCUCUCUUGAACUAAAGGAGGGAGGUAUUUCUCGUUAAAUUUCCUUAUGAAAUUCGUCCAUGUCCAUACGGUCUGUUCUCUUUCCCAUUUUGCUUUAAUAACGUUCCACCACGCUCGGGCCGAUCCUUCAAAUUGGAACACCGCAAAGUUUACUUGUCUUUGCUCGGUGUAGUUCAAGAUGGUGAAAAUAUUAAUCAUGGCCUCUAACCAUUGUUCGGCUAUAUCCGGAUCAGAUCCUCCAAGGAAUUUCGGAGGAGUAAAUUUCUGAAACCGCUCAAGAGCCUUAUCUUCUCUGAUUUCAGGGUUCCGGGGUUGAUUCACGGCCAUUUGGCCUUGUUGAUCCACCAGUCUUGCCAAGAUAUCCGUCAUUUGUUGCAUUACCGUUGCCAUUUGGUCUUCGACUUCAACCCUCAUUCCUUGCUCUUGUGCAGCUGUUGUUUCUCUUUCCUCUCUUGACUCUUGAGCUCGUUCAUUCCCACGGCCACGUCCACGUCCACGGCUACGUCUCCCGUCCAUAUAUAUGUUUUUCCUCUCUUUUUUUUUUCCAAAAGUUAAUUUAGUAAAUAAACACGAUAAGGUGACUAAAGUAACUAAAAUUGAGGGCACUAAAUACUCAAAUAACAUAUACCCACAUAACACACCACAUAAAUAUAUCAAAGAAACAAAUAAUCAAAUACACAAAUACGUCUCAAGUCAAGCGGAUAUUCAAUACACAAGUACACAACUGAUGGCAUGUAGUGACAAUAUACGGGCGAAUCAAAAGAAAAAGGGUAUAUCGUCCCACACCCAACUAGAAUAACCCCGUCCGAUUUCUCACGUCACUUUCUAUCCGACUCGAUGUCCGUUGAUCUCUUAUACUUAUUCUAGCCAGACAAAGCCCGUUCAUGUUCCCAAAAUGCAAGUCUCAAGUAUUUAGCAGCACCUCAACUAUAGAGUACUCAGGCACGAGAAUCCGAAAGAAGAUAAUUCACAUCUCGAGCUGCAGUCUCAAGAGUAAACUAUCUACAAUCGGAAUUCCUACCUGACAUACCUAUCUAUGGUCUUCCAUGAGAAAGAUUUAAGGCCUAUAACAUUCGCAAUUCAUAGCUUCACUUAGUCCCUCAUACUUUUUCACCACCUAAUCCAGGGACACUCCACGUAGAAACCACGCGAAGCAGCUAUAAGUUUUAUCCCUCAAUCGCUUUACUUUCAAGUCCAAUCAAAUCCCACAGUCCGGUAUCCUAAUCUUUAAUCUAGGAUACACUACAGAGAUAUGAAGCCUAGGCUCUGAUACCACUUGUAACGACCCCACCUCCCCCUAAGGCGUACCAGAGGGUUCGGCGGGCCGCCUGCCCAGCUCUCGCCGGGAUUCAGUCGUUCGCUACCGUCCUCAAUUAAAAAUUGAAAUAAAUCACAAGAAUAAAUAGGGCAUUGAUCCAAACUUAAAGCGGAACUUAUAUACAUUGCCAACCCAAAAGAGAAUAUAACAUCAAAUAGACAAGGGUUCUCAAUCCUUCAUACGUCCAGCCCGUGCCAAGCACUAGGCGAGAACCACUACAAAAGAAACAAAAGAAACAAAACUAGAUUGGCUAGUCUAUCUCAAGCUCACGUCCUCGCUCGCCUUCCCCUGUAAGGAAAACAAAAUUAAAGGAAUGAGCUAAAAGCCCAGUGAGGUUCCGAACACAUAAUCAGAUAAUCAAUCCAAUACAUUAAGCAUGGAGUAUCAAUAAUUCAAGAAACAUUUACAAUGGAAAGCAAUAGUAACAUUCAUUAAAAGGAUACGACUCACAAGGAGCAAUUCGUUCAUUCGUUCUCCUGACAUUUCCCCUUAUUCCUCCAAUCAUUUGAAAAUGCAUUUUUCGUUUAUCAAUAAACCCUCGUUCGUUCGUUCGUUCAUUCAUUCAUUCACCCCCGUCCUGGCCGUUGGCCAGUCUCCACCAACCUACAGGGUAAUACUCGAGUAUACCAAACGUUCACCCAAGUCCCUAAUCGCCCGACCGAGUCCGCUUCUGGCUCGAGACGACCGGUAACCAGGGGCAAUGGCUAGUUCAGCCCAAAAGGCUUACAUUCAUGCGCAAGUAACAUUUCAAUUAUUAAAUCCUUGAAAAUUACACAGUUAUUUAGGUCGAGUGCGAUAAAGUACACACUCGCCUAGAAAGCUCGUUUUGAAAAUCAUUAAAAACAAUUAACACAUUAGCAAAUGAUAACAACAAGCCAUAAAGUCAAAUAAGGAACACUCACCUAGAAAUGCAAAAUAUCGUGCAAAAUAUCCUUCCGGAUAUUACCCUUAAUCACCAAUGAAAUCUAAGGUUGAACAAGAGAACAUUAUUAUAGUUUAUCGAGCAAAACAUUUAAGGGAAACAAAGAAACCCGACUUAUUCAGAGUAAAACGUGUAAAGAUGACUUUCAAGUAAGAAGAGGGUUGUUUGAACCCAAGGAUGAAAAAUCAUGUUUUAAAAUGGAAAACCGGUCAUGGUAUUGGCCUAACAAAAGUAUACAAGUUCAAAUAGAAACCUAGCCCUCGGGCGAAAAUUUGGGCAGCACGCCCUUUGGGCUUACCUAAUUUUUCAGCCAUUUUGGCUUCAUUAUUUUUCCUCAACCACAACCCAACAUCACACAUAAGCAAUUCAAGUCAAGAGCCGUUCCAUAGGCUCACAAUAUCAUAAGAAUAAGAAUUACAACAAUCACAAGUGCAGAAAUUCAACUUAGCACAAGACAAAUUUGACGUACGAAUGCGGUAAUAACAUAUCCGAAGCUACGCUUAUUGGAUUGAGACGAAACCUACGCCAUUUCGAAGCUAAGACUCAGGGCUACAAUGUUCAUGAAGGUCACUUAGUCCAGUUUCUAAUGUAACUUGGUCAAAUUCUCGAAUUACUAAACCAGAAACCAAUUCGUCGGCUGUUUAAACGUAGAACACUGUAAUGGACAUAAAUCAGAGUACACAAGUCCGAAUCAGGUGUUCUUAGAGGUUUUUGAAAGCUAAUUCAGAAUGAUACAACUUUUAUGUUUUGGCAAAAUGCUAAAUCAGAAUGGAUCCUAGUCAAAAAACGUGAUAAACUGGACAAACUGAUCACACGGGCUGCUGGGAAAAAACUUAAAAUAGUAAGGGUAUUUUGGACUUUUCACGAACUACGUUGCUCCGAUUGAGCUGAAAUUUUAUAGGCACCUAUAAAACACCAUUCUCUACAACUUUCCUUCUUUGACCUAAGGCCAAUUCGACAUCUAACAUACAGAUAUAAAUUCGGACAGAAAGUUGGGGAAAUUUUCCAGAUUCUGGAAUUUUGAGUUUCUAGUGCAACUUUCCUUAAUUUCUUGGUCUAAUCCCUACCACAACACCUUAUAACACUUCAAUUGCAACAUAUAAGUAUCAUACAACAAAUUGGGCAGAAUUUCCCCAAACCCUAGUUCAUGAAAUAAAAAGGGGAAAGCUACUAAAACAUGAUAAUCAUCCAUGAUUCCACCACUAAAUCAAGUUGCUAAGCUUAAUUUAACAAGAUUGAAAGUAAAACUUGGAGAGAUAAGCUCUCUUACCUUGGCUAGAGGUCACUAAGAGCAGCCCAAGCUUUCUCCUUCAAAAACCUCACCACAACUCACUAACUAGUCACUCAAGAACAAGUUUAAUCGGUUUAGUUCUUUUGAUUUCUCACUUGGUAGCUUGAGUCAAGAAGAAAUGAAGAAAUUUCUCUCUUGUUCUUCCCCUCUCUCUCUCUCGGCUCCUUGGCAGAAAUAUGAAGAGAAAUGGAGCUUAGUUGUCUUAUAAUAAAGCAAGAGGAUUAGGAUUAAUGGUGUCCACAAAUUGGCAAACACUUGAACUAAUCUUGGCCACAAAAUUUUCUCUUUCUUUCCCCUUGCAUAUGAACCACAAUUUCGGUCAAGCUUGCUGCCAAGAGAGAAGAUAUUUUGCUCAAGUUCAAUAAAUUUGUUUGGUAAGCAAAAAUGGUGGUCAAGUGGUGCGUUCAAACGGUAGUGCGCGGGACCCGCCGGUUCGCGCCGUUUUUCUUAAAACUCACGUAUUAGGGUUUUUACUUCCCAUUCACUAACCUUAUAUCAUUGCUACUAGUCACAUAUUAUUUCUCACUUAAAAGUCACUUUUAAUCAUCAAAUUGAUCCUUGGCCAGUACUGAAAAUUCAUCCGGCGGAAAAAUCGUGAAACCCUAAUUUCGCUCCAAACUUGAAACCGAAGCGUAAAACCCUAUUUUCUAGGUUUAUCUACACUUAAUGUGAAAUAUUUGGGUAGUGGCCUUUGAUAAAUACUAAUUUUCAAAUAAAAUGGUAUUUUUGAGGAAAAAUACAAGGAAUUUGCGAGUCCUCACAUUCUCUCCCCCUUAAAAAAAUUUCGUCCUCGAAAUUUUACCUUCAGUUGACUCAGACGAGUCCAGAACUUGUCGGUUGUCUAAAGCAUAAACCUUUGCCGGUCCGCUAGUUCGUUUCCCUCUUUCAUUCACUUGUGAUUUAGCUCCAUCCAGUUGCAGAGUAUUGCUUUCACGUGACUAUCUCCUCGGACAGUUGCUAACUUGAUGAUCGCCACUUCCGCAGAUUAAACAUUUCCGCCCCUUUCUCCAACAAUCGCUUUCGACAUGAUUUGCCUUUCCACAAUACCCACAGACCACGUGAGAAGCCAUCUUUUGGCUUUCUUGAAAACUUUUCCCAAAUUUGAUUUGGCUUUCUUUUGUAGAUCCUUCACCUAUCGCCCCUAAUGUCCAUGGUGGGUGGGACAAAAAGUUCACUUUUUGCACUUUGGAAGGGACUCUCGCUUCACUUAAUUCCUCCACUACACUACUCGAUGCACUCCUUUUCUGGGUCUGGGAAGCUUUUAUCUGUGCCUUUGCAGUCUCGAUUCUUUGAGCUUUCUCAAGGGCCUCCGUAAACGUAUUCACUUGUACCGCCGCUAAUGCUUCUUGGAGUUCCAAAUUUAAUCCUUGUAUAAACCGUCUUACUCUUCGCCGUUCUGUGGCCACCAAUUCAGAAGCAAACUUGGAUAGUUUCGUAAAUUUCGUUUCAUAUUCGGCCACACUUAACGUUCCCUGGCGUAGUCCAAUAAACUCUUCCUCUCUCCUCUCUUGAACUAAAGGAGGGAGGUAUUUCUCGUUAAAUUUCCUUAUGAAAUUCGUCCAUGUCCAUACGGUCUGUUCUCUUUCCCAUUUUGCUUUAAUAACGUUCCACCACGCUCGGGCCGAUCCUUCAAAUUGGAACACCGCAAAGUUUACUUGUCUUUGCUCGGUGUAGUUCAAGAUGGUGAAAAUAUUAAUCAUGGCCUCUAACCAUUGUUCGGCUAUAUCCGGAUCAGAUCCUCCAAGGAAUUUCGGAGGAGUAAAUUUCUGAAACCGCUCAAGAGCCUUAUCUUCUCUGAUUUCAGGGUUCCGGGGUUGAUUCACGGCCAUUUGGCCUUGUUGAUCCACCAGUCUUGCCAAGAUAUCCGUCAUUUGUUGCAUUACCGUUGCCAUUUGGUCUUCGACUUCAACCCUCAUUCCUUGCUCUUGUGCAGCUGUUGUUUCUCUUUCCUCUCUUGGCUCUUGAGCUCGUUCAUUCCCACGGCCACGUCCACGUCCACGGCUACGUCUCCCGUCCAUAUAUAUGUUUUUCCUCUCUUUUUUUUUUCCAAAAGGUAAUUUAGUAAAUAAACACGAUAAGGUGACUAAAGUAACUAAAAUUGAGGGCACUAAAUACUCAAAUAACAUAUACCCACAUAACACACCACAUAAACAUAUCAAAGAAACAAAUAAUCAAAUACACAAAUACGUCUCAAGUCAAGCGGAUAUUCAAUACACAAGUACACAACUGAUGGCAUGUAGUGACAAUAUACGGGCGAAUCAAAAGAAAAAGGGUAUAUCGUCCCACACCCAACUAGAAUAACCCCGUCCGAUUUCUCACGUCACUUUCUAUCCGACUCGAUGUCCGUUGAUCUCUUAUACUUAUUCUAGCCAGACAAAGCCCGUUCAUGUUCCCAAAAUGCAAGUCUCAAGUAUUUAGCAGCACCUCAACUAUAGAGUACUCAGGCACGAGAAUCCGAAAGAAGAUAAUUCACAUCUCGAGCUGCAGUCUCAAGAGUAAACUAUCUACAAUCGGAAUUCCUACCUGACAUACCUAUCUAUGGUCUUCCAUGAGAAAGAUUUAAGGCCUAUAACAUUCGCAAUUCAUAGCUUCACUUAGUCCCUCAUACUUUUUCACCACCUAAUCCAGGGACACUCCACGUAGAAACCACGCGAAGCAGCUAUAAGUUUUAUCCCUCAAUCGCUUUACUUUCAAGUCCAAUCAAAUCCCACAGUCCGGUAUCCUAAUCUUUAAUCUAGGAUACACUACAGAGAUAUGAAGCCUAGGCUCUGAUACCACUUGUAACGACCCCACCUCCCCCUAAGGCGUACCAGAGGGUUCGGCGGGCCGCCUGCCCAGCUCUCGCCGGGAUUCAGUCGUUCGCUACCGUCCUCAAUUAAAAAUUGAAAUAAAUCACAAGAAUAAAUAGGGCAUUGAUCCAAACUUAAAGCGGAACUUAUAUACAUUGCCAACCCAAAAGAGAAUAUAACAUCAAAUAGACAAGGGUUCUCAAUCCUUCAUACGUCCAGCCCGUGCCAAGCACUAGGCGAGAACCACUACAAAAGAAACAAAAGAAACAAAACUAGAUUGGCUAGUCUAUCUCAAGCUCACGUCCUCGCUCGCCUUCCCCUGUAAGGAAAACAAAAUUAAAGGAAUGAGCUAAAAGCCCAGUGAGGUUCCGAACACAUAAUCAGAUAAUCAAUCCAAUACAUUAAGCAUGGAGUAUCAAUAAUUCAAGAAACAUUUACAAUGGAAAGCAAUAGUAACAUUCAUUAAAAGGAUACGACUCACAAGGAGCAAUUCGUUCAUUCGUUCUCCUGACAUUUCCCCUUAUUCCUCCAAUCAUUUGAAAAUGCAUUUUUCGUUUAUCAAUAAACCCUCGUUCGUUCGUUCGUUCAUUCAUUCAUUCACCCCCGUCCUGGCCGUUGGCCAGUCUCCACCAACCUACAGGGUAAUACUCGAGUAUACCAAACGUUCACCCAAGUCCCUAAUCGCCCGACCGAGUCCGCUUCUGGCUCGAGACGACCGGUAACCAGGGGCAAUGGCUAGUUCAGCCCAAAAGGCUUACAUUCAUGCGCAAGUAACAUUUCAAUUAUUAAAUCCUUGAAAAUUACACAGUUAUUUAGGUCGAGUGCGAUAAAGUACACACUCGCCUAGAAAGCUCGUUUUGAAAAUCAUUAAAAACAAUUAACACAUUAGCAAAUGAUAACAACAAGCCAUAAAGUCAAAUAAGGAACACUCACCUAGAAAUGCAAAAUAUCGUGCAAAAUAUCCUUCCGGAUAUUACCCUUAAUCACCAAUGAAAUCUAAGGUUGAACAAGAGAACAUUAUUAUAGUUUAUCGAGCAAAACAUUUAAGGGAAACAAAGAAACCCGACUUAUUCAGAGUAAAACGUGUAAAGAUGACUUUCAAGUAAGAAGAGGGUUGUUUGAACCCAAGGAUGAAAAAUCAUGUUUUAAAAUGGAAAACCGGUCAUGGUAUUGGCCUAACAAAAGUAUACAAGUUCAAAUAGAAACCUAGCCCUCGGGCGAAAAUUUGGGCAGCACGCCCUUUGGGCUUACCUAAUUUUUCAGCCAUUUUGGCUUCAUUAUUUUUCCUCAACCACAACCCAACAUCACACAUAAGCAAUUCAAGUCAAGAGCCGUUCCAUAGGCUCACAAUAUCAUAAGAAUAAGAAUUACAACAAUCACAAGUGCAGAAAUUCAACUUAGCACAAGACAAAUUUGACGUAUGAAUGCGGUAAUAACAUAUCCGAAGCUACGCUUAUUGGAUUGAGACGAAACCUACGCCAUUUCGAAGCUAAGACUCAGGGAUACAAUGUUCAUGAAGGUCACUUAGUCCAGUUUCUAAUGUAACUUGGUCAAAUUCUCGAAUUACUAAACCAGAAACCAAUUCGUCGGCUGUUUAAACGUAGAACACUGUAAUGGACAUAAAUCAGAGUACACAAGUCCGAAUCAGGUGUUCUUAGAGGUUUUUGAAAGCUAAUUCAGAAUGCUACAACUUUUAUGUUUUGGCAAAAUGCUAAUCAGAAUGGAUCCUAGUCAAAAAACGUGAUAAACUGGACAAACGGAUCACACGGGCUGCUGGGAAAAAACUUAAAAUAGUAAGGGUAUUUUGGACUUUUCACGAACUACGUUGCUCCGAUUGAGCUGAAAUUUUAUAGGCACCUAUAAAAAACCAUUCUCUACAACUUUCCUUCUUUGACCUAAGGCCAAUUCGACAUCUAACAUACAGAUAUAAAUUCGGACAGAAAGUUGGGGAAAUUUUCCAGAUUCUGGAAUUUUGAGUUUCUAGUGCAACUUUCCUUAAUUUCUUGGUCUAAUCCCUACCACAACACCUUAUAACACUUCCAAUUGCAACAUAUAAACAUAUAAGUAUCAUACAACAAAUUGGGCAGAAUUUCCCCAAACCCUAGUUCAUGAAAUAAAAAGGGGAAAGCUACUAAAACAUGAUAAUCAUCCAUGAUUCCACCACUAAAUCAAGUUGCUAAGCUUAAUUUAACAAGAUUGAAAGUAAAACUUGGAGAGAUAAGCUCUCUUACCUUGGCUAGAGGUCACUAAGAGCAGCCCAAGCUUUCUCCUUCAAAAACCUCACCACAACUCACUAACUAGUCACUCAAGAACAAGUUUAAUCGGUUUAGUUCUUUUGAUUUCUCACUUGGUAGCUUGAGUCAAGAAGAAAUGAAGAAAUUUCUCUCUUGUUCUUCCCCUCUCUCUCUCUCGGCUCCUUGGCAGAAAUAUGAAGAGAAAUGGAGCUUAGUUGUCUUAUAAUAAAGCAAGAGGAUUAGGAUUAAUGGUGUCCACAAAUUGGCAAACACUUGAACUAAUCUUGGCCACAAAAUUUUCUCUUUCUUUCCCCUUGCAUAUGAACCACAAUUUCGGUCAAGCUUGCUGCCAAGAGAGAAGAUAUUUUGCUCAAGUUCAAUAAAUUUGUUUGGUAAGCAAAAAUGGUGGUCAAGUGGUGCGUUCAAACGGUAGUGCGCGGGACCCGCCGGUUCGCGCCGUUUUUCUUAAAACUCACGUAUUAGGGUUUUUACUUCCCAUUCACUAACCUUAUAUCAUUGCUACUAGUCACAUAUUAUUUCUCACUUAAAAGUCACUUUUAAUCAUCAAAUUGAUCCUUGGCCAGUACUGAAAAUUCAUCCGGCGGAAAAAUCGUGAAACCCUAAUUUCGCUCCAAACUUGAAACCGAAGCGUAAAACCCUAUUUUCUAGGUUUAUCUACACUUAAUGUGAAAUAUUUGGGUAGUGGCCUUUGAUAAAUACUAAUUUUCAAAUAAAAUGGUAUUUUUGAGGAAAAAUACAAGGAAUUUGCGAGUCCUCACAUUCUCUCCCCCUUAAAAAAAUUUCGUCCUCGAAAUUUUACCUUCAGUUGACUCAGACGAGUCCAGAACUUGUCGGUUGUCUAAAGCAUAAACCUUUGCCGGUCCGCUAGUUCGUUUCCCUCUUUCAUUCACUUGUGAUUUAGCUCCAUCCAGUUGCAGAGUAUUGCUUUCACGUGACUAUCUCCUCGGACAGUUGCUAACUUGAUGAUCGCCACUUCCGCAGAUUAAACAUUUCCGCCCCUUUCUCCAACAAUCGCUUUCGACAUGAUUUGCCUUUCCACAAUACCCACAGACCACGUGAGAAGCCAUCUUUUGGCUUUCUUGAAAACUUUUCCCAAAUUUGAUUUGGCUUUCUUUUGUAGAUCCUUCACCUAUCGCCCCUAAUGUCCAUGGUGGGUGGGACAAAAAGUUCACUUUUUGCACUUUGGAAGGGACUCUCGCUUCACUUAAUUCCUCCACUACACUACUCGAUGCACUCCUUUUCUGGGUCUGGGAAGCUUUUAUCUGUGCCUUUGCAGUCUCGAUUCUUUGAGCUUUCUCAAGGGCCUCCGUAAACGUAUUCACUUGUACCGCCGCUAAUGCUUCUUGGAGUUCCAAAUUUAAUCCUUGUAUAAACCGUCUUACUCUUCGCCGUUCUGUGGCCACCAAUUCAGAAGCAAACUUGGAUAGUUUCGUAAAUUUCGUUUCAUAUUCGGCCACACUUAACGUUCCCUGGCGUAGUCCAAUAAACUCUUCCUCUCUCCUCUCUUGAACUAAAGGAGGGAGGUAUUUCUCGUUAAAUUUCCUUAUGAAAUUCGUCCAUGUCCAUACGGUCUGUUCUCUUUCCCAUUUUGCUUUAAUAACGUUCCACCACGCUCGGGCCGAUCCUUCAAAUUGGAACACCGCAAAGUUUACUUGUCUUUGCUCGGUGUAGUUCAAGAUGGUGAAAAUAUUAAUCAUGGCCUCUAACCAUUGUUCGGCUAUAUCCGGAUCAGAUCCUCCAAGGAAUUUCGGAGGAGUAAAUUUCUGAAACCGCUCAAGAGCCUUAUCUUCUCUGAUUUCAGGGUUCCGGGGUUGAUUCACGGCCAUUUGGCCUUGUUGAUCCACCAGUCUUGCCAAGAUAUCCGUCAUUUGUUGCAUUACCGUUGCCAUUUGGUCUUCGACUUCAACCCUCAUUCCUUGCUCUUGUGCAGCUGUUGUUUCUCUUUCCUCUCUUGACUCUUGAGCUCGUUCAUUCCCACGGCCACGUCCACGUCCACGGCUACGUCUCCCGUCCAUAUAUAUGUUUUUCCUCUCUUUUUUUUUUCCAAAAGUUAAUUUAGUAAAUAAACACGAUAAGGUGACUAAAGUAACUAAAAUUGAGGGCACUAAAUACUCAAAUAACAUAUACCCACAUAACACACCACAUAAACAUAUCAAAGAAACAAAUAAUCAAAUACACAAAUACGUCUCAAGUCAAGCGGAUAUUCAAUACACAAGUACACAACUGAUGGCAUGUAGUGACAAUAUACGGGCGAAUCAAAAGAAAAAGGGUAUAUCGUCCCACACCCAACUAGAAUAACCCCGUCCGAUUUCUCACGUCACUUUCUAUCCGACUCGAUGUCCGUUGAUCUCUUAUACUUAUUCUAGCCAGACAAAGCCCGUUCAUGUUCCCAAAAUGCAAGUCUCAAGUAUUUAGCAGCACCUCAACUAUAGAGUACUCAGGCACGAGAAUCCGAAAGAAGAUAAUUCACAUCUCGAGCUGCAGUCUCAAGAGUAAACUAUCUACAAUCGGAAUUCCUACCUGACAUACCUAUCUAUGGUCUUCCAUGAGAAAGAUUUAAGGCCUAUAACAUUCGCAAUUCAUAGCUUCACUUAGUCCCUCAUACUUUUUCACCACCUAAUCCAGGGACACUCCACGUAGAAACCACGCGAAGCAGCUAUAAGUUUUAUCCCUCAAUCGCUUUACUUUCAAGUCCAAUCAAAUCCCACAGUCCGGUAUCCUAAUCUUUAAUCUAGGAUACACUACAGAGAUAUGAAGCCUAGGCUCUGAUACCACUUGUAACGACCCCACCUCCCCCUAAGGCGUACCAGAGGGUUCGGCGGGCCGCCUGCCCAGCUCUCGCCGGGAUUCAGUCGUUCGCUACCGUCCUCAAUUAAAAAUUGAAAUAAAUCACAAGAAUAAAUAGGGCAUUGAUCCAAACUUAAAGCGGAACUUAUAUACAUUGCCAACCCAAAAGAGAAUAUAACAUCAAAUAGACAAGGGUUCUCAAUCCUUCAUACGUCCAGCCCGUGCCAAGCACUAGGCGAGAACCACUACAAAAGAAACAAAAGAAACAAAACUAGAUUGGCUAGUCUAUCUCAAGCUCACGUCCUCGCUCGCCUUCCCCUGUAAGGAAAACAAAAUUAAAGGAAUGAGCUAAAAGCCCAGUGAGGUUCCGAACACAUAAUCAGAUAAUCAAUCCAAUACAUUAAGCAUGGAGUAUCAAUAAUUCAAGAAACAUUUACAAUGGAAAGCAAUAGUAACAUUCAUUAAAAGGAUACGACUCACAAGGAGCAAUUCGUUCAUUCGUUCUCCUGACAUUUCCCCUUAUUCCUCCAAUCAUUUGAAAAUGCAUUUUUCGUUUAUCAAUAAACCCUCGUUCGUUCGUUCGUUCAUUCAUUCAUUCACCCCCGUCCUGGCCGUUGGCCAGUCUCCACCAACCUACAGGGUAAUACUCGAGUAUACCAAACGUUCACCCAAGUCCCUAAUCGCCCGACCGAGUCCGCUUCUGGCUCGAGACGACCGGUAACCAGGGGCAAUGGCUAGUUCAGCCCAAAAGGCUUACAUUCAUGCGCAAGUAACAUUUCAAUUAUUAAAUUCUUCAAAAUUGCACAGUUAUUUAGGUCGAGUGCGUUAAAGUACACACUCGCCUAGAAAGCUCGUUUUGGAAAUCAUUAAAAGCAAUUAACAUAUUAGCAAAUGAUAACAACAAGCCAUAAAGUCAAAUAAGGAACACUCACCUAGAAAUGCAAAAUAUCGUGCAAAAUAUCCUUCCGGAUAUUACCCUUAAUCACCAAUGAAACCUAAGGUUGAACAAGAGAACAUUAUUAUAGUUUAUCGAGCAAAACAUUUAAGGGAAACAAAGAAACCCGACUUAUUCAGAGUAAAACGUGUAAAGAUGACUUUCAAGUAAGAAGAGGGUUGUUUGAACCCAAGGAUGAAAAAUCAUGUUUUAAAAUGGAAAACCGGUCAUGGUAUUGGCCUAACAAAAGUAUACAAGUUCAAAUAGAAACCUAGCCCUCGGGCGAAAAUUUGGGCAGCACGCCCUUUGGGCUUACCUAAUUUUUCAGCCAUUUUGGCUUCAUUAUUUUUCCUCAACCACAACCCAACAUCACACAUAAGCAAUUCAAGUCAAGAGCCGUUCCAUAGGCUCACAAUAUCAUAAGAAUAAGAAUUACAACAAUCACAAGUGCAGAAAUUCAACUUAGCACAAGACAAAUUUGACGUACGAAUGCGGUAAUAACAUAUCCGAAGCUACGCUUAUUGGAUUGAGACGAAACCUACGCCAUUUCGAAGCUAAGACUCAGGGCUACAAUGUUCAUGAAGGUCACUUAGUCCAGUUUCUAAUGUAACUUGGUCAAAUUCUCGAAUUACUAAACCAGAAACCAAUUCGUCGGCUGUUUAAACGUAGAACACUGUAAUGGACAUAAAUCAGAGUACACAAGUCCGAAUCAGGUGUUCUUAGAGGUUUUUGAAAGCUAAUUCAGAAUGCUACAACUUUUAUGUUUUGGCAAAAUGCUAAUCAGAAUGGAUCCUAGUCAAAAAACGUGAUAAACUGGACAAACGGAUCACACGGGCUGCUGGGAAAAAACUUAAAAUAGUAAGGGUAUUUUGGACUUUUCACGAACUACGUUGCUCCGAUUGAGCUGAAAUUUUAUAGGCACCUAUAAAAAACCAUUCUCUACAACUUUCCUUCUUUGACCUAAGGCCAAUUCGACAUCUAACAUACAGAUAUAAAUUCGGACAGAAAGUUGGGGAAAUUUUCCAGAUUCUGGAAUUUUGAGUUUCUAGUGCAACUUUCCUUAAUUUCUUGGUCUAAUCCCUACCACAACACCUUAUAACACUUCAAUUGCAACAUAUAAACAUCAUACAACAAAUUGGGCAGAAUUUCCCCAAACCCUAGUUCAUGAAAUAAAAAGGGGAAAGCUACUAAAACAUGAUAAUCAUCCAUGAUUCCACCACUAAAUCAAGUUGCUAAGCUUAAUUUAACAAGAUUGAAAGUAAAACUUGGAGAGAUAAGCUCUCUUACCUUGGCUAGAGGUCACUAAGAGCAGCCCAAGCUUUCUCCUUCAAAAACCUCACCACAACUCACUAACUAGUCACUCAAGAACAAGUUUAAUCGGUUUAGUUCUUUUGAUUUCUCACUUGGUAGCUUGAGUCAAGAAGAAAUGAAGAAAUUUCUCUCUUGUUCUUCCCCUCUCUCUCUCUCGGCUCCUUGGCAGAAAUAUGAAGAGAAAUGGAGCUUAGUUGUCUUAUAAUAAAGCAAGAGGAUUAGGACUAAUGGUGUCCACAAAUUGGCAAACACUUGGACUAAUCUUGGCCACAAAAUUUUCUCUUUCUUUCCCCUUGCAUAUGAACCACAAUUUCGGUCAAGCUUGCUGCCAAGAGAGAAGAUAUUUUGCUCAAGUUCUUGAACUAAUCUUGGCCACAAAAUUUUCUCUUUCUUUCCCCUUGCAUAUGAACCACAAUUUCGGUCAAGCUUGCUGCCAAGAGAGAAGAUAUUUUGCUCAAGUUCAAUAAAUUUGUUUGGUAAGCAAAAAUGGUGGUCAAGUGGUGCGUUCAAACGGUAGUGCGCGGGACCCGCCGGUUCGCGCCGUUUUUCUUAAAACUCACGUAUUAGGGUUUUUACUUCCCAUUCACUAACCUUAUAUCAUUGCUACUAGUCACAUAUUAUUUCUCACUUAAAAGUCACUUUUAAUCAUCAAAUUGAUCCUUGGCCAGUACUGAAAAUUCAUCCGGCGGAAAAAUCGUGAAACCCUAAUUUCGCUCCAAACUUGAAACCGAAGCGUAAAACCCUAUUUUCUAGGUUUAUCUACACUUAAUGUGAAAUAUUUGGGUAGUGGCCUUUGAUAAAUACUAAUUUUCAAAUAAAAUGGUAUUUUUGAGGAAAAAUACAAGGAAUUUGCGAGUCCUCACAUUCUCUCCCCCUUAAAAAAAUUUCGUCCUCGAAAUUUUACCUUCAGUUGACUCAGACGAGUCCAGAACUUGUCGGUUGUCUAAAGCAUAAACCUUUGCCGGUCCGCUAGUUCGUUUCCCUCUUUCAUUCACUUGUGAUUUAGCUCCAUCCAGUUGCAGAGUAUUGCUUUCACGUGACUAUCUCCUCGGACAGUUGCUAACUUGAUGAUCGCCACUUCCGCAGAUUAAACAUUUCCGCCCCUUUCUCCAACAAUCGCUUUCGACAUGAUUUGCCUUUCCACAAUACCCACAGACCACGUGAGAAGCCAUCUUUUGGCUUUCUUGAAAACUUUUCCCAAAUUUGAUUUGGCUUUCUUUUGUAGAUCCUUCACCUAUCGCCCCUAAUGUCCAUGGUGGGUGGGACAAAAAGUUCACUUUUUGCACUUUGGAAGGGACUCUCGCUUCACUUAAUUCCUCCACUACACUACUCGAUGCACUCCUUUUCUGGGUCUGGGAAGCUUUUAUCUGUGCCUUUGCAGUCUCGAUUCUUUGAGCUUUCUCAAGGGCCUCCGUAAACGUAUUCACUUGUACCGCCGCUAAUGCUUCUUGGAGUUCCAAAUUUAAUCCUUGUAUAAACCGUCUUACUCUUCGCCGUUCUGUGGCCACCAAUUCAGAAGCAAACUUGGAUAGUUUCGUAAAUUUCGUUUCAUAUUCGGCCACACUUAACGUUCCCUGGCGUAGUCCAAUAAACUCUUCCUCUCUCCUCUCUUGAACUAAAGGAGGGAGGUAUUUCUCGUUAAAUUUCCUUAUGAAAUUCGUCCAUGUCCAUACGGUCUGUUCUCUUUCCCAUUUUGCUUUAAUAACGUUCCACCACGCUCGGGCCGAUCCUUCAAAUUGGAACACCGCAAAGUUUACUUGUCUUUGCUCGGUGUAGUUCAAGAUGGUGAAAAUAUUAAUCAUGGCCUCUAACCAUUGUUCGGCUAUAUCCGGAUCAGAUCCUCCAAGGAAUUUCGGAGGAGUAAAUUUCUGAAACCGCUCAAGAGCCUUAUCUUCUCUGAUUUCAGGGUUCCGGGGUUGAUUCACGGCCAUUUGGCCUUGUUGAUCCACCAGUCUUGCCAAGAUAUCCGUCAUUUGUUGCAUUACCGUUGCCAUUUGGUCUUCGACUUCAACCCUCAUUCCUUGCUCUUGUGCAGCUGUUGUUUCUCUUUCCUCUCUUGGCUCUUGAGCUCGUUCAUUCCCACGGCCACGUCCACGUCCACGGCUACGUCUCCCGUCCAUAUAUAUGUUUUUCCUCUCUUUUUUUUUUCCAAAAGGUAAUUUAGUAAAUAAACACGAUAAGGUGACUAAAGUAACUAAAAUUGAGGGCACUAAAUACUCAAAUAACAUAUACCCACAUAACACACCACAUAAACAUAUCAAAGAAACAAAUAAUCAAAUACACAAAUACGUCUCAAGUCAAGCGGAUAUUCAAUACACAAGUACACAACUGAUGGCAUGUAGUGACAAUAUACGGGCGAAUCAAAAGAAAAAGGGUAUAUCGUCCCACACCCAACUAGAAUAACCCCGUCCGAUUUCUCACGUCACUUUCUAUCCGACUCGAUGUCCGUUGAUCUCUUAUACUUAUUCUAGCCAGACAAAGCCCGUUCAUGUUCCCAAAAUGCAAGUCUCAAGUAUUUAGCAGCACCUCAACUAUAGAGUACUCAGGCACGAGAAUCCGAAAGAAGAUAAUUCACAUCUCGAGCUGCAGUCUCAAGAGUAAACUAUCUACAAUCGGAAUUCCUACCUGACAUACCUAUCUAUGGUCUUCCAUGAGAAAGAUUUAAGGCCUAUAACAUUCGCAAUUCAUAGCUUCACUUAGUCCCUCAUACUUUUUCACCACCUAAUCCAGGGACACUCCACGUAGAAACCACGCGAAGCAGCUAUAAGUUUUAUCCCUCAAUCGCUUUACUUUCAAGUCCAAUCAAAUCCCACAGUCCGGUAUCCUAAUCUUUAAUCUAGGAUACACUACAGAGAUAUGAAGCCUAGGCUCUGAUACCACUUGUAACGACCCCACCUCCCCCUAAGGCGUACCAGAGGGUUCGGCGGGCCGCCUGCCCAGCUCUCGCCGGGAUUCAGUCGUUCGCUACCGUCCUCAAUUAAAAAUUGAAAUAAAUCACAAGAAUAAAUAGGGCAUUGAUCCAAACUUAAAGCGGAACUUAUAUACAUUGCCAACCCAAAAGAGAAUAUAACAUCAAAUAGACAAGGGUUCUCAAUCCUUCAUACGUCCAGCCCGUGCCAAGCACUAGGCGAGAACCACUACAAAAGAAACAAAAGAAACAAAACUAGAUUGGCUAGUCUAUCUCAAGCUCACGUCCUCGCUCGCCUUCCCCUGUAAGGAAAACAAAAUUAAAGGAAUGAGCUAAAAGCCCAGUGAGGUUCCGAACACAUAAUCAGAUAAUCAAUCCAAUACAUUAAGCAUGGAGUAUCAAUAAUUCAAGAAACAUUUACAAUGGAAAGCAAUAGUAACAUUCAUUAAAAGGAUACGACUCACAAGGAGCAAUUCGUUCAUUCGUUCUCCUGACAUUUCCCCUUAUUCCUCCAAUCAUUUGAAAAUGCAUUUUUCGUUUAUCAAUAAACCCUCGUUCGUUCGUUCGUUCAUUCAUUCAUUCACCCCCGUCCUGGCCGUUGGCCAGUCUCCACCAACCUACAGGGUAAUACUCGAGUAUACCAAACGUUCACCCAAGUCCCUAAUCGCCCGACCGAGUCCGCUUCUGGCUCGAGACGACCGGUAACCAGGGGCAAUGGCUAGUUCAGCCCAAAAGGCUUACAUUCAUGCGCAAGUAACAUUUCAAUUAUUAAAUCCUUGAAAAUUACACAGUUAUUUAGGUCGAGUGCGAUAAAGUACACACUCGCCUAGAAAGCUCGUUUUGAAAUCAUUAAAAACAAUUAACACAUUAGCAAAUGAUAACAACAAGCCAUAAAGUCAAAUAAGGAACACUCACCUAGAAAUGCAAAAUAUCGUGCAAAAUAUCCUUCCGGAUAUUACCCUUAAUCACCAAUGAAAUCUAAGGUUGAACAAGAGAACAUUAUUAUAGUUUAUCGAGCAAAACAUUUAAGGGAAACAAAGAAACCCGACUUAUUCAGAGUAAAACGUGUAAAGAUGACUUUCAAGUAAGAAGAGGGUUGUUUGAACCCAAGGAUGAAAAAUCAUGUUUUAAAAUGGAAAACCGGUCAUGGUAUUGGCCUAACAAAAGUAUACAAGUUCAAAUAGAAACCUAGCCCUCGGGCGAAAAUUUGGGCAGCACGCCCUUUGGGCUUACCUAAUUUUUCAGCCAUUUUGGCUUCAUUAUUUUUCCUCAACCACAACCCAACAUCACACAUAAGCAAUUCAAGUCAAGAGCCGUUCCAUAGGCUCACAAUAUCAUAAGAAUAAGAAUUACAACAAUCACAAGUGCAGAAAUUCAACUUAGCACAAGACAAAUUUGACGUACGAAUGCGGUAAUAACAUAUCCGAAGCUACGCUUAUUGGAUUGAGACGAAACCUACGCCAUUUCGAAGCUAAGACUCAGGGCUACAAUGUUCAUGAAGGUCACUUAGUCCAGUUUCUAAUGUAACUUGGUCAAAUUCUCGAAUUACUAAACCAGAAACCAAUUCGUCGGCUGUUUAAACGUAGAACACUGUAAUGGACAUAAAUCAGAGUACACAAGUCCGAAUCAGGUGUUCUUAGAGGUUUUUGAAAGCUAAUUCAGAAUGCUACAACUUUUAUGUUUUGGCAAAAUGCUAAAUCAGAAUGGAUCCUAGUCAAAAAACGUGAUAAACUGGACAAACUGAUCACACGGGCUGCUGGGAAAAAACUUAAAAUAGUAAGGGUAUUUUGGACUUUUCACGAACUACGUUGCUCCGAUUGAGCUGAAAUUUUAUAGGCACCUAUAAAACACCAUUCUCUACAACUUUCCUUCUUUGACCUAAGGCCAAUUCGACAUCUAACAUACAGAUAUAAAUUCGGACAGAAAGUUGGGGAAAUUUUCCAGAUUCUGGAAUUUUGAGUUUCUAGUGCAACUUUCCUUAAUUUCUUGGUCUAAUCCCUACCACAACACCUUAUAACACUUCAAUUGCAACAUAUAAGUAUCAUACAACAAAUUGGGCAGAAUUUCCCCAAACCCUAGUUCAUGAAAUAAAAAGGGGAAAGCUACUAAAACAUGAUAAUCAUCCAUGAUUCCACCACUAAAUCAAGUUGCUAAGCUUAAUUUAACAAGAUUGAAAGUAAAACUUGGAGAGAUAAGCUCUCUUACCUUGGCUAGAGGUCACUAAGAGCAGCCCAAGCUUUCUCCUUCAAAAACCUCACCACAACUCACUAACUAGUCACUCAAGAACAAGUUUAAUCGGUUUAGUUCUUUUGAUUUCUCACUUGGUAGCUUGAGUCAAGAAGAAAUGAAGAAAUUUCUCUCUUGUUCUUCCCCUCUCUCUCUCUCGGCUCCUUGGCAGAAAUAUGAAGAGAAAUGGAGCUUAGUUGUCUUAUAAUAAAGCAAGAGGAUUAGGAUUAAUGGUGUCCACAAAUUGGCAAACACUUGAACUAAUCUUGGCCACAAAAUUUUCUCUUUCUUUCCCCUUGCAUAUGAACCACAAUUUCGGUCAAGCUUGCUGCCAAGAGAGAAGAUAUUUUGCUCAAGUUCAAUAAAUUUGUUUGGUAAGCAAAAAUGGUGGUCAAGUGGUGCGUUCAAACGGUAGUGCGCGGGACCCGCCGGUUCGCGCCGUUUUUCUUAAAACUCACGUAUUAGGGUUUUUACUUCCCAUUCACUAACCUUAUAUCAUUGCUACUAGUCACAUAUUAUUUCUCACUUAAAAGUCACUUUUAAUCAUCAAAUUGAUCCUUGGCCAGUACUGAAAAUUCAUCCGGCGGAAAAAUCGUGAAACCCUAAUUUCGCUCCAAACUUGAAACCGAAGCGUAAAACCCUAUUUUCUAGGUUUAUCUACACUUAAUGUGAAAUAUUUGGGUAGUGGCCUUUGAUAAAUACUAAUUUUCAAAUAAAAUGGUAUUUUUGAGGAAAAAUACAAGGAAUUUGCGAGUCCUCACAUUCUCUCCCCCUUAAAAAAAUUUCGUCCUCGAAAUUUUACCUUCAGUUGACUCAGACGAGUCCAGAACUUGUCGGUUGUCUAAAGCAUAAACCUUUGCCGGUCCGCUAGUUCGUUUCCCUCUUUCAUUCACUUGUGAUUUAGCUCCAUCCAGUUGCAGAGUAUUGCUUUCACGUGACUAUCUCCUCGGACAGUUGCUAACUUGAUGAUCGCCACUUCCGCAGAUUAAACAUUUCCGCCCCUUUCUCCAACAAUCGCUUUCGACAUGAUUUGCCUUUCCACAAUACCCACAGACCACGUGAGAAGCCAUCUUUUGGCUUUCUUGAAAACUUUUCCCAAAUUUGAUUUGGCUUUCUUUUGUAGAUCCUUCACCUAUCGCCCCUAAUGUCCAUGGUGGGUGGGACAAAAAGUUCACUUUUUGCACUUUGGAAGGGACUCUCGCUUCACUUAAUUCCUCCACUACACUACUCGAUGCACUCCUUUUCUGGGUCUGGGAAGCUUUUAUCUGUGCCUUUGCAGUCUCGAUUCUUUGAGCUUUCUCAAGGGCCUCCGUAAACGUAUUCACUUGUACCGCCGCUAAUGCUUCUUGGAGUUCCAAAUUUAAUCCUUGUAUAAACCGUCUUACUCUUCGCCGUUCUGUGGCCACCAAUUCAGAAGCAAACUUGGAUAGUUUCGUAAAUUUCGUUUCAUAUUCGGCCACACUUAACGUUCCCUGGCGUAGUCCAAUAAACUCUUCCUCUCUCCUCUCUUGAACUAAAGGAGGGAGGUAUUUCUCGUUAAAUUUCCUUAUGAAAUUCGUCCAUGUCCAUACGGUCUGUUCUCUUUCCCAUUUUGCUUUAAUAACGUUCCACCACGCUCGGGCCGAUCCUUCAAAUUGGAACACCGCAAAGUUUACUUGUCUUUGCUCGGUGUAGUUCAAGAUGGUGAAAAUAUUAAUCAUGGCCUCUAACCAUUGUUCGGCUAUAUCCGGAUCAGAUCCUCCAAGGAAUUUCGGAGGAGUAAAUUUCUGAAACCGCUCAAGAGCCUUAUCUUCUCUGAUUUCAGGGUUCCGGGGUUGAUUCACGGCCAUUUGGCCUUGUUGAUCCACCAGUCUUGCCAAGAUAUCCGUCAUUUGUUGCAUUACCGUUGCCAUUUGGUCUUCGACUUCAACCCUCAUUCCUUGCUCUUGUGCAGCUGUUGUUUCUCUUUCCUCUCUUGGCUCUUGAGCUCGUUCAUUCCCACGGCCACGUCCACGUCCACGGCUACGUCUCCCGUCCAUAUAUAUGUUUUUCCUCUCUUUUUUUUUUCCAAAAGGUAAUUUAGUAAAUAAACACGAUAAGGUGACUAAAGUAACUAAAAUUGAGGGCACUAAAUACUCAAAUAACAUAUACCCACAUAACACACCACAUAAACAUAUCAAAGAAACAAAUAAUCAAAUACACAAAUACGUCUCAAGUCAAGCGGAUAUUCAAUACACAAGUACACAACUGAUGGCAUGUAGUGACAAUAUACGGGCGAAUCAAAAGAAAAAGGGUAUAUCGUCCCACACCCAACUAGAAUAACCCCGUCCGAUUUCUCACGUCACUUUCUAUCCGACUCGAUGUCCGUUGAUCUCUUAUACUUAUUCUAGCCAGACAAAGCCCGUUCAUGUUCCCAAAAUGCAAGUCUCAAGUAUUUAGCAGCACCUCAACUAUAGAGUACUCAGGCACGAGAAUCCGAAAGAAGAUAAUUCACAUCUCGAGCUGCAGUCUCAAGAGUAAACUAUCUACAAUCGGAAUUCCUACCUGACAUACCUAUCUAUGGUCUUCCAUGAGAAAGAUUUAAGGCCUAUAACAUUCGCAAUUCAUAGCUUCACUUAGUCCCUCAUACUUUUUCACCACCUAAUCCAGGGACACUCCACGUAGAAACCACGCGAAGCAGCUAUAAGUUUUAUCCCUCAAUCGCUUUACUUUCAAGUCCAAUCAAAUCCCACAGUCCGGUAUCCUAAUCUUUAAUCUAGGAUACACUACAGAGAUAUGAAGCCUAGGCUCUGAUACCACUUGUAACGACCCCACCUCCCCCUAAGGCGUACCAGAGGGUUCGGCGGGCCGCCUGCCCAGCUCUCGCCGGGAUUCAGUCGUUCGCUACCGUCCUCAAUUAAAAAUUGAAAUAAAUCACAAGAAUAAAUAGGGCAUUGAUCCAAACUUAAAGCGGAACUUAUAUACAUUGCCAACCCAAAAGAGAAUAUAACAUCAAAUAGACAAGGGUUCUCAAUCCUUCAUACGUCCAGCCCGUGCCAAGCACUAGGCGAGAACCACUACAAAAGAAACAAAAGAAACAAAACUAGAUUGGCUAGUCUAUCUCAAGCUCACGUCCUCGCUCGCCUUCCCCUGUAAGGAAAACAAAAUUAAAGGAAUGAGCUAAAAGCCCAGUGAGGUUCCGAACACAUAAUCAGAUAAUCAAUCCAAUACAUUAAGCAUGGAGUAUCAAUAAUUCAAGAAACAUUUACAAUGGAAAGCAAUAGUAACAUUCAUUAAAAGGAUACGACUCACAAGGAGCAAUUCGUUCAUUCGUUCUCCUGACAUUUCCCCUUAUUCCUCCAAUCAUUUGAAAAUGCAUUUUUCGUUUAUCAAUAAACCCUCGUUCGUUCGUUCGUUCAUUCAUUCAUUCACCCCCGUCCUGGCCGUUGGCCAGUCUCCACCAACCUACAGGGUAAUACUCGAGUAUACCAAACGUUCACCCAAGUCCCUAAUCGCCCGACCGAGUCCGCUUCUGGCUCGAGACGACCGGUAACCAGGGGCAAUGGCUAGUUCAGCCCAAAAGGCUUACAUUCAUGCGCAAGUAACAUUUCAAUUAUUAAAUCCUUGAAAAUUACACAGUUAUUUAGGUCGAGUGCGAUAAAGUACACACUCGCCUAGAAAGCUCGUUUUGAAAAUCAUUAAAAACAAUUAACACAUUAGCAAAUGAUAACAACAAGCCAUAAAGUCAAAUAAGGAACACUCACCUAGAAAUGCAAAAUAUCGUGCAAAAUAUCCUUCCGGAUAUUACCCUUAAUCACCAAUGAAAUCUAAGGUUGAACAAGAGAACAUUAUUAUAGUUUAUCGAGCAAAACAUUUAAGGGAAACAAAGAAACCCGACUUAUUCAGAGUAAAACGUGUAAAGAUGACUUUCAAGUAAGAAGAGGGUUGUUUGAACCCAAGGAUGAAAAAUCAUGUUUUAAAAUGGAAAACCGGUCAUGGUAUUGGCCUAACAAAAGUAUACAAGUUCAAAUAGAAACCUAGCCCUCGGGCGAAAAUUUGGGCAGCACGCCCUUUGGGCUUACCUAAUUUUUCAGCCAUUUUGGCUUCAUUAUUUUUCCUCAACCACAACCCAACAUCACACAUAAGCAAUUCAAGUCAAGAGCCGUUCCAUAGGCUCACAAUAUCAUAAGAAUAAGAAUUACAACAAUCACAAGUGCAGAAAUUCAACUUAGCACAAGACAAAUUUGACGUACGAAUGCGGUAAUAACAUAUCCGAAGCUACGCUUAUUGGAUUGAGACGAAACCUACGCCAUUUCGAAGCUAAGACUCAGGGCUACAAUGUUCAUGAAGGUCACUUAGUCCAGUUUCUAAUGUAACUUGGUCAAAUUCUCGAAUUACUAAACCAGAAACCAAUUCGUCGGCUGUUUAAACGUAGAACACUGUAAUGGACAUAAAUCAGAGUACACAAGUCCGAAUCAGGUGUUCUUAGAGGUUUUUGAAAGCUAAUUCAGAAUGCUACAACUUUUAUGUUUUGGCAAAAUGCUAAAUCAGAAUGGAUCCUAGUCAAAAAAUGUGAUAAACUGGACAAACUGAUCACACGGGCUGCUGGGAAAAAACUUAAAAUAGUAAGGGUAUUUUGGACUUUUCACGAACUACGUUGCUCCGAUUGAGCUGAAAUUUUAUAGGCACCUAUAAAACACCAUUCUCUACAACUUUCCUUCUUUGACCUAAGGCCAAUUCGACAUCUAACAUACAGAUAUAAAUUCGGACAGAAAGUUGGGGAAAUUUUCCAGAUUCUGGAAUUUUGAGUUUCUAGUGCAACUUUCCUUAAUUUCUUGGUCUAAUCCCUACCACAACACCUUAUAACACUUCAAUUGCAACAUAUAAGUAUCAUACAACAAAUUGGGCAGAAUUUCCCCAAACCCUAGUUCAUGAAAUAAAAAGGGGAAAGCUACUAAAACAUGAUAAUCAUCCAUGAUUCCACCACUAAAUCAAGUUGCUAAGCUUAAUUUAACAAGAUUGAAAGUAAAACUUGGAGAGAUAAGCUCUCUUACCUUGGCUAGAGGUCACUAAGAGCAGCCCAAGCUUUCUCCUUCAAAAACCUCACCACAACUCACUAACUAGUCACUCAAGAACAAGUUUAAUCGGUUUAGUUCUUUUGAUUUCUCACUUGGUAGCUUGAGUCAAGAAGAAAUGAAGAAAUUUCUCUCUUGUUCUUCCCCUCUCUCUCUCUCGGCUCCUUGGCAGAAAUAUGAAGAGAAAUGGAGCUUAGUUGUCUUAUAAUAAAGCAAGAGGAUUAGGAUUAAUGGUGUCCACAAAUUGGCAAACACUUGAACUAAUCUUGGCCACAAAAUUUUCUCUUUCUUUCCCCUUGCAUAUGAACCACAAUUUCGGUCAAGCUUGCUGCCAAGAGAGAAGAUAUUUUGCUCAAGUUCAAUAAAUUUGUUUGGUAAGCAAAAAUGGUGGUCAAGUGGUGCGUUCAAACGGUAGUGCGCGGGACCCGCCGGUUCGCGCCGUUUUUCUUAAAACUCACGUAUUAGGGUUUUUACUUCCCAUUCACUAACCUUAUAUCAUUGCUACUAGUCACAUAUUAUUUCUCAUUUAAAAGUCACUUUUAAUCAUCAAAUUGAUCCUUGGCCAGUACUUAAAAUUCAUCCGGCGGAAAAAUCGUGAAACCCUAAUUUCGCUCCAAACUUGAAACCGAAGCGUAAAACCCUAUUUUCUAGGUUUAUCUACACUUAAUGUGAAAUAUUUGGGUAGUGGCCUUUGAUAAAUACUAAUUUUCAAAUAAAAUGGUAUUUUUGAGGAAAAAUACAAGGAAUUUGCGAGUCCUCACAUUCUCUCCCCCUUAAAAAAAUUUCGUCCUCGAAAUUUUACCUUCAGUUGACUCAGACGAGUCCAGAACUUGUCGGUUGUCUAAAGCAUAAACCUUUGCCGGUCCGCUAGUUCGUUUCCCUCUUUCAUUCACUUGUGAUUUAGCUCCAUCCAGUUGCAGAGUAUUGCUUUCACGUGACUAUCUCCUCGGACAGUUGCUAACUUGAUGAUCGCCACUUCCGCAGAUUAAACAUUUCCGCCCCUUUCUCCAACAAUCGCUUUCGACAUGAUUUGCCUUUCCACAAUACCCACAGACCACGUGAGAAGCCAUCUUUUGGCUUUCUUGAAAACUUUUCCCAAAUUUGAUUUGGCUUUCUUUUGUAGAUCCUUCACCUAUCGCCCCUAAUGUCCAUGGUGGGUGGGACAAAAAGUUCACUUUUUGCACUUUGGAAGGGACUCUCGCUUCACUUAAUUCCUCCACUACACUACUCGAUGCACUCCUUUUCUGGGUCUGGGAAGCUUUUAUCUGUGCCUUUGCAGUCUCGAUUCUUUGAGCUUUCUCAAGGGCCUCCGUAAACGUAUUCACUUGUACCGCCGCUAAUGCUUCUUGGAGUUCCAAAUUUAAUCCUUGUAUAAACCGUCUUACUCUUCGCCGUUCUGUGGCCACCAAUUCAGAAGCAAACUUGGAUAGUUUCGUAAAUUUCGUUUCAUAUUCGGCCACACUUAACGUUCCCUGGCGUAGUCCAAUAAACUCUUCCUCUCUCCUCUCUUGAACUAAAGGAGGGAGGUAUUUCUCGUUAAAUUUCCUUAUGAAAUUCGUCCAUGUCCAUACGGUCUGUUCUCUUUCCCAUUUUGCUUUAAUAACGUUCCACCACGCUCGGGCCGAUCCUUCAAAUUGGAACACCGCAAAGUUUACUUGUCUUUGCUCGGUGUAGUUCAAGAUGGUGAAAAUAUUAAUCAUGGCCUCUAACCAUUGUUCGGCUAUAUCCGGAUCAGAUCCUCCAAGGAAUUUCGGAGGAGUAAAUUUCUGAAACCGCUCAAGAGCCUUAUCUUCUCUGAUUUCAGGGUUCCGGGGUUGAUUCACGGCCAUUUGGCCUUGUUGAUCCACCAGUCUUGCCAAGAUAUCCGUCAUUUGUUGCAUUACCGUUGCCAUUUGGUCUUCGACUUCAACCCUCAUUCCUUGCUCUUGUGCAGCUGUUGUUUCUCUUUCCUCUCUUGGCUCUUGAGCUCGUUCAUUCCCACGGCCACGUCCACGUCCACGGCUACGUCUCCCGUCCAUAUAUAUGUUUUUCCUCUCUUUUUUUUUUCCAAAAGGUAAUUUAGUAAAUAAACACGAUAAGGUGACUAAAGUAACUAAAAUUGAGGGCACUAAAUACUCAAAUAACAUAUACCCACAUAACACACCACAUAAACAUAUCAAAGAAACAAAUAAUCAAAUACACAAAUACGUCUCAAGUCAAGCGGAUAUUCAAUACACAAGUACACAACUGAUGGCAUGUAGUGACAAUAUACGGGCGAAUCAAAAGAAAAAGGGUAUAUCGUCCCACACCCAACUAGAAUAACCCCGUCCGAUUUCUCACGUCACUUUCUAUCCGACUCGAUGUCCGUUGAUCUCUUAUACUUAUUCUAGCCAGACAAAGCCCGUUCAUGUUCCCAAAAUGCAAGUCUCAAGUAUUUAGCAGCACCUCAACUAUAGAGUACUCAGGCACGAGAAUCCGAAAGAAGAUAAUUCACAUCUCGAGCUGCAGUCUCAAGAGUAAACUAUCUACAAUCGGAAUUCCUACCUGACAUACCUAUCUAUGGUCUUCCAUGAGAAAGAUUUAAGGCCUAUAACAUUCGCAAUUCAUAGCUUCACUUAGUCCCUCAUACUUUUUCACCACCUAAUCCAGGGACACUCCACGUAGAAACCACGCGAAGCAGCUAUAAGUUUUAUCCCUCAAUCGCUUUACUUUCAAGUCCAAUCAAAUCCCACAGUCCGGUAUCCUAAUCUUUAAUCUAGGAUACACUACAGAGAUAUGAAGCCUAGGCUCUGAUACCACUUGUAACGACCCCACCUCCCCCUAAGGCGUACCAGAGGGUUCGGCGGGCCGCCUGCCCAGCUCUCGCCGGGAUUCAGUCGUUCGCUACCGUCCUCAAUUAAAAAUUGAAAUAAAUCACAAGAAUAAAUAGGGCAUUGAUCCAAACUUAAAGCGGAACUUAUAUACAUUGCCAACCCAAAAGAGAAUAUAACAUCAAAUAGACAAGGGUUCUCAAUCCUUCAUACGUCCAGCCCGUGCCAAGCACUAGGCGAGAACCACUACAAAAGAAACAAAAGAAACAAAACUAGAUUGGCUAGUCUAUCUCAAGCUCACGUCCUCGCUCGCCUUCCCCUGUAAGGAAAACAAAAUUAAAGGAAUGAGCUAAAAGCCCAGUGAGGUUCCGAACACAUAAUCAGAUAAUCAAUCCAAUACAUUAAGCAUGGAGUAUCAAUAAUUCAAGAAACAUUUACAAUGGAAAGCAAUAGUAACAUUCAUUAAAAGGAUACGACUCACAAGGAGCAAUUCGUUCAUUCGUUCUCCUGACAUUUCCCCUUAUUCCUCCAAUCAUUUGAAAAUGCAUUUUUCGUUUAUCAAUAAACCCUCGUUCGUUCGUUCGUUCAUUCAUUCAUUCACCCCCGUCCUGGCCGUUGGCCAGUCUCCACCAACCUACAGGGUAAUACUCGAGUAUACCAAACGUUCACCCAAGUCCCUAAUCGCCCGACCGAGUCCGCUUCUGGCUCGAGACGACCGGUAACCAGGGGCAAUGGCUAGUUCAGCCCAAAAGGCUUACAUUCAUGCGCAAGUAACAUUUCAAUUAUUAAAUCCUUGAAAAUUACACAGUUAUUUAGGUCGAGUGCGAUAAAGUACACACUCGCCUAGAAAGCUCGUUUUGAAAAUCAUUAAAAACAAUUAACACAUUAGCAAAUGAUAACAACAAGCCAUAAAGUCAAAUAAGGAACACUCACCUAGAAAUGCAAAAUAUCGUGCAAAAUAUCCUUCCGGAUAUUACCCUUAAUCACCAAUGAAAUCUAAGGUUGAACAAGAGAACAUUAUUAUAGUUUAUCGAGCAAAACAUUUAAGGGAAACAAAGAAACCCGACUUAUUCAGAGUAAAACGUGUAAAGAUGACUUUCAAGUAAGAAGAGGGUUGUUUGAACCCAAGGAUGAAAAAUCAUGUUUUAAAAUGGAAAACCGGUCAUGGUAUUGGCCUAACAAAAGUAUACAAGUUCAAAUAGAAACCUAGCCCUCGGGCGAAAAUUUGGGCAGCACGCCCUUUGGGCUUACCUAAUUUUUCAGCCAUUUUGGCUUCAUUAUUUUUCCUCAACCACAACCCAACAUCACACAUAAGCAAUUCAAGUCAAGAGCCGUUCCAUAGGCUCACAAUAUCAUAAGAAUAAGAAUUACAACAAUCACAAGUGCAGAAAUUCAACUUAGCACAAGACAAAUUUGACGUAUGAAUGCGGUAAUAACAUAUCCGAAGCUACGCUUAUUGGAUUGAGACGAAACCUACGCCAUUUCGAAGCUAAGACUCAGGGAUACAAUGUUCAUGAAGGUCACUUAGUCCAGUUUCUAAUGUAACUUGGUCAAAUUCUCGAAUUACUAAACCAGAAACCAAUUCGUCGGCUGUUUAAACGUAGAACACUGUAAUGGACAUAAAUCAGAGUACACAAGUCCGAAUCAGGUGUUCUUAGAGGUUUUUGAAAGCUAAUUCAGAAUGCUACAACUUUUAUGUUUUGGCAAAAUGCUAAUCAGAAUGGAUCCUAGUCAAAAAACGUGAUAAACUGGACAAACGGAUCACACGGGCUGCUGGGAAAAAACUUAAAAUAGUAAGGGUAUUUUGGACUUUUCACGAACUACGUUGCUCCGAUUGAGCUGAAAUUUUAUAGGCACCUAUAAAAAACCAUUCUCUACAACUUUCCUUCUUUGACCUAAGGCCAAUUCGACAUCUAACAUACAGAUAUAAAUUCGGACAGAAAGUUGGGGAAAUUUUCCAGAUUCUGGAAUUUUGAGUUUCUAGUGCAACUUUCCUUAAUUUCUUGGUCUAAUCCCUACCACAACACCUUAUAACACUUCAAUUGCAACAUAUAAACAUCAUACAACAAAUUGGGCAGAAUUUCCCCAAACCCUAGUUCAUGAAAUAAAAAGGGGAAAGCUACUAAAACAUGAUAAUCAUCCAUGAUUCCACCACUAAAUCAAGUUGCUAAGCUUAAUUUAACAAGAUUGAAAGUAAAACUUGGAGAGAUAAGCUCUCUUACCUUGGCUAGAGGUCACUAAGAGCAGCCCAAGCUUUCUCCUUCAAAAACCUCACCACAACUCACUAACUAGUCACUCAAGAACAAGUUUAAUCGGUUUAGUUCUUUUGAUUUCUCACUUGGUAGCUUGAGUCAAGAAGAAAUGAAGAAAUUUCUCUCUUGUUCUUCCCCUCUCUCUCUCUCGGCUCCUUGGCAGAAAUAUGAAGAGAAAUGGAGCUUAGUUGUCUUAUAAUAAAGCAAGAGGAUUAGGACUAAUGGUGUCCACAAAUUGGCAAACACUUGGACUAAUCUUGGCCACAAAAUUUUCUCUUUCUUUCCCCUUGCAUAUGAACCACAAUUUCGGUCAAGCUUGCUGCCAAGAGAGAAGAUAUUUUGCUCAAGUUCAAUAAAUUUGUUUGGUAAGCAAAAAUGGUGGUCAAGUGGUGCGUUCAAACGGUAGUGCGCGGGACCCGUCGGUUCGCGCCGUUUUUCUUAAAACUCACGUACUAGGGUUUUUACUUCCCAUUCACUAACCUUAUAUCAUUGCUACUAGUCACAUAUUAUUUCUCACUUAAAAGUCACUUUUAAUCAUCAAAUUGAUUCUUGGCCAGUACCGAAAAUUCAUCCGGCGGAAAAAUCGCGAAACCCUAAUUUCGCUCCAAACUUGAAACCGAAGCGUAAAACCCUAUUUUCUAGGUUUAUCUACACUUAAUGUGAAAUAUUUGGGUAGUGGCCUUUGAUAAAUACUAAUUUUCAAAUAAAAGGAUAUUUUUGAGGAAAAAUACAAGGAAUUUGCGAGUCCUCACACUUGACAAUUCAAUUUACAAAAAAAAAAAAGGCAAAUUAAUGUUUUAGCUCAAUAGAAAAACAACUUUCUAAUUUUUAUAUAUACUUAUACACAUGAGGAAUAUUUUUCUUUAAAUUACUCCCUAACAUUCCCAAAAAUCUUUAACUUGCCAUAACCUUAUAGACUGCAACUGGAAAGAGUGAAUGGCAAUACCCAAUGUUGGGAUUUACAUAGAAGACCUGCAUUUCCACCAAGAUUUUUCACUAAUUCUAUCAAAGAUCAACGCAUUUAGAAUACAUAUCAUGUCACAUUUUUCUAAGGUGGAGUAGACAGUGGUACUGGCAUAAACUAGCAAAUUUAGAUGCAGGAGAGAAGUAUAAAAUUUGAAUUUGAAUUUGAAUUUCAAAUUUAAAUUUUAAUUAAUUAUCAUGCAUACACACACAUAUAGGUACUAUGUCUCCCAUUUCAUUUGGUUGGACAUUAAGACAAGAAACACGGUUUUAAUAAGGCAAAACAAUUCGUUUAGUCCCUCAGAUUUCUCGCUUUUUAUUUUCUUAUUUGAGCUAAGAACCAAACCAAAUGAUCAUUGGAUAGGCAUUUUUGUAGCUAAAAAAAAUACCCAAUUUAUGAGGUGGAAGAUAUAUAUAUAUAUAUAUAUAUAUAUAUAUAUAUAUAUAUAUAUAUAUAUAAUGGCACAUUGAAGUUUAUAUUUUUGCGUUAAUUUUCAAAGAGUGAUUCUUUUUGUAUAACAUCCAAAAAAGAUGAUAUUGACGAUUGGUUAUAAGGAAUACAUUUUUAAGAGGUGAAAUCUUAAUAUUACAAGAUAAUUACCAAUUUGUAUUAAGUUUUCCUGAGUUCCAAUAAAUCCAAUAUUUCUAGAAAUUUCCAACUGAUUUGGUAAAAAAAAAAAAAAAACUCUAGUAAAUUCCUAUCGUUAACCGAGGCAAAGUUUUGUGUUCAAAUUUUUUUUUUAGGCGUGUGUCAAACUUAAAAGUGGGUAAAAGCCUGCAGAAGAAUUAAAGAGAUGAUGGAGUAAUAAAAAUAAACAAGCAAUAGAGAAAUAAAUAUUGAAAACUGAUAGUAAUUAUAAAAAAAAAAAAAGAGAGCUCUUCCAGGCUGUUAUCUUGACCAAAAAAGAGAAAAGGCGAGAUAAAUAAAACUUUUUCAUAAUGCAAGUGGGCUCCUGUAUUUCCAUCAAUCCCCAUCAGUCACCCAAAGGAUAAUUAAUUCGGGACCUAAUUGGCGAAGAGUUUUGCUUUUUGCAUUUGGCAUGACGAUGAUUUGACCGGAAACAAUUCUUAACAUGCUGGUCAAUUGAACUAAAAGUUGUAAUUUUGAUACUUAUAAUGUUCCUAAUAUUAUUCAAUAUUAAUGUGAUUAGGAAAGCCACAUAAAUUGAAAGAAACAAAUAUGAAAGUUCAACCAUGAUGGGCUCAAUUAUAAUUGAAGUAGGGAGUAGAGACAAAGUUUGCUAAAAUUGACACUUAUAACUAAAUUGCCACUUAUAACUAAAUUCGUUUGUUGAAAAAAAAAAUAAAUUCAGAUUUAACAAAAAAAACGUAAAAAAAAAAAGAAAAAAGAAGAAAUUUUAUUGGCAAUUUUACUUUAAAACUAAAAGCCCGUAUUUUCGGGUGAAUAAAUGGCACUAGAUUUACAUUUAUUUAUGGUUUCCCUGGAAAAAGAAAGGCCAUCAUUUUGCUUCAUUUUUGAAGGGAAAAUAAACCAAUACAUGAUAAAAAUAGUUACAAAGGAAUCACUAAAAAUGGUCCUGCAUGGUAAAUCACAGUAUUAAUAUUUGCCUUCUUCACAAGAUUCCGUAUAGAUCAAACCAUGUUAUUUUGGUCCAGCAUGGGUUAAUAAGGUAAAAUCCUCAAGCAAAAAACAAAAGGUCUAAAUUACAUCAAUUCGAUCCAUUUGUGCCAUUAACAUUUUUCUUUUUUGGUCUAUUGUUACCAUCUACAUCUAUUUCUACUCCUAAUCCUAAUCAAACAUAUACUAGGGUCAUGCGGAAUCGACGGGAAUUGAACCAUCAUCGAAUCAUACGGGUGCAUUAAGCACUCAUAUGAAUUUUAGAGAAACCACGUGACAACUUUUUGAUGGAAGGUAAGAUUUGAAUUCUUAACGUUCUACCUCACAAAUAUAGUUAGCAUAGCUCCUAGAACAUGUACGCAUAAAAGAAUGUAUUGUCCUUUUCGUUCUUGUAAUUGAGCAGGUAUGUGAAAAAGUGACUAGUGAUUGCUAACCAAUGAUCAAUGAAUGGGGAAAAAAAAUCUCCGAAUUGAAGGCAUCUAAAUCUGGAUCCAUACACAACAACCAGUCAUAAGUCAUAACCAUGAGUUUUGGGGCUUUGGGACCCAAAACAACCAAUUUCUUGAUAAAAUUCCAUUUGUGUUUUUUUAAAAAAAUUUCCCUUGAGACAAGAAUACGUAACAGAUGCUUUAAUUAAUUACACUUUUUCCUUUCUUUGCUCCAUGCACAAUUUUUGGUCUUCCAUUAGCAACUGCUGAAUAUACAAAAGGACAAAAACGUGCAUAGACCUUUCAUUCUUCUAGACUAGGAAUUCUGCAUCUGCUUUGUACCCAUCAUUGUCAACGGCAUAUAAGCAUGGCCCUCUACAACUUGUGAAAAGAAUGAAAAUGAAUAUAAGGCUGCGGAGAUAAUUAAUAGAUAACUUGUUUGUAGUCUGCUAGUAUUCUGUUAUUCUUGUUCCCCCUUUCUGCCACCUACAGGUUAUUGUCUCAUAUAACCUUACCUUGAUAGUAGCCAUUUAAUAAGAUAAUUAGUACUUAGGUAAUGGCAUUUUCUGCCAACUCAGGUAAUGGCAAAUCUGAUUAACAUUAUAAAUGCUUACAUUUGUCUUCAGCUUUUCCAAAAUCUUCAUAUUUGGAGGCAAUCUUAACUACCGGAAUUGGGCUCCUUUUAGAUAAACUAAAAAGGAAAAAAGGGUUCUGAAAACUUGAAUGUAAAAGUUCACAAUUUGAACGUAUGUUUUUUUGGAUGCGUCAACCUCCUUCUUCCUUUUUUUUUUUUGGGGGGGGGGGGGGGGGGGGGGGGGGGGGGGGGGGGUUGUUGGUGCAUAAAGAACUACAAUCCGAUGACAAGAAUUUUGUUUCCUUAAUCGUUUGCUAAUGGCUUUCCAAUUUUUUCCCCCCAUAUUAGACACCUGACCACCAACAAGCCCCAGCCUUUGACCAUGAAGCCCAAAACUUGCCAGUUGCCACUAAGCCUUGAGGCCUAUAAUAAAAUUGGAAGUGGAAGUUUGGAUUGCAUUUUUCUGGAUUUUUUUGGUAGAAAAAUACAAAAAAAAAGUAUAAUAUUGAUAUCAAUAUUGGUCCCUUCCGAGCUCCUAACUCUCCAUUCCUCUCCUGCUAGACUUUUUAGUAUAUAAUAUAAUUCUUAAAAAUCUAUUGAUCUCACCUAUUUGGACUGUCCUCAACAAUAUACAUUUUGAUUGUAGUCCUACCUAGUGAGCUCAAUGUGCUCAUACAGGUACUCAGAUCUCUAUCACAGGUUAUCCAUAUCCGAUCAUCAUCUUCAUCCUGAUACUCAAUUAUAAAACUUCCCGUGGCUAGAUUCAGUCGCUGUACAACGUUUUCCUCCAAAUCGAUUUUACGGGCAGAAAAUGGAAGUCUGAACUUUAUCAUGCGCCCUUGAUAUUCUGCCUUCACCCACAUGCCAUUAUCAUCUUCUAGCCUCGUUGCAUCUGACCGGUGGUGUUCAUGAGUAUCUUCCGUAGAAGGUUGAACAGUUUUCUGUACAGCAAGUGCUUGACUAACCUUUCUUGCUUUACGAGGUGGCCAUCUGUUAAUACCGUACUCCCUACAUAUACGCUUCAAUGUAGAUCGACUAACUGCAGAUUUCAAAAAGGAAAACUUCAGUUAAGGAAAAAUGCAUUCACCAACAUUUGAAUUCAAUUCUGACCUAGAGAAGUGCUAUAGUUAAGGAUUACCUCCAAUAUUUUUUGCAGCAUCUUCAAGUCUCCUUGUAGAAUUUUGUUCAAGAACCUCACGAGUAAUUCCAAGGUCGCUUUUUAAAGUCCAACUAGGCUUUUGCACUUCUAAAUUAGUCACUUCAUUGUCCCUCUGUUCUAUACUAGCACCAUUUCUUCGAGGAUCUUCCACAAUUGGUUCAUCAUGUGCUAUGCUGACCAUGUUUUGCACGACCUCCUGUCCAGUUGAAGAUCUAUCAAUUCCAUUUUUCUGUUCAUAAACACCAUCCGUAGAAUUGUGCACAACAUCAACUCCUGCAAGAUUUAAUUCUUGAUCUGAUAUGUUGACAAUGCCCUGCACGUGCUCUGGUCUAGGUGGAGAUCCAACAAUCCCACUCUGCUGUGCAUGGACACCAUUUAUAUGACCAUUUGCAUUAUCAACUUGCACCAUUCCUUCUCCUUGUGCUUUUGCAUUCCUAGGUGUAGAUCCAAUACUUCCAUGCUGCUGGUUAUGGAUACCAUCCAUAGAACCAUUUGCAGCAUCAACUUGUUGAGAUGAGAAAUCAAGUUGCAUCAUUCCGUCUCCUCCUUGUACUUCUUCAAGCCUAGGUUGAGAUUCGAUACCAGCAGUACUGCAGAUUUCAAAAGAAUCAAAUUCAUCCUCUGGAGAUCCAACACUUCCAUUCUGUCUCCUCCUUGUAGAUCCAACACUUCUAUUCUGCUGGUUAUGGAUACCAUCCAUAGAACCAUUUGCAGCAUCAACUUGUUGAGAUGAGAAAUCAAGUUGCAUCAUUCCGUCUCCUCCUUGUACUUCUUCAAGCCUAGGUUUAGAUUCGAUACCAGUAGUAUUGCAGAAUUCAAAAGAAUCAAAUUUAUCCUCUGGAGAGACCUUUAUAACAUCAACAGUCAAUUUCUGCCCCAAUUCUUGUCCCGAAGCAAUCUUAAAAGAACUUCCGAGGUGUUCUUUCAAUGUCUCCAUUAGGCUGUUCAGCAAUGUCCUAGGAUCCCCAUAGUCUGCUUCAUCUUCCCCAUAGUCUGCUUCAUCUUCAUCUUCCCCAUAGUCUGCUUCAUCUUCAUCUUUCCCAUAGUCUGCUUCAUCUUCUUCAUACGUAGGUAGAAAGAACUCCAGUACGUAAAUGCAAUUGCUCGAACAAGAGCUCUGCAAACAAACUGCAAAACAGGCAGAGUAGUUGUGGUAUCGUGCUUGGACUACCAACGGGUACUUUGUUAUGCUUAAUUGUCUUACAUCCCUACAAAAGCAUGCACUUUUGGAUGAGAAUGCUCUCCCGACUACCCCUUGUGUAUUAUGAAUAAAAUCUACGCUACCAAGAGAACUUAGUAUUUCCCCAGAAGUAAUCCAAGUUUCAGUAUCAUCCAGUCCACAUAUUGCAGUCACCUCACUCAAUGCUUCAUCAAUUUUAGCAAUUUCUCCAUCUUGACCUGUAGAUGAAUGGUUUAAAAGUAUUGGCAUGGAAUGAAUAGCCUAAAGCUUCAGCCAAGAUAUUGCAGUAUAAAAGGAGGAAAAAAAAUACUUAAGAGGUACUCACAUGAAUUUACUUGUGCUAGGUUUACACCAACAGUUGUCAGAUUCAUCUCCCAUAGUAGAUUCUAGCAAACACAUUAUCCAUGAGCCAUAAAUAAAUUAAAGCGUUAUUUACAAGUUUCAAAGUGUUUGUUUUGAGCUUUAAAAGUUGUUUAACAACAACGGAUUUGCACCUAAAAAAGAAAAUUAAAACAAUAAGAUAAGCUCUUUGUAUGCUCAGUCAACUAAUUUUGGUAUAGAAGUUUCGAAAAGCCAAAACCUCCUUCAAAUGUCAUAGAUUUUUUAAGAAUCAACUUGUUUCGCUUAAAAAUAACUUAAAAAGGGAACAUUGAUAUUUCGUUUUCACAGUUAUAAGCAAUUGGAAAAUUAGUUGUUGAUAUAUCGCAAAAGAGACCUUCCAUUAGAUUAAUUUAUAAAAGCACCCCUCCUAUCGCCACCUAACAAUUGGAAACCACAAUUUAUUCCCAAAUUUGUAAAGGACAUGGAGACAUACAAAAUUCAUGCCAAGAUUUAUCACGAAAUUCUUAUUAAGUGCGAUGCUACCAUAAAUCUUGCACUAUAUAACACACAAGGAGACAAUGGUUGGUUAUGUUAUAAAUUACCUAGUUCAAAUAAUAAAUUAAUUAGUUAUCUUUAUAUCAGUCAUCACAGUAAGUCUGCUGUGAAGUGACCGUAAAGCCGAGACAUGUAGUUUGUAACUCUCAUCAAAAUUCUGGUCGGUGGGGGAGUAAUUAUCCGAAAGAGAAACACAAAUGAAAUGAUGUCAGCGAGAAUCAGAUUGGCUCUUUUUUUUUUUUGAUAACAGAUGCUAAUUAUUUACGAUCUGGGAUUCGUCCUCUAAGCUCCUCUGCACCCAUUUCAUAUACUAUAUUACCUAAUUUAUUGAUAAAAAUUAUACUAAUAAUUAUAUAACUCAUAAAUGAUAAACAACACCACCCCCAGGUCCUUGUCAGCAAUAGGAAAGAAGUAAUUAAGCAACUUCAAAACAGAAAAGUCGAACCUGAAGCUUCUCCAGAACCCACCGUCGAGGUAUUCCGGUAAAAGCACGUGGCGAGACAAUUUCCAGUACACCAAUGGGGAGGUGCCGAGUAGGAUGAUGAUAGAUUGGCAACACCCAGUAUGCCGCAACAGGGCCGACCGCAUAAUCACAUUGAGGAUACUCUCUACUAGUGUAAUAAUCCACACAAGGUGUAUAUUCAGGCGACCCACUGCGGAACACCCGACCAGGGGGACCAAUCUUAUCAUCAUCAUCUUCUUCGUCGACGGGUAAUAAGUACCCCAAACAGUGCUUCCUAUAUUUACAUAGUUUCUUGGCGUCUCGGAUGUGGCGGUACUGGAGAGCAAAAGGCUGGUCACAAGUUGUCAAAUACGUUUUGUCGCCCAUCUUCACUAAACCCCAAAACUGAACUAGACAAUCACACUGUAUUAAUGUUUCCUCAAGAAGUUGUAGAAAACAUUUGAUCUGGUCCUUAAUCACGGCACCGUCAGCAGCUGCAAUAGGAAAAUCAGUAAUAAAAAAUAUUAAAGGGUGCCUGCUAGUAUAUAUGAACUGUUUGUAUAAUUUAUUUAUUCAUUAAUUGCAGAGUACUCUACUGAUUGACCCGUGCUUUGACCGAGACCCCCAAAAAAAAAAGUCAAAUUUAUUGUAUGUACUCAUGAUGAUCCAUCAUAAACUUUUGAGCAAAUUGCAGUUUAGAAAAAUUCCAAAUUAUACUUUGACAGAGCCUUCCAACCUCAAUCUUCAAAUCUGAUGAUGUAUCCAACCUAAGCCUAUAUGAAGAGCUCUAAGCGCCGCCGCCCCCUUUGUACCUUCCAAUUGGAUGGCCCAAGCCUUCGUAUCUUUCUAACCGUUUAAUUUCUCAUCAAACUAAUUUUUUUUCCUUGAAUUUUUUUUCUGUUCUAAAUUGUUCAUGGAAAUUUAUUUCACAGGAGUUUUAUCAGAGUCAGACUAUAUAUAGCUAUGACAAAUUUAAUUGCGAUAAAUAGAGUCCAACAAAAAUAUCCACAAACAUACAUACAUACAUAUUAUAUAUAUAUAUGAGAGAUUAUAUUGAAAGAACUCCAUAGAUACUUACUGGCUGAGAGAUGAUGAGGCUUCCCGCAGCCUCCUUCGUCAUUGCCGCAUGUGCUCCAGAAAACCCAGUAGUGCUCAUCAAUAUCGUCUAAUGAAUGGGACAUUGAUAGUUCACAAGGCCCCAAACCUUCCGCAGAAAAAAGAGCCAUUUGUAGUUUUGUCAUUCCUUCUCCUCCGAUACCAGUAGUACUGUAGAUUUCAAAAGAAUCAAAUUCAUCCUCUGGAGAGACUUUUAUUACCUCAACAGUCAAUUUCUGCCCCAAUUCUUGUCCCGAAGCAAUCUUAAAAGAACUUCCGAGGCAUUCGUUCAAUGUCUCCAUUAGGCUGUUCAACAAUGUCCUAGGAUCCCCAUAGUCUGCUUCAUCUUCAUCUUCAUCUUUUUCAUACAUAGGUAGAAAGAACUCCAGUACAUAAAUGCAAUUGUUCGAGCAAAAGCUCUGCAAACAAACUGCAAAACAGGCAGAUCUCUUCAAGUAUCGUGCCUUGAGUAGCAACGGGUAGUCUGUUAUGCUUAAUUGUCUUAUAUCCCUACAAAAGCAUGCACUUUUGGAUGAGAAUGCUCUCCCAACUACUCCUUGUCCCUUCCGAAUAAAAUCUACGUCACCAUGAGAACUUAGUAUUUCUCCAGAAGUAGUCCAAGUUUUAGCACAACCAUAAGCCACUCCACAUAUUUUCCUCAUCUUGCCCAAUGCUUCGUCAAUUGUAGCAAUUUCUCCACGUUGACCUGUAGAGGAAUGGCUUAAAAAUAUUAGCAUGGAAUGAAUAGCCUAAAGCUUCAGCCAAGAUUAUGCAGUAUAAAAGGAGAAAAAAAAAAUACUCACAUGAACUUGCUUCUGCGAGUCUUACACAAGUAGUCCUCAGAUUCACCUUCUGUAGUAGAUUUUGGCAAACACAUUAUAUAUGCGCCGUAAAUAAAUUAAAGUAUUAUUUACAAGUUUCAAAGUGUUUGCUUUGGCUUUUAAAGACCGUUUGACAACAACGGAUUUGCACCCACACACAAAAAAAAAAAAAAAAAAAAAAGGAUAAGCUCUUUGAAUGCUUAGUCAACUAAUUUUGGUAUAGAAGUUUUGAAAAGCCAAAACCUCCUUCAAACGCCAUAGAUUUUUUUAGAAUCAACAUCUUUUGGUUAAAAAAUAACUUGAAAAGAGAAGAUUAAUAUGAAGGUGAUAGUCACCAUAGUUUUUGCAGUUAUAAGCAGUUAAAAAAUUGGUUAUUGACACAUUGAAAAGGGACCUCUCGUUAGAUUAAUUUAUAAAAGCAUCUCUCCUACUACCACCUAACAAUUGGAAACCCAUGACCUCUGGAAACCCCAAAUUUCUUAUCCCCAAAUUUGCAGAGGACAUAGAGAUACACAAAAUUCAUGCCAAGCAUCCCCCCAUUCAAGUUAGUUAGAUUUAUCACAAAAUUCUUAUUAAGUGCCAUGCUACCACAAAUCUUGCACCAUAUAACACACAAGGAGACAAUGGUUGGUUAUGUUAUAAAUUAACAUAGUUCAAAUAAUAAAUUAAUUAGUUAUCUUUAUAUCAGUCAUCACAGUAAGUAUGCUCUGAAGUGACCGUAAAGCCGAGACAUAUAUUAAUUAUCCGAAAGAGAAACACAAAUGAAAUGAUGUCAACUAGAAUUAGAUUGGCUCUUCUUUUUUUUUUUUGGGAUAACAGAUGCUAAUUAUUUACGUCUCCUCUGUUUUUUUAUAUAAAGAAGGGAGGGAGUCUGCACCCAUUUCAUAUAUAUUAUCUAAUUUAUUGAUAAAAAUUAUACUAAUAAUUAUAUAACUCAUAAAUGAUAAACAACACCACCCCAGGUCCUUGUCAGCUAUAGGAAAGAAGUAAUUAAGCAACUUGAAAAGAGAAAAGUCGAACCUGAAGCUUAUCCAGAACCAGACAUCGAGGUAUGCUAAAAUCAGUUGCUGAUACAAUUUCGAGUACACCAAUGGGGAGGUGCUGAGUAGGAUGAUGAUAGAUUGGCAACACCCAGGAUCCCGCAACACGGCCGACCGCAUAAUCACGUUGAGGAUACUCUCUACUAGUGUAAUCAUCCACACGAGGUGCAUAUUCAGGCGACCCACUGCGGAACACCCGACCAGGGGGACCAAUCUCAUGAUCUUCAUCGACGGGUAUUAAGUACUCCAAACAGUGCUUCCUAUAUUCACAUAGUUCCUUGACGUCUGGACCAUUGAAGUGGAAGUAUUGGAGAGCAAAAGGCUGGUCACAAGUUGUCAAAUACGUUUUGUCCCCAGUCUUCACUAAACCCCAAAACUGAACUAGACACCGACACCACGAUAUAGCUUCCAUAACAAGUUGUAGAAACCAUUUGAUCUGGUCCUUAAUCACGGCACCGUCAGCAGCUGCAAAUAGGAAAAUGAGUAAUAAAAAAUAUUAAAGGGUGCUUGCUACUAUAUAUGAACUGUUUGUAUCAUUUAUUAUUUACUUAUUGCAGAGCACUCUACUAGACGACACCGACACAAAACAAGUCAAAGAAAGGAAGUUAUGUGUGUAUGUACUCAUGAUGAUCCAUCAUAAACUUUGAGCAAUUCGCACUUUAGAAAAAUUCCAAAUUAUACUUUGAGAGAGCCUUCCAACCUCAAUCUACACAUCUGAUGACGUAUAAUUUUCCCAAAGAUUAAUUUAAGAGCUUUAAGCGCCGCCGCCCUCCAAUUGGAUGCCCCAAGCCUUUGUAUCUUUCUAACAUCCAUAUAAUUAGUUACCACAAUAGUCCAACAAAUUCAAUAAUCUCUCAUAGGAUAAUUAGUCCAACAAAAAUGUCCACAUACAUAUUACACUAUGAGAGAUUAUUGAAAGAACUCCAUACUCACUGGCUGAGAGAUGAUGAGGCUUCCCGCAGCCUCCUUCGUCAUUGCCGCAUGUGCUCCAGAAUACCCAGUUGUACUCAUUAUAAUCUUCUUCUUUAAUUAAACGGAAGCAUGAUAGUUCACAAGACCCCAAACCUUCCGUAGAAAAAGGAAGGGAGGGAGAAGUUCGAGCUUCCAUUAUUGCCAGUUGUAGUUUUGGACAGGAGAAAACUGCUAUAUCUUCUGGAUCGAUCCUGCCCGACGUUUCUCAGUUUCUGUUUUAUUUAUCUUCUGUAUGGAAACCGUGCAUAUACAUACACACUUGAAGACUUCAAAGUCAAUGGAUGAGGGUUCAAACAGUUCAAUUGUUAGCUGUCGUCUAUGGGUAGAGAUUCAUCUCUUGCACCCUCACCUAAACAGGACACCACAUCAGAUGCUGUACAGAUCGAGGAACAAAGUUGAUGCUCAUCAGGGCCCAUCAGAUGCUGUACAGAUCGAGGAACAAAGUUGAUGCUCAUCAGGGCCCAUACGUUACUAGGAAGUUGCGGCAUCUUCUUAUAAAAAAAAAAAAUUUUGUUAUCCUAAAACAUCGUGAGAAUUCAAAUUGUAAUUUCUAUUUUUUUUAAUAAAAAUUGAAGCAUAAGAAUUGAUCACCAUCAAUAGAAAAUACUUGAAAUUGUUACUAUAUAUCCUAUUUGUUAUCUUGUGAUAAAUGAUGAUGACCAAAUAUUUUUAGCAAGAAAGUUAUUUGACCACAAAAGGAAAUUUUUGAACACACUAUUAUUAUUGAAGUUGAUACACAGAAUUAGGAUUAGAAGACGAGGAAAAAAGAUGUAAAAAUAAUAAGGAAAAAGGAGAAGAAGAAGAAAGAACAAUAAUAAAAAAAAAAAUUAUUAGACACUAUCCUUAUAAUGAGGGCAUUUUUAUCUUUUUGCUUUUGCACAUAAACUUGGCUUUAGAGAGCAAUUUAUAGGUUUUGAGAAAAGGACCGGCUAGAAGAAUAAAAAAAAAGCGAAAUAACAUGGAAGCAAGCAAAAGGCAAAAGCUAGAACCAAGAUGGUACAUGUGUAACCAAUAUGAAGUGGUCCCAAUUGUUCAAAAGGCCAAACAAGGUUCUAAAUGGGUUGGUUAUCUGUACGUAUUUUUUAGUCAAUGGAUGACUAGAGAAAUAGGACUGAAGCCAAGAAUUUUGCAAGCGAAACAGCGUGGUAGCAAAUCAAAAGCAAGAGCAGAAAGGGUCGUGAAAUUGUACACUAAUUAGGAUUUAUAUAAGUGAAAGAGAUUAAUUAGGAUCCAGACCAAAUCCAAAUCUGAAUGUAUAACUGGAAAAACUUGGACCUCUCUGGACAUGAUCUAACCAUGGAUCAGUCUCGGGUAAAGCCCAGAUCUGGCACCAAAUCACAGUUCAUCACUUUGUUUCGUUUGUCCAAAAUCCAUUUGCAUAUUUCAAAUCUCAUUACUGUAUCUUUCAAAACUAAUUUGAUCAAUUCCAUAAUGCUAUACAUCUGCGGCGGAAUGUCUUCAACGUUUUCAUUAGCAUGGGCAACAAUAUGAGUGUUUGGAUAGCACUAUUAUCUCAAAUAAUAUUUCGCUUGCAUCAUAAACACAUUUUUCAACUCACCUCUUUAUAUUCCCAACCACUUUUUUAUCUCACAUACAUCACAUCACAAAAAAUGUUACAGUAAUUAUUCCAAAUACUAUUUCAAAUAAUACCCUAUCCGUCCCAGAGUAUUUUUUCUUCUUAGGUAAAAGGAACUCCAAUACGUAAAUGCAGUUGUUUGAGUAAUGGGUACCAAGGGGUACUCUGUUAUGCUUAAAUGUCUUAUAUCCCUACAAUAACAAGCACUUUUUGGACGAAAAUGCUUUUCCAACUAUCCCUUGUCCCUUCCGAACAAAAUUCGAACCAUGAUAGCUUAAUAUUUCUCCGGAAGUAGUCCUUAUGUUUUAUGUUGAAUUAAGGUGGCAUUAUUGAAUAUAUUAAUAAGAUUUUAUAUUUUUCUGUUUUUAUGAUUCAAAUUAUUAAGUAUUAAUCUUCAAAGAGUUUAAGUUGACAAAGGGCUUAAAUUAAAACUUUUGAAAUAGUACACUUGGCAGACUUUAAAGUUAUAAGUCAAUGGUUGGAAACGUGAAAGUACAGACUCAAAAGAAUACGCGAAAUUGCAAGGAAGCAACCACCAAUACAAAAUGGCCCAAUCCCCUGAACAGACCAUUUCUUAUACACACCAGUCCAGAACUUUUUUUUUUUUUUUUUUUUUUUCAUUUUCACAUUUUCCUCCUUUCAGGUUUUUCCCUUCUUUCUCUUGUACGCACCCUGACCAGACCACCCAAAUACUGAUUUAACUACUCUCCAGACCGUUCAGCCCAACAGUUACCCAAUCCUCUAUUUUCUAUGGACAACUCAUGUCUGGAAUAGCCUUUAACAAAUAGAUGGUUGGCUUCCUUUGAAAAUGAAUAUUAAGCGUCAAGGCCCACAAUUAAAAUUAUAAAAUAGAAGCCUGAAAUUUUUGAGUUGAUGAACUGAUGAAAGUUUUAUUUGUUUGAUAAUUAACUUGAUUUUUUUUUUUUAGUGUAAAUGAGAGGGUUCAAUCCGAGGUCUCUCAUUGACACUCAUUUCUUUCAAAUCAUCCAAUCCAUCUCUUCCUGCUCCUCUUCAAAUUAACUUGAUUUAACUCUAACCCGUGAUGGUGACCAGAAUCGAGCCAAUCCAAAUAAAUUCAAAACUUGAUUUAGCCAUUGAAUUGAAAUAUCUCAAUUUGAAAUGUUGUUGUUGUUGUUGUUAUUAUUAUUAGUAUUAUUAUUAUUAUUAUUAUUAUUAUUAUUAUUCUAAAAUGAUUAAUACUGUUGUAUUGUAAAUAUUGAGCUAACCUUGUAAACCAUAUUACCUUGGAUAAAUAUGUAAAGUACAGCAUUUUGUGUGUAAAAAUCAACUAACUUUGGUCAUAUAGUACAGUAAUAUGCAACAUUAAUACGAAAAGAUUAUCAUUAUUGGCCCCUCAUCUUGUAUUUAACUACUAUAUUAUAAGAACGAAUUGCUUCUUGCCAUAACUACUCCUCAUGCUACGACUUGGCAGCUACAAUGAGAAGGUUGCAUUUGUUUUGAUGCCUUAAAACGUAAAAUGAAGGGUUGUAAGGAUGAAUUAUUUCCUAGGCUUCAAAUUUUCAGCCAGGAAGCCCAGGCUCUUGGCAUGGUAAAAAAAAAGAGAGAGAAAAUGUGUCCAACAAUUUUAGCAUUGUUUUUUUUGACACAUACACGCAUUUUUAAAUGUAGACUUAUUUAAAAAUAAAUAAUAUUGAAAUUUAUAUUUGAAUUAUGUUAUGAAAGUUGGCAUAUUUAUUAUUUUUGUUUGGUCUCUGAAAUUGUUACGUCCCUUAGUAUAUGUCAAAAAAAAUUUUUAACUGUUGCCUACAACAAUUGCUUGCUAUUUUUUUUAUUUAUUUAUUGAGGAACAGAUUUCACAUUUUGGUGAAAAAAUUCCCCUGCAUAAAGUGGUUGAAUAACUAAAAAUUAUUUGGGCCUAACAAAAAAGUGCCCCUAGACAUACAUAAGUAGACAAAUGCGCACAUGCUGGCCCACACACAUGCGCGCUCGUGCUCGCACGCGCACACACAUAUUUUAAGUAAUUCCCUCAAAUCACAAAUUCCAAACAUCACACACUACAAAUAUGACUAACACAGAGAAAAAAAAUCCAGGCUGAUCCCAAAAGGUUAAAAAAACCCGAUUUUUCUCAUCAUUCAACUAUUGCAAAAAGAUCGUGAUCACCAAUCCCAGCAGCAAGAAGUCUCAACAUUGCUGGGCAGCUUGUUUUGUUCUCGCCUGAUCCUUGCUGCGCUCCAAGGCUUUGAAUUUUAGUCAUUAAAGCCUUAGUCAUAAAUGCUCAGAGCUCGUUAUCUACCUUUGGAUAUGCCCUGCCAUAAUUUUAGCAAUUCCAUACUGCAAUACAUCGACGGUAUAUCAACAACUUGUUUGGCACUUCCAGUGAAAUCAAAAUGUAAAAGAAAAUCAGCUGAAUCAGCUGAUUUGAACUUCCAGUAGCCAUCUUAAAUAUAAGUUAGCAGUGUCUAUGCCUGGCAAUUGGGCUGGUUAGGUGGGUUUUGUGCGAGUUAAUGUUGGAUUUUUAUUUAAAUGGGUUACAUCCAAUCCGUCCAACUUUAGAUUGGGUUAAUCUUGGGUUGGGUCAUAUUGGGUUAUCUCAAACCCAUGACCCAAAUAUGACCUAAUAUAUUAAAUAAUAGAUUUUGAUACAUAAAUUCUCUCAAAUAUAUUUUCAUAUACAAAAAAAAUAAAUAAAAAUUCACACACAUAAAUAUAUUUUCACAUACUGAAACACUUACAGAUGCAAGCACACACUCACUUUUUAAGUUCUUUUGAAAUACAUUAUUUUUACACAUACAAACACACUAAAAUACACACUAAUAUACUUUCACAAAUACACACAUAUACUAACUGUUUAAACUAUUUAGGCCCAAUCACAUUUUAAAGAAAGUUAUAAACUGAAAUUUUGACCCAUAAAUGAAUCUUGUAAAAACUAUAGUCUUUCAUAUUUGUAAUGUAAUUUGUUCAACGAAAUUACUUAUUUAGCUCUAAAUUAUUAUUUUAUAGUAUGCGUAUAAAAGUAAAAAUAUAUAUAUGUGUGGGGCAAGUCGGAUAACGCGGGUUUUUAAUUAUAUGAUCCCAGUUGAGGAAUUGGAAUUACUAACCACAAAAAUCAAUGUUUGGCUAAUGAAUUCCUGCUAAUUAAUAUAAUCAAAGCUCCUAUUCAUCCAUGGCAGGACUCGAACAACCUCAGCAAUCGAAACAGAGCCUUGUAUUUUAAGUGGAUUCAUCAUCUUAAAUAUUUGUCAUUGGCGGAGCAUAUUGGAAAGUUAAACAAGCUUUUGGCCUUUUCAAAAAAAAAAAAAAACAAGCUUUUGGCCAAAAUGGAAAACAAUAAUGUAGAAACAAAUAAAUAAAGAAGCUCAACAUUUUGCUUAGAACCAAGCAAUUGAAGCUAUGUCACAUAGUAAAAAAAAUAAAAAAAAAUAAAAAAAGCCUAUGUCAUAUCAUGUUUCAAUGGACUCAUCCUCUGAACCGCUCUAAAUUAUAAUUUCUCAACGGGGCAGGUCGGGUAUCGCUCUAAAUUAACUUGUUUAUUUGUUUUUUUCAAUUUAAGUUGGGUAAUGGGUGUCCAACACAAAUAUCCAAACCGUCCAAAAUAUUUAUGGAUUUUUAUCACCCAACCUAAAAUUAACCCAAAACCCAACUUACCCAACCCAACCUCUCAAAUUAGUAGGUGGGUUGGGUGAGUUGUUGGGUUUUGGGUGUAAUUGCCAGCUCUAACAGUGUCUAUGGACCUCAGUGGCGAAGCCAAGGAUUUGAUUUAGGGUGAUGAAAUUUUUGCUGGAAGUUUUUUUUUCUCACCUAAAAAUAAGUACUGUAAAAUUUUUAAUUUCAAAUGUUUAUUUUAAUGAAAAAAAGGAAACAUUUUAUUCUACCGAUACUCUUUAUCUAGCCUAGAAACCAUUCACUUAGUUUUUCUCAAUCAUAUCAAUGUAAUAAAAGGAAUUAAUGGUACUUAAUCAUACAAAACAAAUUGAAAUUUAAGUAAUUCGAGAACAUGCGGCAACUACAAUCCCAGAAUAAUGGUUAAUUGGCUGAUGAGUAAAAAAUAAAUAAAUGUUAACUCAAACGAGGCAAGUGUGAUAAUGAUAAUAAUCUAGUUGCCACACCUUGGAAAGGGUUUCCUCAUUUAACUUCAGUUCAUUUUUUCAUUUGAAGCACUUUUAGUCAAAAUUGUCCACUUUUUUUUAAACCAAAGUAAAAGAAGUUCUAUAUAGUGGACUGGACACAACGCACCGAGAUCAUUGAAGUGUGGGGGAUAAAAGCAUCUUCUUCAUCUACCAUAUUUAUCUUGUCAAUGAAUCUCAAAAUGCAGGUAUUUGGAACCUACAGCAGACUAGAGCACCAUAGGCUUAAAAAUAGAUUAAUUAUACAAAAGGCUCGUAAAUAUGCGAUCACCUGACCAACAUUUUGAUUGUUGUCCUACCUAGUGAGCUUAAUGUGCUCAUACAGGUACUUAAAUCCUCAUCACAGGCUAUCCAAAUCCAUUCAUUCUCUUCAUCCUGAUACUCAAUUUUAAAACUUCCAAUCGGUAGAUUCAAUCGUUCUGCAACUUUCUCCUCCAAAUUGAAUUUGUGGGCUGACAAUGGAAGUCUAAACUUCAUGGUGUACCCUUGAUAUUCUGCUUUCACCCAGAUGCUACUAUCAUCUCCUAGCCUUGUUGUGUCUGGCCGGUGUUGUUCUUCAGUAUUUUCAGUAGAAGGCUGAACAACUCUUUGUUCAGCAAAGGCUUGAUUAACCUUUCUUGCUUUACGAGAUGGCCAUCUGUUAAUAUCAUACUUCCUACAUAUACGCUUCAAUGUAGAUCGGCUAACUGCAAGUAUCAGAAAGAAAGAAGAAAAUCAACACACAUUAACCAAAUUCGAAUUCAAUUCUGAACUAGAGAAGAACUUACAGUUGAGAAUUACCUCCAAAAACUUUUGCAGCAUCCUUAAGACUCCUCCAAGAAUUUUGUUCAAGAACCUCACGAGUAAUUCCAAGUUUGCUUUUUAAAGUACGACUUGACUUUCGCUUUUUUAUGUUCAUCACUUCACUGUCUCUCGGUUCUAUGCUAGCACCAACUCCUUCAGGAUUUGCCACAUCGAUUUCCAUAUUUCCUUCAUCAUGCGCUAUGUUUUCUAUGUUCUGCAGGAGCUCCUGUCUAUGUGGGCUUUCAACAAAACCCUGUGUGCGCUCUGGUCUAAUUGGAGAUCCAACAAUUCCACUUUGCUGUCCAUGGACAUCACAGGGUUUCUUGAAAUCUUGAUGACUGUAGUAAUGGAAAGGCUGGGCACGAGUUGUCAAACACGUUUUGUUCCCCUUCUUCGGUAGCCCCAAGUUAAGUAGCCCCAACUUUAGGGAUUCGGCCAGUUUCUUUAGCAGGGCAGGUGCUGCAAUAGGAAAAAUCAGCAAAUAAUAUUGGGUUAUAUAUGUACAAAGGAAGUUAUAUAUGUACUCGUGAUCCAUCAUAAACGCAGCAAAUUGAAGUUCAGAAGAAGUUCAAAUUAUUAUACCAAAGACUUGAGAGGAGCCGAAUCCACAACCGUCCAACCUAAAUCCACGCAUCUGAUGAGGUUUCCGUGUAUCAUUUUCCCAAAGAUUAUAUACGACAGAAAUCUCCGGCGACUCAACAGACACCUCGGGCCAAAUCCUUGGUGGGCUCACGAUCAUUGCCUCCGCCAUGUAAGCUAGCAAAUUUGGCUUGUCAAAUAGUUCCUCGUCGUCGACAAACCGAUAUUGUCCCAUUUGAUUAUCACCGGGAGUCCACGCGUAGUCGUCCAUGUUAAUUUCUACAGGGUCUCUUGGAGAUGUAGCAGGAGCUUGAUUAGGUACUGGAGGUUCUUGUCGACCCUGUUCGUACAGGAGAAAACUACUAAUCUUCUGCAUCGACCCAGUCCCCAAUUCUCAAUUUCUUGCUACUCGAUCUAUUUGAUCUACUGUAUGGGAAACUAUGCGUACACACACACACUCGGAGAGAAAAAGGACUGACAGACAGGAAGAAGGGCGAGCGAUACAACGAGGAAGCAAACAACAGCAAGGGGUCUCCUUUAAAUCGCCAAUAAGAAAUAGUCGUCCAAACCGUGUGAUGGGUUUUCCAAACCGUGUGAUGUUCAAUGAUCCAGGUUCAAUGAUCCUUAAUCAAAACAGUAUGAGGUUCAAAACCGAGGACUCUAGGUUCACUGAUCCUUAAUCAAGUGGGUUCAAUGGUCCUUAAUCAAAGUUCAACCAACUCUAUCCUAAAUUUGAGAAACAUAUUUAUAAUUCCCAAUAUAUAGUUUCAAAAUAUCUAAUUGAUAAAUUAAAUAGAAAAGAUUUACCAUAAAAAGAGCCAAAAAAAUAACCGGCUUUAUUUCAUAUGGCCUGCCAUUAUUUACGAAGGAAGUUCUAAAAAUAAUCCUAAAAGUAAGCUUUAACUUAGUGCCUAAAGUAUCAUGCAUAGUUCAAAUAAUAAAUUAAUUAGUUAUCUUUAUAUCAGUCAACACAGUAAGUAUGCUGUGAAGUGACCGUAGAGCCGAGACAUGUAGUUUGUAACUCUCAUCAAAAUUUUGGCCGGUGGGGGAGUAAUUAUCCGAAAGAGAAGCACAAAUGAAAUGAUGUCAACGAGAAAUAGAUUGGCUCUUUUUUUUUUUUUUUUGAUAACAUAUGCUAAUUAUUUACGGAUCGUCCUAUAAGGGAGGAAGUCUGCACCCAUUUCAUAUAUAUUAGCUAAUUUAUUGAUAAAAAUUAUACUAAUAAUUAUAUAACUGUGAGAACCCGUAAUUUUUAUUUUCUAGAUUUCUCGUAUUUUUAUGGCUUGUUUUCUGCAUUUUCAUGAUUAAAAAAAUUUCUAGAUAAUUUUAAGGAGCAGAUAUAAUUUUUAGAUGCUUUUUCUAGUAUCGAAUGGAUUUUGAGAAAUUAAGAGAGUAUACUGGACGUGGGACCCACUAGUGCGAAAAGUUCGGAAAAAUUCGACCAACUAGGUUAAGUUUUGGAUACUGGAGUUAAUUUAUCGGGUGUUAAGAGAUAAGUAGAGUUUGCAAUUUGGAUUGAUAUGAGAGAGACAAGUUAGGUAGGUAUUUAAUAAAAGGUGACAAGUGUCACUUGGCUAUUGGUUGGACAAUUUGACUACUAUUGCAUGUCUUACCAAUUGACUUAAAUAUCUUAAAAAUUCACCAAAAAUCCCUCAUUCUUCUCUUCCUCUUGGCCGAAUCUCUUAAGCAAGGAAAGGAAAGAAAACUCUUCAAGAAUUUGGCUUCCAUCUUGCUUCAAUCAACUUACUCAACCAUCCAACCUUGAUUUUGUUCCAUAAAACCACUUAAGGAAGUGUUGGUAAGUUGUUGUGUGGAAUUAUUUGGAAAGCUAAGGUGACCAAUAGCUCUCUCUCUCUCUUGUUUUAAGGUAAGUUGUGAAGAACCACCCUCCUCCUUUAAUUGAUGCUUAAAUCAUGCUUAGUGGUAGUAGAAGAUGCAAGUUUAUGGAUUAAUUCUUGAUUUGUGGUUGAAAUGAUCAAGUUUUAUUAUUUUUGGGAAUUUUUAUGCUUUAAAAUAAGCAUGAUUCUAUGCCUAUCUAUGAUGAUUGGAAAUGGUCUAUAAUGACUUAAGGAGGUGGGAAAAGUGAUUAAUUGCAACCAAUUUCUGGUUUGGAAGAAAUUUCAGAAAACUAGGGUUCUUGAGGGAGCAUUCUGUCCGAAAUUUUAGGUCCUAGAUAGAGGCCGAAUUGGCCUUGGCUUAAAACAUGAAAGUUGUAGGGAAUGACAUUUUAUAGGUGCCUACAAAAUUUCAGGUCAAUCGGAGUAGUGUAGAAUGAGAUAAGUCGAAAUUACUAUUGUUGUUCUGGUUUUACCCGAAUUGGAGAAUUGCGCCUGUAAUUGGUUGUUUUGGCUGGAAUUGCUUCCGAAUUAGUUAUUGAGGCCUUCUGAUGAAAUUUAGCCCUGUUUCUUAGCUUUCAGUUGGUUUUGGAAUUUCUGGAUUUGGACUUGUAGAGCCUGAGUUAUGAUGUUUCCGCUAGAAUGCGUUUUGGAGAAUCUAUUUUACGUUUUUGAUGUAGUAUCUUGCAUUUUUGACCUGUUUGCACUCAAAACUGGGUUGAGUGACCUUCUGUGAUGUUGUAGCCCUGUCUUUUAGCUUCGAGAUGGUGGGUUUUGCACCCUCAUCCAAUAAUCGUAGUGAAAUUGGUGCCAUUACCGCAAAAUGAGGACAAAAACUGUUUUUUCAGGGCCAAAGUUAAUUGCAUUUCCGAAUUUUCUGGUUUCCUUUAAUAUUUGUGUAUGCUUAGGGAACCCUGUUUUGGUAGUAUAUAGAAUUGGUUUAUGACUUGUAAUCGAGUCUUAUUGUGUUCAUUUGAAUAGUUUAGGGCUUGACUUUCAUAUUCGGUUAUUCCCUAGCUAAAUUUUCUACUUGAAUGCCAUUAAGCCUAGUGAAUGGCUUUUGGGAAUGAGAUUAUUUUUGUACGAGAUGUUGGGACUGAUUUGAGAAAAUAAUGAAGCCAUGAUGGCUGGAAAAUAGGUAAACACAAGGGAUAUGCUGUCGAAAUUUUACUUGAAGGCUAGUUGGAUUUACUUGUGUUUUGAGCGAAGGGCUUUUGGGUUGUUUGAGCCUAGGUCUUCAUGUUACCUUUUCGUUCCAAAAAUCAUGUUUUGCACCUUGCUUUAGUAAUUAUUUGGCGACGCAUACGACUGGUAGUCGAGCCUCACAUGUGCAUUAUGUAUACUCAAUUUUGAAAGUGGAACCUUCAAUUGUUUUCCUUGGAUUAUUUUAGGGUUUAUUGGUGAUUAAAGCUCUCUUUUGGGAGGUAUCUGCACUGACCCUGGUGAGUGUACUACUCACUUGUGUGUUACUAUAUGGCUUUGAAUGUAACUUGCUUGAAGUGAAUUGAAUGUGACUUGAUUGCAGUGAAAGUGUACUUUAUCACUCUCACUUAUAUGUCUUAUAUCAUUGUUGUCAUGUUAUUGUAAUGUUACAUGAAAUGUUACAUGAAAUGAAAGUACUCGACUUUGUGUCGAUUGGGCGAGUAUCCAACGACUACAAAUGUUAUCAAUGAGCUCAACCCCAUUGGUAGUUGAUUGAAUCGAGCCGGCGAGGGUUUGGUCGUGUCAAUUAAUGAACCUUGGGUAAAGUUAUAUGGAAUCUUGUAGUAUACGAGACUCUCGAUUCCGGUAUACUCGAGUAAUACCAAAGUGCAAGUGUUUGGAGUUCGGGCCCGGUAGGGGGAUGUUAGGUGGAAGGAGUGGAGGUAAAGUGGAGUCUACGGUUGGUUACUUUUGAACAUUGACGGAGGGUCAAUGACGUCCGAUCAAGAAAUGCAAACGAGGAAAGGGCUCUUGAGAGCCAUCUGUAUCCUUUUAUCACCAUAUUUGAAGUGUGACUUUGCUUAUUUUACUAAAUUGAAUGAAAGCUUGAUGCUUAUAUGCACUUGGGUGCGUAAGUGAUAGUAUCUCACUGGGCAAUUAGCUCAUACCGUUCUUUUGUUUUCCUUACAGGAAUAUGACUCAUUUUGAAAUGAAUCUUGAUAGAUGGUUACCGAAUGAACUAGAUGUAUAUUUCUUUUGUAUUGUAUAUGAAGGGAAACCCUAAAUGUAUCUUUAGGGCCGAUUUCACUUUCAAUUUGGCAAACCGUGUAUAUAUUCACUUUUGAAAACUUUUGUAUGCUGCUUUGGGUUGUAAUUGCUCAAAUUCCAUAUGUGAAUGUUACUUGAUAGUUGGUUGGGUUCUGACGGGUCGGUUACUAUUCAUGGCCGACUUCGAAUUUCAUUUUUUUUAUUUUGGGUUAUUUUGCCCUUUUGCCUUGUUUACGCGCGUUAUAAGUUCCGGAACAAAAUAGAUCGCUCUAAACUGCACCGUUAGUCCUGGCGAGAGUUGGGCAGACAGUCCGCUAACCUCUUUGGUUCACCUUAGGGGAAGGUGGGGCUGUCACAGGUGGUAUCAGAGCCAUUUCGCGUGGUCUCUGCGCGGAGUGAGUUUGGGCCAAGUGGUGUUAUGGUCCUGAUUUCAUGGAUAUGUCUAAGUGCUCGUUUGAGCGUAAGUUAUGAACGGGGCAUGUUAUAAGUGUAAAAAUCUUUAUUAUGGAACUUGAGGACGACAGAUAAGUAUGUCGGGUAGGAAUCUUUAGUAUGGAUGAUUUACGUUUGGGACCGGCCGGCUCGAGUUGUGAAUUAUCUUAAAUGGGAUUCUUGCGCCCGGAUACGAAAGAGAUGAGAGUCUAGGUUAGAAAGAAUUGGGCGAACUAGAAAUUGCGAUUCUAUGGAUGACUUUGUAUGUACCUAACUGACUGUUCUGUAUACAUGUUGAUCCUGUUAUGUGUUCUCUGUAUAUGUGUUAUGUGUUUAAAUGCUCGACGAGGGAGUUGAGUAGUUAAUUGUUCUUGUUUACUUGUUCCUGUUUAGUGCUGCGAAGGAGGGGUUAGGUGCCCUUUAACAGUAUAUUUAUUUUGUGACCUAAAUCGACUUAGAUUGUAUGGAAGGCACACGUAGUGGACGGGGGCGUGGGCGCGGGAAUAGGCAACCUACGCCAGACCGGGGUGCUGGGGAAACCUCCUCUGGAUCCCAUCUUGAACCGAGAGUUGAUCCCAAUGUACAGAUAGCUACCGCUAUGCAGCAAAUGACAAACUUGCUGGCACAAGUGGUGCAGCAACAAGGCCAGAAUCCAAAUCCUAAUCCAGGAAACCCUGGAAACCCUGGCAAUCAUGUUGAGAGCGAAGACAGAGCUCUUGAACGAUUUCAAAAGUUUGCUCCACCCAAGUUCAUUGGGGGACCCGAUCCGGAUGUUGCCGAAAGGUGGCUCGAAAAGAUGGUCGAUAUUUUCGCCGCCCUGCACUAUACCGAAGAACGGCAGGUGACUUUUGCCGUUUUUCAGCUGGAAGAGGCGGCCCGCUCCUGGUGGAAUGUCAUUCGGCAAAAAUGGGAGCGGGAACAAACGCCCAGGACUUGGGUAAAUUUUAUGAGGGAGUUUAACGCGAAAUUCUUCCCUCCUCUGGUUCAGGAGAGGAAGGAAGAUGAGUUCAUCCGACUCCGCCAAGGAGUUCAAUCGGUGGCGGAAUACGAGAGCCAGUUCACCCGCCUGUCCAAAUUUACGCCUGAAUUGAUUGUGACGGAGCAACUACGAAUUAGGCGUUUUAUCCAGGGCCUAAACGUGGAGAUUCAGAAAGACCUCGCAGUGGCUCAAAUUAAUGCUUUUAGCGAGGCCGUUGAGAAGGCCCAACGAGUAGAGAGUGCCAGAUUACAAGUAAGAAAUUUCCAGGCGAAAAAGCGAGGAUUUCCUGGAAAUAGUUCGGGGCAGGGGGAUGAGAGUACCCCUUCCAAGUUUGGGCGAGGAAUUGGAGAAGAAAGGGUACCGGGAGUGUCACGAGAGAGCCCGUCGCGAGGCGGCCAAGUAGGGAGAGGCCAGAGAGGAGGCUCGGCUUCUGCAACACACGGACCUUGCGGGUAUUGCGGAAAGCCAAACCACUCGGAGGACAAUUGCUGGAAGAAGGAGGGAAAAUGUUUGCGCCGUGGAAGUGCAAACCAUCAGCUCGCUACUUGUCCAGUCCUAUCACGAGAUGGAAAGGGGAAGCAGCAAGCGACAAAGACUAACUCCGAAUCGGCCAAGGAGGAAGGGACUAAAUCUAAGGUGGCAGCUCGAGUGUAUUUACUAGAGCCACAACAGGUCCCCGAUUCUCCUGAGAUUGAGGAAGGUACGAUUGCGGUAUUUCUGCGGAAAUAUUAGUAGAUCCCGGCGUUACUCAUCCAUUUGUCAAUCCCAAUUUUGAUGGACGAAAUAGAUACCACGCCUGCUUGUCUACCCUACGACCUGAAAGUAGUAUUCCUAUGGGGAAUCAUCGUUUGAGCAUUGGUAUGGUUUGUAAGGAUCGCAGAGUUUGGGUAGGAGAGAGAAUAGUAUUCACGCAGAAAAAAAAAUAGAAAAAAAUCAUGGGAUAGAAGAGGUUACCUGGGAGGUGAAAAAGGAAUACCCUGAACUAGUUGUGAACCAAGGUGAGAAAUUUCGAGGGCGAAAUUCUUUUAAGGGGGAGAGAGUGUGAGAACCCGUACUUUUUAUUUUCUAGAUUUCUCGUAUUUUUAUGGCUUGUUUUCUGAAAUUUCGUGAUUAAAAAAAUUUCUAGAUAAUUUUAAGGAGCAGAUAUAAUUUUUAGAUGCUUUUUCUAGUAUCGAAUGGAUUUUGAGAAAUUAAGAGCGUAUACCGGAUGUGGGACCCACUAGUGCGAAAAGUUCGGAAAAAUUCGACCAACUAGGUUAAGUUUUGGAUACUGGAGUUAAUUUAUCGGAUGUUAAGAGAUAAGUAGAGGUUGCAAUUUGGAUUGAUAUGAGAGAGACAAGUUAGGUAGGCAUUUAAUAAAAGGUGACAAGUGUCACUUGGCUAUUGGUUGGACCAUUUAACUACUAUUGCAUGUCUUACCAAUUGACUUAAAUAUCUUAAAAAUUCACCAAAAAUCCCUCAUUCUUCUCUUCCUCUUGGCUGAAUCUCUUAAGCAAGGAAUGGAAAGAAAACUCUUCAAGAAUUUGGCUUCCAUCUUGCUUCAAUCAACUUACUCAACCAUCCAACCUUGAUUUUGCUCCAUAAAACCACUUAAGGAAGUGUUGGUGAGUUGUUGUGUGGAAUUAUUUGGAAAGCUAAGGUGACCAAUAGCUCUCUCUCUCUCUCUCUUGUUUUAAGGUAAGUUGUGAAGAACCACCCUCCUCCUUUAAUUGAUGCUUAAAUCAUGCUUAGUGGUAGUAGAAGAUGCAAGUUUAUGGAUUAAUUCUUGAUUUGUGGUUGAAAUGAUCAAGUUUUAUUAUUUUUGGGGAUUUUUCUGCUUUAAAAUAAGCAUGAUUCUGUGCCUAUCUAUGAUGAUUGGAAAUGGUCUAUAAUGACUUAAGGAGGUGGGAAAAGUGAUUAAUUGCAACCAAUUUCUGGUUUGGAAGAAAUUUCAGAAAACUAGGGUUCUUGAGGGAGCAUUCUGUCCGAAAUUUUAGGUCCUAGAUAGAGGCCGAAUUGGCCUUGGCUUAAAACAUGAAAGUUGUAGGGAAUGACAUUUUAUAGGUGCCUACAAAAUUUCAGGUCAAUCGGAGUAGUGUAGAAUGAGAUAAGUCGAAAUUACUAUUGCUGUUCUGGUUUUACCCGAAUUGGAGAAUUGCGCCUGUAAUUGGUUGUUUUGGCUGGAAUUGCUUCCGAAUUAGUUAUUGAGGCCUUCUGAUGAAAUUUAGCCCUGUUUCUUAGCUUUCAGUUGGUUUUGGAAUUUCUGGAUUUGGACUUGUAGAGCCUGAGUUAUGAUGUUUCCGCUAGAAUGCGUUUUGGUGAAUCUAUUUUACGUUUUUGAUGUAGUAUCUUGCAUUUUUGACCUGUUUGCACUCAAAACUGGGUUGAGUGACCUUCUGUGAUGUUGUAGCCCUGUCUUUUAGCUUCGAGAUGGUGGGUUUUGCACCCUCAUCCAAUAAUCGUAGUGAAAUUGGUGCCAUUACCGCAAAAUGAGGACAAAAACUGUUUUUUCAGGGCCAAAGUUAAUUGCAUUUCCGAAUUUUCUGGUUUCCUUUAAUAUUUGUGUAUGCUUAGGGAACCCUGUUUUGGUAGUAUAUAGAAUUGGUUUAUGACUUGUAAUCGAGUCUUAUUGUGUUCAUUUGAAUAGUUUAGGGCUUGACUUUCAUAUUCGGUUAUUCCCUAGCUAAAUUUUCUACUUGAAUGCCAUUAAGCCUAGUGAAUGGCUUUUGGGAAUGAGAUUAUUUUUGUACGAGAUGUUGGGACUGAUUUGAGGAAAUAAUGAAGCCAUGAUGGCUGGAAAAUAGGUAAACACAAGGGAUAUGCUGUCGAAAUUUUACUUGAAGGCUAGUUGGAUUUACUUGUGUUUUGAGCGAAGGGCUUUUGGGUUGUUUGAGCCUAGGUCUUCAUGUUACCUUUUCGUUCCAAAAAUCAUGUUUUGCACCUUGCUUUAGUAAUUAUUUGGCGACGCAUACGACUGGUAGUCGAGCCUCACAUGUGCAUUAUGUAUACUCAAUUUUGAAAGUGGAACCUUCAAUUGUUUUCCUUGGAUUAUUUUAGGGUUUAUUGGUGAUUAAAGCUCUCUUUUGGGAGGUAUCUGCACUGACCCUGGUGAGUGUACUACUCACUUGUGUGUUACUAUAUGGCUUUGAAUGUAACUUGCUUGAAGUGAAUUGAAUGUGACUUGAUUGCAGUGAAAGUGUACUUUAUCACUCUCACUUAUAUGUCUUAUAUCAUUGUUGUCAUGUUAUUGUAAUGUUACAUGAAAUGUUACAUGAAAUGAAAGUACUCGACUUUGUGUCGAUUGGGCGAGUAUCCAACGACUACAAAUGUUAUCAAUGAGCUCAACCCCAUUGGUAGUUGAUUGAAUCGAGCCGGCGAGGGUUUGGUCGUGUCAAUUAAUGAACCUUGGGUAAAGUUAUAUGGAAUCUUGUAGUAUACGAGACUCUCGAUUCCGGUAUACUCGAGUAAUACCAAAGUGCAAGUGUUUGGAGUUCGGGCCCGGUAGGGGGAUGUUAGGUGGAAGGAGUGGAGGUAAAGUGGAGUCUACGGUUGGUUACUUUUGAACAUUGACGGAGGGUCAAUGACGUCCGAUCAAGAAAUGCAAACGAGGAAAGGGCUCUUGAGAGCCAUCUAUAUCCUUUUAUCACCAUAUUUGAAGUGUGACUUUGCUUAUUUUACUAAAUUGAAUGAAAGCUUGAUGCUUAUAUGCACUUGGGUGCGUAAGUGAUAGUAUCUCACUGGGCAAUUAGCUCACACCGUUCUUUUGUUUUCCUUACAGGAAUAUGACUCAUUUUGGAAUGAAUCUUGAUAGAUGGUUACCGAAUGAACUAGAUGUAUAUUUCUUUUGUAUUGUAUAUGAAGGGAAACCCUAAAUGUAUCUUUAGGGCCGAUUUCACUUUCAAUUUGGCAAACCGUGUAUAUAUUCACUUUUGAAAACUUUUGUAUGCUGCUUUGGGUUGUAAUUGCUCAAAUUCCAUAUGUGAAUGUUACUUGAUAGUUGGUUGGGUUCUGACGGGUCGGUUACUAUUCAUGGCCGACUCCGAAUUUCAUUUUUUUUAUUUUGGGUUAUUUUGCCCUUUUGCCUUGUUUACGCGCGUUAUAAGUUCCGGAACAAAAUAGAUUGCUCUAAACUGCACCGUUAGUCCUGGCGAGAGCUGGGCAGGCAGUCCGCUAACCUCUUUGGUUCGCCUUAGGGGAAGGUGGGACUGUUACAAUAAUUCUUUCAACAAAUAUUAAUCACACACACACCCGGAAAGUAAGGUGAAUCCACAACCAUACCCAAAAGGCAAUUGUUGACUUUUGGGUAUUGACUGAGGACCUUAAAUUCCACUCACGCACACAACUAAUAAUCGAUGUGGGAUAGAAAGCACUGGGAAAGGGAACGCAGGGAGCUGCUACAAGACCUUAACGAAGACCCACUCACACUGACACUCCUCGCCACUGGCUUUUUCUCUUUCAACAAAUAUUAAUCACACACACACCCGGAAAGUAAGGUGAAUCCACAACCAUACCCAAAAGGCAAUUGAAUCGAUGUGGGAUAGAAAGCACUGGAAAAGGGAAUGCAGGGAGCUGCUACAAGACCUUAACGAAGACCCACUCACACUGACACUCCUCGCCACUGGCUUUUUCUCUUUCAACAAAUAUUAAUCACACACACACCCGGAAAGUAAGGUGAAUCCACAACCAUACCCACUGGCAAUUACUAAUAAUUAUAUAACUCAUAAAUCAUAAACAACACCACCCCAGGUCCUUGUCAGCAAUAGGAAAGAAGUAAUUAAGCAACUUAAAAAGAGAAAAGUCGAACCUGAAGCUUCUUCAGAACCCGAUAACGAGGUAAGACGCCAAAAAUAAUUGGUGAUACAAUUUCGAGUACACCAAUGGAGAGGUGCCGAGUAGAAUGAUGAUAGAUUGGCAACGCCCAGUAUUCCUCAACACGGCCAACCGCAUAAUCACGUUGAGGAUACUCUCUAGUAGUGUAAUGGCCCACAUAAGGUGCAAAUUCAGGCAACCCACUGCAGAACACCCGACCCGGGGGACCAAUCUCAUGAUCAUCAUCGACGGCUAUUAAGUACUCCAAACAGUGCUUCCUAUAUUCACAUAGUUCCAAAAGGCUCGAUGUGGUCUUAUUGGAGAGCAAAAGGCUGGUCACGAGUUGUCAAAUACGUUUUGUCCCCAAUCUUCGCUAAACCCCAAAACUGAAAUGGAUACCUUUAUGGUGGGAACCUGCCUAUGGUAGGAAGACGGGGACGUUAAAUUGUUGUACAGCACGUGGAGAGAAAAUAUACCAGAAUCGUCUGCGAAUGCAACCAAAAAGCACACUGACUUCCGUACGAGUUGGGACAGGAAGUGUUUUUGCAUGUUAAAACCAGAGGCAUUUAUGUAUUUGUAAAUGUACCUAUUACGACAUGAAAUAUGUUGCAAAUGCCUUGGACAAAAAAUGUGCAUAAAGAAGGUACCGAAAUUUUAAAAAAUAAUAAAUGAUUAUCGCACACGCGUGGGGGAUAAUAAUUUGGAAGAAGGAAAAGUGGAGGUAAACCAAAGGAUUCAAGCCUUCAUUAUAUUUAUAUACAUAUAUAAAUUCAGUGACCAAGUGUUCAGCUUAAGCAUCCGGAAAAAUGGUCCCAUGACUAUCGUUAUGGUGAAAAAACUUAUUAUAAUAGGGUUAUAAUAAAUUUAGCAACCAUUUGAUUACCUGUUGGACUUAUCCAUUUGAAUAGGAUUAUGCGUAAAAAUAAGGAAGUAAGUUUGUCAUCUAAAAUAGUAAGUUAAUGUAAUAAACUAGUAAUUUUUGCAGCCCAAAACGUGAAUUGAAAGUAUUACGAAACAUACUUUUUAAAGAAAUAAAUUACAAUUUUUAUCCUCAAUAUACUUUUGAGGGAGUAAGUUUAUUUGAAGUAAUAGUAUGUUUUUAUACAUAAAUAAUCAUUUUUACUUAUAACAUAGUAAAUUUGAUUAAUGACAAAAACAUGGUAAUUUAUGGCAAAAAUUCUCUAUUAUGCUUAAAAAACUUAUGCCAAGCCCAUAUUUUAUUGUUAUUUAAAAUAACACUAAAAUGUUUUAUUAAUGAUUAAAACUGAGUAUCUUACUUAGUAAGUAAUGUUAAUAUACUUGUAUAAAUACUUGAUCGUAUGUUAAUUUUCUCCAUUAUAAGAGCACAGUACCCAUUUUCCUCAUCAAAAAUUUUAUUUAUCGGAUAAAAUAAAAAUAAACCCGUUUUCCCAUAAAACACCAGUUCUUUAUGACAUUUCUCCAUUAUAAGAAUAAAGUACCCAUUUUCUCACAAAAAUUUAUUUAUCGCCUAAACUUAAAAUAAACCCAUUUUUUUAAUAAAAUACUAACUCUUUAGCACUUUCUUCUAUUAUAAGAAUACAAUACCGAUUUUUGCAUAAACAAAAUUUAUUUAUUGACUAAAGUAAAAUGAAAUCCGUUUUCCAAUAAAACACUAGUUCUUCUUUAUAACUUUUCUCCAUUAUAAGAACAAAGUACCCAUUUUGUCAUUAAAAAAUUUAUUUAUCGGCUAAACUAAAAAUAAACUCAUUUUUCAAUAAAAUACUACCUCUUUAUCAUGUUCCCCUGUUAUAAGAACACAGUACCCAUUUUUGCAUAUAAAAAUUUUAUUUAUCGGAUAAAAUAAAAUAAAAUCUGUUUUCCAAUAAAACACUAGCUUUAUGGCUUUCCUCCAUUAUGAGAAUAGAGUACCCAUUUUUCAUAAACAAAUUUAUUUAUUGGAUAAAAUAAAAAUAAAUCAAUUUUUCAAUAAAGGACCAGCUACUUGUGACUUUUCUCCAUAAAUUAUCUAUUUUCAUACAUUAAUUUAUUAGUUAGAUAAAAUCAGAAUGAAAUUAGCUUGAACAAUAAAUUACCCUUUACGAUGAAAUUGAAAUACAGAAAAGUAACCCAUAGCAAGUUUUAACUCCAAUCCAAUACAAAAAUAUGCUACAAAUUCUUUUGGCAACCGCAAGACACCUCAUUCAUAAAGUCUCAAGAAAACUUUCCAACCAUUAUGCAAAAGCAACUUAUUCAUUCUAAAUUUUUAGCAUCAAUUUGAUUAUCAAUUGGACGUAUCCACCUAAAUAGGAUAAUAUGUAUUUUAUGGGACACAAGACAUAAUAGGAAUUAAACUUGCAUUAAUGUAGAUGAUAGGUCAUAAUUUGUUAUUAAAUUUAUAAUUAUUCUCCCCCUGAUUUUAGCCAAAUAUUAUUCUAAUCGUCGGAUUCUACUUAUAUUUGGUAUUUUGUGCUUAUUUCAGGAGAAAGAAUGAAAAGUGCUUAAAAUCAAAUUUCAGAGAACUUCUUGAUGAGUAGGUGUGCCCACGCCUAACUCCAGCCUUCUUGGCCGGACCUUCGGGAUUAUGUGCACGUGGAAAGCUUCCUAGAAUGAGUGGAAUAGCUGGCUUCAAACCAGGAAAUCACAAGACUCGUGGGCCGCAGAGGUGUAGAGGAUAAAAACUCUAAUCCUACAAAACGUCAAGGACUUGGAAGCUUACUUUUUCUUUUCAGCGGCCAAUAGGAACAAAGCCAGAAUCACGUAUGAAUUAGACUAGCUUGAAUUUCCUUUUUCUAGCGGUCAGACGUCUUCUUUUAAGAGGACAAUUCCUAUCUUUUUAUACGAGACUCCUUAGCCGGCUUUUGGGGGGGAGGAAAAGAAAAGGAUGAAAAAGCUUCGGUCAACUUUUUCUCAAUUGCUUUCCACGGCUUGUUCUCCAUUAAUGGAGAACUGAGUUCUUAUUUCUAGUCAAUGGACAACUGAAGAUUUGAUUCAACAAUAACUGUGAGAUCUAAAUUAUUUUAAUUGUUUCCUUCAUUUAUUGGUAUUUGUAUGUUUUCUGCUUUAAAUUGUUGUUAUAGCUAUCGUGUAUGAUUGAAUAGAUGCGCAAUAUUUAAUUAUUCACAUAGGCUAUCUUGCUAAAUAGGGGUAAUUGAAUCCGUAAUUGUUCGUUACCUCUAUCUCAGUAGCAACUGGCGUAAUUGGGUUUAUGUCAGGGAAACAUACGAUCUAACUUAAACAAACCCUCGUAGCGUGUUUGUUAGUUAGGAUUGAGCUUUUCUAAUUAUUAAUGCAAUCUAGAAAUUAAAUCCUACGGUCGUACCUAGGAUUGUUUUUGGGUUAGAGAAAUAGUUAACGGUCGUACCUUAACUAUCGAGAAAGUAAGGAAAGGUUGGUUGUUUAUCGCGUGUAUGACAACUAUAACCACUCUAGUAAUAAAUGUUGGAAUUAUCUUUGAAUCAAUGAUCAGUGCGUGAACCAUUUCUGAAGUGUAUCCUUGGCUAGAGUUUCUCUAAGUUAUUUCUUUUAAUUAAUUAUUUUCUGCAUUUAAUUUCUUUAGUUAGCAUUUAAUCCAAAACCCCCCAUACCUUGGAUUCUAGAAGAAACGAAUUAUCCCCAGUCCCUGUGGAUUCGACCCUACUCACCGCUAUAUGCAAAAUCUGUAUUUUUCUCGAGUAGGUAUUUAUUAUUGUACAGGUUCGGCACCUGUCAAUUUUUGGCGCCGUUGCCGGGGACUGGUGCCAGAUUAAUUUGUUUCUUUUUGAGUUCAUCUUGUUUUUAUUUUUAUUUAUUUAUUUUUCUCUUAUUUUUUUAUUAUAUAGUUUAUGGCUUCUAACACUCCGUAUUUUGGUGAUUUACUGGAUUUUGUUUCAGAGGAAGGCAAUGAGACUGAUUUUUUUUCUAAGUUUGCAUAUUUAGAGGCACUAAACUCUAUUAGAGAAAGAAUGGCUGCUGCAACCUGUGAAAUUUGUUAUGCCAGGGAUCAUUCGACCGGUAAGUGCCCUGAAUAUCAAGAUAAUCUGAGUGUCCCACUCAAUAAUUAUGGAGAUUUUUCACCAUGGUUUCAAACGUGGUAUAACCCUAAUCCAAACGGGUAUGAUCAAGGAUGGUGAGAUAACUCUAGUUAUAAUUAUACAACAGGGCCAAUGAAUUUUCAGCAGUAUGAGUCUCAAGAAUCAUCAUCUAUGUCAGGUAUGUCUCUUGAAGAAAUAGUUGAAUUAAUAGCUACUAACACAUAUCAAAUUCAACAGGAGACACAUCAACUUCAACAGGAGAUAAUAGAUUUUCAUCAAGAGACACAAGUGAACAGGCGUAACCUAGCAGAUCAAAUGGAUCAAUUGACAUUUAGGAUAACGUCAUUGGCUUCUCGAAUGAAUGAAGAAAUGCCCUCACCGACUAUUAUCGACCAUGAAGAAGAUGAGAGUGCAAUUAUUCUGACAAAUGACAUGGUACUGCAAGAGUCUCAAGAAGAAGAAUCUAAAGAUGCAGUUGAAAAGAAAGUUGAAGAGCAAAAAUUGAGACCCCAACAUCAAAUGGUUCAAGUGAAUGAAUCCAGUGAACAAUCUCCAAAUGCGGUGACAUCUCCUCCAUUCCUUGAUCAAUAUUUUCUUGACUCUUAUUCUUUAAUUCCUGUUAGUGAGAUUGAUUUUAUUAUACCAGACGAUUUUGAAUUUCAUGCCAGGAAUAAGUUAAGAGUCAUGAUGGCAAAAUAUCUCGAACUAAUAAGUGCUCUUGAUGGAGGAGUGAGUGAAGAUUUAAGAUCAUCACUUGUUUGUUUGGUGCCAUUUACUAGUCCAUGGAAAAUCGUAACUCGUGUGCUCAAAAAUUACUCCAUCUAUGAGGGUUACCAGGAUCAUAUUAAAGAUGAAGCAUUGAAGCGAGCCACAAGAUUUUAUCCUCCGUGAACAAGCAUAGCAUGUCUAGCCAAAGACAUUAAAGAAAGGCGCUACUUGGGAGGCAACCCAAGACUAUUUGUUUCAGUUUCCAUGCAUUUUUGAAGUUUUAGUUAAGUGUUAGUGUCAAUUAAUAGUUUGAUGUUUGGUGGCAGGAAAUUAGUAGUUAGACGUGCCCACGCCAGGUGGUCACGCCUGAGGGAAAGAAAUUUUCGCUCAAGAUCUGCGGACUCUAUAGCAAUUAGACGUGCCCAUGCCAGGUGGUCACGCCUGAGGGAAAGAAAUUUACGUUCAGAUUCUGCGGACUCUAUAGCAGAUAGACGUGCCCACGCUAGGUGGUCAUGCUAACAGAUCGAGAAUUUUCGACGGAUGGUCAAAAGACUAGGGGCAGUUAGGCGUGUCCACGCCUAAGCCAGAGGUUCCAUAUUCCAAAAAAAAAAAAAGAGAAAAGAAAUUUUUUUUUUUAAAAAAAAUAGGACACGAAACCCUACUCUUUUCUUCUUCUUCUUUCUUUUCUUUUUCUUUCUUCUUCUUUCCUUUCCUCUGCUUGGUCUGCCGACGCGCCCCACCUGGCCGCACGCCACCAUUGCUGUCCACCAGGGCCACACGUCCGCCGCCUUUCCCUCCACAGCCAUAGUUCAGUUCUGCCUCCUCCGUUUUAAGGGAAGUGUCGUUGCCCCAAUAUCUCUGUUUUGCUCUUUCUUUGCUUACAUUGAGGGCAAUGCAAGAUUUAGGUGUGGGGGGGGUAGUAUAUUGGCAUUUUAUUGAAAAAGUGCAAGCGUAGGCAUUUUUGUUGGAAUUUUUUGUUUGACUUUGUCGAAUUUUGUCCAAUUUUUGUCUAUCUUUGUGCUUAUUUGUGAUUAUUCCUGAUAAACGAUGGUUAGAUGUCUCAAAAUUUUCUAUUACUAAGAUUUUACACUUUAAGGUGUUGAGUAUGACAUGGUUGAUUUUAAGGGUAUCUCUUGGGUGAAUAUUUGAGAUUUUGUGACUUUUGCACUUUUUGGUUAACUUUUCUAAGUAUUGUAAAUAUUUGUCUAGCAUUUUUUUUGUGCAAAUUGGUUCAACUAUUAAUCUUAGUUCUCCAUGUUUAAGAAAUGAAACGGGUUUGUGUGGUUUUUAAUUUUAUUUUUGGUGCUUAUUUAUGAAUAGUAUUCAGCUAUACUCCGCUAGUAUCGUUGUCUAGUAACCGGAGGUCUUCACCACAAGUGUUGACUUUCGCGUCAAAAAGCGACGAUAACUAUGAGUAUGUGAUUUUUAAGCGAUGAUGGCUGAGUAACCGGGCUCCUUCAUGUGGCCAAUGUCGGAGUUCGCGUCAAAAUGCUUGAAUGGCUGAAAACUAAGCAUUCCCCCGGAAAAAAAAAAUCAAUCAAGUGGAGAUAUAAAAAAAAAAGUGCUAAUAGUGGAAACUAUGAAUGAAUUGCUAGCCCGCUGACCCAUGAAUUUUAUUGUUGAGAUUUUGCUUAAUAGUCGAACCAUUUGCUUAUGGAUGCUGGUUGAAUAUUUUAUAUUCUUAGAUUAGUUAGUCAUAAAUUAAAAGAGUCCUUAAUCUUCAAAACUAACUGGAGAGAUAUUUCUUGAAAAUUGCCACUAAUACUUGACAUACGUUUUAAUUAUAUCUUGGCAAUAGAAGAUUUGAGUAAUACCAUUGUUUGAAUUUGAUUAUUUGAUUUAUGUUCUUAUGUUUGAGGACAAGCAUGGUUUAGGUGUGGGAGAAAUUGAUAGGUCAUAAUUUGUUGUUAAAUUUAUAAUUAUUCUCCCCCUGAUUUUAGCCAAAUAUUAUUCUAAUCGUCGGAUUCUACUUAUAUUUGGUAUUUUGUGCUUAUUUCAGGAGAAAGAAUGAAAAGUGCUUAAAAUCAAAUUUCAGAGAACUUCUUGAUGAGUAGGUGUGCCCACGCCUAACUCCAGCCUUCUUGGCCGGACCUUCGGGAUUAUGUGCACGUGGAAAGCUUCCUAGAAUGAGUGGAAUAGCUGGCUUCAAACCAGGAAAUCACAAGACUCGUGGGCCGCAGAGGUGUAGAGGAUAAAAACUCUAAUCCUACAAAACGUCAAGGACUUGGAAGCUUACUUUUUCUUUUCAGCGGCCAAUAGGAACAAAGCCAGAAUCACGUAUGAAUUAGACUAGCUUGAAUUUCCUUUUUCUAGCGGUCAGACGUCUUCUUUUAAGAGGACAAUUCCUAUCUUUUUAUACGAGACUCCUUAGCCGGCUUUUGGGGGGGAGGAAAAGAAAAGGAUGAAAAAGCUUCGGUCAACUUUUUCUCAAUUGCUUUCCACGGCUUGUUCUCCAUUAAUGGAGAACUGAGUUCUUAUUUCUAGUCAAUGGACAACUGAAGAUUUGAUUCAACAAUAACUGUGAGAUCUAAAUUAUUUUAAUUGUUUCCUUCAUUUAUUGGUAUUUGUAUGUUUUCUGCUUUAAAUUGUUGUUAUAGCUAUCGUGUAUGAUUGAAUAGAUGCGCAAUAUUUAAUUAUUCACAUAGGCUAUCUUGCUAAAUAGGGGUAAUUGAAUCCGUAAUUGUUCGUUACCUCUAUCUCAGUAGCAACUGGCGUAAUUGGGUUUAUGUCAGGGAAACAUACGAUCUAACUUAAACAAACCCUCGUAGCGUGUUUGUUAGUUAGGAUUGAGCUUUUCUAAUUAUUAAUGCAAUCUAGAAAUUAAAUCCUACGGUCGUACCUAGGAUUGUUUUUGGGUUAGAGAAAUAGUUAACGGUCGUACCUUAACUAUCGAGAAAGUAAGGAAAGGUUGGUUGUUUAUCGCGUGUAUGACAACUAUAACCACUCUAGUAAUAAAUGUUGGAAUUAUCUUUGAACCAAUGAUCAGUGCGUGAACCAUUUCUGAAGUGUAUCCUUGGCUAGAGUUUCUCUAAGUUAUUUCUUUUAAUUAAUUAUUUUCUGCAUUUAAUUUCUUUAGUUAGCAUUUAAUCCAAAACCCCCCAUACCUUGGACUCUAGAAGAAACGAAUUAUCCCCAGUCCCUGUGGAUUCGACCCUACUCACUGCUAUAUGCAAAAUCUGUAUUUUUCUCGAGUAGAUAUUUAUUAUUGUACAGGUUCGGCACCUGUCAGUAGACCUAACAAAAUUAGAGAAAUAGCAUAACAAUUAAUACAAUAAUAAGAAUUACAGAGUUGGUAUAACAAAAUUAGUUUAGUCUACAAAUUUAUUUUUUUUGCAGAUAGUUCGCGAAUAUGACAUUCAACCACCAAAAAAAAGACAUCUAUAUCUGUCUAUAUGUAUUGCAGAGAGAAUUUUAGAUAAGGAGCUUUUCAAAUUGUCAAAAGUUCGAAUACUAUUUUAUUACAAUUUUACAUUUCUAAAAUUAAGAAAUGUUUAUCUCACAACUAAUCCUUUAAUUGCUCGUACAAAUCCUAUAAUUAUGCUCAUGUUUUUCCCACAUUUCCCUCACAUUUUCCCCACUAACCAAUAAAAUUAAAACUCCCGAAUUUUAACUAACAGAUAAUAACCAACCAUGUCAAAUUAAUAUCUGCAAAUUUCAAUUAACAUCUCACAUUUACUGCUGACUUUACUGAUAGUAUUAACUAACAGUUAUUGCUGACAUUCACAACUCACACUUACCACAUUACUCAUAGGAAUAACUAACUGUUAAUUUAAGAUAUUCGCAACAGUGAAAGUCACAUAUCCAAAAUUUAGGAGCAUGUAGAAAUAAUAAUUUUCACAAUUCAAUGUAUUUUAUUGCCAUAAUAUAGUUUACUCUCAGAAUCAUUCACAAAAUUGCUGCAUACUAAUCCAAUUGACCCAUUUAAUUUGCCAUCAUAUAAAUUCAAUACAGUGAAAAAAUUACGUAUUAUACAUUUUUUCACUAAGGAUAAAUCUCAGUUUCAAAUAUUUCAAUCAGUGACAAAGCCAAGAUUUUUUCUCUAGAGAGGCUAAAAUGGAUACUCAGUUUUUAUAAUGGAGAAAAGUCAUAAAGAGUUAGUAUUUUAUUGAACAAUGGAUUUAUUUUAAUUUCAUCUGAAAAAUAGAUUUGUUUAUGCAAAAAUGGGUACUCUGUUCUUAUAAUAGCGGAAAGACAUAAAGAACUAGUGUUUUAUUGAAAAAUCGAAUUUUAAUGUAUUUUAUCCGACAAAUAAAUUGGUUUAUGAGAAAAUUGGUGUUAAAGAGGUGAAAUUUUUGUAGAGGGGCUGAAAUGGGUACUCUGUUUUUAUAUUGGAGGAAAUGCAUAAAGAGUUAGUGUUUUAUUGAACAAUGGAUUUAUUUUUAUUUCAUCCGAUAAAUAAAUUUGUUUAUGCAAAAAUAGGUACUCUAUUCUUAUAAUGGAGGAAAGCCAUAAACAACUACUGUUUUAUUCAAAACCGAAUUUUCAUGUAUUUUAUCCGAUAAAUGAAUUGGUUUAUGGGAAAAUUAGUGUUAAAGAGAUGAAAUUUGAUGGGAAAAUGAUACUUUACGAUACCAAUGAAUAAUAGUUACAACACAAUCACAGAUUUGAUAUUUUAAAUAGUGAAGAAUCGGUUCCAUUUUGAUUACAUAUUUUUCGGGAUAUUUUUAAAAAAUAGCACUACAGUUCUUCGAACAUAAACUAUAGGUACUGUACGUAUAUGCUAUUCUUUUCCCUUUUACACCAUUCCUUUGACAUAUGUGCUUUCUCAUAAAAGAUUUUUAUUCAUUUUUCAAAUCGAAAAAAAUUAAUGAAAUAUGUAUAAUUCGAAUAAAAUACUAUUUUAAUUAUUGCCAUUUUGCUCAUACGUUGCAAGACUGAUAAGAAAAUCGUAAAGCGUUGCUAUUUUUAUGAAUGACAACUUUUCCCGUAAAUGGCCCGCUCUUUAUGUCUUUUCUUUAUUAUAUGUCAACGCAUCUGCUUUUAACGAGCAUUUUACAUCUAAUUUAUUUAGUACUAUAAACAAUGAUAUUUAGAAUGUUUCUUUUCCCUUUAGACCAACAACUUUGACUUGUGGAUUUUUGUGCUCUGAGAAAAAAGAUUUUCGCUUACCUUUUUUUUUAAACUGCAAAAGAAAAAAUCAAUUUUUCCCCAUAAAUCUCAAAAAUGCUUAUUUAUACACAUACCAUCAAGUAUGUAUACAAGUAUAAUAACUGUACUGACUAAGUAACGUACUCAGUUUUAAUGAUUAAUAAUACAUUUUUGUGUUAUUUCAAAUAACUCUAAAAUAUGGGCUACGUAUAAGUUUUUUAAGCAUAAUACAAUAUUAUGGCCAUAAAUUAGCAAGUUUUUGUCAUUAAUCAAAUUUAUUAUGUUAUAACUAAAACUCACUAUUUCUGUAUAAAAACAUAUUUUUACUUCAAAUAAACUUACUCCCUCAAAAGUAUAUUUGGGAUAUACUAUUGUAAUUUAUCUCUUUAAAAAAUAUGUUUCAUAUUAAUUACAAUUUACCUUUUCGACUGCAAAAGUUACUAAUUUAUUACGUUAAUUUACUAUUUUGAAUGACAAAUUUACUCCCUUAUUUUUACCUAUAAUCCUAUUCAAGUGGAUAGGUCUAACGGGUAAUCAAAUGGUCGCUAAAAUUUUUAGAACCUAUUAUAUCAUGUCUAAAACUGUGUUGUUUACCGUAUCGAUAGUUAUGGGACCAUUUUCUCGAAUGCUUAAGCUGAACACUUGGGCACUAAAUUUAUAUAUGUAUAUAAAUAUAAUGAAGGCUUGAAUCCUUUCGUUUACCUCCACUUUUCCUUCUUCCAAAUUAUUAUCCCCCACGCGUGUGCAAUAAUCAUUUAUUAUUUCUUAAAAUUUCGGUACCUUCUUUACGCACAUUUUUUGUCCAAGGCAUUUGCAACAUUUUUCCAUUGGUAAUGAGUACAUUUGCAAAUACAUAAAUGCCUCUGAUUUUAACAUGCAAUAACACUUCCUGGCCCAACUCGUACGGAAGCCAGUGUGCUUUCUGGUUGGAUCCGCAGACGAUUCUCAUAUAUUUCCUCUUCACGCGUUGUGCAACAAUUAAACAUCUCUGUUUGGAUUGUAUAUAACGUCAACACGUGUCACUCUCUGCCGAUCUUCCUACCAUAGGCAUGUUCCCACCAUAAAGGUUUCCAACUGAAAUAGACACCGCGACCACGUUAUUGCUUCCAUAACAAGUUGUAGAAACCAUUGGAUCUGGUCCUUAAUCACGGCGCCGUCUGCAGCUGCAAUAGGAAAAUCAGUAAUAAAAAAAAAAUUAAAGGGUGCUUGCUAGUAAUAUGAACUGUUUGUAUCAUUUAUUUAUGGGUUAAUUGCAGUUUGCACCCACCAACUAUUCAAGAAUCAGACUUUACGUCCUAAACUUUGAAUUUCAGCAAUCAACUACCUCAAACUUUUAACCUUUGGCACAAUGUAAAAAUCAAAGUAAAGAUAAUCACAAAAAGAGUGGUGCGACUAGUUUACCCUUAAUUUCUUGUUGAGCUACCAAAAAUACCCUACCUAUGACAAGUUUUUUGGAGACAAAAAAUUCUCAAAUUCCUUGAACCCAAAUUCCUAAAAUCAAUCAAAUAAGAAAAUAAUUAAGAUUUCUUGUUACCAUAUUAUUUUUGCAAAGUUAAGAAAGGGUAUUUGUAGGACAAAACAAGAGUAAGGUGUGAAAUGGUCUAUUUAUCGGUCAAAAUUAGGUGGAUUGUACUAUGUUACGAAAAAUUAAAAGUUAAAUGUAGUGAAUUGCAAAAAUUAGAAGUUUAGGGUGUAGUGCUCAAUUUGGAAAUAGUUCAUAGGUGCAAAGUGCAAUUAACCCUUUAUUUAUUUAUUAAUUGCAGAGUACUCUACUGAUUGACCCGUGCUUUAACCGAGACCCAACAAGUCAAAGAAGGGAAGUUAUGUGUGUAUGUACUCAUGAUGAUCCAUCAUAAACUUUGAGCAAAUUAUAGUUUGUUUGGAUUGUGUUUUAUUUCUCCAAUUUUAUCUGCUUAUAUCAUUAUUACUAUUUUCAAUACAUCUUUUUAUCUUCUCAAUUAUUUUUUUUAUCUCACAUACAUCACAUCACAAAAAGUGUUACAAUAAAAAUAUUCCAAAUAAAAUACAAUCCAAACAAACCCAACAGAGCCUUCCAAUUGGAUGGCCCAAGCCUUUGUAUAUUUCUAACAUCCAUAUAACCCUUUUAAUUUCUCAUCAAACUAAUUUUUUUUCUAGAAUUUUUUUUUCUCUUCUAAAUUGUUCAUGCAAAUUUAUUCCACAGGAGUUUUAUCAGAGUCAGACUAUAUAUAGCUAUGACAAAUUUAAUUGCGAUAAAUUUAAUUCCCUGAUUCUCUGUUUCUUACUACUACAUCUAUUUUAUUUAUCUUCUGUGUAGGAAACUAACAGCCUUUAUUUUAUUCAUCUUCUCAGUUCCUUGCUGCUACACGCUCGAAGACUUCAAAGUCAAUGGUCCACAAGAGAAAAAGGACUAACAGGUAGCUAUGCCCAAAGGGUUCAAACACUUUCGAAAGGCUCAAAUUGUUCUCUUGCACUUUCACCUAAUAUGUCACCAGAUCGAGGAACAAAGUUGAUGCUCAUCAGUGCCCAUACGUCACUAGGAAGUUGUGGCAUUUUCUUAUAAAAAAAAUUUUUAGUUAUCCUAAAACAUCGUGAGAAUUCAAAUAGUAAUUUCUAUUUCUUUUUUAUUUAAAAGAUGUAAAAAUAAUAAAGAAAAGGAGAAGAAGAAAGAAAGAAAAAAAAUGAAAAAGAUUAAUAUUAGACACUAUCCUUAUAAUGAGGGCGUUAUUAUCUUUUUGCUUUGCACAUAAACUUGGUUUUAGAGAGCAAUUUGUCGGUUUUAAAAAACAGGACAGACUAAAAGAAUUAAAAAAAAAAACCGAAAUAGCGGGGAAGCACGCAAAAGCUAGAACCAAUAUGAAGUGGUCUAAACUGUCCAAUGGCCCAAACUGAUUUGGAGCCUUCACACACUGUACAUCAACGGAUGACGACAGAAAAAGGAUCAACGGAAGAAUUUUGUAAGCGAAACAGCAUGGAAGCAAUCAAAAGCAAGAGCCGAAAGGGGAAUAAAAAGAAACGAAAAAGAACCCUGAGUGGAGAAGAUGACGAACCGAGCGUCAAAAGAAGAUAGCAUCAUUUGCUCUUCACUUUAUUGUUUUGAUUUUCUUUUUACAUACAAGUUGGGUAAUGGGUACUUAAGGAAAGACGCCAACCCAUCUAAUAAAUAAUUUUGAGUUUUCUUAACCCAACCAAUCAAAACCCAUUACCAACGAACCUUUAAAAUUAGUAAGUGAAUUGGGUGGGUUGUUAGAUUUUAAGUUUAUUUGCCAGGUUUAAUCACUUGCAAAGCUCAUGUACAUGACCGGUGAGCAAUUUCUCGUCGCUUUCAUUUACAUUUACCAUGAAGACUAGAAGUGGAAGAACUUUAAGACGUAUUUUCAUGGACAUAUUUUCAAUGGAUUUUUUGUCACCAAAUUAUAGAAUUGCGUAGCCAAUCACCACUCCUAACCGGUUAUCAUCAGUUCUUACAUGUAUAAUACAUAUUUCGUGUUGUCUUGUGUUAUUUUUGGCCUCUAUUAUGUUUACAUAUUUGCAUUCCUUGUUACCUUUUUUAAAAGGAAAUACUUUUAAACUUUUAUUUCACUUUUUUUCUGAAAAUCCCUCUCAAUGAAUGUCUAUUGGCACUUCUUAGAUAAAUCAAACAUUUUCUUUAUUAGUUUUGUGUAUUAGCAAUAAGUUUUUUUCUAAUGUUUUUGCUUGGCUUUAUAAGAAUUUGCAUGAGAUAAGUCAUAUUUAUUUUAUAGUCAAAAAUAGAAAAUUGGGGAAAAUUUUCUCGUUUUUCUUUUUUUUUUUUUGUUUAAAGAAGCGGAUUUAUGAACCUGAAGUGGAUCUGACCAAUAUUUUUACCUUCUCUCAAGUAACAGCCAUUUACUCUUUCAAUUUGCAUAGUGGCUGCUAGUAAGUUUUUUUUUUUGUGUGUGUAUAUUUGUAUAUAUGUGUGUCUCUAUGUGUAUAUAUAUGUAUAUACAUAUAUUUAUAUAUAUGUAUAUAUAUGCAUGCAUAUAUAUAACAUUGAAGAUUGUUUCACAAGGUAAAAAGGGAAGAAAUGAUAAAUUAAUGCGACGUGAAAACACUACUGUUCUUAAAGUUUUAAUUGCUCAUAGUGCAUUUAGUUGUUUGCUUAUGAGUUGUGGCAAUUUACCCCUAGAAUAGAACAAGUAGACAGCAUAAUCUAAUUGUUCUCGCUUAGAAUUAAUCAAGUACAAAAGCUAGUUUAAUUCAAUGAGACUUAAUUAUUUUUGUAGGAAAAGUGUUUUUCUAUGACCACAUAAUGACCAGACACAGCCUCGUUCGUUUUGCGCAGCAUUAGCUUUCAAAUAACCACCUUUGGAGUAUGAAAAGUUUUCAAAACAGAGCUUUUAACGAACCAAACUAUUUGCAAACAUAUUCAUGUUUUUCUCAUUCGAAUUUGAAAAAAAGCACGAUCAUUUAAUAAUUGAAUUGAAUUCGAACAUAAUAUUAAGCUCCUUUAAUACUCAAGCCGAACACGAAUCUGUUUGUGAACUAUUCUAAUAUUUCGUGAAUAUAUAUAUAUAAAUAUAAAUGCAUUUAAUAUUAUUAAAUUUAUAUUAUAUUUUACUAAAAUGUAUUAUACAUAAAUUAGCAUUAUUUAUUUUUUAAAAAUAAUAAAUGCAAUUAAACUGAUUCUAAAUAAUGUAUUAUUUAUUAAAAAUAUAAUUAAAUUGUCUUCAAAAUCAAAUCCAGCUCAAAUUUGGCUCGUCUAGUUCAAUGAGUAGAGGUUGAACUUGAAUGUUUGUACAAAUAAACAAAUCGAAUUCGAACAAUAUUUGAAAUUCAUUAAUAUUCGAACUUAACUUGAACCCUGUUCAUAGAAUACGUGAAUUGAGCCUGAACAUCAAGUAUUUGACUCAAUUUGACUCGUUAAAAGUUGUAUGUCAAAACAUUUCUUCAAAAAUUUUGACUAUUACGAGGAUCCAGCCCCAUCCAUUAGUGCACAGAACUAGAUCUGAUUCACCAAGAAAGCCGGAAACCUAAGUGAUCAAGAUCGAAUCCAAAUCUGAAUGUAAAACUAGAAAAACUCGGACCUCUCUGGACAUGAUCUAACAAUGGAUCAGGCUCGGGUCAAGCCAGGAUCUGGCACCAGAUCAUAGUUCAUCACUUUGUUUUGUUUGUCAAAAUUCCAUUUCUAUGUUUCAAAUCUUAUAUUGCAUCUUUCAAAACUAAUUUUUAUAUAUUUUCAUAAUUUAUUUAUACAUUUUGAGUCGUAUUUGUACAUUUAAAAAUUUUAUUUACAAACUGAUCCAACUGCAGGUUUAGAUGCAUAAUAUAUUACCUUUUUUCAAAUUUCAAAUUUUCUUUUUGCACAUAUUUCAUAUACUUACUUGCUUGUGUAAUAUAUUGGGCUAACCAUGUAAACCAUAUUAGCUUGAAUAAAUGUCCAAAGCACAGCAUCCUCUAUGUUAAAAAAUCAACUAAAUUUGGCUAUUUAGUGUAAUCAUAUUUAAUAUUAUAUCAAAAAAGUACAACAUUGAUAUCAUAUUUGAUCCCUCUUGUUUUUGGUCCCUCAUAUAUAUAUAUGUAUGUAUGUAUGUAUCUAUUUUUUUUUUAAUUCUUAAAAAUAUAUCGGUCUCUCCUGUUUGGAUUCUUCUCAACGGUUAAUGCUUUUGUUAACUUUAAGUACUUCGUCAAAUCACAAAUUCCAAACAUCACAUACUACAAAUGUCACUAACGCAGAGGAAAAAGACUGGGUUGGUUGGAAAGGUGUUUAAAAAAAAAAAACAAUGUUUCUCAUCAUUAAAAUUUUGCAAAAAGAUCGCGAGGCAAUCCCAACUGCAACAAGUCUCAGCAUUGCUCAUGCUCAGUGGCUUGCUUCGUUCUUGCCUGAUCCUUGCUAGGUUCUAUGACUUUGAAUUCUGGUCUAGACUUGAUGUGCUGGAGGCUGUCUUCUAUGACAGCUUGAGCCGUUGUUUCUGUGAUGUAGAGUGAAUACUCACAGAACUUUAUCUGCAUCUGUGAUGUAGAGCCAUUGCUAUAAUUUGAGCAAUUCCGUAAUGCUAUACAUCCGCGGGUUUAUUAACCCUCAACUUGUUUGAGAUUUCCAGUGAAAUAGAAAAGUACAAGAUAGUCAGCUGAAUUAGCUGAUAAGAACUUCCAAUAACCAUCUUUCAGGGACAAAUUUAGCAAUGUUUAUGGCCAGUGUGGGAGUCAAGAAUUUAAUGCAGGGUGCCUAUUGACAUUCAUUAUCAAGUCUAGAAAUCAUUUGCUUUGGUUUUUCUCAAUUUUAUAAUAGAACAAAAGAAAUUCAUUACAUUUGAUUAUACUACAACAAAAAAAAAUUGAAAUUUAAGUAAUUUGAGAACAUGCUUUAAUUACUAUCCAAAAAUAAUGGUUUACUUGAAGGCUGACUUGGCACGUCGAGUCAAGCAUGAGGGGAGGUUUUAGUGGCUAAUCCAAAUCAUUAUCUUUAAGUUUUAUGCUUUUUAUAUGAACACACUCCAUUUCUUGGUGGUUCCAAGACGCAAAAAGGGAGCUUUCCAAUCCAUGCAAGUCUCUAUCGUUGAGCCAAUCUGGAACCAUUAUCCUGUUUUUUUUUUUAAAUAUUUUUUUAAUAUAAACACAGUAGUUUGUUCUCCCCUAGAAUUUGAUCCUCCUUGUCCUGCAGGUAAUCUGCAAGCAUUAUCAUUGAGUCUUCUUUUUUUUUUUUUUUUUUUUUUGUAUACAUAAAUACAGCGACUCUUUUUAUAUCAUAUAAAUACAGUGAAUUGCCCUCCCAUGGAAUCUCACCCUUGUGUUAAUCUGCAAACAUUACCCUUCAGUUUUAAUAUUUUUUAUUUAAAUACAUUGAUUUGUUCUUGGUCCCCCCAAGCCAUAUAAAAGGAGCUUUUCGUUCCAUGCAAUUCUCUGCUGGAUUACGAGGUGUAAAUAUCGCUUCAUCUCAUCUCAUCUCAUCUCAUCUCAAAAAAGGAAGUUCAUCUCAAAUCAACUUCUUGAUUAAUCAAAGCAACUUCUUGAUUAAAUUUUUAAAAAAAAAACACACACACACACACAUAUGCAAGGCACAUGCAUGACGAGGACGACCAUCCUUUGCCAAGAACUCCUUGGUGCUAAUUUUCUAAUAAUUUUAGAAUUUUCUACCAAAUGCAACCAUGAGGAAUUAAUGUUCCCACUAAUCUAUAGUUUUUGGAAAAAUUACAACCCCAUGAUUGGUUUUAAUUUCUUGUUAUAGAUUUUUUAAAAGUGCGAUAGAUAUUUAUAGAUUUAUAUUUAAAUGUGCUGAAUGGGUACUUAUUGAAAGAACUUUGAGGAGUGAGUUUUUUUUUAAAGUGUAAUUAGUUUAGUAAAGUAUUUGUAUUACAAUAAGUGCAAAAAUCGUGAUUGUGUAUAUUUGCGUGAUAAAUUAAAUAUAAUUUAGAUAUAUUUGCACGUGGCCCGGCACGUUUUUAAAAAAUCCAUUAACAAAAGGAUGAGACUUUAGUGGAUGCAAAUUAAGCGCGGAAAUGAUCAGGAAUAAAGAGGGGAGGUGCGAAAAAGAAAUUAAUUAAAUCGAAAGCUGCGGCCAAAAGCAAUUUUUGGACGGCACCAAAAGCUGCGGCCAAAACCACAUAUGCUAUUCUUGUUCAUCAGGUUGACACGUUGAACAGUAGUAGUAGUAGUACUAGAUAGGGAAAAAGGGUGAUUGCUGUCUGUAUUUACAAAUAGUAAAAACUGGAGAUUCUGAGCUUGCAGUUUUUUCAAUUUUUAUUUUGAAAUUCAUCGACUCCAAGGUAAAAACCUUUUAUGUAUUUAAUAAAAAAAACAAUUUUUCUAGUGGUGUAGGAAUAAGAUUUAAGAAGUAGAGAAUGAAAAGGAGGAUUAGAAUUCAAGAUUUUGCAAAAUAUACAUACCAGUAAGCUUGUUUAUUUAUUCGUUUGUAUGGAAUGUUUGUCAAACAAUCUUCUGUGCUUCAUCUAAAGGCCAAAUUUAAAAAGAAUUGGUAGCGUGUUGAGCAAUUAUAUGAUUAACAAUUUUAAUGAUGUAAGAAAUUGAACCAUAAACAAAAGCUGUAAAUAGAACAAUUGUCUAAUAGGCCCCAGUACCUUUUCAAUUGUCACCAAAAUAAUACAUAUGAUUGUUCAAUAUAUACACCUAUGAGUAUGUAACAAAUAGAAAAAUAUUAUUAAAAUUUUGGGUGUAUUUGUUGAAAUCAUUUUCAACAGUUUUAUAUUUUUUACACUAGAUAGUAGAUAGUUCAUCAAAAUAAAGUGUAUAAAUAGACAGUUAUUUAGAAGUAAUAUGCAAAUAUAUAAUUGUUUGUUGCUACUUGGUAAGAGGAGAUAUUGGGUAGUUAUCAAAGACAGUUCAUAAAGAGCAUAAAGCGACAACAAUAUGUUUAUACCAAAAAACCCUUCUUUAUAUAUAUAAAGUUGCAUUUAUAUAUAUAUAUAUAUAGCAUAGAUAAUUAGUAUAAAAAAUAUAAAUACUAAAACAACAACGUACAAAAUGCAACUUUUAAUGCAAAUAUUUGCAUGUUAGUCUCUAUUAAGGUCUACAUUUAUCAUCGGGCACUCACAAGUCACUCUUUCUUCUCAAUUUUCUUGGUUCUGGCGUACUUUGCAUUUAGCCUCAACAGUUCAAUUUACAGAAAAAUGCAAAUUAAUCUUUUAGCUCUGUAGAAAAACAACUGUCUAGUUUUUAUAUAUGCUUCUACACAUGACGAGUAUUUUUCUUUAAAUUACUCCCGAACAUUCCCAAAAAUCUUUCACUUGCCAUAACCUUAUAGACGGCAAAUGAAAAGAGUGGAUGGCAAUUACAUAGAAGAACUGCAUUUCCACCAAGUUUUUUACAUAGAAGAACCUUGCCGUACUGAAGCACCAAUAUGAACAGCAAAUUAAUUGUACAAAGGUGAUGAGUUGAAAAUUUUCCUGUAGAGUAAAAGUAUCUCUCUUUUUUUUUUUUUUUUUUUGUAUAACAUGAAAUUGACAGCCCAGUGAAACCAUUUGCAGAAAGUGAUAAAACAAGAGACACCAUAGUUGUGCCGUCGUGGAAGGCGAGAAGUGGGAAUUGAAAAUGAGAGAAGGAAUGAGCGAUACAACAAACAAACGUCUGACUUAGUAUCAUUCUACCAACUAGACUCUUGGUCAUCUAGCUGACAAGACUUAAUUGUACAUUGAGCAACUUAUGGAACAACCUAUAAGCUGCACAAUGACCACAGUAAAGCUUGCCAUACUGGAGCACCAAUAUGAACGACCAAAUUAAUUGUACGAAGGUUCACAAAUGCUGAUCAACUGACCAACAUUUCGAUUGUUGUCCUACCUAGUUUGCUUAGUGUUUUCAUACAAAAACUCAGAUCUGUAUCACAUGUUAUCAAAAUCCAUUCAUUAAGUUCAUCCUGAUACUUAAUUUUAAAACUUCCAAGGGAUAGAUUGAAUCGUUGUGCAAUGUUCUUCUCCAGAUCAAUUUUACGGGCAGAAGAUGAAAGUUCAAAUUUUAUAUUGUCCUCCUGAUAUUUUACCUUGAUCACCCACAUGCUGAUAUCAUCUUCUAGCCUCGUUGCAUCUGACUGGUGGUUUUCUUCAAUAUAUUCAGUAGCGGGUUGAACAGUUUUCUGUACAGCAAAGGCUUGACUAACCUUUCUUGCUUUACGAGGUGGCCAUCUGUUAAUACCGUACUCCCUACAUAUACGCUUCAAUGUAGAUCGACUAACUGCAGAUUUCAGAAAGGAAAACUUAAGUGAAUGAAAAAGCCUUUACAACAUGUAAACUAGAUCUUUCCAAACAGAUCUAGAUCAAAACAACAUGCAUUAACCAACAUUUGAAUUCAAUUCUGAUCUAGAGAAAUGCUACAAUUAAAAAUUACCUCCAAUAUUUUUUGCAGCAUCUUCAAGUUUUCUUGUAGAAUUUUGUUCAAGAAUCUCACGAGUAAUUCCAAGGUCGCUUUUUAAGGUAUAACUAGGCUCUCGCAUUUUUAAAUUAGUCACUUUAUUGCCGCUGUGUUCUAUACUAGCAUCAUCUCUGUCAGGAUCUUCCACAAUUGGUUCAUGAUCCGCUACGCUGAAAAUGUUCUGCAUAAGCACCUGUCCAGUUGAAGAUCCAACAAUUCCAUUUUGCUGUUCAUAAAUACCAUUCAUAGAAUUGUGCACGACAUCAACUCCUGCAAGAUUUAAUUCUAGAUAUGAUCUGUCGACAAAGCCCUGUAUGCGCUCUGGUCUAGGUGGGGAUCCAACAAUUCCACUCUGCUGUCCAUGGACACCAUUUAUAUAAGCAUUUGCAGAAUCAACUCGCUGAGAUGAGAAAUCACCUUGCAUCAUUCCUUCCCCUCCUUGUGCUUUUGCAAGCCUAGGUGUAGAUCCAACACUUCCAUUCUGCUGUUCAUGGAUACCAUUCAUAGAACCAUUUGCAUCAUCAACUUGUUGAGAUGGGAAAUCAAGUUGCAGCACUCCUUCUCCUCGCUGUACUUCUCCAAACCUAGGAGUAGAUUCAACACCAGUAGUACUGCAGAUUUCAAAAGAAUCAAAUUCAUUCUCUGGAGAGACCUUUAUAACCUCAACAGUCAAUUUCUGCCCCAAUUCUUGUCCUGAAGCGAUCUUAAAAGAACUCUGGAGGCUUUCUUCCAAUGUUUCCAUUAGAAUGUGCAACAAUGCCCUGGGAUCCCUACAGUCCUUUUCAUUCAUAGGUAAAAAGAACUCCAGUACGUAAAUGCAAUUGUUCGAGCAAGAGCUCUGCAAACAAACUGCAAAACAGGCAGAGUACUUGUAGGAUCGUGCAAUGGGUACCAACGGGUAGUUUGUUAUGCUUAACUGUCUUAUAUCCCUACAAAAGCAUGCACUUUUGGAUGAGAAUGCUCUCCCAACUACCCCUUGUCCCUUCCGAAUAAAAUCUAUGCCACGAUGACGACUUAGUAUUUCUCCAGAAAUAGUCCAAGUUUUUAUAUCACCAUAACCCAGUCCACAUAUUUCCCUCACCUUGCUCAAUGCUUCGUCAAUUAUAGCAAUUUCUCCACGUUGACCUGUAGAGGAUUGGCUUAAAAAUAUUAGCAUGGAAUGAAUAGCCUAAAGCUUCAGCCAAGAUUAUGCAGUAUAAAAGAAGGAAAAAAAACACUUAGAGGUACUCACAUGAAUUUACUUUCGCGAGGAGGCUUACACAAGUAGUUGUCAGAUUCAACUCCCGUGGUAGAUUCUGCAAACACAUUAUCCAUGAGCCAUAAAUAAAUUAAAGUAUAAUUUACAAGUUUCAAAGUGUUUGUUUCGGCAUUUAAAAGCUGUUUGACAACAACAGAUUUGCAACCCCAAAAAAAAAAAAAAGAAUAAGCUCUUUGAAUGCGUAGUCAACUAAUUUUGGUAUAGAAGUUCCGAAAAGCCAAAACCUCCUUCAAACGCCAUAGAUUUUUUUAGCAUCAACAUCUUUCGCUUAAAAAAUAAUUUAAAAAGAGAAGAUUUAAUAUUAAGGUGACAGUCAUAAGCAGUUAAAAAAUUGGUUAUUGACACAUUGAAAACCCGUGACCUAUCCCAGAUUUGUAUAGGACGUGGAGAUAUACAAAAUUCAUGCCAAGCAUCUCGCCUAUUCUAAGUUGGAUUUAUCACGAAAUUCUUAUAAGUGCCAAAUUUUUGUUUGGUCUUGAGUUCACUACAAACUUAAAAUCAUUAAUGUUAUGCUACCACAGGUCUUGCACUAUAUAACACACAAGACAAUGGUUGGUUACGUCAUAAAUUACCCUCUGCAUCCAUUACCUAGUUCAAAUAAUAAAUGAAUUAGUUACCUUUAAAUUAGUCAUCACAGUAAGUAUGCUCUGAAGUGACCGCAAAGCGGAGACAUGUACGUUUGUAACUCUCAUAAAAAUGAAAACUAUGGUCGGUGGUGAAGGAGCAAUUAUCCGAAAGAGAAACACAAACGAAAUGAUGAAUUAGAGUCAGAUUGGUUGUUUUAUCACAACUGUCUGUACCCAUUUCAUAUACUAUAUUAGCUAAUUUUUUUAUAAAAAUUAUACUAAUAAUUAUAUAACUCAUAAAUGAUAAACAACACCACCCCAGGUCCUUGUCAGCAAUAGGAAAGAAGUAAUUAAGCAACUUAAAAACAGAAAAGUCGAACCUUAAGCUUCUCCAGAACCCGAAAACGAGGAAGGCAAGUAUAACUUGGUGAUGCAAAUUCCAGUGUACCAAUGGGGAGGUGCUGAGUAGGAUGAUAAUAGAUUGGCAACGCCCAGUAUUCCGCAACACGGCUAAUCGCAUAAUCACGUUGAGGAUACUCUCUGCUAGUGUAAUCACCCACAUUCCAUGCAUAUUCAGGCAACCCACUGCGAAACACCCGACCAGGGGGACCAAUUAUACGCUGUACUUCAUCACCAUCAUCAUCGACGGGUAUUAAGUACUCCAAACAGUGCUUCCUGUAUUCACAUAGCUUCUUGACGUCUAGAUGACUGGAGCACUGCAAAGCAAAAGGCUGGUCACGAGUUGUCAAAUACGUUUUGUCCUCAUUCUUCACUAAGCCCCAAAACUGAACUAGACACCGCUCGGUUUUCGUAACAAGCUGUAGAAGACGUUUGAUCUGGUCCUUAAUCACGGCACCGUCAGCAGCUGCAAUAGUAAAAUCAGUAUACUAAAAUAUUAAAGGGUGCUUGCUAGUAUAUAGUAUUGUAUCAUUUAUUUAUUAAUUGCAGAAUACUCUACUGAUUGACCCGUAUUUUGACCGAGACCCCCAAAAAAAACCAAAAGUCAAAGAACGAUUAAUUGAAUAGCUUCAAGACAAGAGCGGCCGCCGCCCCCCAAGAGUUUCUAACAAUAGUUUAAUUUGUCAUCAAACUAAUUGAAUAUUUUCUGUUCUAAAGAGUCCAACAAAAAUAUCCACAUACAUACGUACAUACAUAUUAUAUACGCGAGAUUAUUGAAAGGACUCCAUACUUACUGGCUGAAAACCCAUCUGCUCCUUCGUCAUUGCCGCAUCUGCUCCAGAAAACCCACCAGGUAUAAUUAUUUUUAAUCCGCCCCAAAAAUGAUGAUGAUUCACAUGAAUGGGAGUAUGAUAGUUCACAAGGCCCCAAACCUUCCGUACAAAAAGGAGGGGAGGGAGAAGUUUGAGCUUCCAUUGCCAUUUGUACAGGGCAAAACUGGCUAAUCUUCUGGAUCGAUCCUGUUCCCCGAUCUAUUGUAUAGGAAACUAAUAUAUAUCUACACAUACACACGCGAAGACUUCCAAGUCAAUGGUCGACGAGAAAAAGGACCGACAGGCGAGAAAUAACAAGGAAGCAAACAGCAGCGGGCAAGGCAAACGAGAAACAAAAAGUGGUCGCCCUAACAGUUCAAUAGGUUCCAAAAAUCUCAAAUGGUUCACGCGGUUCUAACAAUACUUUAUAGGUAAGAGUGCUGUGUCACUGGCAAAGUUGAUGUAUUGUACAUGAUCGAGGAGCAAUUUCUCUAUGCCCCUGUGGGAUUCUCCAUCCCACAUCGGUUCUGUGGUCAGGGGUUUGGAUUAUAAGUCUCCGAGGACCUCAAAUGUUGCCGGUUUUGAGGUUUCUUCUGGAGUUAAAUUUAUAACAAAAAUUCUUACUUUCGUAUAGGGGUGCACACCAAUCGAGUAGCUUGAAUCAAGCUCGCGAGUAGCUUGAUUAGCUACUCAAUUCGAGAUCGAUUUUGUUCGAUCUCGAGUCGAGCUCAAGUAGAUCGAGUAUAUGAAACGAGUCGAUCUCGAGUAGUUAGGAUGAGAUAUUUUUAGCUCGUCGAGUAGCUCGAGUAGGGGUGCAUGAUCAAAUCGAGCUCGAGUACUCGAGCUCGAGUCGAGUACCCGACUCAAUAUUGAGCUCGUGUUAAGGGUGCAGGAUGAAAUCGAGCUCGAGCUCGAAUGACACGCCGAGCUCAAUCGAAUCGAGUUCGAGCCUAUUUAUGUUACUACCGAGUCGAGUUCGAUUUUUAUUUCUCGAGCUCGAGUUCGAGCUCUGGAGGUCAGCAUCGAGUUUGAGCUCGAGUAUGUCACUACUCGAGCUCGACUCGACUCGAUUUCACUCCUACUUUCGUAACAAAAGGUCAAAAGCAACAAUUUCUAUACUCCUUUUUUCUUUCGGGAGAAGUGCUAAGAUAAAUAGCUAAUCCUUCACAUACAUAAGCAACAAGGAAGCCGCCGUUGUUGACUACGGGCUCUUGCUUUUUACUUUCGUUUGGCGCAAUUGAAGAGAGCAAUCAGGCUUUCUCAUAUGCCUUGGGUUGGAGACAAUUAAGAAAAACAAAAAUUCCUUGUUCGUUUCUUCUGUUGUUGACCGAAAUUGAGAGAGCCGAUUUGACAAUUUUUCCCAAUUCUCCACGCAUGACUUGUUCUCCAUUAAUAAAUAGGGAACUACCUUCUCAAUUCUAUUAAUAGAGAACUAACUUCUCAAUUCUAGUCAAAGAGACAAUUGACGAUUUGAUUCAACAGUUACUGUGAGAUCUAAAUUAUUUUAAAUAUUUUUUUAUUUAUUAAUAUUUAUAUAUUUUCUACCUUUAAUUAUUAUAGUUCUUGUAUAUAAUUAAUUAAUACAUAAUAAUUAAUUAUUUAUAUAGGCUAUUUUACUAAUUAGGAAUAAUUGAAUCCGUAAUUAUUCUAUUAUCUCUAUCUCAAUAAUAACUGACAUAAUUAAAUUUAUAUCAGAGAAAUAUAUGAUCUAAUUUAGAUUGCUUCUGAGAGUUAGAUUUAUAACAAAAAUUCUUACUUUUGUAAGAAAAGGUCAAGAGGAACAAUUUCUCUACCCCUUUUUUUUUUUCGGGGAGAAUUGCUAAAAUAAUCCUUCACAUACAUAAUCAACAAGGAAGCCGCCGUUGUUGACUACGGGCUCUUGCUUUUUACUUUCGUUUGACGCAAUUGAAGAGAGCAAUCAGGCUUUCUCAUAUGCCUUGGAUUGGAGACAAUUAAGAAAAACAAAAAUUCCUUGCUCGUUUCUUCUGUUGUUGACCGAAAUUGAGAGAGCCAAUUCUCCGCGCAUGGCUUGUUCUCCGUCAAUAGAGAACUACCUUCUCAAUUCUAGUUAAGGUACAACUGAUGAUUUAGUUCAGCAGUUAUUGUGACAUGUAAAUUAUUUUAAUUAUUUUUUUUAUUUAUUAAUAUUUAUAUGUUUCCUGCUUUUAAUUAUUAUAGUUUUUGUGUAUGAUUAAUUAGUGCGUAAUAAUUGAUUAUUCAUAUAGGCUAUUUUAUUAAUUAGGGGUAAUUGAAUCCGUAAUUAUUCGAUUAUCUCCAUCUCAAUAGCAACUGGCGUAAUUGAAUUUAUGUCAGAUAAAUAUACGAUCUAAUUUAAACAAACCCUCGUAGCGUGUUUGUUAGUUAGAAUCAGGCUUUUCUAAAUCUUAAUGCAAGCCAGAAAUUAAAUUCUACGGUCGUAUCUAGAAUUGUUUUCGGGUUAGAGAAGUAGUUAACGGCCAUACCCUAAUUAUCGAUAAAUUAAGGAGAGGUUGGUUGUUUAUCGUGUGCAUGACAGCUAUAAUCAGUCUAUUAAUAAAUUGUGGAAUUAUUUGUGAAUCGAUGAUUAGUUGCAUGAACCAUUUCUGAAGUAUACCCUUGACUAGAGUUCUCCCAAUUACUUCUUUUAAUUAAUUAUUUUCUACAUUUAAUUUAUUUAGUUAGCAUUUAAUCCUGGAAACCCCUAUUUGUCUUAACUCGAAAGAAAACAAAUUUCUUCCCAGUCCCUGAAGAGACGACCCUGCUUGUCACUGUCUGCUAGUUAGUGAAUUUAGUCAGAUAAUUAAUUCUGGUAUAUCGGAUUAAGCAAAUUCUUCGGGAACAUGGUGAAUCAAGUAACCCAUUACACACCUAAAGUCCCUACUCUAGUAUUUAGAAUUGAUUAUUAACUAUUUUUUAUAGUAGUUAGGUUUUAUUAUUGUUAUUGCACAGGUUCGGCACCUGUCACAAAUACAUAUCCUUUGUUCUCAUUCGAGCCUCUACCUUUCAUUAUCCUGAUAUGCAAUUAGCAUGCAAAACCUCUGCAGUAUAAGAAGUCAAAUAGACAUUGCACAUUCAACAAGGAUGGAAAUGAUUUACCUCUGUAACUUCCCCCAUGGAUCCGCAAACACCUAAGGUCAUCUUUAGAAACAUCUUGAGUAAAGCCACUGAGGUAAACCUUUGAACCAUGAGGAGGAAGUGCAAGAAGAAGAAGCAACAACAAAAUAGCCACUGCCAUACCAAUUAAUAACAAAGAAACUCAGAAAAGCAACUUAUUUCAUCAUUACAAUCACUUAAACCCCGGGAAAGUAAGAAUGAUAAAAUGCUGGAAAAAAUGUACGGCACCUCAUCCACAGAGGUCUCUUGCCGACUUGUCCGAAAAAGGUGCUGAAUUUUUGGUUAACCAAACCAGAUGUGACAAAUCCCACAUUACCAAUACAUCCCUCAAAAAAAGCACAAACUCCAAAAUACAGUAGAGGCUCCAGAUGUAAAUAGGGACAGAGCAUAGUGCUAAAACCGUAACUUCAUCGAAUUUCUGAGCCCAACCACCAAAAUAGCAAGCCAACCUCUCCACUGUUCCUUAAGAAGGCCGCGUCCAGCACAUGAAGUUGCGUCCAACGCAUUUCUAGCCCAGCAAAUGAAGCCCCCGUGCAGGAGAAGACUACCAACGCCAUCUCAGCAUCCACAUCAUCAGCGGCAAAUCACUUGAUGCCACAUCAGCGGAUGACGAUAUCCUACGUGGCACCCGAUCUUCCACACUUAGGGGCUGCUUGUUUCACAGAUUGGAAUCGAAAAUGGGAAUGGAAUCAUAAACUCUGGUUUUGGAAUUAAACUUUUCAUUCCAAUAUCUAACUUGGUUCACACAUUGGAAUUAGUAUCAUUCUAAUUCCUGAUGCUUGGUUUGAUGAGUGUUUCAGAAUUAAAUGCAAUUAAAUUUCAAAUUUACCCCUGAUAUAACAAUUCUUAUAAAACAAAGGGAUAAUUGCAGAAACUGGUAGGUUUUAUAUUUAACAAAAAUAUGAGACUUUGUAGGUUUUGAAGUUUAAGGAAGGGAUAUUUGAAGUUUAACGACCGUUAUACAACUUUCAAAACAAACAAAUUCAUUCUAUUUUUUUUUGGAUAAUUUCAUAAACUAAAUCGCUGUCACUUUCACAAAAGUCAUAUUUUUCCAUAAAAGACCAGCUCUUUAUGGUUUUCCUCUAUUAUAAGAACAGAGUACCCAUUUUCCCAUAAACAAAUUUAUUUAUCGGAUAAAAUAAAAAUAAAUCCGUUUUCAAAUAAAAUACCAGCUCUUUAUGGCUUUCCUUCAUUAUAAGAAUAGAGUACCCAUUUUCCCAUAAAUAAAUUUAUUUAUCGGAUAAAAUAAAAAUAAACUCGUUCUCCAAUAAAACACCAGUUCUUUAUGAUUUUAGAAUGAAGGGUUACAAUCUUGCUGUCUCUAUCACCGUCAACUUUUGACUCCCUACUUCUUCCAUCCCACCCAACACCAGAACGAAAAAGAUUUCACAAAAGAUCAAACAUUGCAUGAAAUGAUCAACUAUAAAGCUUUAUUAAUAUGCCAACCUCAACUAUGUUCAAAUGCUAUACUGAGCAAGUUCUUAAUAUACAAAGAAUAAUUCGUACUAAAUCUCACAAUUAAUUCACAGCAAGUCAUCCUUCCUGCAUUGAACAAGACCCCUGAAGCGAAGAUCUUUGGAUUGAGGUUCUUAAUAUACUGAGCAGGUUCUUAAUAUACAAAAAACAAUUCAUACUAAAAUCUCACAAUUAAUUCACAGCAAGCCAUCCUUCCUGCACUGAACAAGACUCCUGAAGCGAAAAUCACAAACCCCUUGGAUUGGGUUGAGGGUUUUCUUCAAUUUUUCUUAGAGAUCUUUCUCGUGGAGAUCUUGUUGAACAAUUUGCCCACUGAAGAUUUUUGCCCACUAUUAAUUCAUUUAGAUCUACUUUAGAUCUUUUUUUUUUUCAAGAGAUUUUGGAUUACAGAUGAAAACUAUAUGAUGAAGAAGAAGAGAUAGGAAAACUGUGAGAGCCCGUAAAUUUUCUUAUUUUCUAGGCGAUACUUUAUUUAAUUGCACGCCUUUUAUGCAUUUUCUUUAUUAGAAAAAUUUUCUAAAUAAUUUUUAUGAGUAAAUAGAAUUUUCAAGUUAUUUUUCUAGUAUAAAUGAGUUUAUGAGAAUUUUGGAGCGUAUACUGGACGUGGGACCCACUAGGGCGAAAAGUUCGGAAAAAUUCGGCCAACUAGAUUAAAUUUUGGAUGCUGGAAUUAAUUUACCGGGUGUUAAGAGAUAAGUAGAGGAUGCUAAGUGGAUUGGUAUAAGAGAGACAAAAGUUAGGCAAGUCAUUAAAUGAGGUGACAAGUGUCACCAUAGGAUUGCUUCUUACAUAAGACCACUAUUUACCUUUCUAUUUGACCAAAUAAAUCACAAAAUUAACCAAAAAUUUCACCAUUUUGCUCUUCAUCUUGGCCGGCCCUCUCUCUCAAAAAGAAAGGAAGAAACUCUCCAAGUUCUUGAUUCCAUCUUGCUCCAAAUCAACAAAACAACCAUUUAAUCUUACUUUUGUUCCAUAGAAAACCUUAAGUGAGUGUUAGUGAGGUGUUAUGUGGAGUUAUUUGGAAAGCUAAGAGAACCAAUUGCUCUCUCUCUCUUGUUUCUAAGGUGAGUUAUGAAGAACCACUCUCCUUCUUCUAAUGAUGCUUAAAUCAUGAUUAGUGGUGGUAUAAGAUGCAAUAUUAUGGAUUACAUCUUGAUUUGUGGUUGAAUUAGUGAAGUUUUAUAUUUAUUGGUGAUUUUUCUGUUUUAAUAAGAACAUGAUUGUGUGGCUAUCUAUGAUGAUUGGAAAUGAUGUUUAAUGACUCUAGGAGGUGGAAAAAGUGAUUAAUUGCAACCAAUUUCUGGUUUGGAAGAAAUUUCAGAAAGUUAGGGUUUUAUUGGGAACAUUCUGCCCGAUUUUGUAGCUCAUGGUUAGAGGCCGAAUUGGCCUUGGUUUAAAACAUGAAAGUUGUAGGGAAUGACAUUUUAGAGGUGCCUGCAAAAUUUCAGGUCAAUCAGAGUAGCGUAACUUGAGAAAAGUCGAAAUUACCCUUGCUGUCCUGGUUUUACCCGAAAUUGGGAAUUGCUUCUGUAAUGGGUUAUUUUGGUUGAGAAUGCUUCCGAAUCGGUUGUUGAGGUCUUCUGAUUAAAUGUAGCCCUGUUCCUUAGCUUUCGGAUGGCUUUGAAAUUUCGGGAGUUGGACUUAAGUAGGCUGAUUUAUGCUGUUUGCAGCAGAAUGUGGUUUGUGAAUCUAUUUUUACGGUUCUAGUGUAGUAUCUUGCAUUUUUGACCUGUUUGCGUUCGGAACUGGGCUGAGUGACCUUCUUCAAUAUUGUAGCCCUAUUUCUGAGCUUCGAAACGGUGGAUCUUUCACCUUCAUUCGAUAAUUGUAGUGCCUUUGGUGCCAUUACCGCAAAAUGAUGUCAAAAACUGUUUUUCUGGUUUUGAGUUUAACUUUCAUUUCCGGACUUUUUCCUAGUUUGAAUUGUACUUGUACUACUUGGAGCUUACUGAAUGGCUAUUGAAUGAGCUUAUUUUGUGUGUGCUUUUGGGAGUGAUUGAGGAAAACAAAAGAAGCCUUGAUGGCUGGAAAAGUAAAGAGAGACAAGGGGAAGUGCUGUCCAAAUGUUUGUAGGAGUUUCGGUGCAGUCUCGGGAGAUUUGCUAUAUAUUGAUGUAGAAAUGUCGGAAUUGAGUUCCGUUUGUUGCGUUUUAAACUAGAUUCAUAGGGCUAUAAACCGUGAGAAUUUUAGAUCUUGUUUCUAUUUGUCCAAUUUAUGGUGAUUUUUCAAAGUUGACUGAAAUCUUGUACCUGUUCUGUCCUCCACUGGAUAAAGCAGCAACUUGCGACUUGAAUUCGACUGACUUACGUUCUGAACCUUACAAUAGUGUUUUCUGGAAAGUUAUAGCCCUUUGAAUGUAUUUUCAACGGUAUAAUUUUUAUUAAUUUUGAACUUACAAAACUUGAGAUAUGAUUUUUCAUAUAAGGUCGCGCGGAACUGGAAAAAUUCUGUUUUCCCUAGUAUUGACCUUGCUUUCAUUAUCUACUUCAAAUUUGGAUUUGGUCAGUCAUUGUAGGAAGGGCUUUGAGGUUGUUCAUGCUUUUAAGACUAAUUGUUACCUUUUCACUCCGAGGUCACCUCUUUGCUUUGCAUUAAUGGUUCUUUUGACUAGGCAUAUGACUCGUAACCGAGUCUCACUUGCGAAUUUCAUACUCGGUCUUGGAGUCGAGUCUUAAGUGUUUGCCUUGAUUGUUCUAGGAGGUAACGACGAGUGAAGCCACACUUGGGAAGGAAACUUUUGAAAUUAUCCUUGUUUGAUCAGGUGAGUGUACCACUCCCUUGCAUUGUUGCUAUGUGAGUUAUCUGUGUAGACAAAGAAAAUUUAUUUAAUUUAUUUAGUCAAGAUUUAUUUAAAUUAAAUUGAUCUUGAUUAAAUUAAAUUAAAUGAUAAAAGUUCAUUAUGUUUUGAACUUGCAAAUUGGGCCAGUAUUAUAUGGGCUAUUAAAUCAAAUUAAAAUUGUAAUGCCCAUUUAAGUUAAAGUGAAUUAAUUGAUCUAUUAAUUUACAAUGGACUAUUUGGGUUGGCCCAUUAUUUAAACCCAAGUUAAAUGGAUUUAUUGAGUAACAAGUGAUCCAAAAUGCAGGAAGAUUCUGAGGGUUUUCUUGAAGAUUUAGCCUACAUAUUUUGGCUAUAAAUAAAGGUCUUCCCCCAAGGCAAAGACAUAAGAAAAAUCCCUAACUUUCGAAGAAACUCUGUCAAAUUUUCUCAAGAGCUUUCUUCCUCAAAUCCAAGUCCAAUUCAAAUCAAACAAAUCCUCCUGCUAUCGGUGUUGAAGACUUGAAGUUCCAAGUGUUUGACGCCAUCAUCAAAUCAAUUGUUUUCUAAGCCAAAAUUGUAGGAAACACCAUUUCGAUUGGAGAACAAGUCUUGUCGGCCCUUCAAUUGAAGCUAUUCGAAGAAAAGAAUCAGGGGAUUAAUUUCUUUGAUUCAAUAACUUUCAGAGAUUGUAACCCGCUUAUUAUUUGAUUUAAUCAAUUUGAUAUUUGUGCAAGUUUUCUUGUCUUUUAUUUUAGGCAACAAAAUUUGUGUUUACAAAUUUCUGGCACGCCCGGUGGGACAAUCUCUGCCUCUCAUCUCUUUUCUUCCAACAACUUACCAAUUUCAAAAUUCAAUGGAGUUCAAGAAGGUGAACUUUUCUCUUGAAGGCUUAGUUGCUGAUGUCUCAACCACUCAAGAGACGCAGUAUACUGCACCUCUGACAAGGAGUAAGGCAAAGAAGUUAGCAGAGAAGGCCAAGGCGAACGUUGUGACUGAAGAAGCAAACCUCAAGAUGCUUCCCAAUAAGAAAGGAGCUCAUGAUGAAUCUAUUGAUUGCCCAAGUGAUUCGGCUGCCUCUGUGGUGAUGCCCGUCAUGAUGACCAAUACCACAACUGUGGAAGACCAGAUUUCAAAUCUAGCCAAAAUUGUCGAAGGGCUAGUAGUGCAUGCACAAAGUCAAGAUGCCAAAAUAGUCAAAUUAAUGACUAUGGUGAAAAAUAUAGGCGAAAAUAGCCUUAGUAUGUCCAAACAGAAAUCCAAAGUGCAAGAUGAAGGUGACUCAUCAUCAAGGGAGAAGGAAAAAGAGGAUGCGAAGUCACAAGUCGCGAUGGAAUUUUCGAUCUCCCCUGAUGGCACCAUUCAUGUUGACAAUCUGAAGGAAUUUAUCGAAGGCACAAUUAAGGACAAGAUUGGUGGAGGUGCCAAGUCAUAUAGUGGUUACACCAAACCUUACACUGCUAGAGUGGAAAGUUUGAAAAUGCCUGUGGGGUAUCAAUCUCCAAAAUUUCAACAAUUUGAUGGCAAGGGCAACCCUAAGCAACAUAUAUCACACUUCGUGGAAACUUGUAACAAUGCGGGCACUGAUGGUGACUUGCUCGUUAAGCAGUUUGUUCGUUCGCUGAAGGGUAAUUCCUUUGAUUGGUACACGGAUCUGGAGUCUGGAACCAUUGACAGUUGGGAGCAGCUAGAGCAUGAAUUCCUUAGUCGCUUCUAUAGCACAAAGAGAACUGUCAACAUGGCUGAACUCUCUAAUACACGUCAAUGGAAGAGUGAACCUGUCAUUGAUUUUAUCGACCGUUGGAGGAAUCUAAGCUUAAAUUGCAAAGAUCGAAUUUCUGAAUCUUCCGCGAUCGAGAUAUGCAUUCAAGGUAUGCACUGGGGACUCAGAUACAUCUUACAAGGUGUACAACCAGAAACAUUUGAUGAAUUGUCCACAAAAGCCCAUAAGUUGGAGAUUAAUCUUCAUGGACAAGAACCGCCAGUUCCUGACCCUUACAAGGCCAAAGAGAGACAAGAAGCGAGGAAAGGGGGCAAGCCACCAUUUAAAAAUGAAAAGAAGGAGGCUAUGAUUACAAGUGUAACGCCCUUUAAGGUUGUUCCCAAAACUGUCAGGAGAGAAGACAGCAAGAUCAAUGCACAUCAAGAACAAGGAAAGAGGAAACCAACUCUCAAGGAGAUGCAGGAUAAGGAGUACCCUUUCCUUGAUUCUGAUGUCCCUGGUAUGUUUGACGAUCUGUUAAGUAUAAACUUGAUCACGCUUCCUGAGAUGAAGCGACCUGAUGAGGUUAGGAACACUGACGAUCCAAAUUACUGUAAGUAUCACCGAUUGGUCGGGCAUCCCAUUCAAAAAUGCUUUGUCUUCAAAGACAAAGUAAUGGAGUUGGCAAGACAGGGAAAAAUUCUCCUUGAAGAAGACAAGGCGAGUGUGAAUCAAACGUCCAUUGGUUCCCUGCAGUCCAUGGAGGAUAAAAAGGUCAUGGUGCCUGUAUUGCCAAUAAUUCAAUUUGGAUCGCUUGAUCCUAUAGAAAUCAAACAAGAAGGUGCUCCUUCAACUCUUCAGGAACAUGUAUAUGAAGAUGAAAAGGCGCUACAGUCUGAUGUGGAUGAUGAAGGAUGGACUCUAGUAACGCGAAGAAGGAGGCGGAAGUCUUGUCCAUCUAGUAGGGCAAGCAAGGUCUUAACAAGAAGUAUGGUGAUUUGGAAGGGGAAAGAGAAAGACGUAAAGGAAACUAAUGAUUAUCAUAAUCUUCAAGGAGGCCGAAUCUUCAAGCAAAAGUCGCGAAUUCCUAUCACUUUAAAAGAAUUUUUGCCAAAGGAAUUCUUUGAUGUUGAUGUGGUCGCAAGUCACACAACGCGAGUAGAUCAUAUCGAGGAACAAAAAGAUAAUACUUGCGAAUCUUUCUGUGAGAUGGCCCGUGCGUCCACCGGCAAUGAAGAAGGUUGUGUGCCUACCAGCAAUGAAGAGGUAAACGUCACAAGUAUCACUUUUACUAGUGAAGACUUGUUGCUUGGGUCAACACCGCAUAACCUCCUUUGUUUGUGACUGGUUAUGCAAAGGAGCAAAAAGUGAAUAGAAUGUUGAUAGAUGGAGGUUCCACAGUCAAUAUUCUCCCUUUAAAAACUCUGAAAGACCUUGGUAUCCCGGUUGAUGAACUCUCCAAUAGCCGACUGAUGAUUCAAGGCUUCAAUCAAAGAGGGCAAAGAGCUCUUGGAUCAUUAAAUUUGGAGAUAGCCAUUGAUGACAUGACGUCCAGAGCACUAUUGUAUGUGAUAGAUGCUAAAACAACAUACAAUGUAUUGUUGGGAAGGCCAUGGAUUCAUGAAAAUGGAGUUGUACCUUCAACUCUUCAUCAAUGCUUCAAGUACUGUCAAAACGGGGUGGCAAGAAGUGUGAAAGCUGAUGAGAAUCCUUUCACUGAGGCGGAAGCAUAUAUCGCCGAUGCCAAAUUUUACAUCAAAAGGCACAUUGCGAAGGAUAAAACUGAACAAUCUCUAUCUGGGGAUAAAAUCCAGAACCCCGAAUCUCCAAAUGCAAAAGGGGAGAAAGUGAUGACUUCGAAAUCAAAAGAGGAAGUUCAUGAAGAAACUGAUGUUUCAUUGCCAAACAAUGAAUCAGUUGUCUUUCGCUGCCCUCCCAAAUCAAGAAUGGAACAGGGACAGUCACCUGUAAUUCAGCAUGAAACUCUAAAAGAUUUGACUCUUCCGGUAGCUCAUCUUGAUACAAAAAAGGCGUCAUCUUCUCAACUUAAAAGGUCUAACUUUUUAAGCAAAGAAUCUGAAGUUGAACAAGACACCAUACCAAAGUCAAGAACUAAAGAAGGUUUUGAUCCUAUCGCUUAUAAGCUUCUCGCUAAGGCUGGAUACGAUCUCAAAGAAUCUGCGGUAUUAAAUGUUUCAUCCCGUCAAUCUACCAGUGACAUGAUUCAUGGGUUGAAUCCUACCCAAAAGAUGUUGAAGGAAAAGGGAUACGCCGUUGAAAAUCCCAAAUUUGGCCUUGGCUACUCCUCUCCUACACCAAUCCGCAUCAAGAUCAAUAGAGUUAGUAGCCAAUAUAUUGCUAUAGAGGAUGAGUCUUCUCAAAUAGUUGGUAAAUCUCAAGUUUUUCACGAAAAUGAGAAUAAAAUUUCACGGGUAUCUGUUUUUAAGAGAUUAGGACCACAAAAAAGACAAAACUCUCAAAACUCUCAUAAGAGUAAAGGAAAAAUGGCGAAGUCAUUGCAAAAUCUUGAAGAACCUUCUGAUUGUCCUCAUAAAUUUGGUAGCAUCAUUCCUUCGAGAAUGAGAAGAUGCACAGACCUUGUAAUAAAGUGUGGGACUGAAUUGAGGGUCAGGGAGCAUACCGUGGUGUACACAAGACCAAAAGAGGAUGAUGAAGAGAGUGUUGCUUCAUGCAAUCAUAUAAUCAUAAUUGACGGUGACUCGCCUGAAGAAGAAGAAGAUGCUGAAGACGCUCCACCUGAAUUAGAGGAAGGUGUUAAGGCUACUGUGGAUGAUCUAAAGGAGAUCAAUCUUGGUACUUCAGAGGACCCGCGUCCAAUAUACAUAAGUGCUUCACUGAGUCCUGACGAAGAGAAGGCAUAUAUUGAACUCCAAAGUGACCGUCCACCAUUUGACUGUUAAAAAGGGAGUUCGACCUGUGAAGCAAGCACAACGGCGAUUUAGACCUGAUUUGAUUCCGUUGAUCGAAAUGGAAGUCAAUAAACUCAUUGAGGCUGGGUUUAUUCGUGAAGUUAAAUAUUCCACAUGGAUUUCGAGUAUCGUGCCUGUGCGAAAGAAAAAUGGACAAAUCCGCAUCUGCGUCGAUUUCAGGGAUGUUAACAAUGCUUGUCCCAAAGAUGACUUUCCUUUACCGAUCAGUGAACUCAUGAUUGAUGCAACUACUGGGCAUGAAGUUCUGUCAUUUAUGGAUAUAAUCAAAUUCGAUUGGCACCGGAGGAUGAGGAGCUCACUGCAUUUCGUACUCCUAAGGGUAUUUAUUGUUAUAAAGUGAUGCCCUUUGGUCUCAAAAAUGCUGGUGCCACAUAUCAAAGAGCAAUGCAAAGUAUCUUUGACGACAUGCUUCAUAAGAAUAUCGAAUGUUAUGUGGAUGAUUUAGUUGUGAAAUCAAAGAAAAGAAGUAAUCACUUGGUGGAUUUGAGACAAGUUUUCGAUCGGUUGAGAAGGUAUCAACUCAAAAUGAACCCUCUCAAGUGUGCAUUUGGAGUCACGUCGGGGAAAUUUCUUGGUUUUGUGGUUCGCCAUCGAGGCAUUGAAAUUGAUCAGGCCAAAAUUGAUGCUAUAUUGAGGAUGCCUGAACCUCGUGACAUUCAUGAAUUGAAAAGUCUUCAAGGGCGAUUAGCUUAUCUAAGGAGAUUUAUCUCAAAUUUAGCAGGAAGGUGUCAACCAUUUAGUCGCUUGGUGAAGAAAGAUGUGCCAUUUCAAUGGGAUGAGGCAUGUAGUAAUGCAUUCAAUAGCAUUAAAUCUUAUCUUAUGAAAGCACCUGUGUUGGCUGCACCUAUUCAUGGAAAGCCAUUACUCCUUUAUAUUGCUGCCCAAGAACGGUCGGUGGGGGCAUUGCUCGCUCAAGAAAAUAAUGAAGGAAAGGAGGUUGCCCUUUAUUAUUUAAGCAGAAUGAUGACCCCCAACGAACUAAACUACUCGCCAAUUGAAAAGUUCUGUUUAGCCCUUAUUUUUGCAAUACAGAAGUUAAAGCACUACUUUCAAGCGCAUAGUGUGAGGUUCAUUUCCAGGGCGAAUCCUAUAAAAUAUGUGAUGAGCAGGCCAGUGCUGUCUGACCGUCUAGCUAGAUGGUAUCUUCAGCUACAACAGUUUGAGAUUAUUUAUGUGCCUCAGAAAACUGUGAAAGGACAAGUUCUGGCGAAUUUUUUUGCUGAUCACCCUAUACCUGCUGAAUGGGAGUUAAGUGAUGGACUACCAGAUGAGGAUGUACUCCUUAUUGAGAUUCGCCCACCAUGAAAAAUGUAUUUUGAUGGUGCUGCUCAUCGUCAUGGGGUUGGAGCGGGGAUUGUAUUUAUAACUCCUGAUGGAGGGAUAUUGCUAUACUCUUUUACUCUAAGUCAACAUUGUUCAAACAAUGUCGCUGAGUACCAGGCUCUCAUACUCGGACUUGAAAUAGCUGUCGACAUGGAACAGUUGGACAUUCAAAUCUAUGGUGAUUCUCUAUUGGUGGUCAACCAGCUCUUGGGGAGUUAUGAAGUCAAAAAGUCCGAAUUAAUUCCAUAUCACAAAUAUGCAGCGCGACUUAUGAAGCGGCUUGGAGAUGCAAGUAUUAAGCAUGUUCCUAGAAGGGAAAAUAAGCAAGUUGAUGCAUUAGCUGUGCUAGCCUCUUCACUUGCCAUGCCGGAUCAUGAGAUACAAGUUCGUGUAUGCCAAAAGUGGGUAGUUCCAUCACUAAUUGAUGAUAAAGAUAUUGAAGAAGGCGACGCUCAUGUGGUCUCAACCUAUGAAAUUGACAAAGAAGAUUGGAGACAACCCCUCGUUGAUUAUCUCAAAUAUCAAAAAUUACCUGAGGAGCAACGUAGGAGAACUGACAUCCGUCGUCGUGCCCCUCGUUUUAUCUUGUACAAGGACACGCUGUACCGAAAAUCAUUUAAAGGUGUACUGUUGCGCUGUCUGAGCGAAGACGAGACAUAUCGGGCGAUGCACGAGGCACAUUCUGGAAUAUGUAGAACUCACCAAUCCGGUCCCAAGUUGUAUUUUCGGAUUAAAAGGAUGGGCUACUAUUGGCCUACUAUGGUCAAAGAUUGCAUAGAAUAUGCUCAAAGAUGUCAAGCUUGCCAGUUUCAUGCAAAUUACAUUCAUCAAUCACCUGAGCCGUUACACCCGACCGUUGUUUCUUGGCCUUUUGAUGCUUGGGGCCUUGAUGUUGUGGGGCCAUUACCAAAGUCGUCCGGUCAACACUUAUAUAUAUUGGCUGCGACCGACUACUUUUCUAAGUGGGCUGAAGCCAUACCGCUUAAGCAAGUUAGAAAGGAAGAUGUGGUGAAUUUUAUUCGUGUGAAUAUUAUUUACCGUUAUGGAGUUCCCCGAUAAAUUAUCACUGAUAAUGGAAAAUCCUUCUCCAAUGGCUUGAUGGAUAAGUUAUGUGAGAAAUUUAAUCUCAAGCAACGCAAGUCCUCCAUGUAUAAUGCCCCCGCCAAUGGUCUCGCAGAGGCAUUCAACAAAACUUUAUGUAACUUGUUGAAGAAAGUGGUGGCAAAGUCAAAGAAGGAUUGGCACGAAAGGAUAGGCGAAACUCUUUGGGCCUAUCGCACCACAUACCGAACUCCGACGCAAACCACGCCAUAUGCCUUGGUCUAUGGUGUAGAAGCUGUUCUGCCCCUUGAGCAACAAAUUCCUUCUUUGAGAAUUGCUAUCCAAGAAGGGCUCAUGGAGGAAGAAAAUGUUCGCCUGCGCCUUGCAGAAUUGGAAGCUUUGGAUGAAAAGAGAUUGGAGGCCCAACAAAAUCUGGAGUGCUAUCAAGCCCGUCUUUCUAGAGCUUUUAAUAAGAAAGUUCGACGUCGCUCCUUUCAAGUCGGGGACAUGGUACUUGCCGUUCGAAAGCCAAUAGUUAUGACUCAUCGCACUAAAGACAAAUUCGUUUCUAAAUGGGAUGGGCCGUACAUUGUUCGAAAAAUCUACACGAAUGGUGCGUACAAAUUGGUGGACAAAGAUGGCGUGAAAAUUGGUCCUAUAAAUGGGAAAUUCGUGAAGCUAUACAUGCCAUAAAAAAAAGUGAAGUACUCCACGACGCAUGAGUCUAAACUGCCUGUUGCUCCAGACCCGCAUGAGCUAAAACUGUGGAUAACAACCACCAAUAGUGUAGCACGUGGUUAAACUGCUGAAACACUCCACCAAAUCUAAGGUGGUAAACAAAAGGAUACUCCUGACCCGCAAGAGUUUAAAUUGUGAACGGUAGGAACUACGUGUGACUUGAUUCCAUUUUGGGAUACGUAGGCAGCUUAGAGGACAACUUCUAAGUUCAGUUACAACCCUAUAAAGCUAAAGUCUUUGUCCGGAUGAUUCUUUUGAUAAAAAAAAAACAUUCAUCUUUAGGACAAUUCAAAUUAUUUUGUGACAUAUACUUGAAAGUGUAUUAUUCAGAUUACCAAAUUAUUUGGAUAAUUACCUUUUCAAGUGUAUUCAAAGUUAUGCAAAGAUGGAAUUGUUCAUACUACGAUUGAUAGCCUAAAACAGUGGCUAUUGAAGGAGCAAGUAAAGACGAGGAUGUCUACAAGAAUGUGAUGAAAAGGAACAAAAAAUCAAGUUUCAUUAUGAAGUGCUUGUACUCAUAGUUACACGCUUUGAGCAAUUAACAAAAGAUGAAAUUUGAAACAAAGUAAAAGAUUGCAACUAUUCCUAAAAUUCAAAUGAGGACAGCUCCUUUCGGUUGUUUUCAAGUAAUGUUUGCAUCUUGUCCAAAGUUUGGCCCUCCUCAGCAAGUAGGGGCGGGGAAUUCUCAAUCUUUCGAACUUCGUUUUGUAAGUCGACCAUCACGCCUUGCACUCGGGUAAGAUCAUCUUGCUCUUCUCGUAACAGUGAAAGCGUCUCCUUCCUGUGAGUAUCCAAGAACUCAAGUCGUUUCCUCAACUCUAUUUCCUCGCGAUCGAUUUCCUUAAGAUUCAACAUGUGUGUUGAGAUUUUCUCCGCCUAUUGUCUCUCCUUACUCUGAGCGUUUCUAAGAUGUUGGGUGGCCGUAGAAAGCAACUCAUCAUAUGAUUCAGCUGAAAUUUUAUUUGAGAGAGAAGAUUUCACUGCAACGUAACGAGCUGCAUGUGCAAAGAAAGCCUUUAAAAGGCCUUGCAAAUUUGAGAUAUCCGUGGCAUUGAAGCUUUGCAUUUCCUCCAUGAUCUCGUUGGCUUUCAUUUCAAGAGCUGGCAUGCGCUCCAAGGCUGUUUGAGAUAUCAUCACCCUCAAGUUAUUCCAUAACAUUUGGAUGUAGUCUCGACGGCAUGUUGAGAUCACAUUUUGGGGGCAAAAUUCAGAUACUCGAGGGGCCCUUGGCCACGAUGGUGGAUAAAAAACUUUGAGUUUCCUUUUGGCCGAUGGAGUCAUAUGCUCCGCCUUCUGUGCCAUGAUUUGUUGAGUCACAUUUUCAUCAUCUACUGCCUUUUUGGAAUUCUCACUAGCACCCUUUUGUUGGGUAGAACCGACCACUUGUUUGGCCAAAAGUUCAAAUGCAGUAGGUCCUUCAACUGAUACUUGACUUGGUUCUCCAUCAUCAAUGAAAAUCAAGUCUUGAUCAUCCAACUAUAGGGAAAGUGUUGUGAGACAAAUCAUGAAUAUGAAUUAAUAAGCAAAUUUCAAAUGCUAGAUUAAAGAAGGCAAGGAGAGUCCUUACAAUAUUGGCACGGCUUAUACCAGGCACAGAUAUAUCCGGAAUGUCUUUAAAGAGUUCUUUGGGAUCUAAACCAAUAUCAUCCAAGGGGAAAGUCAUUACCUUGGACUUCUUGCGCUUCCAAUGUUGGUCCGUGCUGGUGGAUUGCUCAUCCUCCUCAUUAAAAGGCUCGCUCCUCUUCUUCUCAUGUGAAUUGCAAGAAUCAUGAUCAAUAGCUUUCACAAUGUUUGAAGGAAGAUGAAAUGAAGUACUCUUCAAAAAUUUCUCAUUAGGAGUAAGGUCCUCAGGGGUAGUGGUCUUGUUGUUUGAACUCUUCAAAAUUUCCUUCUUACUUCUCAUAGUCUUUUGCUUCAUUUCAAGACUAUUGCCAACCUUGGAAGGAUGGUUCAGGUUUGCAAGUUCCUUCCCUUUCAACUUCUUCUGAUCCCCAUUUGAUUGGACACUCUUAAUCAAAGCAUCACGCCCUUUGAGGAGAUGAUCAUUAUGCACCAUAACCCACCAUGUUUGAAAGCCUGAAGAUGUGUGUUUGCUAGCAUUCAAGGGAUAGCUAGGGAAAAGUACCUUUGACUCUGUUUUACUGCGAAUGGCAGUGCGCCAGAGUAUUCGACUCAAGUCAUGACUUGUGGAACGAACAUCUGCUCCGAGUUCCUGUGGAAGAACUUGAUAAAAUCCGAAUUGUCGCGCGAAUCUGUAUGGACUGUAUGGCUCAACAAGGAAAUCCCCUUCAGCAUGCGAAACUAAGUAAUUUGAGCAGACGCUUACAAAAUAGCUUAGUUCGAGAUUCGCUAAUUUGCCAUUGUCAAAAAAAAAUUCAUUGCGGUUAUUCACAAGAGAAGUAAUUCCCCAAGUUGCUUUGUCUCCCUGAUGAAUGAGGUCGCGAGCACUAUUUUCAUCAAAAUAUCGUGCACCACCCUCUCCAAAAAAGUUGGUCAUGGUGGGUCCAGGCAUGGUAUUGGGAGUCGAAUAAUGGGUGGAGAAAUAACUCGCUAACCAAGCAUAUACAUAGUGCACCGGAAAAGUCGAGCGUGCACAUCCUGGGAUAGCUGAGUUUGAAAUUUUAUCAAGCCCACGGUAUAUGUUUAGCAGGACAGGAACAGCAAGGCAAGUCUUACGACCGGCAGCCAUCAUACUAGCCAUUUUAAAAGUAGAUGGUCUAAUAUAAUGGAGGUCCUCAUCAGGUAAAGCAAAGACACAGAGCCAACAAGAUAUAAAUGCUGCAAGAUAGGUCUCUUCCCGCAAGUGAAGUUUAACUCCGAUGGUGUCAAAUACGCCAUUGUCUUGACUUGAAAAUUUGCGUGGUUGUCCAAUUUCGCCAUCCGGAUUUUGGGUCGCUUGAGCACGAGAUGCCCUCUUUAUCCUUCUCUGCUUUGGCUUUGAGUACCUGCUUUUGCCUUUAAACUAGAACUUAAUCCAUUGGGCAGCAGAAACUCCAGUUUUGUUGAAUUCUCCAUGUUGAAGAUGAUGUAAGGCUGCGAACAAAUACUCACAGCUUUGUGGAAUAUGCCUUAAUUUCUUUUCAUUUACUCUAGUCAACUCCUUCGCGCAUGGAAUUACCUCUUCAUAGAUACCCUCGACGAUUGGAAGUCCUCCUAACUUGUGCAAGUCCCAAAGUGAGAGAGACAAUUCCCCGACAGAUGUAUGCAAGGUAUUAGUAUCCGAACACCACGCCUCGCAGAAUGCCCUAAGUACAUGGGGAUUCCUGUCAUAUGUGAAAAAUGAAGCAUAUAAGGCGUCAAACAAAUAAUUUUCACGGAGCACUCGUUUGCUUCUGCCGAGGAUAUCCUCCAACCACUCCCAGUAAUUCUCGAUGUAACCAAAUGCACCAUUGAGUCUCAAGGAAGGACCCCAGUGUGCAUCUCCGUCUAUGAUCCGCCUGCCAAGGGUCUGAAAGGGAGUUGUCCUUGGCUCCUUACUGUGAAUAAGGGAUCUCAAGGAGUGGACUUUCGUGCCGUCAUCCUGAGAAAGUUCAAGUGACCAGUCCUUCAAUUCUGGGUACUGGUGAGAAGGCCACUUACCAGAGUAAGUUCCUUGUACGGGGGGAUGCACUAAUAAUUUUGUUCCUUUGUCACCAGAGUCACCAUCACUGUCAACGAUAAGGAGAUACUUUUCAUUUGAAGAUGUGACUUCCUUGAAUACCACCAUUGUAUCAAGACUAACUUGCAACAAAAGCAAGAAAAAAGGAAAGUUUGGUUAAAAUGACAUGGUCGAAAACAGUAAAAGGCUUCUUGAAUUUUGAGUGAGUUUUUAUUGAAGUGGGUAAUCGUGUCUCCUUCAUGUACUCCUCAAGCCAUAAUACGGCUCUCGUGGGAGUUUGCGGUUGCGUCUUCUUCAAAUUGAGUGGUCACACUCUCCUUCAUGUACUCCUCAAGCUAUAAUAUGGCUCUCGUGGGAGUUUGCGGUUGCGCCUUCUUCAAAUUUUGGUUACGCCAUCUCUUUUGUACUCCUCAAGCCAUAAUAUGGCUCUCGUGGGAGUUUGCAGUUGCGCCUUUUUCAAAUUGAGUGGUCACACUCUCCUUCAUGUACUCCUCAAGCCAUAAUAUGGCUCUCGUGGGAGUUUGCGGUUGCGCCUUCUUCAAAUUUUGGUUGCGCCAUCUCUUUUGUACUCCUCAAGCCAUAAUAUGGCUCUCGUGGAAGUUUGCGGUUGCGCCUUCUUCAAAUUGAGUGGUCACACUCUCCUUCAUGUACUCCUCAAGCCAUAAUAUGGCUCUCGUGGGAGUUUGCGGUUGCGCCUUCUUCAAAUUUUGGUUGCGCCAUCUCUUUUGUACUCCUCAAGCCAUAAUACGGCUCUCGUGGGAGUUUGCGGUUGCACCUUCUUCAAAUUGAGUGGUCACACCCCCCCUUCAUGUACUCCUCAAGCCAUAAUACGGUUCUCGUGGGAGUUUGCGGUUGCACCUUCUUCAAAUUAAGUGUCCACCAAGAGAUCCUCCCUUCGUGGCGGAAAAAAAAAAAAGGGCAUUGACAAGAGGUGAAAAUCAUGAGGCAUGUGAGUUACCUUAGUGUUGUGAAUUUCACGAGCUAUAAAGUGCCAAACACAAUUGGAACGUCAACUCGCUUCAGUGGGUGUCAAUACAAGCUGUAAAAAAAAAAAAAAAAAAAAAAAAUAAAAAAAACUCAUAAGAAGGAUGCUUUUCCAAGAAAGUCGCAAUGCAUGUGUUGGUGAGCACUUUAUGUCAGUUAUCAAUUAAAUUGACAUGAAAAGCAAAAGGCAAGAAAAAAAAAACUCGAAAAAAAAAAUAUUUUUUUUCCUCUUUCCAAGGUGGAAAUAAAUCAAGUUUUGACAGAUCACAAUGAAAUUUGGUGGACAUCUAUUACUCGACCAACAUGUAGUUGUCAAAAGGCAGUAAAGAUGAUUACCUUCAGGGUGCAUGUGUGAAACAGGUUUCUUCCUCAAAUAUUGUGGUAGUCUUCAGUAAAGAUGUUUGUCACAGCUUCAAGACAAAAACAUGUCUUGUGCGGCUUUUAUAAGGUACUUGGAUGAAUCAUUUUAAGAAGUUUUAAAUUUUGGGCAACUACUAAAUUCGGUGAUUACCAUUUAACUUUUUGGAAUCACAUGAAUUUGAUUCCUAAGAUUAACUUCAAAAGCUGAAAGUCGGUUUAGGAAGUUCUUGAAAUUCGGCAGUCAGAGGUGCUUGGAUGAAUCAUUUUAAGAAGUUUUAAAUUUCGGCUGCUACUAAAUUCAGUGAUUACCAUUUAACUUUUUGGAAUCACAUGAAUUUGGUUCCUAAGAUUAACUUCAAAAGCUGAAGGUCGGUUUAGGAAGCUCUUGAAAUUCGGCAGUCAGAGGUGCUUGGAUGAAUCAUUUUAAGAAGUGUUAAACUUCGGGCAGCUACUAAAUUCAGUGAUUACCAUUUAAUUUUUUGGAAUCACAUGAAUUUGGUUCCUAAAAUCAAUUUCCAAAAACUGGAAGUCAGUUUAGGAAGCUAUCGAAAUUCGAGAAAUUCCAUAUUGUCAAGACAUUGGUUUCGGCAAUUACCUAUUCAUUGUAUGGAGUAAAGCUGCAACUCCAUAUGGAAGAGGAAGGUACAGGUCUGUUUGCAAGGAGAGAAUACUAUAUUAAUGCCUGGUGUUCUAGAAACUUGGAGUAUUUGGCUAUUGCUAUGAUUUCUCGGUUAUUACUACUUCCAAAAGUUGCUCGCAUGAACUUUAGGAAGCAAUGACGUUUUGGUAAUUGCAAAGUCAAGGUAAAUUGGUUAUUUCCAAAGUUGCUUGGCUGCCAUUGUUCUUGUAAGUCGCACCAAUGGACCUUGAGCGUAUUUUGGACAAUGCAAUUGGUUUUGCCAUUCCCAAGUUGCUGAAUAAUAAAAAAAAAAGAAGAAGAAAUCAAAGUUAACUUCAAGCCUCGUUUCGGCAAUUGUCAAGCAAUGCCACACCAAGUCUUGAAGUGGGGGCAUUUGUAGACAAAUAAAAUUUAUUUAAUUUAUUUAGUCAAGAUUUAUUUAAAUUAAAUUGAUCUUGAUUAAAUUAAAUUAAAUGAUAAAAGUUCAUUAUGUUUUGAACUUGCAAAUUGGGCCAGUAUUAUAUGGGCUAUUAAAUCAAGUUAAAAUUGUAAUGCCCAUUUAAGUUAAAGUGAAUUAAUUGAUCUAUUAAUUUACAAUGGACUAUUUGGGCUGGCCCAUUAUUUAAGCCCAAGUUAAAUGGAUUUAUUGAGUAACAAGUGAUCCAAAAUGCAGGAAGAUUCUGAGGGUUUUCUUGAAGAUUUAGCCUACAUAUUUUGGCUAUAAAUAAAGGUCUUCCCCCAAGGCAAAGACAUAAGAAAAAUCCCUAACUUUCGAAGAAACUCUGUCAAAUUUUCUCAAGAGCUUUCUUCCUCAAAUCCAAGUCCAAUUCAAAUCAAACAAAUCCUCUUGCUAUCGGUGUUGAAGACUUGAAGUUCCAAGUGUUUGACGCCAUCAUCAAAUCAAUUGUUUUCUACGCCAAAAUUGUAGGAAACACCAUUUCGAUUGGAGAACAAGUCUUGUCGGCCCUUCAAUUGAAGUUAUUCGAAGAAAAGAAUCAGGGAAUUAAUUUCUUUGAUUCAAGAACUUUCAGAGAUUGUAACCCGGUUAUUAUUUGAUUUAAUCAAUUUGAUAUUUGUGCAAGUUUUCUUGUCUUUUAUUUUAGGCAACAAAAUUUGUGCUUACAAUCUGUACUUGAAAUCUAUGACAUGAAUAAUUAAGAAUCUUGUUUAGUUUGAUGGAGACGAGGGUGUACUUUAUCACACUCGUUCUCUUGCCUGUGUGGUACAAACUGAAAUCUAGUACUUGUACUUGUUAUGAAGUUGAGCCUGUUACCUGUACUUGUUAUAAUGUCGUUUGGAAGUGUGUCCAACGACCUUCUUGUUAAACCUGAGUUCAACCUCACGGGGAGUUAAUUAAAUCGAGCCAUGCAAGGGCUUGGUUGAGAAAAUUGACAAUACGUGGGUGCCUGUUUUUAUGGAAUCUUUGAGUAUUGAGACUCUUGAUUCCGGUAUACUCGAGUAUUACCAUUCCUGUUUUAUUUGGCGUUCGGGCCCGGUAAGGGGGUAUGAAUGGUGAACGGGAUUCGGCGUUAAAGCGGUGUUCUACUGGACUGGUUUUCUUUAGUUGAAAAUUGACGGAGGGUCAACGUAGUCGGAUCAAGUACUGCAACGGGAAAUUGGCUCCUGAGAGCCAUCUGUAUCCUUUCUAUCUAAGUUGUUUACAUAUUUCCUUAUUUGGUAUACCUAUGUGAUUAAUUGAGCAUGAAGUUCCUUGGUCCUUGACUGUUAUUAUUUUUGGUACCUCAUUGAGCUUAUAGUUCACCCCGUUUUGUUAUCCUUGUUUUCCUUACAGGAAAAUCUUUUGGGAACAAUGAUGUUUGGAAGCAUGAGUUGAGCUAGAUAUAUAUUCUUUUGUAUAGCUCCUCAAUAGAUAGAAACCUUGAAUGUAUUUCGAUCCAACAACUCCCAUUUGAUUUGUAAAUUUGCAAUCAUGUAUUUAUAUAUAUAUAUAUAUAUAUAUAUAUAAGUGUUUAAUCAGGUACUUGUGUUACCCCGCUCGAACGUAUUCAUUCUUUCUGUCUACCUGGAGUUUAAUGAAAUUACUGAGGUUUCGGACGAAUGUAGUAUCCAAGUGUGAAAAGGAAAAAAAUAAAAAUAAAAAUAAAAAUCUGGCAGGGAUUUUUACAAUAUUAUGGGUUGGUAAGUUACAUUUAACUUGGAGGUUUCCCAAUCGUUCGUUUUCUUUGGUUUCUUUCACGCGUGCUAUAGAAGUGGGAGUGAUUCGACCCCGUAGUCCCGGCGAGAGUUGGGCAGGCGGUCCGCCGAACCUUUUGGUUCGCCUUAGGGGGAGGUGGGGCUGUCACAAAAACUGAUGAAGAAGACGAACAGAAAGAGCAGCGUGUGAUGGAGAGAAAGAGAGGAUAGAGGAGUUUUGUAUGUGAUGGGUAGGUCCGUCAUAAAUGUUGUCUGAGAGAAUAAAUUGAGAGUUUUGUCCAAAACCUCCCAAUUUGUUCGAGAAUGGGAUAAGUCCCAUUUUUUAGAAAUGAUUCCAAAAAUUGCAUUCUAAUAGGCUUAACCCAAGUAACAAAUAAGGGGUUGAUUCCAUUCUUUGAUUCCUAAAUCCUUUAACCAAGCAGCCCCUUAGUCUAUAUGGUUGAGGACGUAUAAAAAGGAGGAAUCGUUUUUUUUUUUCCUGUCUUAAGUACAGGUACUUGGGCCUUUUAUUUGAUUAACGUAAUGUUUGGACAACAAGAGAGUGUAGUUUGGUCUAGUGUCGAGUCUUCAAAUGAAGUCCAAAAUAAAAGCCUAAACCUACAAAAAAAAAAGUCAGUAGGAGAGUGACCCGUGGCUCUUGGUCCCCAACACCUCAAAUCUUCAGAAUUCUCAUGAUUUUUGUCUUAUAAUCUUGCAUUAAUUAUUACUUUUUUUUGGGUCUUUUAUUUUUACAUCUGAUAUCAGAACUCUAGGUUCAAGAAAUUGAUCCUAGGGUACCGAAGAAAUUAAUUAAUCGACUUAGACCAGAAGCUUGAUCAUGGAAUGUCUAAUUUGUGAGGAUUGAAUCAUAAGAUCGGUCCGGAAGAAUUGUCAAAUUGAUGGUGAUUAUGAAAAUCAAAGUGAAUUGUGAUUAUGAAAUCACAAAAUGAAUUGUCAAUAAGUUGACAUCAAAUUGGGUGACAAAAAUAGUCUAUCCAAAAAUGUGAAUUAUUUUUGCAAGUGAAAAAUAAGUUGAGCGAUUCUAUCCAAGUGUGUCGAUUAUUGCAGCAGCAAAAAUCAAGGGAGAUUAUUGAUCGUGGUGGUGGUAAACCUGAUCCAAAAGAGAGUUUGAUUUAAGGGAGGCAAUGUUGGCAUAUUAAAUCAAGACUUAAAAUUAGAAAUUUUCAUUUUAUUAUUUAGUAGUGUUUUAGUCAAGUUAGGAUUUUAAUAAUUCUAUUGGAGUCAAGUUAUGGUAGUUUUAUUGUUUAAGAAUUAGUAUUUUAUUAAAAAAUUUAUUAUGGUUGUAAGACUUGUUUAUCAAAUCAUCUAGUCUAUGAAUAGGGAGUCAUAUUAUUAUGUUGAGUGGAGAAGAGUGAAAGAUUGGAGAGCCUUGUUAUUAUAGUGCGUGAUUAAUAUAUUAUUGUUGAUAUUUAUUCCUCUUCUCCCACACAUAUUUAUAUGUGUAUAAAUUGUCUUCCCAUAUACAUUGAUUUUAUGAAAUAUAUCUCUAAUAAGUUUUUGGUAGAAUUUGGAUUCUACAGUAACCACUACCUCAACAUGUUUCCACAAGCAACUAUGAGGAAGAAAUGGUCUAUUUCGUGUGUUAAGUAACUUUUUUCUGUAUGUAGAAUUUGUACAAGAUUAUUGACAUAAAUUUUGGAUCAAGAAAUGCAUAAAUAUUCAAAAAAUUCAAAGUAGAUACUAGUUCUCCCAUUUCAUUUGUUUUAGUUUUUUUUUUCUUGGCAACCCCAUUUUAUUUGAUUGGACAUUACUACAAGAAACACGGUUUAAAUAAGUCAAAACAUUUCGUUUAGUCCCUCACAUGUAAAAUAUAUCCCCAGCCCGUUUUAGUAUAUCAUUGUUUUUAACUGAAAAAAUUACAUUAGGAGGAAAUUUUUGAGGAAAAUUGAAGGGGAUUUCUCUUGUUUUAUUUUUCAUUUGAGCCAAGAACCAAAUGAUCAUUGGAUAGGCAUUUUAUAUAGCUAAAAAGAAGUAUCCAAUUUAUGAGGUAGAAGAUAUAUAUGUAAAUGGCACAUUGAAGUUUAUAUUUGCGUUAAUUUUCAAAGAGUGAUUCUUUUUGUAUAACAUCCAACAAAGAUGAUAUUGACAAUCGCUUAUAAGGAGUACAUUUUUAAGAGGUGAAACCUUAAUAUUACAAGAUAAUUACCAAUUUGUAUUAUGUUUUCCUGAGGUCCAAUAAAUCCAAUACUUCUAGACAUUUCCAACUGAUUUGGUAAAAAAAAAAAAAUCUCUAGUAAAUUCCUAUCGUUAACCGAUGCAAAGUUUUGUGUCCAAACUUUUUUUUUUUAAGGCGUGUGGCAAACUCAAAAGUGGGUAAAAGUCUGUAGAAGAAUUAAAGAGAUGAUGGAGUAUUAAAAAUAAACAAGGAAUAAAGAAAUAAAUAUUGGAAACUGAUAGUAAUUAAAAAAAAAAAGAGAGCUCUUCCAGGCUGUUAUCUUGACCAAAAAAGAGAAAAGGCGACAUAAAUAAAACUUUUUCAUAAUGCAAGUGGGCUCCUGUAUUUCCAUUCCCAUCAGUCACCCAAGGAUAAUUAAUUCGGAACCUAAUUGGCGAAGAAUUUUGCUUUUUGCAUUUGGCAAGCCGAUGAUUUGACUGGAAACAAUUCUUAACACGCGGGUCAAUUGAACUAAAAGUUGUAAUUUUGAUACUUAUAAUGUUCCUAAUAUUAUUAACCACUGGGCCAAUGUCUCGGUGGCAACCAGGGAGGGAUUUAAAUCCCUUUUUGGAUUGUAGGUGAGGGUCCAAAUAUUAUUUGUAGCGAAAAAAAUUUAAGGGUUAUUUAAUAACUAGGGAUGUACGUGAGCCGAGUCGUAAUCGAGUAGCUCGGUCAACGGCUUGGAUUGAACUCGGGUUAACUGAGUUCGAACCGAGUCUCGAGCUACUCAAUUGUCAUUCGAGUUGAGUUUCUAGCCAAUAUUUUGAGGUUCGAGACUUGUCGAGCUACUCGUCGAGCCGGGGUAUUUAAAUAAUAUAUUUAUAAUUUAAAUAAUAUAUAUGUAUUAUAAUUAUAAAAUGACCAUUAUGGGUAUAAGUUUUACGGAAUUUACAUUUGAGUCGAGUCAAAAAACUUAAUUAGAUUCGACUUGAUAAGGCUUGCCUAAAGGUCGAACCUUAUCGAGUCGAGUCUCGAGCUUAAAGCGAGUUUCUCGAUUCAAGUUUCGAGUAUCGAUUUUUUGUACUCGGUCGAGCUCGAGCUCCUAGGUAUAUAUGAGUCGAGUCGAGCUCGAGUAUAGCAAUACUCAAGCUUGACUUGGCUCGAUUACAUCCCUAGUCAUAACACUUUCUUAGUUUAGUUGGAUUUGUAUCGUUGCUGACAAAAAAAAAAUGUUCCUAAUAUUAUUCAAUAUUAAUGUGAUUAGAAAGCCACAUAAAUUGAAAGAAGCAAAUAUAAAAGUUCAACCAUGAUGGGCUCAAUUAUAAUUGACCUAGGCAGUAGAGAUGAAGUAUGCUAAAAUUGACACUUAUAACUAAAUUCAGAUUUAACAAAAACAAAGUCAAAAAAAAAAAAGAGAAAAAAGAAGAAACUUUAUUGGCAAUUUUCCUUUAAAACUAAAAGCCAUAUUUUCGGGUGAAUAGAUGGCACUAGAUGUACAUUUAUUUGGAAAAAGAAAGGCCAUCAUUUUGCUUCAUUUUUUAAGGGAAAAUAAACCAAUACAUGAUAAAAAUUGUUACAGAGGAAUCACUAAAAAUGGUCCUGCAUUGUAAAUCACAGUAUUAAUAUUUGCCUUCUUCAAAAGAUUUUACUGGAGUCCAUACUUUUACUCGGCCAAAAGCAACCAAAAGCAUGCAUGAUUAUUUCUCCAUCGAUUUGUAAAUAAACAGGGACUCAGUAAGACUAAUUUGACUAGAUUAUAACCUCUCUUUUUUUUUUUGGAGAAUUGCUAUAAUAAUCCUUUACAUAUAUAAGUAAACAGUAUUAAUUCGGUCACUCAAAUCUAUAAAAAUGUUUGGUUCUUAAAAGAUACAGACUCAUAUUUCUAUCUUAAAAGGUCAUGCACUCACUCAUCUUUCUAUCUUAAAAGAUCACACAAAAUUUUCAAGGGAUUGAAAAAACACAAUGAUUGAAAAUGAGAGUUCAGGGGAGAAAUGAAUUAGAUGAUAUAGAAGAGAGUAUAAGUAAGAGAUCUCAAAUUUGAGACCUGCACUUGCACUUAAAAAAAUGAAGAAGGAAAAAAAGAGUUCAAGUUUUUGAGGAACUGAAAUCAUAACAGAAAGACCGCAAAUGAGAAUUGAAAUGGAUGAGGCUUUUGUAACCAUCGUUAGUUGUUCAUGAUAUACAUAGGGAUCAGGGAUAAGUGCGAUUAGAAUUUUAAUGCAAUUGUCCAGUUGUUGUAUUUUUUGCAUAAUAUAGGUUCUCUUAUAUAAUUUUAUUGUUCUCACAAAAUUUAUUCUUAUACACUAAUUCAAUAAAUAAAUACAAUCGUAUCUUGAAGUGUACACUAAGUUGUGAAUGAAAUAUAACAAUUGUACCUAAUUGUAUCUAACUCAACCAUACCUGUCCGAUUCCGUAUAGAUCAAACCAUGUUAUUUUGGUCCACCAUGGGUUAAUAAGGUAAAAUCCUCAAGCAAAAAACAAAAGGUCUAAAUUACAUCAAUUCGAUCCAUUUGUGCCAUUAACAUUUUUUUUUUGGUCUAUUGUCACCAUCUACAUCUAUUUCUACUCCUAGUCCUAAUCGAACAUAUACUAGGGACAUGACCCAAUAGGGUCAUGGGGAAUCGACGGGAAUUGAACCAUCAUCGAAUCAUACGGGUGCAUUAAGCAAUCAUAUGGAUUUUAGAGAAGCCACAUUAAAUGACAACUUUUUGAUGGAAGGUAAGAUUUGAACUCUUAACGUUCUACCUUACAAAAUAUGGUAGCCAACUUCUCUAGAGGAGGUUGGUUCAUUUGUGCCAUUAACCGUUUCUAGCGAUUUGUGAGUUGAGACUUGAGACGGGUGUGAUUCCCCUGGCCUGCCUGGUGAGAUACAGGCAUAAGGACUAAUUUGGCAUAUAUCCAUAUCAUGACAUGGAACAAAAUGCGCCCUUCUAAAUUUGAGGACUAAAUUAAGAACUUGAAGAACAAAAUUUUUUUGGCAGUUUCAGCAUUGUGUUUCUCUCCCUUCUUUUAUCUUUGUUUUCAUUUUUUUUUUCUAAACAAUGAAGUACACAAGGUGGGAUAAAAACACACAAGGAACAAUUUUACCAAUUUUCUUGUAUACCUUUUGUCCGGUAAAAAAUCUAACAAAAAAUUACCAGAAGAGAUCGAUUUUUUAUAUUGUUUGUUUUCCGGUAAUGCAUUUUCUCUAGUAUUUUCCAUUAUCAUUUAGUUAUUAUGUCUCUUUUAAUGGCUGUUUUAAAACUGUUUUCUCAAUGACAAAAGAAAGUAUCACUCCGUUUUGAAAUCCUAUGUGUUCCAAUAAUUAAAAAACAGUACGCUAUGAAUUGUAUAAUUUCUUUUCUGAAAAGCUCCAAUUCUAAGCACAUCAAUUCUUGAAUCAUGACAAAAAUGCUUGUUUAAGACAAUUAUGAAUCUUUAACAUUUGGAGUUUACAUCCUUUGACAAAAAUGCUAACGAAAUUUUGAAAUUUUCUGCCACAAAAAGUAUCAGCACAUCAUACACAAAUAUAGUUAGCAUAGCUCCUCGAACAUGUACGCAUAAAAGAAUGUAUUGUCCUUUUCGUUCUUGUAAUUGAGCAGGUAUGUGAAAAAGUGACUUGUGAUUGCUAACCAAUGAUCAAUGAAUGGGGAAAAAAAUCUCCGAAUUGAAGGCAUCUAAAUCUGGAUCCAUACACAGCAACCAGUCAUAAGUUAUAACCACGAGUUUUGGGGCUUUGGGACCCAAAACAACCAAUUUCUUGAUUAAAUUCCAUUUGUUUUUUUUUUAAUUUCCCUUGAGACAAGAAUGUGCAGCAGAUGCUUUAAUAUAUUACCCUUUUUCCUUUCUUUGCUCCAUGCACAAUUUUUGGAUUAGAAGACGAGGAAAAAGGAUGUAAAAAUAGUAAGGAAAAAGGAGAAGAAGAAGAAAGAACAAUAAUGAAAAAAAAAAAGAUUAUUAGACACUAUCCUUAUAAUGAGGGCAUUAUUAUCUUUUUGUUUUGCGCAUAAACUUGGCUUUAGAGAGCAAUUUAUAGGUUUUGAGAAAAGGAUCGGCUAGAAGAAUUAAAAAAAGCGAAAUAACAUGGAAGCAAGCAAAAGGCAAAAGCUAGAACCAAGAUGGUACAUGUGCAACAAAUAUGAAAGUGGUCCCAAUUGUACAAUCGGCCAAAAAAGGUUCUACAUGGGUUAUCUGUACAUAUUUUUCAGUCAAUGGAUGACUAGAGAAAUAGGACUGAAGCCAAGAAUUUUGCAAGCGAAACAACGUGGAAGCAAAUCAAAAGCAAGAGCCGAAAGGGUCGUGAAAUUGUACACCAAUUAGGAUUUAUAUAAGUGAAAGAGAUUAUUCAAUCUCCUGUGUUGGGUUCUUCAUAUCAAUCUCCUACGAAUUCAUCAGUGCCUAUGUUCCUAAGUCUGUACUUUCAACUUUGCAUCAAGAUGAUGUAGGUGGAUUUUAAGUCUACUCCAUAAUGGAUGGCUUGAAAUAAAGUCUGAAUUAGAAUCACCAGCUGUGGACCUUUGAUGAUGAGUACUUAAGGAAAGACACCCAACCCAUCUAAUAAAUAAUUUGAGCCCAACCAAUCAAAACUCAUUACCGUCUAAUUCAACUGAACCUUUAAAAUUAAUGGGUGGAUUGGAUGAGUUGUUGGGUUUUAAGUUUAUUUGCCAGGUUUAGUUACUUGCAAAGUUUAUGUACAUGACCGAUAAGGAAUUUCUCGAUGCUUUCAUUUACUUUUACCAUGAAGACUGGAACUGGAAGAACCGUAAGAAAAGGCAUCAUAGAUACGUAUUUUUGUGGACAUAUUUUCAAUGCAUUUUUUAUCGUCGGUUCUUACAUGUAAAAUACAUAUUUCGUGUUAUCUUGUGUUAUUAUUGGCUUCUAUUAUGUACACAUAUUUGCAUUUAUUGUUACCUUUUUUAAAAGGAAAUACUUUUUAAUAUUUAUUUCACUUUUUUCUGAAAAUCCCUCUCAAUGAAUGUCCCUUGGCACUUCUUAGAUAAAUCAAACAUUUUCUUUAUCAGUUUUGCCUAUUAACAAUAAGUUUUUUUCUAAUGUUUUUGCUUGGCUUUAUAAGAAUAUGCAUGAGAUAUGUCAUAUUUAUUUUAUAGCCAAGGGAAAAUUUUCUUGGUUUUUAUUUUCUUUUUGUUUUUGUUUAAAGAAGAGAAUUUAUGAACCUGAAAUGGAUCUGACCAAUAUUUUUACCUUCUCUUAAGUAAUAGCCAUUUACUCUUUGAAUAUAGUGGUUGCUAGUAUGUUUUUUAGAUUCUACUUGGUUCAAAACCUUGGUUCAAAACCUCUUCCUCAUGUUUCUUUUCAAAAUAUUCAAUAAAUCUUUCUUAUAUUAUAGGGAUAAUUUCAGAAACCUCCCUUGAGGUUUUCGAUAAUUUCACUUGACUCCCUUGAGGUUUAUAUAAUUACAAAGACCUCCCUUGUUAUGAUAAAAAGAUAAUAAUGUCCUUUAUUAAUUGUCAACUCAUUGAAAAACUCAAUCAAAUAUUAAAACUCUCUCAUCUAUUAUUAACCAAUAAUUCAAACCACAGUUUUUUUAAUUUAACUAUCUAUUCUCUUCCUUAUAUAUCUAUUUUUCUUUUAAACUCAUUUAUUUAUUAUUAUCAACCAAAUGUGUACUCUCGCUAUUAAUAAAAUCGCCAUACAAAUUAAACCACCAGUACUUAUAUAUCUUGGUAUCUAUUCCCAAUCCUCGAUUUUCCAUUAUUAGUAAAUAGUUUUCUUACGCCCAUUUUUAUUUUCAAUUUUUGAUAGGUAUUAGCAAAUUGAAAUUGUCAAAUGACAAAUUGAGUGUUAAUUUCAUUAUCAAAUUAGAUGGUGAUGAAGAUAGUAACAAUGAUAAAAAAUAAAAAUUAAGGAUAAGAAGUGGAAUAGGAACUAAAUAUAGGUUAUACUGUUUUGGUUAUCAUAAAAAAAAACAUUCUUGGUAUAUAUUUAUAACUGCAUUAUGUUUCUAUUUUUUAUUUACAAUUAUUAAUAUUAUUCCUAUAGAGAGAAUUUGGUCGAUUUUGAACUUUGUGCCAAUGGAAUAUAUUGGAUAUUAAUAUUAGGAGUGAUGGAUUGGUGACAGGUGUCGUGCCUGUGCAAUAAUAAAUAUCUGCUUAAGAAAAAUAAAUUUUCUGUGUAUAGUAGUAAGCAGGGUCGAAUCCACAGGGACUGGGAAAAAUUCGAUUCUUUUUAAAUUCGAGACACGGGGGAUUUUUAUCAUAUAAAACUAAAAAUAAAUAAUUAAACAAUUUAACUAAAAACAAUUAAACAAUUUAACCAAAAAUAAAUAAAUAAUUAAUACGAAUGUAAAUGGCAAUUAAAUAAAUAAUAAAUAAAUUCUAGCCAAGGAUACAACUACGUAGACACAGUCCAUUCAUCCGAUCAUUGAUGCAAAGAAGGUUCACUUAAUUUUAUUAACAGGUUAGUUAUAGUCGCCGAUAAGCUCUAACGACCAGUUUUUCCUUAAUUUAUUGAUAACCAAGGUACGACCGUUGAUUACCCCUAACCAAGAAAUACUCCUAGGUACGACCACAGGAAUUAAUUUCCUAAUUGCAUUAAAAACUAGAAAAGUCUAACCCAAAUUAAUAACACGCUACGAGGGUUAUUUAAAUCAGAUUGCACGUCCCCCUAGUAUGUGAAAAUACUAGUUGUCACUAAUAUUAACCAAUUAAACAAUUACGGAUUUAAUUGAUUAAUUUGACAAGAGAUUAAUAAGUCAAAUUGCACAUCGGGCCCUUGAUAUCCAAUUAACAAAAUAAUCCCAUGGAAAUUAAAAUAGAAAACAUGCAAAUAUUAAUAAAUUAAGGAACACGUAAAAUUAAUUAGAUCUCACAGAUAUUUGGGACUGCGCCUUCGCAUUGAUCCUUGACUAGAGGAGAAAAUUAGCCGCGCCUCAUAAGAAAAUUCCCACGCAAUUCAAUUGAAUUCAUAGACAUAAAUAACUAACUAAGAAUUUAGGAAGAAACUUGAGUCUCGGUAGACUCUUUUAAGAAAAGUUGCACACCACACAACAAGAGAAGGAAGAACUCCUCCUCUGAAAACCAAAAACUACCUCUAUCCUCCUACGGAGCUUCUCUGGAGAGAAAACUAAAAACUAGCCUAAUAGCUCUCUUUUACGUCUCCUGUCUUCAUACAUAAAAAACCAGCCAAAUGGAGACAUCACCCCACGUCCACCAAAGAGGUCAUCAUUUCUCUACACAAUCAAUUCCACUCUACUCAAACAAAAGCAAUUGUCGGUUCUCUUUUUGACCAAGUGCACACGUUCACCAACAAGAAAGCAAAACCACAAAUGUGCAAAGAAAGCACACUUUAGACAAUACAACUUAUUUGCGGUCCCCACCAACUUUGAUAUGUUGUCUAGCCAAAUUGAAUUCCCAAAUGCAAUUCCAUUUUCUUCGUUGGUUUGCACCAGAAUUGUGUAAAGCUUCACAAUAAUCUUCUCAAGAGGUUUCUGCUCCAAUUUCUGAAAUUAUAUCCAAAUACCAAAUAUAAAUAUAUAUUGACAAUUAAAGCAAAUUAAAGCAAUAUUUGGCAAGGAUAAAAAGGAAAAUUAACAAUAAAAUUACUAACAAUUAACAUCCUAUCAAUUGGAUUAUUUUGUACUCCCUCUGUCCCAUUUUGAUAGUUCUAGUUUUUUUAACACAGUUUAAGAAAAAGUAGUUAACUUUGUCGGAAAAACAAAUUUAGAUUACUAUUUUUCUAAAAUACCCUUACAUUAAUAGAGUACAACUUUAUAUUAAUUAUUCAUGGAAACUUGAAUUGAUGGUCAAGAAAGAAUCAAUUCUCAUUUUAUAUUAUUUCACAUUAAAUCUAAAUAUAUUAAAUGAGGUAGGUUAACAAUCUAUAUUAAAUAAGGGAGUUCAUACUAAUAACAACCUACAUUGAAUAAAGGUAUUUUAGAUAAAUUAAAAAAAUAACUACAUUUUUCAAUUGGAAAGUGGACUAUAAUUUGAGACAGACUAAAAAAGAAAAUAGGACUAUCAAAGUGGGACGGAGGGAAUAUUAAAAAGGUGGCAGCCGUGGAAUUGGAAUUUAGGGAUAUUAUUGAAUAUUGUAGUAUAUUAAGUAAAAUCUAAUAUUGUUAUGAAAUUGUAGAUAAGUUUUUGGGUAUAUGAUGUAGCAUUUAUAGUUGAUACAAUGGUCUGCAUCAGAAAUUUUUAGGUAAAAGAGGAACAUUAGAAUAAAGAUAAGUGUUUAUUUAAUGGUUGGAUGUUGAUAAGUAGGUAAUAGUGGUAAAAAAUAAACAUAAAUGAAAUAGAGACCGUAAACCAUUUUUUUUCCUUUACAUUUUUGUUGUGAAUUAUAACUCAAGGGCAUUAUAGAAAUUUUGAAAAAAAGUAUAGCCUUUUGGGUCUAGAAUGUUACUUAAUAGUGAAAAUAGGGGAAGUAAGUAUAAUUUUUAGAAAUUGAGGGAAGUUUUCUACAAUUGUUAAAAACCUCAAGGGAGAUAUGUGAAAUUAACCCUUAAUUCUAAUGUUCUUGAACUGAUAUGGUAUUCGAACUACAAAUUUGAAGAUCAGAUAAGGAUAACUCUAAGGAUAAUGGCAAAUUAUCUGCGCAAAUCUUGGAAGAGUGGAAGUAGGAGAUACGCUUUCGUAUAUAACUAACUACUACCAUUCUUGAAGUUUGACCUCAUCAGCAGAUAAGAAAACCAUGAGAAUAUUAACAGAUAGAUUUUUAGUUGGUUCAAAUCACUUUUUAUAACUCCAAAUAUCCUUUUAAUUUUAGGGAUAAUUUCAGAAACCUCCCCUGAGGUUUUCGACAAUUUCACUCGGCUCCCUUGAGAUUUACAUAAUUACAAAGACCUCCCUUGUUGUGAUAAAAAGAUAAUAAUGAGCUUUAUUAAUUGUCAACUCAUUGAAAAACUCGAUCAAAUAUUAAAACUCUCUCAACUAUUAUUAACCAAUAAUUUGAACCAUAGUUUUUUUAAUUUAACUAUCUAUUCUCUUCCUUAUAUAUCUAUUUUUCUUUUAAACUCAAUUAUUUAUUAUUAUCAACCAAAUGUGUAUUCUCGCUAUUAAUAAAAUCGCCAUACAAAUUAAACCACCACUACUUAUAUAUCUUGGUAUCUAUUCCCAAUCCUCGAUUUUCCAUUAUUAGUAAAUAGUUUUCUUACGCCCAUUUUUAUUUUCAAUUUUUGGUAGGUAUUAGCAAAUUGAAAUUAUCAAAUGACAAAUUGAGUGUUCAUUUCAUUAUCAAAUUAGAUGGUGAUGAAGAUAGUGACAAUGAUAAAAAAAUAAAAAUUAAGGAUAAGAAGUGGAAUAGGAACUAAAUAUAGGUUAUACUAUUUUGGUUAUCAUGAAAAAAAGCAUUCUUGGUAUAUAUUUAUAACUGCAUUAUGUUUCUAUUUUUUAUUUACAAUUAUUAAUAUUAUUCCUAUAGAGAGAAUUUGGUCGAUUUUGAACUCUAUGCCAAUGGAAUAUAUUGGAUAUUGAUAUUAGUAGUGAUGGUUUGGAUUAUUUUGUAUUAAAAAGGUGGCAGCCAUGGAAUUGAAAUUUUGGGAUAUUGGUGAAUAUUGUAGUACAUUAAGUAAAAUCUGAUAUUGUUAUGAAAUUGUAGAUAAGUUUUUGGGUAUAUGAUGUAGCAUUUAUAGUUGAUACAAUGGUCUGCAUCAUAAAUUUUUAGGUAAAAGAGGAAUAUUAGAACAAAGAUAAGUGUUUAUUUAGUGGUUGUGUGUUGAUAAGUAGGUAAUACUGGUAGAAAAUAAAUAUAAAUGAAAUAGAGAUUGUAAACCAUUUUUUUUCCUUUACAUUUUUUGUUGUGAAUUAUAACUCAAGGGCAUUAUAGAAAUUUUGGAAAAAAGAAUAGCCUUUUGGGUUUAGAAUGUUACUUAAUAGUGAAAAUAGGGGAGGUAAGUGUAAUUUUUAGAAAUUGAGGGGAGUUUUUUGCAAUUGUUAAAAACCUUAGGAGAGGUAUGUGAAAUUAACCCUAUAUUAUAAGCAUAAAAUAUAUACAUACAUACGUAUAUAUAAAUCUAUAUAUAUGUAUGUAUGUAUAAUAUAUAUGUGUGUAUAUAUAUGUGUCUGUCUAUAAUAUAUAUGUAUGUAUGUAUAAUAUAUAUGUAUAUAUGUAUCUGUAUAUAUAUAUAUAUAUAUAUAUAUAUAUAUGUAUGUAUGUAUGUAUAUAACAUUGAAGACUGUUUCACAUGGUAAAAGGAGAAGAAAUGAUAAACUAAUAAGGCAUGAAAACACUACUGUUCUUAAAGUUUUAAUUGCCCAUACUACUUAGUUGUUUGCUUAGGAGUAGUGGCCAUUUACCCCUAGAAUAGAACAAAAAGGAAAAAGUAGAUAGCAUAAUCUAAUUGUUCUCACUUAGAAUUAAUCAAAUGCAAAAGUCAGUUUAAUUCAUUGAGACUUAAUUAUUUUUAUAGGAAAAGUGUUUUUUAUGACCACAUGAUGACCAGACGCAGCCGCAUUGGUUUUGCGCACCAUUUGGUUCCAAAUAACCACUUUCUGACUAUUACAGAACCAGAUCUGAUUCACUAAGAAUACCUGAGACCUAUGUGAUCCAGACUAAAUCCAAAUCUGAAUGUAGAACUGGAAAGACUUGGACCACUCUGGACGUGAUCUAACCAUGGAUCAGGAUCGGGUCAAGCCAAGAUCUGGCACCAAAUCACAGUUCAUCACUUUAUUUUGUUUAUCCAUAAUCCAUUUGUAUAUUUCAAAUCUCAUUACUGUACUAGACACUCCGGCGGAAUGUCUUCAACGUUUUCAUUAGCAUGGGCAACAAUGUUCUCCAACUCCCAGAGUACUUUUUCUUCCUGGAUAAAAGGAACUCCAAUACGUAAAUGCAGUUGUUUGGGCAAGAGCUUUGCAAACAAACCGCAAAACAGCCAGAAUACUCUUGGAAUCGUGCAAGGGGUACUCUGUUAUGCCUAAAUGUCUUGUAUCCCUACAAUAACAAGCACUUUUGGACGAAAAUGCUUUUCCAACUAUCCCUUGUCCCUUCCGAACAAAUUUGGAAUCAUAAUAGCUUAAUAUUUCUCCGGAAGUAGUCCAAGGUUGAGCUUUCAGCAGUCCAUGUCUUUUAUACACCGCACUUAUUGCUCUGUGAAUUUCAGAGAUUUCUCUUUUUCGACCUGAAGAUGUUUGGCUAGAAAGUGUUAGUUUGGAAGGCACAGCUUAAAGCUUCAGUUCACAUUGUACUCGCAUGGACUUGCUUCCUCCUAGCUUAAGACCAGUAGUACCUUCAUCAUGUACCAUAUUUAUCUAUUCAAUGAAAAUUAAAACAUGGGACUAGGCUUGCUUUUUGGCAUGCUUUGCGGCAGAGCACAUUUCUAUACUGGAGCUCUUGAUUUUGUUUUGAAAUAUUUUGCGGAAGAGCAAAAUCAAUUUAUUAACAAUUUUGUUAAAUACAUCCUUUUCAAUGUAAGUAACUGGAGCUCUUGAUUUUGUUUAUAAAUAUUUUGCGAACUAUCAUCAACUUGAUCUUCUAUAGGUUUUCUUUUAAGAAAUUCAUCCACAGCCGAUUAUAGAUAAAAACAUAAUAACUUAAUUUAAUAUUAUAGAUCAAAAUUCACCAACCAAUUGAAAAAUAUAAUUUUAAGUUUGAGCACAAAUAUGUACAAUAUCAAAUAGGAUUAAUCUUCUAUAUACUGACAGUGUAUAUACUUUCUCCAUUAUAUGCAUGGCAUAUAAUUUAAAUUUUGCAUAUGUGUUGUGCAAUCCAAUUGUAAUAGUAUAUAUACUAUCAAUGGCGUACAAGCAUGGCCUUCUACGAUCUAUAACUUGCAAAACUUGUGAUAUGAAUGAAAAUCAAAGAAAGGCUGUGGAGAUAAUUAACAGAUAACCAUUCCCCCCCCCACCCCCCCUUCUUUAACUUGUAGUCUGCUUUUAUUAUGUUAUUCUUCAUCCCCUUUUAUGCCAACUACAGGUUAUUGUCUUAUAUAACCUUACCUUGAUAUAAGCCAUUUAAUAAGAUAAUUAGUACUUAGGUAAUGGCAUUUUUUUCCAUAUUUGGGCUGCAAAAUGGCCAAAAUCUUGGUAAAUAUGAUGUACUCCACAAGUGUUAAGUGUGUAAGGAUGCAAAUCGGACCUAUUAAGUCAAUUAUUCUAGUUUUCAAACUUGUUUUGCAAUCAAAAUUUAAAAUUCUAAUAGUUUUAUAUGAAAAAGGAUUUUUACAAAGCCAAAUGCCAAUGGCUAAGCAAAUCUGAUUAAACUUAUAAAUGCUCGCAAUUAUCCUUCCUACUACUUUUACACUUUACCUAUUUGUCUUCGCUUUUCCAAAAUCUUCAUAUUUGGAGGCAAUCUUAAGGAGCAGAAUUGGGCUCCUUUUAGACAAACUAAAAAGUUAAAAAGGGUUCUGAAAACUUAAAUGUAAAAUUCACAAUUUGAGUGUAUGUUUUUUGGAUACUCCAACCUCGGCUCUUUUUAUUUUAUUUUAUUUUAUUUUUUGGUGUUGGAAAACAAUGGCAUAAAGAACUGCAAUAUAUAAUACACACCUGACCCCAAACUUUGACAUAAAGCCCAAAACUUGCCAUCAUAAGGGAAGUAGAAGUCCUUCUUUGUUUUUGAUAAGGAAAGUAGAAGUCUUAAACUUGGAGGCUGAAACUCUUAAGAAUUCUUGAUUUAGCCGCCGAAUUGAAAUAUCCCAAUUUGAAAACGUUAUUAUCAUUUUAAAAUAAAAUAAUAUAUUGUAUUUAAAAUAUUGAGCUAAUGUUGUAAAUCAUAUUAACUUGGUUAUAUAUCCAAAGUUCAGCAUACUCUAUGUUAAAAGCAAUUAACUUUGGCCAUGCAGUGCAGUAAUAACUAAUAUGGAUACGAAAAAAGUUUAAUAUUGAUAUCAAUAUUGGACCCUCCCGAGAUCCUAACUCUCCAUUCCUCUCCUGCUAGACUUUUUAGUUAUUAUAUAUCCAUGGGUUAUCAACAUUCAACUUGUUUGGCAUUUCCAGUGAAAUCAAAAAGAAAAAGAAAGUCAGCUGAUUUUGCAGUGUUUGUGGUGAAUUUGAGGCAGAGAGGCUAUUGACAUUCAUUAUCAAGUCUAGAAAUCAUUUGCUUAGUUUUUCGAAAUCAUUACAACAGAACGUAAGAAAUUCAUUGCACCUAAUCUUACAACACAAAAAUUGAUAUUUAAGUCAUUUGAGAACAAGUGGAAACUACCAUCUAAAAUUGAAGGUUUCACUGACUAAUGGCCAAGGAAUAAAUAUAUUUUAACUCAGCAGAGGCAAGUGCAAUAAUGAUUCAGUUACUACACCUUGGAAAGGGUUUCCUUAUUUAUUGAGGCAUUUAACGUUAGUUCAUUUUUUCAUUUGAAGCAUUUUUAGUCAAAUUGUUGUAGUAUAGUAAGUUACAGAAGCCCUAGAUGGUGGAAACAAUGCACUGAGGUCAUUGAAGUGUGGUAGAUAAAAUCAUCUUCAUCAUCUAGCAUAUUUUUCCAGUCAAUGGAACUAAAACGUGCUGCUACACGCAUCGAAGCUACAUGGGACUAGGCCUGUAUUUUGGCAUGCUUUGCGGCAGAGUUUAUUAUGCAAAGUUUAAUCUUCACGGAAAAAGUAUUGAAUGAAAAUGUGAUACUCAAAAACUCCUCUCUCUAAAGUAGAGGCUUUCUCUCUCUAAAGUGGCUGUUCUCUCUCUUGGGAUAAGAGCUCUCCCACCUCGUUGGUGGGAAGCUAGCUUUGUUCAAACUUUUUCAAAACCGUCCUUCUCCCGCUCUACCGGAUCAUGCUAGAUCAUCAGUACUUGUACGAGUGAUCUUUAAUGGAAGGUUAAUGGCAGCUACUCUUUGUUUAAGCAAGUCAGUGCAUGAAGAAAGGGAGUUCAAGCGUCGCUAUCUUCAACUAUGAUAAGCUACCGCCUGGACAUUGAUAGUCAAUACUCUGUUUUCCUUGUCUGUUAAGAGUACAAGUGAGCAUCGAUGCUCUAACUGUGGUGGUCAGUAUCUUUCAGCAAGUUUUUGUUUUCAGUCGCGUUUCUUUUCUUAGUGUUUUCGUUUGUCUUUCUUUUUUGUUCCUCUAUCUUUUGUUACGCCUUGGUUCUGUUUUUCAUCUCCUGUGGUUAGAGUGUUUUAUUCCAUCUGAUAUUUGCUGCGUCUUUCCAUGGAGGGAGAACUGUCAGAUAUAUUACAGAAGUUUUCCCUAGAAGGGAAUGAGUUGGUAGGACUCACGCUGGAGGGGGAAGACUUUCAAACUGGUGUGAGAGCUUGUGAAAACAGUAUCAUUGGGAGAGUCUUAGGAGAAAAAGUGAUUAACUUCACUGGAAUUUAAAACUUUGUGGCUGUUGCCUGGGGGUAUCCCAGGAAUCUGUCAGUGGUGGAACUGGGACCAAAUGUGUUUCAGUUUAACUUACACAACUCUGAAGAUAAAGAUAGAAUAGUGGAGGGAGGGCCUUGGGUUAUAGAUAAUCAGAUGCUAGUCCUAAGAAGAUGGGUUGAAGGCAUUGAAGAUGACUAUAAAGCCUUUGUGACGGCACCUCUUUGGGUGCAGCUCUGGAAUCUGCCUGUCCAUUGGCUGUCUAGGGAGAUUGGAAGAAAGAUAGGAGGUGUGUUUAAGGAAGUUAGAGAGGUCGUUAUCCCUCAGGCGGGGGGAAAAGAGGGUAGGCAUAUGAAGGUCCUUGUCAUGGUCGACCUAUCAAAACCUCUGCUUAGAGGUACUGUGGUCAGAAUAGCAGGAACUGGCAAAUGGAUAGCUUUCAAAUAUGAAAGGUGUCCUGAUUUCUGUUAUAAUUGCGGAAUUGUGGGGCAUAGUGAAAGGUCUUGCAAUGUAAGGAGAUUGCUAGGAGGGAGCACUGAUGAGAAUCAGUACGGUCCCUGGAUGAGAGCAGGAAAUUUUAGGAUCUCUCCUCAGAAAAAAAAUGCUAGGGCCUCCGAGCAUAGUGAUAGACGUUACUGGGUCUUUAGGAAGGGGGAGCUGGUCGAACAGAAGAAAAAUAAUAUGUCUAGAAGUCAGAGUUUGCUGGAGGUCCUCAAGGCCUCUGGUAGUGGGGGAUGUAGCAACCAGGAAUGUGACAAAGCAGGUGAGGAAGAUAGAAUGGAGGGGUUGGGGGGAUCUUCUACUAAUGAGGAGUCUCUCAAGGUAGUCUUUCAUAGUAGGAAGGAGGAUCAGGUGAUAGAUGAAAAGGAGGAAGUAGCUUUCCCUCAGGUUAAUAGAGUAGGGGAAGACCUCCAGCUUCCUCACGUAGAGGAAGAGAUGGAGGAAGAUGUAGUGGAAGUAGUGCACAAUCACAUACAGGAGGCUAGGGUACUAGAGGAAAACGCAGAGCUUGUAGUGUUUAGCCAGGAAACUCUUGGUGAAAAUAAGAUGAUGGGGUUACUGGACAGACAGUCAAGGAGAUCUUUUCGAAAGUUAAAGACUCCAGUUAGAAACAGAAGGCCUUUGCAGAAGAUACAAGGUAAUGAUAAUAUUCAGGUGAAUGCGGGGAAGAGGAAGAUCCAGGUUAGUGAUGAAGUGAUGGAGGAAGCAUGCCAGGAUAUGUGUCAGUGGAAAAAAACCAAGCAUCUGGUGGAGCUGUAUCCUGAGGGAGCUACGGAAAAGGAGGAGAGGUCCUUCCUAAAAGGGACCUCCAGGUGUCAAUGAGAAUUGUGGUGUGGAACUGCCAAGGGGUGGGGAGUCCCUUGACAGUUCCCCAGCUGAGGGAGGUGAAUAACCUCUCCUCUCCAAGUAUCUUUUUCCUUAGUGAGACUAAGAAUAGGAAGUCAGUCAUAGAUAGAAUUGCUAGAAGGUUACGGUUAGACAAUAAUGUGACUGUGGAAGCUAUGAAUAGAGCAGGGGGGAUGGCCUUACUUUGGACUAAGGAUACACAGAUUGUAGAGGUGACUACUACUGCCUUUACUAUAGAAGCCAAGAUCGAAGGUAAUGAUUCUCAGGGGGCUUGGUGGUUCAUUGGAGUGUAUGCUAGUUGUGAACAAAGGAUCAGGAAGGAACAAUGGAGGGUGCUAACUGAUAGAAGUAGGUUGUAGGGAUCAAGAUACCUGAUCUCUGGAGAUUUUAAUGACAUUUUGUCCAAUGAAGAAAAGUGGGGGGGCGUGUUUAGGGAGGAGAGAAGUUUGAGGGAUUUUAGGCAUUUCAUUGAGAUGAACAGACUAGUGGAUAUUGGUUUUGAAGGCCACCCUUGGACAUGGAGUAAUCACUGGGACAAUGAAGGGGAAGUUCGUCAAAGACUAGAUAGAGCUUUGGGUAGUAUGGAUUGGUUUCAUGAUUUUGAGAGUGCUAAGUGUCAGCACAUUGAGACUCUUGCUUCUGACCAUUCUAUGCUUUUAUUAGACACCAACCCUGGGAUAGGGAAAAAAAAAAAAAGAGGUUCUACUUUGACAAGAGAUGGCUCCAAAAAGAGGGGAUUCAGCAGGUAGUGGAUCAAGCCUGGAAUAGAGAGGAACAGGGAUCUAAAAUGUUCAAAGUUACUAGAAAGGUUAGAAACUGCAGAAUUGAACUCUUAAAAUGGAAAAUUACUGUCCAAGCUAACUCUAGGAGUAAAAUUGAUGGCCUUAAGCAGGAUCUGGAGAAGGCUAGAAAUGCUGUUGUUGCAAACAAAAAAGAGGAACUUCAGGAUCUCAAAAGUAAAUUGGCUAAUGCCUACAAGGAGGAAGAAGCUUUCUGGAGUCAGAAGUCCAGAAUCAGCUGGCUGAGAGAUGGGGAUAAAAAUACUAGAUUUUUUCACUCUUCAGUCAAGGGGAGGCGAGUCAGUAAUAGGUUGAACAGGUUACAAAGAGAAGACGGAUCUUGGACAGCUAAUGAAGAGGAGGUCGUGACUGAAAUUUCUGAGUACUUUAAGGACCUUUUUAUGAGUGGAGGGAAGGGGGAAAUGACAGAAAUUUUAGAGGGAAUUCCACACUAUAUCACACAGGAGAUGAAUGAUAAGCUAACCAAAGAAGUAAUGGAGGAUGAAAUCCACGAGGCUUUGUUCUCUAUGAAUCCAGAAAAAGCUCCUGGACAAGAUGGAAUGACACCUUUGUUUUUUCAGAAAUUUUGGAACUCUAUUAAAAGUGACAUCAUUCCUGCUGUUAAAGCGUUUUUUCACUCAGGUCACAUGCUCAAAUCAGUUAAUCAUACUGUGAUAUCCCUUAUUCCCAAAAUUCUGCACCUAACCAAUCUGAAAAAUUUCAGGCCUAUCAGUCUUUGUAGUGUGCUCUAUAAAAUCAUAUCAAAAAUUUUGGCUAAUAGACUGAAAUCUGUUCUGGACUUGUGUAUCAGCAAAACUCAAUCUGCUUUCAUCCCAAAAAGACAGAUUUUAGACAAUGUGAUCAUUGCUCAUGAGUACAUGCAUUUUCUUAAAAAUAAAAGACAAGGGAAAGAGGGCUACAUGGCUAUCAAACUGGACAUGGCAAAGGCUUAUGAUAGGGUGGAGUGGCAAUGCUUGAUGGAUAUGAUGGAAAAGAUGGGUUUCUGCUCAAAAUGGAUUAACUGGAUCCACAGCUGUUUGAAGACAGUGAGUUACUCUUUCAACUGUAACGGUGAGAUCAAAGGCUUUGUGACACCAGAAAGAGGGAUAAGACAGGGAGAUCCCUUGUCUCCAUACCUGUUUCUAAUCUGUUCAGAGGGCUUCUCAAAUCUGCUAAAAAGAGCUGAGGAAAGCAAAAGAAUCCAGGGACUAAAAAUCAGCAGACAUGGUCCUAUGUUAACACAUCUGUUUUUCGCGGAUGAUUCUAUCAUAUUUUGUAAGGCUAAUAAGAAUGAGGCGGCGGAAAUCAUGAAGGUGUUGAAAACAUAUGAAAAGGCCUCGGGGCAAUUGGUCAAUCUGGACAAAUCAGUAGUUUUUUUUAGCAAAAAUAUGGAUGAUGAGCAGAAGAAGGAGGUAUGCCUGACCUUAGGAGGAAUGGUAGAGGCUAAACAAGGCAAAUACCUGGGACUUCCAAUGGUAGUUUCAAGGUCUAAAGAGCAGAUCUUUGGCUUUGUGAGGGACAAUAUUAGGAAAAGAUGCCAGAAUUGGAAAAACAAACUUCUGAGUCCAGCAGGUAAGGAAGUGCUACUGAAUGCAGUUGUAAUGGCAAUGCCUACAUACGUGAUGUCUUGUUUUAAGCUGUCCAGAAGGUUGUGCAAAGAUAUCCGUGCUUUGAUGGCCAACUUUUGGUGGGGUGAAGCUAAUGGCAAGAAUAAAAUGCACUGGUUGUCUUGGGAAAGAUUGGCAAUGGCCAAAAGUGCAGGAGGUAUAGGAUUUAAGGAUAUUGAAGCUUUCAAUCAAGCGCUGCUAGGAAAACAAGUUUGGAGGAUACUUACUAAACCAAAUCUGUUGGUUAGUAAGGUGUUGAAAUCCAGAUAUUCUCCACAGGAAUCCAUUCUGCAGUGCAACAUCUCCAAAAAUGCAUCCUGGAUUUGGCAAGGACUCAUGGGGGCAAGAAGUUUAAUCACUGCUGGAAUGAUUAGAAGGAUAGGAAAUGGAAGGAGUACAAAUAUUUGGAGACACAAAUGGAUCCCAGACACUGAAACAGGGAAACCAACUACCAGUCGAGGGAAUCAUUGUGAGCUGGAAAAGGUAGAGGAGCUUAUUAGUCAGCAUAGGUGGAACAGAAAUAUUAUAUUCAGAUAUUUCAAUAGAAGUGAUGCUCAAAAAAUUCUAGCUAUUCCUCUGAGCCUGGCUGAUAGGGAGGAUAGCUUCUACUGGCAACCAAAGGAGGGAGGGGUAUACACUGUCAAUUCUGGAUAUAAGUUUCUGAUGAAGCAACACAGAAAGAGAGAUAGGUGCAGGCAGGGAGGAGCUAGCUCUAGCUAUACAGUAAGUGAUUCGCAUUUAGCUCAGAUGUGGAAUACACUUUGGAGGUUAAACAUCAAACAUAAAAUCAAGUUUUUCAUAUGGAAAUGUAUUCAAGGUGCUCUGCCUGUGAAAGCAGCAGUGUAUAGACGAACGGGGGUAGGGGAUCCGAUAUGUAAGAUGUGUGGAACAGCACAGGAAACAGUUGAACAUCUUCUGCUGACUUGCCCCCACACAGAAAACAUAUGGAAGGCUUCUCCCAUUCAGUGGGAUGGAGCAAAGGAGCAGCAGGGAGAUUUCAAAAGGUGGUGGCUAAGAAUCUCAGAAGCAAGGCACAGGACAGAAGGGAUGGAACACAUUGGCUUAACUGCGAACAUCCUGUGGCAGGUGUGGAAAGAAAGAAACAAAAGAGAAUUCGAGAACACUACCGUUGAUCCUCCCUUCAAAUAUAUAAGGAAAGCACAUUCUGAUUGGCUAGAGCAGCAGCAGCUAGAGUACAAGAGGGAAGGAGAGAGCACAGAAGAAACAGCCCCUAGGCAAGAAACUCAGGAUCAGAGUUAUGUAAAGGAAGGAGAAGUGCUAAUGGAGGUGUCUACAACCAUGAAACAAGGGCAGCUAUUCAUGGGAAUUGGAGUCACAGUUAAGUUUUUUGCAAGCAAUACGAUGAUAGGGUGGGUAAUGAAAGACAUCAGUUCUGGAAACAAACUCCUAGAUGAAGCUCUGGCGCUGAAACUAGUGCUGUGUAAAGCAGUGCAUCGUAAGUGGAGCAAUCUUAAGCUGAGAGUUGGUAACAAAGAACUGUGGAGACAAUUGAAACACCAGAGUCCAGCGGACAGCAGAAUGGCAACAGUACUUGAAGACAUCUCUCAGUUACAGAGAUUGUUUCGCAUGUGCUCUUUUGGUUUGAAUAGGGAAGAAGAAAUGAUAGUCAGUAAAAAAAUGAGUGUUGAUGCUUUAAGCAUUAUUGUGGAUGAGGAGCGACAGCUUCCUCAGUGUCUUUGAACACUAGUGUGUACAGUUCGAUCGAGCCGUUGCUCGUACUUGUAAAUUUUUUACCUUUAAAACAAUGAAAUCAUCUUAUCGUUUCGACCAAAAAAAAAAAGAAAAUGUGAUACUCAAAAACAAAUUUAUUAUGCAAAGUUUCAUAAAUUUUUGAUCAAUUUGACCAACAUUUUGAUUGUAGUCCUACCUAGUGAGUUUAAUGUGCUCAUAGAUGUUCUCAGAUCUUCAUCACAGGUUAUCCAUAUCCAAUCGUUAUCUUCAUCCUGAUACUCAAUUUUAAAACUUCCCACAGCUAGAUUCAGUCGCUGUUUUACCUUCUCCUCCAAAUCGAUUUUACGGGCAGAAAAUGGAAGUCUGAACUUUAUCAUGCACCCUUGAUAUUCUGCCUUCACCCACAUGCCAUUAUCAUCUUCUAACCUUAUUGCAUCCAACUGGUGGUGUUCAUGAGUAUCUUCAGUAGAAGGUUGAACAGUUUUCUGUACAGCAAAUGCUUGACUAACCUUUCUGUACAGUUUUCUGUACUCCCUACAUAUACGCUUCAAUGUAGAUCGACUAACUGCAGAUUUCAAAAAAGAAAGCUUCAGUUAAGGAAAAAGCCUUUACAACAUGUAAACUAGAUCUUUCCAAAUACAUCCCGAUCAAAUCACGAUGCAUUAACCAACAUUUGAUUUCAAUUCUCCAAUAUUAUUUGCAGCAUCUUCAAGUUUCCUCCUAGAAUUUUGUUCAAGAACCUCACGAGUAAUUCCAAGGUCGCUUUUUAGAGUACAACUGGGCUUUUGCAUUUUUAAAUUAGUCACUUCAUUGUCCCUUUGUUCUAUACUAGCACCUUCUCUUUGAGUAUCUUCCACAAUUGGUUCAUCAUGUGCUAUGCUGACCAUGUUUUGCGCGAGCUCCUGUCCAGUUGAAGAUCUAACAAUUCCAUUUUGCUGUUCAUAAAUACCAUUCGUAGAAUUGUGGGCAACAUCAACUCCUGCAAGAUUUAAUUCUUGAUAUGAUAUGUUGACAAAGCUCUGCACAUGCUCUGGUCUAGGUGGAGAUCCAACAAUCCCACUCUGCUGUGCAUGGACACCAUUUAUAUAAGCAUUUGCAGUGUCAACUUGCAUCAUUCCUUCUCCUCCUUGUGCUUUUGCAAGCCUAGGUGUAGAUCCAACACUUUCAUUCUGCUGUUCAUGGAUACCAUUCAUAGAACCAUUUGCAGCAUCAACUUGUUUAGAUGAAUAAUCAAGUUGCAUUUUGAAAACCUGGACACAUGUUAAAAGCUGAGAACUUGUACCACUACUACCUGCAUUCAUCACCAUUAAUCCCAAUUCAUCCGCCUUGAGCUAGAUUUCCUUUUUCUUUCAUCAAUCCAUAAUCAUCAGUUCCAUCUUUCAAAAAAGAAUCCCCUUUUUCAAUCCAUCAGCCACUAUCCUAUUACUCUCGGCCAAAAAAAAAUAAAAAUAAACCGACGGGAAACAGAGGAGGAGCCACUGCCACCGCUGGGUCGUCGAAGUUUGCCAAUACUACCACGGUUAUCAAGUCUUCAUUUAAAACGCCCUGUGAGCUAUUCUUUCCUUUCCAACUUUAACUUCAAUUUGAUAUUUUCUGACACCAUCUUUUGCUAGUUUCUUCUUGAAUUUUUUUAAUCUGGACUUAUUUGCAAUUUCCAUUGCUGAGUAUACUCUUUGGCUUUUGUUGGACUGAAAUCGUAUUUUGAUUACAAAUUUUGGGUCUUUCUCUUGGUGAAAUUGUAAGAGAUCUUUAGAAUUGUCGUAUGCCCAUCUACUGUUUGAAGAAAUGCCUAAACGAGUACUUGCAGUAAAGAGACAAAUCUCUUGUAUCUGUGCGCGUGGGGAGGAGCUCCGAUCAGUCCAACGCUGAUCGGAGCCCGUGAGUUCGCCAGAAAGCCAUCAAAGACCCAGAGAUUUUUUGUUUGGAUUCUCUUUUACAUUUUCCUUUUGUUCUAUUUUUGGGUUUUCAAUGGAAUUUGGUGUGUGUAUUGUGUGUUCGUGCGUGGGAGAGAGAGUGCGAAGUUGGACUCGCCGGAGAUGAUGAUUUCUAGGAUACGCAGCAGCAGGGACAAGUUGUGUCAAUGGAGAAGAUGACACAUUUGUGAUUUCACCCCAAAUUUUACAAUCUUUCGGAUUUACUACUGAACUUGUUUUAGGUAGUUUUAAUUAGGUCCUAAGACUAGGUUAGUCAACUUUUGUUUCAUCAGUCUUUCUAUUUGUCAAUUAACAUUUGUAAUUAGUUUAUUUUCUCUUUUUGGAAGUGAUGUAACCCAUAUGGGGCAUAGGAGCAAUUGAAUUUUGUAAUUUUCUUUCUCUUUUUCUUUUCUAUUUUUCCUUAAUUACUUUUUAUUUUGUCGCGUGUGAUUGAGUAGGUGGAGAGUGUGUUGUUUCGUGGCUUUUCCAACGGAAGCUUUGAAAUUAAGCAUUUUAUUUUAUUUCACUCUUUACAUGUUGUGCAUAUUGUUUUUACUUGUUUGGGUAUUUUGUGUUAAUUAAGUACAUGUUAUGUGCUUGGCAAUAGAUUGACUCAUUUUUGUCUUAGAAUUGAAGGAAUAAAAUUAAAUUCGCAAUCUGUUUUGUCAGGUGUGGGGGGUUGCUUGAGAAUAAAACUUCAACCUUAUCCCUUUCCCUUUCCUUGCAAAUGCAGCUUUCGAACUUAUUUCUUUAAUUUCAAAAAAUCCGGAGUUUUCUAAUUAAAGGGUAUUAGUUCGCAACGGAUCCUCUGUACCACAACCCUGUCUGACACCCUAUCCCACCCCUCAUAAACUUGCCAAGUGUCCUUUUAUUAACCCAAUCCUGAAACAACCCAACUCGAACCAUGUUUAAUUAUUUAACCGAUUAAUCGGGGUGAGAAACUUAAUCACACAAAACCAAAAUCCAUUAAACUAAAAACCCAAAAAACAAAAUUAAAGAUUAAACAAGGCACAAAAAAAAACCCCACAAGGCCACGAUUCUGGUUUCCCAUCAGAUUUCACUCCUCCUCAAAAGCUUCCGUCAGAUAUCACUCAUCAGCUCAUCAGAGAUCACUCACAAUUCAAAUGCCUGGUGGCAUGAUUUCGGCUGAUGAUCAUAUGCUAUGUCCUUCGUCACGAAGUCGAAGGAAAUCUGAUGGUGGAAUCGUGCGCCGUGUGAAAGCACAAAAAUCACCGUUCUUGACCGAGACUCAGGUUGUGCUCCAUCUCGGAACCUUGUGGGGUUAGGAGUAAAGCAUCCCAAGGUUAGCGCAUCUCUAAUAGCGUGGAGAAACAUUGGGAACCCCAAUUUCGUGGUCAUUCUCCGGAGCCCUUUCUUCAGGUUAUGAGUGAUCAAUGGGCAAUUGGACGAAGCUCCCCACCUGUUCGAUCAAAUGCCUAGGCGUCAUGAAUCAUUUUUUUCGUAGGUUUUUCUUGCCUUUGUUUUCCCGCAGUUUUCUUUGCCCAUUAUUCUGUCAUUCGGAUUUAUUGUGACUCCUUUCUGAAAUCUGUUCUCAAAUUAUAGCUGUCAUAGCCUUUAACUCUGAUGGUUGGUUGAUAUUCACUUAUAUAAUGAUGUGCAGCAGAUUAGUGAAUUGAGUUGAAUGAUGAAGUUGAUGAUGUGGUCUACUUAGCUGAUCUCUGUGUUGUUUCUAUAAUUCUUACAUGUAGUUAAGUGCGAUCUGCUAUGCCAAAGAGGUUUUAGAGGAAAACGGGACAUGAUUGUUUUGGUGAGGACAUGCUUUAGCCAAGGGAAACUGAUAUACCAGCUUUGUUUCUGGUCUUUGUUGUGCUUCCCCUGGUUACAUAUAUCUUGCUAGGAAAAUGGAGCGAGUCAACGAAAAAAAAAGAGAGGGUUAGUUUGCUUACUCAACAGGCAGCUGAAGAAAGUUAAGGUCUGAAUUAUAGGAGCAAUUCUAUUAUCAUUUAAACAGAUAGAGCAAAAAUAUUAAAUAGGAGUAAUGCAUCUGUUUGAAACAUUUCAGCAAAGAUUUUGUUUGCCAGUUCUUAAGCUGCUUGAUUGAUGAAUCUAAAUGGUGUAUUCUGGGCCUAGUCAUUCAUGAAAGUUUAUGGAUAAAUUUUUUUCUUUUAUUUUACAGAUGCUAUUUCGGUAUGAAGAUUUUGUGAAGUCCUUUCACUAUGAAGUUUUCAACAUGUCUCCAAGAGGUCUUAUAAAUUGUGGAAACAGGUAUUUCUUCAAAAUUUUUCCUGCUUUUCUUGUGCUUUUACAUAUCAAUAGCUCUAGAAAAAUUUUAUAGAUAUAGGAAAUGCACAGACUCUUAAUGCAAUAAUGUACUGAAACAAAUUUCAUAGGAUUUUUUAUUAUUUGUCAAGUAUAUUCAAGAUUUCUUUCAUUUUACUGUGCAGUUGUUAUGCCAAUGCUGUAUUGCAGUGUCUGACCACAAAGCCUCUCCUUCUGUUUCUGCUUCAGAGAUUGCAUUCUAGAGCUUGUUACGAUUGGUUUGAUUUACAAUGUCUUGCUUUUGCAUUCUAGAGACUUCCGAAGUAAAUUCUGCUUCAGAGAUUGCAUUCUAGGGGUUCAUGUUAUUUCGAUCCACUACUAUUACUGAAUAAGGGGUUGGCAUGCUUCCCUUCAAUGUUCGCGUGUUUUAAGCAUAUAUUGUUGCAGUAUCUUUGAGAGAGACUAGAGCUAUGCAGACUCAAGUUAAUUGUGUGUGAGAUCGUUAGCCUUUUGCUUUGAUUGUAAGAUGAUAAGUGAAAUCCCAAAUAUCUGGGAAGGUGUUGUGGAUAUUCCCCUUGUCUGAUUAAGUGCAGCUAAGAUGUUAUUUCGUGUCAAAGUUGAAAAUUAUUGGCUUUGGUCUCCAUGGAUUGCUUUUGUGGCUUUAAAACAUAACGUUGUGGUUUGAUUCCGCAAUUCUAGUUCAUUAUGUCCUGCACGUCAAUAUAAAUUUUGUAUAGCAAUUUUUUCAUUCUAGUUCAUUUUCUCUACGACUUUUAGCAUUAUUUGAAUUUUGGCAGCAUAAUCAUCAAUUUCAUUGUGCUCAAACCUCAGAAAGAGGAAAACAAAAAAUGGAAUGUGUAUAAAAAUCUAUGAUCCCUCUUCUACAAGGGAACAGAAAGAAAAGAGUGGAUAGAUUCCGAGGUGUAUAAAUGUAUAACUUCACACCAUCCAAGAUUUUUGCCCUGAUCAUUCAUGUUUAGCAACUUGUUGAUCACUAUCAUCAUUAUUUCCCAGUUCUUGUGCCUACAAAAAACAAAUGCUAAGUUAGCAAAUGUAUUGAAUUAUAAGUGUAACUUAUCAAACUAAUAUAUGCAGAAAACUCUUCACAGUGCAUACAGUGCAUUAGUCCUGAUCCCAUAUACAUAUACCAACCCUAAAUACAUCAAAUUUGGAUGAUCUGAUUAUGAAAAGCAGGAAAAGGUUAUUGUCAGCUGUGAUUAAAAUAUCACUAUCAUUGAGUUCACUAUCACAAAAAAACUCAUCCUUCAUUGAGCUUCAACGUGCAAAAAGUGCAUUAUUCCUGAUCCCAUAUAGAUAUACCGUAUGCACAGAAAAAGGUUAUUGUCAACAGUUUUUUCGUUCGGUAGAUCAACUUGCACCAGAUUAUCAAAGUCAUCUUUUACAGAAUUGUUCACUCCACUUGACUUUUCUACAUGUAAAAUAUAAAAACACCUCUACAUUUCAUUUUAAUCAUAGUUUGAUAGCAAGGGAGUGAUAGUGAUUAAUAAGAUUAAGUAAUUAAUCAAGAUUUUUUCUUACUUGGACAAAACUCAUUGACGCUGCUGGUGUGCUAUUGAACUUGAAGACAGCAAGUCAUAGCCUUGGUAGAAGUUAGGGUCCAACGUCUGCCCAAAAAAUAAGAAAUAGAAGACCACCCUUCAUUAUAAAAAUAGCUAUAUACUUGUAAAAGUAUAAUACUAUAAAAAAUUAAUAUAAAUAAGAAACAACACAAAUUAAAAGCAUAAUAUUUGCUUACUUGCAAUAAUUGUGUCAUGUUUUUAGGAUUUCGCCUAUUGUAAAUGUCUUCUAUUGGAAUUCCAAAUUCCUGAUAUAAUUAAAGAGAGACGACCACAAAUUAAAAUUUUCAUUGAAAAAAUAUAUCGUUAAUGUAGUUUAGUCAUCUAAAGAAUAAAUUAUUCAAAUAAAAAUUUAAAAUAAAUUACAUAUCUACUAUGCUAUACAAGACAAAAAUGACGAAUAACUAUACUUGCUCGGGUGGUAAUUCUCGAACAAAACCUUGAAUUGUAGCAGAAUCCAUACUUGAAUGAACAACAUUAUUUCCAAAUUCCUACAAUCAUUUUUAUCCAAAUUAUAAAUAAAGAUCCUAAUACUAUUUCUAUACUCAUCAUUCAUCAGACAACUAAGGAACCCAAAAAAAAAGUAAUAGUCAAACAAUCAAAAACCAUUGUUCACAUAAACUAAAUAAAUUGUCUAACCUGUAAUUUUUUCGAUGAAGACUUCUCUUUCACCUUGUACUUGCGUUUCUUAGUAGCCAUUUCCAGUGCACUUCUUGGCCUCUUGCUCGACUUGUAGGUGACUUUUUCUUUCACUUUGAUGCCUUUUAUUUUAUUAUAGGCAACUUCAGAUGGAUUAGUGUCAACAUCUUGAUACGCACUACAAUUUUCUUCAAUACGCACUUCUUUCAUUUUCUUUUUCCCUUGACAACAUGCAUCCAUUUGUUCUGACAUUUUCCAAAAUCCAUCUUUAGCAAUUUGAUAAGCUUCAUCACAUUCAGAAGCUUUUGUCAUCAGCUGCAUAUAUAGAUAGGAUAACUCUUUGUAACGAAAAUUUAAUUUUGCCUUUAACUCCAUUUCCGGGCUACUUUCACUGGAAACAUGCACAUUUCCUGUUUUGGCUGCUUUUGUCCAUCUCUUCAAUAUAUAUGCAUCCGGAAUUGUUACAAUAUUCAGAGUCAUCAAUAUUUUUAGUGCAUGUGAACACAAAAAUCCAGCAAAUUCAAAUUUCUUACAACUACAACAAAUUGAAUUCGUGGAUGAAUCAUAAGUUACAAGAUGGUGGGAAGUCUUACCAUGUGGUGUAACUCUGUAAAUCAUUUGAUUUCCUAAUUCACCAUCAACUUCCCACUUACAAUCAAUCCCUUUGCAUAGCUCCUCCUUAAAUUUUUCAUACACUUCAUGUGUAUAUACACUUGCUGCAUGCUGUAAAAUCCUACAAGGAAAUGUCAUUGCCGGUGUACUUUGAUUGCCUUUAAAAUCUGCUACGGAUUCAUCAUAGCGACGAUCAUCUAAUAGCCUUUGGAAGUGUUCAAAAAAUUCAAGUAAGCCAUGUUUAUAACUUACAUACUUCUUUAUCACACUGUUCAUGGACUCACUUCGUUGGGUUGUGGUCAUAUCAGCACAGAAGGUUUCUCUCCCAUACACUAAAGCCCAUUUCUCUUUUAUAUCAAACAUUUUCUUCAACCACUUGUUGUCUUCCAGACCAUACGUUUUUAGCAUUUCACUCCAUCCCUCAAAAAAAUCAUCCUCAUUUUCAUAGUCAUAUAUGCAGUGACUAAAAUCUGCCGCAAAAUUUUGAAAAUCUUUAAAGACAUCAGCUAGAUGCAUUGCUGCAUUUUGAUAGAUAUGCCAUAUACAUAAGCGGUGAUACGUUGUUGGCCAUUGAGAAGCCAAAGCCGUUGCCAUUCUUCCGUCCUGGUCUGUAAGAAUAGUUCUUGGUAUUUUUUCCAUCAUAGCCUUAGCAAAUGUGUCAAACAGCCAUUCAAAUGUCAGAAUUGUCUCAUCAUAUAAUAAAGCAGCCCCAAAAACAGUAGUUUGUUUAUGAUGAUUUACACCAACGAAUAAAGCAAUUGGCCUCCCAUCUUUGUGCUUUCUAUAAGUUGUAUCAAAACAAACCACAUCACCAAAAUGAGCAAAAUCCGUUCUCAUCUUUGCAUCAGCCCAAAAUAUGUUAGUUAUCAAGUCAUCUUCAUCUACUUGAAUGGCGUAAAAAAAAUUUGGAUCCUCUAAUUGCAUGCCUUGUAAGUACUCUAAGACUCCUCCUGUGUCACCUUGCAUCAUUGGUAUGGAUCUUUUGGAUCGUAAGUAAUUUUUUAAAUCAUCUCGAAUGAACCCAAGAUUUUCUCGUCCACCAACUUGUUUCGACAUCAGUUCAAUCGAUUAUUUUGGUGUAAUUCCGCAACUUCGGGCCAUAUCUAUUUCAGCUUCGUGUGCCAUUGUCAAAUGUCUAUGAGAUCUGAAUAAAUGAGUUUUGCUUGGAGUUGAUAGCUCAUGAUUAUGUUCAGCAACAAAUUGCACAACACGGUAUUUUCCACCUUUUCUACAGCUAAUUUUCAUCCUUGCACUGCAAUCACAUCUUGUUUCUGGACGAGGACACUUAACAAUCAUAUUGCGUUUGUCUUUUGGCUUUUUUCCUUCACGGGAGCAGCAAAAAACCCUGUCCAACAUCAAAUCACUAUUUUUGUCUUUAUGUCCCUUACUCAAUCGAGUUCCAAAACCAGAUGCUUUAGCAUAUUUUUGGUAAAAAUUUUUGGCUGCUACUUCAGUAUCGAAUUCCAUGUCAAGUUUCGGGACCAAGUCAUCAGGUAUAGCCAAAGGAAGAAAAAUUUGAUUUCCUUGAUUGCCAUCAGUAAUACAAAGAGGUAAGGCAUUAUCAUUUAUCUCCUGCAAGUCAACAUCUUCAAAGUCCAAUUUACGACAUGAUUGGACUUCAUGAGUUGGCAAAUCAUUCUCCAUAUUCCCCCAAAACCCAACAAAUGACCUGUAUCAAAUUACCGAAUACAAAUACAUAAUUUAUUACCCUUUUUGGUGAAAAGCAACAUGGUAGGGAAAAUCAUGCACCUAUUAAACCACAGAAAAGAAUGACUCAGCAAAUAGCACAGAGGAAAAUAUGUGAAAAAUGAGUAUGCAUUCAAGCUAUUCAUACACAAGAGAAGAGGCCCAAAACUAAUGCAUCAAAGUAUUCACAAAGAAAUGGCACAAUUUGCAAAGUCACCAGGAGAAAUAUCACACACACAACAGAAUUUCACUAGAAUAAAAUAACCCAUGCAAAAGUACUCGACCCAUGAAUGAAAAGUAGAUAUCCUCAUAGGGAAUGAUCAAACAAAGAGCAGAUAACUUACUGUAUAAACACCCAAACUAGAAUAUUAAAAAAUAAAUAAUAAACAGAAAAAAUGAAAUUCGUUAUUAAGUUCUCAUUUUCCCUCUCAACAGGAAAGACUACUAUGGCCAUGUAAUUAGUAUGUGAAGACUUUGUUUAAUAUUAUGUCUUCGUCAAUGAAAAAUUAUAGGUUUAUAAGCUGGAGUAGAAAUUCUUAGGGAAGCAAAUCGCUAGCACUAGAAAUUCUUAAAUAUUAUUACGGCACAUUGCCCUUAGGAAACCUUUGACAUUGUCAAGUCAUACUAAAUUAGGAUCCCUGUCGAAUCCUGACCACCAAAAAGAUUUAACAAAAAAGAAAAAGAAAAAGUCAUACUUAAUCAAUACUAGGCCAGACGCUGGCGUUUCUUGUGGAUUAAUCGCCGAAUAUAACUUUUGCCGAAUCAAUACCAUGUUGCUUUUCAUACCACUUUGGUGAUUCUAAAUUUACUAUUCUUCUUAUUAACCAAACUCUUAAUUGUUUUUGUAAUAGUUAAAAGCCUGGAUAGAAGCGGCACAUAAAUAACGCAAUUCGUUGCAUAUGAAGAGUACUUAUUUGAAGGAAAAUUCACCUACGUACCUUGCUCCGUUGAAGACUAGCUUUAGUUUAGGAGAAAAGGCUUCAGUUUAGGAAAAUUCACCUACGUCCCUUGCUCCGUGAAUAUUUCGUCAAAGCUGAAUGGUGAAGAUGAUGAACUCGGACAGCCCUGCUGCGUUGCGAUGAAGGUUUUGAGAAGGAUACCAAUCUGAUGGGAAACCAGAAUCGUGGCCUGCUGCGUUGAAUUGCACUUUGUUGUCCUGCCCGAAUUUUGUGAUGAAGCUUUUGAGGAGGAGUGAAAUCUGAUGGGAAACCAGAAUCGUGGCCUUGUGGGGUUUUUUUUUGUGCCUUGUUUAAUCUUUAAUUUUGUUUUUUGGGUUUUUAGUUUAAUGGAUUUUGGUUUUGUGUGAUUAAGUUUCUCACCCCGAUUAAUCGGUUAAAUAAUUAAACAUGGUUCGAGUUGGGUUGUUUCAGGAUUGGGUUAAUAAAAGGACACUUGGCAAGUUUAUGAGGGGUGGGAUAGGGUGUGAGACAGGAUUGUGGUACAGAGGAUCCGUUGCGGUAUUAGUUUGUGUUUUGAAGAUCAAAAGUUUUCAAUGACAUGGUAUAUCUAAAUCCAAUAUUGAGUGGCAAUUCAAAAAUUUUCAAAAACCCUUUUUCUAUACUCUAGCGGGCCUAAUUCUAUGGCUUUGUUAAGUUCUAAUGUGGGUCUUUUUUAAUUUUUCUUAUUUUUAUUUUGCAAAAGCCCAAAAAUCAUUUUAACCAAAAUUCUUAAGUUUUUAUCUUUUUAUUUUUAAAAAAAUGCGGGGGGACAGCUUCAACCAUUAGAACCAUGCGAAGGCUUUUGUACUUGUAGUCUUUUACCAUUUAAGUUCUAGUUGUUGCUUGCUUCCAUGUUAUUUCGCUUAUUCUUUCUAUCGGUCCUUUUUCUCAAAGCUUCCGAAUUGCUCUCUGAUGAGGAAAGAAAAAAGAUAAUAAUUCCCUCAUUAUAAGGGUAUUGUCUUUUUUCAUUUUUCUUUCUUCUUUUUCACCUUUUCUUUAUUAUCUUUACAUCUCUUUUCCUCAUCUUCCAAUCCUAAUUCUUUGUAUCAACUUCAACAAUUAUCUGUUAAAAAAAUUCCUUUUAUGGCAAAUAACUUUCUUACUAAAAAUAUUCGGCCAUCAUUAAUUAUAACAAGAUAAUAAAUAGCAUGUGUUAACAAUUUCAAGUAUUUUCUAUUGAUAUUAAUUUCUUCUUAUGCAUCAAUUUUUAUUAAAAAACAGAAAUUAUGAGAAAUAUUUUUACCGAGCAUAAACUUUUUAGUUUACAAAAUUUGAUAAUAAUUAGAUAUAUUAUAUGGAAAAAUAAAAGUAUAUAUAUUUGAACCUCAAAAGAAAAUAUUAAUAAGAAUAAAGAAGAAAUGGAGAAGAAAAUAGAAAGAUAAAUAUAAAAUCAUUUAUGGUCUAUGUAUAAUAUCUAAUUUUGAUGAUUAAUGAGUAAUUGUUAGUAAAAGUAUCAAGUGCUUGAAUUAUCGCUAUUUGAUUUCUCACUAUGGUUUAGGAUAACUAAAUAUUUUAUAAGAAAAUAACAAUAAAUGUUUAAUCACAAAGAGAAAUUGACUAGCACAUUUUCAUCGAGACUUAUAUAUUGUAACACAAAUAAAGGAGGAAAAGAGAAUUUAAAUAAAUAAAGGAAGAAGAAGAAAAAGGCAAAGGGUCACGAGACAAUCUUCCGAUAUAUGGGCAUAAUUGUCUUUUCGUACUCGUGUGUAUAUAUAUAUUUGACUUUUGGUCAUUCUAGGGCACUUUGUACACUUCGAGAUUACAGGGGAUAAUUUGCUACUCAUCUACAAGGGGCAAUAGGUGAUCAAAUCUUGGAGAUAUUAUUUUUUAGUGGGUAUUGGGUGAGAUUUGAAAAGGGCAUGGAAUUAGAGAUUAAACCUUGAAAAUAUGUCCAUGGAAAAUGUAUGAUAGCCUUUCUUUCAGUUCUUCUUGUUGUAGUCUUCCUGGUAAAAGUAAAUGAAAACGCAGAGAAAUUCUUCCCCAAUAUGUACAUCAACUUCGCAAGUUCCUCGAUUUCCCACCAUAUAAGCAUCUCAUGUGGGGCCCUGAUUGGGUGAAAGAGAUUGCGCCCCAAAAAAAAAUAAAAAAAUGAAAAAGUGCAAGAGAUUAAUCUUUACCUAUAAAGUAUAAAUCUCUAUUUUUAAGAUCGGGCGGAUCGGCCGAUCCGAUCGAUUGAAUCGGAACUAGCCAAUUGUCCGGUCCAAGUUAGUCCUAAAAAUCGGACAAAUAAAAAUUCGGUCAAAUCAGGUGAAAAACCGGGUUGAUCGGGUUUGACAGGAAAAAACAGAAGAACCAAGAAUAAGUGUUGUCAAGGUUCUUUUUUUUUCGAAAAAGGUCAAAGUAUUUUUAAUAUUAUGUUUUGACUCCUAAGUUAUUAAAAAUUAUUAAUAUAUCUCAAAUAUUUCUUAAAGUUUGGUGUUAUUUUUCAAUUAAGUCCAUAAUUUUAAUUCUAAAAUUGUUAAUAUUAAUUAAAUAAUAUAAAUUGCUACUUGAAUGUUCUAAUUUCUUUGUAUUUUCUUGUUAAUUAUAUUUAAAAUAUCAAAUAUAUAUGAAUAUACCUUUAUUAAUAUUAAUAUGCUCUUAGAUACUUUACAUAUAAUAUUUUAAUUUUUAAAUAAUUUGUAUUUAUGACAGCAUCCGAUUCAAUCCUGAUCUAAUUUGAUCGAAUCCAUUGACCCCUAACCCCUGAAUUUGAUCGAGUCGAUAUCAGUCUGAGUCUGAAAAACAUAGGUAUAAACGAUAGCUAACUUCUUCAUGAAGUGUUGGAACAGCGUGAAGAACAAUUUGGACGACUAUUUCUUAUUGGUUGUUUGCUUCCUCGUUAUGUCACUUGUACUUGUUUCUGUCGGUCCUUUUACUCUUGUCAUCCAUUGACUCUAUGAAGCUUUGAAGUCUUCGAGUGUAUAUAUAUGAUAUAUGCAAGGUUACCUAAACAGAACAGAAGAUAAAACCGAUGGAGUGGUGAGAAACUGUCAGAAUCGGAGAGCAGGAUGGAUCCAGAAGAUUAAUGGCAAUAUAAUGGAAGCUCAAACUUCUCCCUCUCCCCCUUUUAUAACGGCAGGUUUGGGGCCUUGUGAACUAUCAUGCUCCCAACUCCAUUCAACUAUCCUUUAUUAUCAGCAGUGGGUUUUCUGGAGCGCAUUUUGCUAUGACAAGUACACUGCGGCAAGCCUCGUGUCGCCGCCGCCGCCAGUAAGUUCCAACCUACAAUGUACGUAUUUGGAUAUUUUUGUUGGAGUAUUUAUCACAAUUAAAUUUGUCAUAGCUACAUAUAGUCUGACUCUGAUAAAACUCCUGGAUUCGAACAAUUUAGAAGAGAAAACAAUUCUAGUAACUAUUAGUUUGAUGACAAAUUAAACACGAUUACAUGGAUGUUAAGAGAGAUACAAAGGCUAGGGCAUCCUUUAAUUUUUCUUUUUUUUUUACUGAUUUUCCUAUUGCAGCUGCUGACGGUGCCGUGAUUAAGAACCAGAUCAUACGGUUUCUACAACUUCUUAUGCUAAUAAGUUAUUGGAAGGGUUUAGUUCAGCUUUGGGGUUUAGUUCAGCUUUGGGGUUUAGUGAAGAUUGGCGACAAAACGAAUUUGACAACUUGUGACCAGCCUUUUGCUCUCAGGUACUUCAAUGAUCAAGACGUCCAGAAACUAUGUGAAUAUAGGAAGCACUGUUUGGAUUACUUAAUACCCGUGGAUGAUGAUGAGGAUGAGAUUGGUCCCCCUGGUCGGGUGUUCUGCGGUGGAUUCCCAGAAUAUGUAGGUGAUGUGGGAGAUUACACUAGUAGAGAGUAUCUUCAGCGUGAUUUUGCGGUCGACCGUACGUGUCAAGGAUACUGGGUGUUGCCAAUCUAUCAUCCUACUCGGCACCUCCCCAGUGGUGUACUCGAAAUUGCAUCACCAUUAGGUUUGCACUUUUUUCGAUAUCAGGUUCUGGAGAAGCUUCAGGUUCGACUUUUCUCUUUUUAAGUUGCUUAAUUACUUCUUUCCUAUUGCUGACAAGGACCUGGGGUGUUGCGUGGUAGUAGGAGAGGUGUUUUUAUAAAUUAAUCUAAUGAAAGGUCUCUUUUGCAUUGUGUCAAUAACCAAUUUUUUAACUGCUUAUAACUGUGAAAACUACGGUCUGUCACUCUAAUAUUAAUUUUCUCUUUUUAAGUUAUUUUUUAAGAGAAAGAAGUUGUUGCUAAAAAAUUAUAGCAUUUCAAGGAGUUUUUGGCUUUUGGAACUUCUAUACCAAAAUUAGUUGAGUAAGCAUACAAAGAGCCUGUCUUAUUGGUUUUUUUUUUUUUUUUGGUGGGUGCAAAUUCGUUGUUGUCAGACAUCUUUUAAAAGCCAAAGCAAACACUUUGAAACUUGUAACUAACACUUUAUUUAAGGUGCAUAUAUAAUGUGUUUGUCAAAAUCCACUGCAGAGGGUGAAUCUAACAACUACUUGUGCAAGACUCGGGGAAAUAAGUUCAUGUGAGUACCUUAAAUAUUUUUUUUCUCCUUUUAUACUACAUAAUCUUGGCUGAAGCUUUAAGCUAUGCAUUCCAUGCUAAUACUUUUAAGCCAUUCUCUUCCAAAAGUGCAUGUUUUUGUAGGGAUGUAAGACAGUUAAGCAUAACAGAGUACCCGUUGGUACCCACUGCACGAAGCUACAAGUGCUCUGCCUGUUUUGCAGUUUGUUUGCAGAGCUCUUGCUCGAGCAAUUGCAUUUACGUAUUGGAGUUCUUUUUACCUGGGAAUAAAAAAGACUAUGGGGUUCCUAGGACAUUGUUGCGCAUGCUAAUGGAAACAUUGAAAGAACACCUCCAAAGUUCUUUUAAGAUCGCUUCAGGACAAGAACUGGGGCAGAAAUUGACCGUUGAGGUUAUAAAAGUCUCUCCAGAGGAUGAAUUUGAUUCUUUUGAAAACCGCAGUACUAUUGGUAUCAAAUCUACUCCUAGGCUUGAAGAAGUACAAGGAGGAGAAGGAUGAAUAUAGUAAAUCUCCUCGUGUUUAUAUACAGGUCAAGAAAUCUCCUUAAUAUUCGAAAACACCCAUCGAACCUUCCUAUGCUUUGGAUUAAAUUGGGAUUUGGACGGAAAAUGUUCAAAUUAACCACACUCGCUUAAUACAUGAAUAUGAUUGUCCAUCGCGAUUUUUUGCCUAAAAGUUGGAACUUUUCUUCCAAAAUACCUUCUUUUUUUUUUUUUUAUUCCUUUUGCUUUCCUUCUCUCUUGCAUUGAAUUGAAAUAGGGGUGAGCAAAUUUGGUACAUACCGAAUUCAUAACCGAAUUCAAAUUCAAUUUAGUAAUUUGAAAUCGGACAUUUGGUAAUUUGGUACAAAUUCGGUACGUACCGAAUUCACUAAAUUCUAAUAUGGUAUGAAAUAGGUAAUGAGAUUAUGAAUUUGGUACCAACCGAUUUUGCAUUCAAAUUUGGUAAAAUGAAAUAGGGUACCGCGUUACCGCAGUUGAAUACCGAAUUAGUUUAUAAAAUUAUAUAAUAUAUAGAUAAAUGCUAUUUAGUAUUAGUAUAUACUACUAAUAUAUUAUUAUAUUAUAUAGGUAAAUGCUAUUAAUAAUAGUUAGUAUAUGGUAUUAUCAUGUACUUAUAAUAAUAAUAAUAUUUAAUAAUGUACAAUAUAUUAUUUUAAUAUUUGUUAAUUGUUAUAUGACUAUAAUAAUACAAAUAUAUAGUAAUACAUAACAAUAUAACAUAAGUACAACACUUAUUAUUUUAUACAUGAGUAAUAUGACUAGAAUUAGAUAAUAAUUAAUACAUAUAUGUAUAAUACUAAAUAUUAAACAAUAAACAUAAUUAGUAAUUAGAAUUUAGAUAUUGGUAAUUUGAUACAUCAUUCAUGUUUGAAUUAUUGAAUAUUUGAAUGCGUAACCUGUAACUUAUAAGUAUUAGUGUGCUCUAAAUUUACAUUAUCUAUUUAACAUAAAAAUUCAUAUUUUCUAUUCACUAAUCUUAAGCCUUUAAGUAUAGACAAGACAACUAAGCAGUGUAAGUGAAUGCAUAUGAAUUGCAAAUCAAUGUAUUAGUGUAUUGACUUUCACAAUAACAUAUGUAAGUAAAUAAUUUUUAUUUUGAUUUGAAAUAAAUUAUAAGUUUAUAACUAAUAUAACUUAUCACUAAUCAUUGUAAUUUGUAAGUUUGUAACUAAUAUUACUUAUUAUUAAUCAUUGUAAAUUAUAAAUUCAUAAAUCAUCACUAAUCAUUGUACAGUCUAAGGUUUAUUCUAGUUUAAAUUAAUCACUUUUUAUGUGUUCCUUAAAUCAUAGACUAAGGAUUCUAGGUAUAAGUGAUCAAAUAAAUGCCAAUUAAAUCACAAAAUGAUUAGAACAUAAGUAAUGUGUUAAAUUAUGAAUAAAUUUGGGGAUCAAAUCAGUAAUAAUUUUUAAAUUAUUGAGGAACAUAAUGAAUGUAUUAUAAUUUAGGAGCCCUAAUUUGUAAAUUAAAAAUUACACAAUCACUUCCUUCAGUUGAGGUGAAUUUGGGAAAAGUCGGGUUAUUAGGUUAUCACUUAUCAUUUAGGAGCCCCAAUUUUUUUUUUUUAAUAAAUGAAUUCGGUUUAACCAUUUCCAAAUUCGAAAUCGGUUACGAAAUGAAUUCAGUAAUAGCCAAUUCGAAAUUGAAAGCGGUUUAAAUUUUUAUAAGUCAAAUAACCGAAUUCAACUAACUCAUGAAUUAUCGAAUUUGUACCGUUUGCUCACCCCUAAAUUGAAAUAGGAAGUCAGAAACAUGCAUUUUCUCCCCCACCCCUUCCUUCCCUUUAUUACUUUCUUUCUCUUCCUUCUCUCUUUUCCUUUCCCUUUUUUUUUCUUUUGUCUUUUUUUUUCCUUUCUCCAACUCACGAACCAGAACAUCAUUUUUCCUUUGUCUUCUUUUCUCUUUUUAGUCUUAAUUUUCAAUUCUCCUCCCAAUCUAAUUCCUACAACAAUGGAGAUGCUGCUGCCGUCAGCCACUUACCGUCGCUGUCAGCCUCCUGCUGCCGCCAUCCCAUCACUUUAGAUCAAAACUUCACAAAAUCUUCAAUUCAAAUUCUAUUUUUCAUGUAGAUUUGAAUUAUGGCAUCCAACUUGGCUAAAAAUGGCUAGAAAGUAGUUCAACAGGCGUAUAAUCAAAAUAGAUCUAGUCCUCUAUUUCCACCAAAUCACCACUAAAUUUAGUAAAAUUCAUAAUAAAAUCAUCCUUAGGAGCCAUAGAUCGAAUUUAUAGCAUCAAUUUAACACAAAAAAUGCAUGAUAAUGAUGAUAAAAAUGAUGAAGAUGACCUAGAGAGGCGGUGGUGGAGAUGGCUGAUAUAGAUGGUGACUAUACAAUGAUGAAGAUAAUGAUGACGAGAUGACGAUGGUGGAAGUACCAGCCUUCAUGGUGUUGGCUGGAUUAAAUGAAGGAAGACGAAAAGAAAAGGAAAUAAGAAGAAAAAAAUGUAAAACAGAAAAACAAAUGAAAAAAUAAACAAGUUUUUUAAAUCUUAGUUGAGCCUAAAUUUUACUUUCUUCUUAAUUGAUUCAAGAAAGCUUUUAAAAUUUUAAUUGAGUCCUUCACCAAUUUUUGGUAUAGUUUGAAAACAAGGUUAGUAGGUGAAUUUUACAUAUUUUCGUUAAUUUGGAUGGUUUCCGUUUGACUUCCAGAUUAGUCCAAACCAUCGGGAGUCAUUUGGAUGUUUCUAAAUAAUAAGGAGGUUUUGUGACUUUAGACAAAACGACAAGGGGUUUUAGUGUAUUUUACCAUAUUUUUAAUUUUUUUAUCAUUUGUCAUUUAUCUACUCUACUUCUACUCCUACUUCAAUCUAAUCUAGGGACUAGGGAGAGAUCUAACUGGGCCUACAGAAAAAUCGACGGCGCUGAACUAUUAUGGUACUAGACGAAUGCACUAUGCACCCUAUUUUUAUUUGUUGUUUGAGAAGAUUAUUUCAAUUGCAAGAUUGCUACAAAUUUGGAUGUUUUUGUUAAAUUCUUUUCUUUUUGGUUUUUCAAUGAGGUGUGAUUACUUCUCUUUGUAUUCUGAAAAUAUAAAUUUAGGGAAUUGUGGAGAAUCGGCUAAAAAAAAAAGUCACAGCAGUAAAACACAGAGAGAUUAGAAGAUGUCUAAAGAAAGAUGGACUAAAAAGAAAAUACUCUAGUUAAAACCCAAAGGAGUGAGCCAAAAAGAUAGAGUAAAAAGAAAGCAUUUAAAACAGAAGUUCGAAUGUAAAAGUUUGGUGGUCAUAGUGAAUUUUUAAGAUUAAAAUAGUUUUUUACUUUAAGGGUACUUUUGUCACUCAACCAAAGUUGCUCUCAUUGUAUAUCAUUUGUUUUGACAAUAACACUGGCCUUUUAUCAAUUUUUUUUUGAAUGACUAGGAAGAAAACGUAUACAUAUCCUUUCCAUGCUAAUUAAAAAGAUGAAAAUGAAAAUGAAAUAUUAACUUAUGAUUUAUACACAUAUAAAAUAUUAAAUUUAUAACAGCCGAAAGAAUUCUUGAAUCUUUUUUUUUCACUUAAGUAAUCUAGGGAGGGAACAUAAAGGAAAUUGUUAUUUUUUUCUUAAAUUUUUUAGUAGGGAAGAGGUGGAUUUAAGUAAGGGUGAGGAAGAAAGGGGAUUUGAACGCAUGCAAUGGAGAGGAGUUUGACCCAGUACUAACAUGGUAGUGGAGAGAAACUACCACCUUAAUAAAUUUAAUUUAAAAAUUAUUUUAAAAAUCAACACCAUUCUUAAUAUAAUCCAUCACUUUUGUUAGUUAUACAUAAAAUUUUGUAUGAAAUUGACUAAGUUUUACCAUUUGAUUAAUCAUUACUAAUUUUGUGUACAAUUUUGACUCAUUUUUCAUUCAAAUGUUUCAAAAAAAAUUGAAUGCCAAAAUAUUCUUUAAAAAAAAAUCAUUUUUUAGCAUAUUGAUCUGGAGAUCAAAAGAAAGUCAAUGGCACAGUUGGAUGAUUUAUAAAAUUUUAAUAAUUUAAAUAGAAGUAAAUUGAGAGAUCAAUGGAGAGAAUCCCAUCCCAUCAUGUAAAAUCAAUUAUAGGAUUGGCAUUAAAAUUAGCUAAAUAAAAAUGUGUUACAGAUUGGUGAAAUUUGAAUUAUAAUAGAAGGUUGAGGUUCAUAUAUUCAUUAAAAAUACAAGUUAGUAAUGCCAAGUAUCACAACAUAAAAAAAAAAAGUCACUGGUGAUAAGAUGACGUUCACCCUACCAAUUAAAUCACUUCAUUAGUUUGUACAUUUUAAAAAUUUGAAUACAGAGUUCUAAUCCAUGAGAUCUAAGUACAUAUUUAGUUGUCUUUAAGAGGCUUUAAGGGUCUGGCUCAUAUUUUUAGAGGUGAAAAUAUGGGAUCACUCGCUAGGUUUUUUGGAAUUACAGAAGCUCCAGAAAUUUCUAGUUGUCAUAAGCCAUUUUAUACUAAAUAAAUAAACAAAAGAUCACAGUUGCAGUUUUUCUCCAAUUUUUGGUGGGCUUAUGAAGUUUAAGGCAUCGCUACUUCCAAAAUCUCAGCCUUUCAACUUUCAAUGGAAUCACUAGUUACUACAUUAGUUACUUUUGGUAUCAAGAAAUAUGGAAACUGCACUUUUGGAAGCAAGACUAUAUUUAGUUUCCAUAUAACGUACCUACCUAAAAAACAGCAGAUUCCCCAUUCGAUAUCUUUCCUUCAACUACGUUCAAAUAGGGAAACCAACGAAUAUGGCAACUUCUGUAUAUAAUACUAGAAUCUCUUCCCCAAAUGUCUAUAUAAACAGGGAUGCAUGCAGUCCAACAACUACAACAAAGCAUAGAUCUCUUUACAGAAGAAAUUUUGGUACAACACCAUCACCCGAUUUCACCAAUGUCUUUUUUACGAAAGCUUGUGAAGAAUCCAGCGAGGAAACAUUACAAAACUAAGUUUGAUCCUGAGUUGGGCACCUAUUAUUGCCCUUGCGACUACCACGAACGGGAGCAAGAGAAAAAGAGGCAAAAGCAGGCUGCAAGGGGAGUGCAAAAUGCCGUGAAUUAUUAUGAUCGCGAUGCGUACGUGAAUCGAGAGACCUAUUACUCCGGCUGUAGCUCACAUGACUACUCCCAAACCCAUGAUCAUGAAUAUCAUCACUGUUCUCAAGAGCCCGGGACGUGUUCCUCGCAGAGCCCUGAGCCCGAGCCCGAGCCUGAGCCUGAGCCUGAGCCUGAGCCUGAGCCUGGGAUGUAUUUAACUUGGAAGCCUGAGGUGGAGCAGGAGUCGCAAUACAGUACUGAAUCUGAAUACCAUUCUGCACAUGAGAACGAUAAUUCUGAGGGUAACAGGCGGGAUGAGAAUACUAAUACCCGUAGCUGGCGUUAUGGGGAUGAUAUUUAUGGAGACCGUGAUCAGUGGGAAGCCAAUUCCAGCAUAGAGUUCUAUAAAUUUUUGGGGUGGUCAUGAGAUUUUAGAUGAUGUUUUGAUUCAAUUAUUUAGCAGAGUUCUAUAAAUCUGCCAAGCAGUUUUAUGUAGGUUGAUUACUAGUCUUAAUUUUUUCGAACGUCAUUUAUACUUGAUAGUUUCUGUCACUAGUAGUCAAGUACUUAAGCAAUAGGAUUUUUCAACUUCGGAUUCACUAUCUGUUUCUUUUAUUCUUGAUAUAUAAUAAAACUUGAGUCCAUGAUUUUGUUGUUUAUGUAUCAUCUUUCCAGUAUCUGAAUUCUAGAUAAUGCCUUGCAAAUUAAAGGUCCAUUGACUAUACUCCAAAAUGAUGAGGAUUUACUAAUAAUGUUGACCAAUUAGAAGAAAUACCACACUUGCAAAAAAGAUGAACUUCAUAAAUACUAUAUUUGCAAAAAAGAUGAACUUCAUAAACGUGUAAUCAACUAAGCCAAAACAGAUUGACAAAUAACAUGUUUUGAUUUCCUUAGUGGAUGUUUUGAUUAUUGGAAGCACAAAUUUUCGAGUUUUUGGGUAUAAAUGAACAUUUUUUCAGAAACAUAAUGGAAAUAAGGAAAUUACCUAUUUACUUCACCCGUUCCUCAAAAUAAAAAACUCUUUGUUGUUGUUCAUUCAUUUUCAAACUUCCAUUUGUCUCGGAGGUUUCCUUUUUGGCAGGUUUAUAUAGUAUUCCUUUUCUAUUUUUUUCUGUUGGGUUAGUCCUGAAUAAGAGCUAUUGAUAAAUCGAUAUGGCUAAUGCAGGUCUAUCACGAGUACCUAAGAGAUGCUUGACGGAUCUCAAGUGUUAAUUUUUUUAAUGAAAAAGUAUAGUUAAUUUGAGAAAGUAUCAACAUUUAGAAAGUAUAAUAAUUGUGAUUAUGAUGUGUAUUCACAUGGUAAAUAAGGUGUAAUUUAAGUGUACUAACGAGUGCAGCCAUUAAAAAAUGUUGUUUUAAAUUUUAACAUCAGAACUCGAAAGAGGAAAGGAAAAAUAUAUAAUGUUCGAUCCGUACUAAUAACUUUGGAUUAACUAUUUUGAACCCGUUGUUUCAGUUUAAAAAGGUAAUGGGCCAACUCAAUGGCUAUGGGGUGUUACAAUUGGUAUCAGAGCAAACCUUACAUAAUCUCUGCACGAAGUGAGCCCGGGGCCAAGUGGUGUGGUUUUGACUACACAAGAAAGUGUAAAGAAUUAAGUGCUGCACGAGACUAAGUGUCACGUUGGACGGAAGUCAUCUCUAGAACCCAUACGAGCCAUCUUUAGAAUCCGCGCAAGACUAAGGUCCAUUGGAUUGCAAUGAAUUUUGCAAGGUCGCAAAGUUCUAAAAGGUGGGGAGAGUGUAAUAUCCCACAUCAAAACUCGGAAGAGGAAAGGAAAUAUAUAUAACGUUCAAUUACUAAUAACUUUGGACGAAUCAUUUUGAACCUGUGGUUUUAGCUCAAAAAAGUAUUAGGUCAACCUGAUAGGCACUGGCCGUUAUAAAUGGUAUCAGAGUGAAUUUCGCUUGGUCUCUGCAUGGGGUGAGUCUAGGACCAAGUGGUGUGUUUCCGACUAUGCAAAAACUACAAGAAACUAAGUGCCGUGUGAGACUAAGUGCAAAAUUGGACAGGGCCACUUUUAGAGCCCAUACGAAUUACCUCUAGAAUCCGCACAUAACUAAGUGGUUAGUUGGAUCGCAAUGGCCUUUGCGAGGUCGCAAAAUUCUUAAGGUAGCGAAAGUGUGAUAUCCCACGUCAAAACUUGGAAAAGAAAAGGAAAAAUAUACGUUCGAUCUGUCGGGUUACUAAUAAUUUUGGGUUAAACAUUUUGAACCCGUAGUUUCAACUCAAAAAGGUAUUGGCCCAACCCGGCGGGCGUGCGGGCAUUACAUUUAUUGUGAAUGAUUAAUUGGCUUAAUUGUUAUGUGAAUUUUUUUUUAUAGUAUAUUGCUUGAUUCUGGUGCGCAUUCAACCGUAGCAGUACCAGUUUCGGAGGGAAAUGCACUUCUUCGUGCAAUUUCUCGAUCAAGUUUUGGUGGCCGCGAUCUUUUGGAUCAUCUAACAGCUCUAAUAACUGAGGCGCCUCACGAUUCUUGUUUUUGUGCAGACAGAUAAUGAAACUUGUGCAGAAUAAAGCAGCUUACGUUGCUCUGAACAUCCAGCAAGAACUGGAGUUAGCAAAGAAAAUUCCUUCACCAGUUAAUGAGGAAUAUGAGUUGCCUUGCGGGCAUUUCAUGAAUUUCCGUUCACAGAGAUUUCGAAAUCCCGAGGCUCUCUUCCAGCCUUCUUCGGCAAGAUUCGUUAAAGAUAGGGAAAACGUAGGUGUGCAUAAAAUGAUCUUCAACAGCAUCAUGAAAUGUGACAUUGGUAUCAGGAAUUAUUUGUUUAAGAACAUUAUGCUUACUGUUGGCUCGACUUUGUUUCCUGGUUUUGUAGAGGGUAUUACCAAAGAAAUUUUGGAGCUUGGCAGCUCAACUUUAGCUUUCAAAUUUUCUGAUCUAAUCGCUAGAGAAAUCAAUCAUAAAUUUGCCAAUAAGAUGUUCAGGAAUGUGGCACCGCCCAAUAGGAUGUACAAUGCAGGUGUUGGAGGUUCAGCUCUAGCAUUACUCAACACUUUCGAACGGUAAGUCCUUUUAAGACUCAAUUUUAUGUUAAUUUUUGCCAAGUUUCUGGUACCUAAUUCAUCAGCAGUUAACAUGGUCUUGAUUAUUGGUGACGUGGUUUAGGUCAGAGUUUUCUGUAUAAUGACACAUACUAAUCACCAAUAUACAAUUCAUUAGUCUAAAUGGAGAGGGGUUUGAUCAAAAAGGGUAUAAUAAUCAAGGUUGAGACUUUUGAAUAUAAAGUAUCUUUUGCACUGCAAAAGCAAACUUGCAGCAUAUAGGAAUUAGCAAAAGUUUCUAAAACCUAUUGAAUGAGAUAAUUUCACACUAGAUAAAAUUUACAUAAGAUCGUGAGGAUCUUUGUUUUAAAACCAAUUAUUAAAUUUAUUAAAUAGUUGAUCCCAACCGAAAUAAAAUUUCUUCCUAAAUUUGGUCUCUGGGUCAAUAAGACUGAUUACUCCUGCUUAUUGAAAGGUGUGUUAUUCCUCUUUCACCAAAACAUGUUGUAAUAAACAAGAAAAGGAUUUGUAUUUGAAUUGAUGAAUCGUUCCCAAUGGUUUAGCAAUUUGACAAUCAAAGUGGUGAUAUAGGCUUACUUUUUGGUCAUUAAGUUACUUUCAUCAAGAUCAAAGAAAUAACAAUGUCUUAGAGCAGCGUGCACAAUUUUAAGACCCCAGCAUCAUACUUCACAUAAAGUGGACAAUCCUUCCUAACAAACCUUGAAAGUCAUUGCAAUCUCAAACGAGCAUUUGUAUGCAUAUGCAAGCUUACAGAAGUAAAACCUAUGUGAUUUUGACAAAAUACCUCUGUGAUUUUGACAAAAUAUAUUUUAGGGUGUUUUUUUUAUAAAAGAAAAACUCUAUUAGAAAAUCUUUCCAUGGGAUGCCUUUAGGGUGAUUUUAGAAAUCGUUUGGUAUUUUUGUAUAGGAUAAUACACCAUCUCCGAUAUGCCAAACGGAACUUUAUACCCUUUUUCUCCAUAGAUCCUUUUAAUGUGUUUUUUGAACGUUUUUACUUAAAUAUGCUUUUUAAGAAAUUGUAUUUGUAUAAACUCCACACAAGGGUCCAAAAAAAAUUGGCUUUCAAACAAAUCCACGUCCAAGGCUGCUAUUAUAUAUGUCUUUUUGGAAAAUGAUAAGAAGACUAAGAAGUUAUAAAAGAAGAUUGAUUGCCCAUUACUAAGAAGCUAAUUUCUACUGAAUUUUCCAGAUGUGCAUCUCAAGGUCUGAAUACUCGGAACGGAGACCGUCUGUGGUGCACCAAAACUACUUAUGAGCUUUAUAAUCGCUGAAGUAAAUUAUUGCUUCCAUCAAUAAAAUAAAAUAUGCAGUGUAUUUUUUGUUAUUCCUUUCUGUUGAAGAAUGGCAUAGAGUUGAAAUUCAAACUUUUAGUAGAACCACAAACUAGCUCAAUGAGAGGUCUUGUUUACAUUUUGAAGUGUAAUGUAAUCCAUGUUCGAUCUAGUGAUCAGGAAGGAUUUUUAGAAUCUUUUCCACUAUGACAUUUAUGGUUCAAAUUUUGUGUGUGAUAGUCAAGAAUAGGAAGAAGGGGUGGGACAGUAAUUAAAAAAAAGUAUUCCAUUAAUUGAUAAAUACAUAAUUAAAUUUAUCAUUGUACAAAUAUUGAAAAGUUUCCCAAUUUUAAACGUUUAGAAAAUAGGGUUCUGUUUAAUUUAGUUCCACAUGGAGCAGUUUUGUAAUUGAACUGAAGAGAUCACAUUCCUUCAAAAAAAAAAAAAAAAAAAAACUGGAGAUCAUAUCUAAGUGAUGUAUAGCUUUUCAUGGGCCCAAGUUCCCCUAGAAUAAUGCUAGAUCUGGGCCUGGUAGCAUUAGGAUAAUGCUGCAUUCGGGCUCUUAUUGACCAAGCUUGGGCAGGUCUUCAACGAUUUCCUGAUUUCAAUCACAAUCUCAUAGUAAUUAAACCCGGCCGGAGACCAACCCAAUGUGGCAAUCAGUUUAAUGAUUCAGCGAUUCAAUCGUGGGUGCAACAGUUGAUCUGUUUCUUAUUUAAUUUAAAAAUAAAAUGAUAUAUAUAUUUUGUUUAAAGUAAUAUGAUCAAUGUAUAGAUGGUUGAAUCGAUCAGUUUUCUAGAUCUUAUCGGCUAAACCAAAGGGGUGAAUGAGUAAUCAACUAGUUUCUUUGUUGAUCAAUAUAAUUACUAAUUCAGACUCGUCUAGUUUGGUUUAUUAGGUAGACCGGUUGAACCGUCAGACUGGGUUUGAUAAUUAUGCACAACCUACUAUUGAGCCCAAUUGAAAAACAAGUAUUUUGAGUUCGCAAUCUUUUGCUCCAAAAUUCCCAUGUAGACACUUCCAAAGUUUAUAAAGAUGUUGCUUCUAAUUUCAAUAUUGGUUAUAAAAUUUAGUUAGUAAAUUUGGUCAUUGGUUAAACAAUCUGGAAAAGAAAUUUAAAGCAAACCAACUUAUGCUUGAGACCUCACCCAUCGCGAAGAUUUAAGCUGAGAUAUUUUUCUUAACAAUAUGAGUGCAACAAAUUACUUCACCAGAUUCAUCUCAAUUUGGUGCAAAUUUUUCCGAUCAACUUAAUAGAAGAUAGUGACAAAAACUCGUCUCUUUUCCUAUACAAUUUCCUGAAUCCCCUGCUUCCUCAACUCUCAGUAGCUGCAGCUAUGCAAUACAAAAAAAAAAAAAAAACACCCUUUUGGGGAGAAUUCGGAGGAUGCCAAAGGGAAGUUCUGUAAUUUAUAAGUAGGGGAUGUUCCAUAAUUCAUAAUUAGGAUUCAAGUUUUAGCACAGUUUGUUAAUGGAAAUUCGAAAACUAUUCCUUGAAUUAAACGUAUGGUAAACUGGCUGCAGAAUUUAUCCUUAUCCCACUAACAAGCCAACUGUUGAUGACAAAUCAAUCCAUCCAAAAUUGCAAAAAUAAAAAGUUAAUAUGAGCUGCCUCAUGACCAAAUUGAUUUCAACAGCAACAAACUCUAAAGCUUCCCGAAAAUUUCAAGCCUUUCUGCAAAGUAUCAAACGAAUACUUUUGAAAGCUUCUAGAAAAUUUUCUUUGUUUUGAAAAUAAAACAAGAAAGAACUAAAAUGCAUCAUAAAGUAUUCUAGGAAUUAGACAUCCUGGAAUAUCACGUCUCCAUCCUAACUCAAGUAUCACGCUUUCAUUCGAGCUUAGUCAUGCAUCAUGGCAUUUUUGCCGUGCCAAUUAUUGAAUUUAUGCGUUUACCAUUUAACAAAUUUUCAAAAUUCCUGGUUAACUACUUUAACCAAGAUGGUGGUAAGUGGAUUCUAAACUAUUAAAAUUGCUAAACUUUUAAAUUCAGGUCAUUAACUUCAUAGGCUUACAUGACUAAGCAAGUAAUAAAAAUCAAAAUGUGCCGUUUCAGAACCAACUUAUAAUUUCAUUCAAGGCAGAGAGUUAGAUUUUAGCCCUGCAAAAGAUGCUAACUUAAGUGUUAAAAUCUUGUGAAUACAAGCCUCAGUCUUGUCCAAUUCAAGAAAUGGUUUUAAAUCUAUAUAAUCUUGUUGAAUUCUCUUUUCUCGUGGUAGAUUAUCUUGGAUAUUGAUUAUCUUGAGCUCUACCGGAAUAACCAUUAGGUGCACAAGAAACACUAAUGUGGACCAUUGAAAAUAGACGUAUGAUUAUUCUUUCUCUGGAUAGAAUGCUUUGCAGCAGUAAAUUGUUUGAUUAUUCUUUCCCAGGAUAGAAUGCUUUGCAGCCGUUAAUUGUUGCAUCUCUCUCUCUCUCUCUCUACACUCUUCAAGACUGUUUUCUGCCGUUAAAGAUUUUUUUUUUCUGAUAAAUUACACAUAGCCCUUAUAGAUUCACAAAUUAUCAUAUAAGCCUGCUAACAUUUCAAAAUAUGCAUCAUCCUUUAUAGUUUCAUGUAAAGUGAAAACUUGAGAGAAAAUAGCACACAUAAUGUCAUUAGUUGAAAUACUAACACCAAUUGGAACAACAGUCGGACCACCUUCCAUAAAAUUAUAGGAGAAUUAUGUAGAUAAACGCAAAAAUUAUAGUGGUUAAAAUAGAUGCAAAUAAGAAUUAUAGGAGUCUUAAGUGAAUAUUAUGGUUCGAUCACAUACAUUUUAGAAUGUGUUUGGUUCAACAAACAUAGCUGUAGCUAUUGUUGCUUUCUGCCCGUUUUCUACUUUAUAUAAAACCACGUGGGAUUAUGUGGACAUCUCGAAACCUUGAGGGGAUCAUGUGACCAUUUGAAAAACCAAGGGGUUAAGUGAUUUAUUUUUCCUGGAAAUUUACUCUAGACAAUGAAUCAUAUAUAUAGGUAUCAGCAUGUGCAGUCUUUUCUUUUUAUUGCAAUUAAUUUAUUCUUUUGUUCAUGUUAUCAUGGCUUUAAAGUCCAUACUUGUUAUGAUAUAAAUUUUGUUCAGGUGAGAAGGUAGUCGACUUUGUUAGGGUGGCAAUUCAUAUUAACUUUUGGUGAAAACCAUCACCUAUUAAACCCAAAAUCUAUAUGACAAUUAUUAAGAAAUAAAUUAAUAGUAAACAUAGCGGAAGCGUACCUGAAUCCAUAUCGAUAAACUGAUAUAUGAAUCUCCAAAGAUAUUUGGGUGGUCUUCCAGGUCCACACGUAUUUACCGAUCCUUUGAGAGAACCCUUUAGUUUCUCUCUGGUAUCUUUCCUGACGAUGGGAUAUCAAGGAAGAGUUGUUUCGUGGUAUUAGGAAUACGACAACUAGAAUGAUACUUGUGACCUGGGGACCAUAACUCUAUUUAUAGGUAAUAUUCCUGUUAUCUUUUGGAACCCUAUUUCAACCCAUCAUAGAAAUAGGAGCCCAUAAUUCUCUACACGUUAAAGGCCCACACCCUAUUAGAUACAUUAAAUCCAAACUAUAUUUGAUCACUUUAAUUGGGUUUAUCCUUAAUUGACAGCUUGCAAUACAUAAUUAUUCAUAUAUAAGUCCAAUGUUGGAUUAAGGGUCCAACAAUCUCCCACUAAAACUAUACACCAUUUAAUACGACACCCAUAUGAGCAGUGUGCUCAUGAAACAUUUUGGGUGGCAAUCCCUUAGUAAGCGGAUCCGCAACCAUGGAGUUUGUCCCGAUAUGCUCUAUUGAUAACUGUCCACUCUGUACUCUUUCUUUAACAGCCAGGAACUUGAUAUCUAUAUGUUUAGAUUUCGUCGAGCUCCUGUUAUUGUUGGAAUAUAAGACUGCUGAUUUAUUUUCACAAAAUAAUUUGAGUGGUCUUUUAAUACUAUCCACCACACGUAAUUCUGUGAUGAAAUUUCGCAGCCAAAUUCAUUAAUUGGAUGCCUCAUAACAAGCUAUAAACUCUACAACCAUAGUGGAAGAUGCUAUGAGGGAUUAUUUAGCACUCUUCCAGGAUAUGGCACCUCCAGCCAACAAGUACACAUAGCCUGACGUUGACUUCAUAGUAUUUUGGCAUCCAGCAUAAUCGGAAUCAGUAUAGUCAAUGAUAUCUAACUCAUCUAACUUCCGAUACGUGAGCAUGUAGUCUUUUGUUUUCUGUACAUAUCGUAAGACCCGUUUGGUUGCUUUCCAACGAUCUAAUUCAGGAUUACUCAGAUAUCAACCCAACAUCCCAGUAAUGUACACAAUAUCCGGAUGCGUACAUACUUGAGCAUACAUUAGACUCCCUACUACUGAGGCAUAAGAAAUCUUUUGCAUCUCUCUUUCCUCAAAAGUAUUCUUAGGACACUGCUCAAGACUAAAUUUGUCUCCUUUAGCCACAGGAGUGUCACCUGAUUUACAAUUUUGCAUGCCAUACUUUUUAAGGAGCUUUUCGAUAUAACACUUUUGUGAUAGUUUUAAAAUACCCCGAGAGCGAUCACGGCGUAUCUGUAUGCCUAAUACAAAAGAUGCAUCACCAAGAUCUUUCAUCUCAAAAUUCUUAGUUAGAAAUUUCUUGAUUUCAUGCAAUAGACUAAUAUCGUUACUGGCAAGCAAAAUAUCAUCAACAUACAAUACCAGAAAAAUAUACUUGCUCCCACAGAACUUAUGGUAUAUACAAUCAUUCACUAAAUUCAUCUCAAAACCAAAUGACAGGUGUCGUGCCUGUGCAAUAAUAAAUACCUGCUUAAGAAAAAUAAAUUUUCUGUGUAUAGUAGUAAGCAGGGUCGAAUCCACAGGGACUGGAAAAAAUUUGAUUCUUUUUAAAUUCGAGACACGGGGGAUUUUUAUCAGAUAAAACUAAAAAUAAAUAAUUAAACAAUUUAACUAAAAAUAAUUAACCAAAAAAUAAAUAAUUAAUUAAUACAAUUGUAAAUAGCAAUUAAAUAAAUGAUAAAUAAAUUCUAGCCAAGGAUACAACUACGCAGACACAGUCCAUUCAUCCGAUCAUUGAUGCAAAGAAAGUUCACUUAAUUUAAUUAAUAGGCUAGUUAUAGUCGCCGAUAAGCUCUAACGACCAGCUUUUCCUUAAUUUAUUUAUAACCAAGGUACGACCAUUGAUUACCCCUAAUCAGGAAAUACUCCUAGGUACGACCGUAGGAAUUAAUUUCCUAAUUGCAUUAAAAACUAGAAAAGCCUAACCCAAAUUAAUAACACGCUACGAGGGUUAUUUAAAUCAGAUUGCAUGUUCCCCUAGUAUGUGAAAAUACUAAUUGUCACUAAUAUUAACCAACUAAACAAUUACGGAUUUAAUUGAUUAAUUUGACAAGAGAUUAAUAAGUCAAAUUGCACAUCGGGCCCUUGAUAUCCAAUUAACAAAAUAAUCCCAUGGAAAUUAAAAUAGAAAACAUGCAAAUAUUAACAAAUUAAGGAACACGUAAAAUUAAUUAGAUCUCACAGAUAUUUGGGACUGCGUCUUCGCGUUGAUCCUUGACUAGAGGAGAAAAUUAGCCACGCCUCAUAAGAAAAUCUUCACACAAUUCAAUUGAAUUUAAAGACAUCAUCUUUCUUCGAUAAUUGAGAGAGUGAAUAACAAAGCUUCGGAAGAGAAUAAGAAAAUUGCACACUAGAAUUCAACAAACCAAAACAACUCCCUAUUCUCUCCUCUGGAACAUCCCUCGGAGAGAAAAACUAAAACUCCUCUUCCCAGACGGAAGAGAGGAAGAAAAACUCACCCCCGAAAUGUGCGGCUCUCCCCCGCAUAAAAACAAGCCAAUUCCAAACUUCACUCCACGCUCACAAAAGAAAAACAUUCCUUCCUACCUAAUCAACUCCACCGAAAACAAAAGCAAAGCCAACUAUGGUUUGUCGGUUCCCUUUGACCAAGUGCACACGUUCACAAAUAAGAGAGCAAACAAAAAAUGUGCAAAGAAAGCACACUUUAGACAAUACAACUUAUUUGCGGUCCCCACUAACUUUGACAUGUUGUCUAGCCAAAUUGAAUUCCCAAAUGCAAUUCCAUUCUUCUACGUUGGUUUGCACCAAAAUUGUGCAAAGUUCCACAAUAAUCUUCUCAAGAGGUUUCUGCUCCCAUUUCUGAAAUUAUAUCCAAAUACCAAAUAUAAAUAUAUAUUGACAAUUAAAACAAAUUAAAGCAAUAUUUGGCAAGGAUAAAAAGGAAAAUUAACAAUAAAAUUACUAACAAUUAACAUCCUAUCAAUUCCCCCCACACUUAAAUCAUGCUUGUCCUCAAGCAUGGGAACAACUAAAUUCAACAAUGGCUAACUCUCAUUUCAUUUACUGCCAAGCUAUGCUUAUCCCAAAAUCAAGUUUUAGUGGCUAAGUGUCAAGACAUAUUUCUCCCGAUUAGCUCCUGAAAUCAUAGACUCGUCCAAUUCAUGGCUAACUCGUCUAAGAAAUUAAAAUAUUAAACUAGCAAAAGUUAGCAAUUGGGUCAACUGAAAAUCAAAAUCUCAACAUUGAAGAACAAGGAUCGGCAGGCCAAUAUGAUCAUAAGUUUACACAUUAUUUUAUUCUCUCUCUCUUUUUUUUUUUUUUAACAAUUAAUUUUUUUUUUUCAAAAAUGCUCAGUCCCAAGCUAUUCAAGUCUUUUGACGUGAACUCUGACAUUUUUAGAUGAAAGAGCCCAGUUACUCAACUUUUCACAGCUUCAGGACUAACUACUCAUAGAUAUCGCCACUUUUUGACGCGAAAGUCGACACUUGUGGUGAAAACUCCCGGUUACUGGGUGACGGCACUAGCGGAGUAGAGUCAUUUAUUAAUCACAAUUAAAGUAUCAGAAUACCAGAUAAUUAAAGAUCAUGGCCCACGUCAUCUCCUAAUAUGGAGAACUAAGAUCAACAAUUGCCCAAUCCACAUAACAAUUGCUAAUAAAAUAUUUAAAUUGCCUAAACAAGUUAACCACAAUUUGCACCAAGUCAUUAAACUCAUGAUAUUCACCAAGAUAACAUGCGUUUACUUGCCAUCUAAACAAAAUUCAUAGGAUAAAUCACAACCAGCAAUAAACGAAUGAAUUGCCAUAUUUAUUCAUCAAAACACUAGUAAGAAAAGCAGUAAAUUAAAGAAACACCAAUCAAAACUAAACCCAAAUCCCCCCCCACACUUAAAUCACACAUUGCCCUCAAUGUGAUAACGAAACAGUAAAAAUAAGAAGAAGGACAACGAAACUCCCCUUAAGCUGGUGCCAGCUAUUAGCACCUGUAGUUGGAGGAGGCGGAGCGGAGGUCAAAGGGUCGGGAUCGUGGUUUCACCAUUCUUUCCAAAUUGUACUAAAUAAAUAAAAAUCAAGCAAAGUAAAAAGAAACAAGCAAAGUAACACAGAAGUAUCCAACUAAGGAUGAAUAGAAAUGUCAGGUAGUCCAAACACGCAAAACUUUCAGAAGUGUACUGUAAUAAAAAUAAUAAAAACAUACUGCAAUAAUAAAAUAAGAAAAUAAAAAAAAAUAAUAGAAAGAGAUUGAGGCAGGCGCGUGCAUACGAAGCCAGUGGUGCGAUGAAGGUGGUGGCUGUGAGAGAGAAGAGUUUGCGGCAGCUGGAUCUGGUGGUGCUCAGCGACUGCGGGUGGUGGGCGACGGGUUGGGGUAGCGCGCGCGAGGGAGCGGCGGGCUCCAGGUGGCGCGCGCGAGGAGCGGCGAUGGCGUCGGUGGAGCAGGAGGAAGGAAGGAGACCUGGGGCGGCGGCGGCUCUGGUUGAAGGAACCAGAGAAAAGGGAAAAACAGGGAAAGAAGAAAGAAAGAAAGAAAGAAAGGAAGAAAGAAGAAAGAAAAAGAAAAGAAGAAAAAGAAGGAAUUUUUUUUUUUUUUGUCAAAAACAAUGCUUACGUAGAUCUGAAAUCUAAUUUUUUUUUUUUCAGGUCGUCAAACACCGCGUGGGCACGCCAAGAUUACGAAACGUCCCCUGACCUCAGGAGACACCAACACCGCGGGGGCACGCCAAGAUUUCACUUCCUGAUUUCAGUAAAGGAAAUAUGAGUACUGAUACUACCCAACGAGUAAAUGACCCAAUGCAAAAGAACCAACUAGAAAGAACAAAACUAAUAUUUGGGUUGCCUCCCAAACUAGCGCCUUUCUUUAAUGUCUUUGGCUAGACAUAGCCCAUAAUUUGCUUAAACCAAGCAAAUUGGGUCCUCCAAAUGCGUCAUCUCUACUCGCUCAACUGGAGCCUCAUCAUAAUAAGGCUUGAGACGAUGACCAUUCACCACAAAUUUCUUCUCCGUCUUCAGACUCUGGAUCUCCACUGCACCAUAAUCAAAGACAUUAGUUACAACAAAGGGACCAAUCCAACGAGAACGUAACUUACCUAGAAAUAACUUCAAUUUGGAGUGGUAUAGUAAAACUUUUUGCCCGCAGACGAAUGUCUUCCUAGAGAUCUGUUGGUCAUGAAAGAUCCGAUUCUUCUCUUUAUAGAUCACUGCAUUCUCGUAUGCUUCAUUUCGGAUUUCUUCCAACUCUUGUAAUUGCAACUUCCUUUGAAUUCCGCCUUCCUCGAUAUCCAUAUUGCAUUGCUUGACCGCCCAAAACGCUCUAUGCUCAAACUCUACCGGGAGAUGACAUGGUUUUCCAAAUACCAAUCGGUAAGGGGACAUGCCAAUAGGUGUCUUGUAUGCCGUCCUAUAUGCCCAUAGUGCAUCCUCUAAUCUCAUACUCCAAUCCUUCCUAUCGGGUCGGACCAUCUUUUCUAGAAUUGAUUUGAUCUCUCGGUUCGAUGCUUCCGCCUGACCAUUUGUCUGAGGAUGGUAGGAUGUAGAGACUUUGUGCAAGACACCGUAUCUCUUAAAAAUUGCAGCGAUCGUUUUGUUGCAGAAAUGAGUACCCCGAUCACUUACAAUUGCUCGUGGCAUCCCAAAGCGGACAAAAAUAUUAGACUUAACGAAUUCUGCAACCACUUUGGAAUCAUUAGUGCGGGUGGCCUUUGCUUCUACCCACUUCGAAACAUAAUCUACAGCAAGCAAUAUAUACAAAAAACCAAAGGACGAAGGAAAAGGACCCAUAAAAUCAAUGCCCCAAACGUCAAAAAUUUCAACAAAAAUCAUUGGGGUUUGAGUCAUUUGAUCCCUACGAGAGAUAUUACCCACUCUUUGACACUUAUCACAUGACUUACAAAAUGAGUAGGCAUCUUUGAAUAGAGUUGGCCAAUAGAAUCCACUCUCUAGCACCUUACGAGCCGUUCUCUUCGGUCCAAAGUGACCUCCACAUGCAAAAGAGUGACAAUAUGCUAGAAUAGAUUGAAAUUCAACUUCACUUACACAUCUACGGAUGAUUUGAUCGGCACCCCGCUUCCAGAGGUAAGGAUCAUCCCAAAUGUAGAACUUUGCAUCGCUCCUCAACUUGUCUCUCUUUGCCUUAGGCCAUCCUGUAGGAAAUUUGUCAGUGACUAGAAAAUUAACAAUAUCUGCAUACCAAGGCAAGGAUGAAUUAAUAGAAAAUAAAUGCUCCUCGGGAAAUGCUUCUCUCAAUGGGAGGUCCUCUUCGACGACUUGUACUCGACUCAAGUGAUCUGCUACCAGGUUCUCUGCCCCUUUCUUAUCUCGGAUCUCCAGGUUGAACUCUUGUAACAACAAUAUCCACCGUAUCAAUCGCGGUUUUGCCUCUUUCUUGGUCAACAGAUACCGCAAAGCUGCAUGAUCAGAAAAAAUAAUAACUUUAGCACCAAGUAAAUAAGACCGAAAUUUCUCUAAGGCAAAAACAACUGCUAAAAGCUCCUUUUCGGUGGUUGAAUAGUUCAAUUGAGCUCCGUUCAAGGCUCGAGAUGCGUAGUAGAUAGCAUGAGCUGCCUUUCCUACUCUUUGACCCAAUACCGCACCCACUGCAUAGUCGCUGGCGUCACACAUGAUUUCGAAUGGGAGGUUCCAGUCAGGGGGUUGGAUAAUAGGUGAGGUGGUCAAUAACUCCUUUAACUUAUUGAAUGCCCCCUUACAUGUUUCAUCAAAUUCGAAGGAUACAUCUUUUUGCAAAAGUUGGAACAAGGGUGCUCCAAUUUUCGAGAAGUCCUUGAUGAACCUUCUAUAGAAACCUGCGUGACCCAAGAAAGAACGAACUUCCCGCACACUCGCGGGGUAAGGUAAAGUAGAUAUAACAUCUAUUUUUGCCUUAUCAACCUCAAUACCUGUAGAUGAUACAACAUGACCCAAAACUAUCCCGUGUUCAACCAUAAAAUGACAUUUUUCCCAAUUAAGCACGAGAUUAGUUUCUAUACACCUUACUAAGAUCAAUUUCAGGUUAUCUAGACAGUUUUCAAAACUUUCACCAUAUACACUGAAAUCGUCCAUGAAAACCUCAAUAAUCUUCUCAACAUAUUCUGAAAAGAUACUUACCAUGCAUCUUUGGAAGGUAGCAGGUGCAUUGCACAAUCCAAAUGGCAUCCUUCGGUAUGCAAAUGUUCCAAAUGGGCAGGUGAAAGUAGUCUUUUCUUGGUCCUCGGGUGCGAUGGCAAUUUGAAAAUAACCUGAAAAUCCAUCCAAGAAACAAUAGUAAGCUCGACAUGCUAAUCGCUCCACCAUUUGGUCAAUGAAAGGGAGGGGGAAAUGGUCCUUUUUCGUGACGGCAUUUAGCUUUCGGUAAUCGAUACACUGUCGCCAUCCGGUGGGCUUUCGAAUUGGUACGAGCUCACCCUCUUGGUUUGAUUCCACUGUCACCCCUGCCUUCUUCGGGACCACCUGUACUGGACUUACCCACGGGCUAUCUGAUAUUGCAAAUAUAAUUCCAACGUCCAGCAGUUUUAAAAUCUCUUUCUUUACGACCUCCAUCAUGAGAGGAUUUAAUCUCCGUUGAGCUUGCCGUACGGGUUUAGCAUUCUCCUCGAGUCGAAUUCGGUGCAUACACACCGCGGGACUAAUUCCCUUGAUGUCGGCGAUGGUCCAUCCUAUCGCCUGCUUAUGUUCCCUAAGAACUCGAAGUAGUUUCUCUUCUUGAACCUUUGAUAAACCCGCGGAGAUGAUCACUGGAAGUGUCUCCCCUUCACCCAAGUAUGCAUACUUUCAGGUGUUUCGGCAGCGGUUUCAGUUCCAAGACAGGUGCCUGCACCACAGAUGGAAGUAACCUUUUGUGAGGUUCAGGUAUAAAAAUGGGUGCGAGGUCAUACCUUGUCUUCGUGGUUGGUAACGUUUGCAACGAUCCAAUCACGCAUUUAAGCUCUUCACUCAACUCUACUCCAGAGGUUGUUUCGGACUCGAAGUGCCUGGUCAGAACGACCUCUAGCUCAUCCCUGCCUUCAAUUUCAAAAACCUCCUGUAUAGCAGGGUCAAUAACAUUUACCGAGAAAACAGAGCCAACAUUUGAAUCGGAUGGAUAUUUCAUGGUCUCAAAGAUGUUAAAGUGAACAAUCUCACCAUCAAAUUCCAUAGACAAAGUACCCUUAUUAACAUCAAUUUUGGUUCGGGCUGUGCUCAAAAAGGGUCUACCUAACAACAAAGGUGACGGAUCACGGGAGUGUUCAUCCUCCAUGUCGAGCACAUAAAAAUCAGCUGGAAAAACCAAUUCAUUAAUUUUUACCAAAACAUCUUCAAUCAACCCGUCAGGGUAUGCAUUGGUCCUGUCAGCUAGUUGGAUUAUUAUUCCAGUUUCUUUCAAAGGGCCUAAGUUCAAAGAAGCAUAAAUAGAUUUCGGCAUGACAUUAAUCGAUGCUCCUAGAUCUAACAUGGCCUUUCCAAUCAAAGUAUUACCUAUCCUACAAGGAAUAGUAAACAUACCUGGAUCUCCGCAUUUUGGUGGAAGUUUCCUUUGUAGAAUUGCUGAAACAUUCUCCCCAACUAUAACUCGUUCAUCCCCCUUCAACCGCUUGCGGUUGGCACACAGGUCCCUCAAAAAUUUUGCGUACCUGGGUACUUGUUUAAUCGCAUCCAGUAGGGGUAUGUUGAUCUCCACCUUGCGAAAGAUCUCCAGGACCUCUUUUUCCUUGUCUUGCUUCUUUGGUUUCUCUAACCUGCUAGGAAAGGGAGGUGGAUUAGUUUUAGCUGUAGGAAUUGGGUUCGAGGGUACCUUUGCAUUUUUGUUGUCUGUGCCCUCCUCUUCCAAUUCUUUCUCAAUCCGUUCCUCGUCCUUGUCUUUAGGAAUCACCGGUUCGGGUCCUUGAACUUCCUUGCCACUCCUUAAGGUCAUUGCACUUACAUUCUUUGGAUUUGCCUCAGGUUGAGAUGGCAAUUUUCCUUGAACUUGGGACUCCAAACGGUUGAUUGUUAUAGCCAUUUGAUUCAUUUGAUUUUGCAAUGAUUGCACCUGUCCCAGUUGAUUUCUCAUGCUUUGCAGGUCUGAAUCCGUCUUUUGUUGAUUGGCAAGUAAUUGCUUCAUCAUCUCUUCCAUGGACGGACUUGAGUUUGAAGGGGGUGGUGGUGGUGGUGGGCGAGGAUGGUACUGUUGUUGGUGUCCUUAUUGUCUAUUUGGCACAAAGUUAGACUGCCUAUUUCCUCCAUAGCUAAGGUUGGGGUGAUCCCUCCAACCAGGAUUGUAGGUGCUUGAGUACGGGUCGUACUGCUUUCUUGGCGCGGGCGCGUGGCCAGCCAUGUUCACCUGUUCUGCAGUUUCUUCUUGAACCAGUGGACACAUUUCCGUAGGAUGACCCACGGCAGUGCACACCCCACACACUUUGGCUUGUGAAGCAUUCCCCACAGCUAAUUGUCUUACAAAAGAUGUUAAUUCGGAGAUCUGCUGUUGGAUAGAGGACGUUUCCACCUCAUUCACCCUGCGCGUCGGGAUGUCCUCUCUUGAACCAAACUGUUGUGAGUUCUCAGCCAUCCCUUCAAUCAACUCCCAUGCUCCUCGAGGAGUUUUGUUCACCAACGCCCCUCCACUUGCAGCAUCGAUUAUGCUUCUGUCCCUGAAAAGCAACCCCUCAUAGAAAUAUUGAAUGAGCAGUUGCUCACUUAUCUGAUGCUGAGGGCAUUUGGUGCAUAGUUUCUUAAACCUCUCCCAGUACUCAUAGAGUGACUCGCCUGGGUGUUGUUUGAUGCCACAUAUCUCUUUCCUUAGGCUCGCAGCUCGAGACGCCGGAAAGUACUUGUCCAGAAAUUUUUUCUUCAAUUGGUCCCACGUGGUGAUACUACCAGGCGGUAGGUAGUAGAGCCAGUCUUUCACGGAGUCCUUCAAAGAGAAGGGGAAAGCCCUCAUCUUUAUUUGCUCUUCUGUAAUUCCCGGAGGCUUCAUACUGUUGCAAACGACGUCAAACUCUUGCAAGUGCUUGUAGGGCUCCUCACCUGGUAGACCAUGGAAAGAUGGCAAGAGAUGAAUUAAACCAGAUUUUAGUUCAAAGGGAGUGUCAUCAUUUAAAUUUGGAAAAGUAAUGCACAAGGGCUGCUGAUUUAAAUCAGGAGCAGCCAACUCCCUUAAUGUUCGUGUAUUUGCCAUAGUGACUUCCUCUUGGUCUGAAUCACUCGAAUUAUCACCAGACAAAUUUGUCGGCUCAACCUCUGGAUCAAGUCCCUGAGAUGCAAUACCGUAUUGCUCUUCUCUGAGCCGCCUGGUUUCUUUUCUCGUUCUACGCGCGGUUUUCUCUACUUCAGGGUGGAAAAUUAAUUCGCCUGUACGAGAAGAGCGAGACAUAAACUAGAAAAAAAAUACCAGAAAAUUAGAACAAAAAUGAACUUAAAAAGAAACAAAUAAUUAACGCCAGUCCCGGGCAACGGCACCAAAAAUUGACAGGUAUCGUGCCUGUGCAAUAAUAAAUACCUGCUUAAGAAAAAUAAAUUUUCUGUGUAUAGUAGUAAUCAGGGUCGAAUCCACAGGGACUGGAAAAAAUUUGAUUCUUUUUAAAUUCGAGACACGGGGGAUUUUUAUCAGAUAAAACUAAAAAUAAAUAAUUAAACAAUUUAACUAAAAAUAAUUAACCAAAAAAUAAAUAAUUAAUUAAUACAAUUGUAAAUAGCAAUUAAAUAAAUGAUAAAUAAAUUCUAGCCAAGGAUACAACUACGCAGACACAGUCCAUUCAUCCGAUCAUUGAUGCAAAGAAAGUUCACUUAAUUUAAUUAAUAGGCUAGUUAUAGUCGCCGAUAAGCUCUAACGACCAGUUUUUCCUUAAUUUAUUUAUAACCAAGGUACGACCAUUGAUUACCCCUAAUAAGGAAAUACUCCUAGGUACGACCGUAGGAAUUAAUUUCCUAAUUGCAUUAAAAACUAGAAAAGCCUAACCCAAAUUAAUAACACGCUACGAGGGUUAUUUAAAUCAGAUUGCAUGUUCCCCUAGUAUGUGAAAAUACUAAUUGUCACUAAUAUUAACCAACUAAAUAAUUACGGAUUUAAUUGAUUAAUUUGACAAGAGAUUAAUAAGUCAAAUUGCACAUCGGGCCCUUGAUAUCCAAUUAACAAAAUAAUCCCAUGGAAAUUAAAAUAGAAAACAUGCAAAUAUUAACAAAUUAAGGAACACGUAAAAUUAAUUAGAUCUCACAGAUAUAUGGGACUGCGUCGUCGCGUUGAUCCUUGACUAGAUGAGAAAAUUAGCCACGCCUCAUAAGAAAAUCUUCACACAAUUCAAUUGAAUUUAAAGACAUCAUCUUUCUUCGAUAAUUGAGAGAGUGAAUAAUAAAGCUUUCGGAAGAGAAUAAGAAAAUUGCACACUAGAAUUCAACAAACCAAAACAACUCCCUAUUCUCUCCUCUGGAACAUCCCUCGGAGAGAAAACUAAAAACUCCUCUAUUCUCCUCCGGAGCUUCUCUGGAGAGAAAACUCAAACUAGUCUAAUGUCUUCUGAAGCUCGUCCCAUUUCUUCAUAUAUAAAAAACCAGCCAAAAUGGAGACAUCACCCCACGUCCUUCAAAGAGGUCAUCAUUUCUCUACACAAUCAUUUCCAUUCCACUCAAAACAAAAGCAAUUGUCGGUUUUCUUUUUGACCAAGUGCACACGUUCACCAACAAGAAAGCAAAACCACAAAUGUGCAAAAAAAGCACACUUUAGACAAUACAACUUAUUUGCGGUCCCCACCAACUUUGACAUGUUGUCUAGCCAAAUUGAAUUCCCAAAUGCAAUUCCAUUCUUCUACGUUGGUUUGCACCAAAAUUGUGCAAAGUUUCACAAUAAUCUUCUCAAGAGGUUUCUGCUCCAAUUUCUGAAAUUAUAUCCAAAUACCAAAUAUAAAUAUAUAUUGACAAUUAAAGCAAAUUAAAGCAAUAUUUGGCAAGGAUAAAAAGGAAAAUUAACAAUAAAAUUACUAACAAUUAACACCCUAUCACCAAAUGAGAUAAUCACUUGAUGAAAUUUGAAAUACCAUUGUAGAGACAUUUCUUUGAGUCCAUAGAUGGAUUUUUUAAGUUUGCAAACCAUAUUUUUUGGAUCUCCUGAUACAAAGUUUUCUGGUUGCACUAUAUAAAUUGUCUCAUCAAUGUUACCAUUGAAAAACGCUGUCUUUACAUCCAUCUGAUGUAACUCAAGAUCGAAAUGUGCCACUAAUACCAUAAUAAUUUAAAAAGAGUCAUUUGAAGAGACUGGAGAGAAGGUUUCUUUAUAGUUGAUACCUUCUUUUUGUGUAAAUCCCUUAGCGACAAGAUGAGUUUUGUAUCUUUCCACAUUACCUUUCGAAUCCCUCUUGAUUUUAAAUAUCCAUUUACAACCAAUGGGUUUUGCACCUUCUGGCAAUGGGACAAGAUUCCAGACAUCAUUGUCCUUCAUGAAUUUAAUCUCCUCAUUCAUGGCAUCGAUCCACUCUUGAGAAUUUGAACUUUCCAUGACUUGACGGAAGUUGAUUGGAUCAUCUUCCAUCAAUCCAGAGUCAUCCUCAUGUUCUUGAAGAAAAACAAUGUAAUCAUCUGGUACUGCACUUCUCCUUUCUCUAGUGGAUCUUCUUAAUGGCAUUGGUUCUUGAAGAGGAAGAGUUUGUUCAUCUGUAACAGUUUGCUCUUUGACAUUGUUUUGAUUUGUCAUGUUAUGAUUAAGUUCAAAAAUAGGGUUCUGAACAAGAGCAAUGACACCUGUGGGAAUAUUAAUAUAUUUCUCUUUAAAAAUAAUGCCUCUUACUGUAUUUUCUCCCCCAAACUCGACAUCCUCAAAGAAUCGAGUAUUUCCUAUCUCAAAAAUUGAAUUAGCUGUGGGAUCAUAAAACUUGUAACCUCUGGAUCUUUCAGAAUAUCCAAUAAAAUAACAACUAAUCAUUCUUGAGUCCAGUUUCUUUUCAUUAGGCCUAUAAGGUCUUGCCUCCACUGGACAUCCCUAAAUAUGUAGAAACUGGGUUUUUUCCCAGUCCAAAGUUCAUAAGGGGUUUUGAUAGUUACUUUAGUUGGAAUUCUGUUAAGAAUAUAUGUUGCAGUCUUAAGUGUUUCUCCCCAGAGUGGCUCUAGUAAGGUAGAAUGACAUAUCAUACUCCUUACCAUGUCUUUAAGCGUUGUAUUUCGUCUUUCAGCUACACUGUUCAUAGUGGGUGAACCCGACAUAGUGUACUGUGGGACGAUACCGCAUUCCUCUAGAUAUUUAGCAAAUGAUCCUGGACAUUGUUCACCUGAACCGUCAUAUCUACCAUAGUACUCACCACCACGGUCAGAUCUGACGCUUUUAAUUCUUUUGUUGAGUUGAUUCUCAACUUCAGCCUUAAAAUUUUUGAACACGUCCAGUGACUGUGACUUUUCAGAAAUGAGAUAUAUGUAGCCAUAUCUUAAAAAAUCGUCUAUGAACGUUAUAAAAUAUUAUUGACCAUUCCAAGCAGAUGUGAAAAAUGGUUCACAAAUAUCCGUAUAUAUAAGUUCUAAAGUUCUAAGACGUCUGAAGACCGAUUGGUUUCAAAUCUCGUUUUAUUGAUUUGUUUCCCCUUUAUACAGUUAAUGCAAUCAUCAAAAUCUGUAAAAUUUAAGGGGUCGAGAAUUUCAUUUGACACAAGUCUUUCCAUUCUCCGUUUGGAGAUAUGUCCCAAUCUCUUGUGCCAUAAUGCGGUUGAAUUCUCAUUGGUUAAUUUUCUCUUUACUUCUCUAGUACUCAGAUGCAGAGAUUCAUUAAAUGAGCCAAUUGUAUUAAUUAAAUAUAGAUUAUUGUAGUGCAUUAAAGAAUCAGAACCAUCCAAUUUUGAAUCAUGAAACAAUUCAAAUUUUUCAUUUCCAAAUGAACAAGAAUAACUAAAUUUGUCCAAAGUAGAAAUAGAAAUUAAAUUCCGUCGAAAAGACGGUACAACAAAUGUGUCAUUGAGAUCCAAAUAAAAUCUGAUCUUUAACAAUAAUCUAAAAACUCCAAUUGCCUCAACUUGAACUGUUUUGCCAUCGCCCACGUAGAUAUAUCAUUCAUUAUCAUUAGGCUUUCAACAAUUCCGACAACCCUGCAUAGACACACUGAUGUGAGUUGUUGCACCAGAAUCUAAUCACCAUGUGUGUCUAGGUACCGAAGUUAAAUUAACCUCAUAACAAACCAAAUUAAUAAGCAUACCUUUCUUAGCACGCCAAGCGUGAUAGUUGGUGCAAUGCUUCUUUUGAUGCCCUUCAGCUCCACAGAAGAAAUAACUAUUCUUUCCCUGAUCAUUUGAUUUCUUUUGUUGUUUCUUUUGUGGCGCUGUACCUGUAGCUUCUUUUUUCUUCUUUCUUUUAAGUCCCUUACUUUUAUUAUUGGUGGUUGACACCAGAUGGGCACUUUCUGUCUGCUCUUGCUUCAACCUUUUCUCUUCCGCUACACAGUGUGAGAUGAGUUCAUUUAGAGACCAAGUCUCCUUUUGAUAGUUGCAACUCAUCUUAAACUGGCUAAAUUGUGUAGGAAUAGAUAUUAAAAUCAAAUGCACCAGUAACUCUUCAGAGAGUUUCAACUUAAGUGCAUUUAAUUUCGAAAUAAGAUGAGACAUUUCCAUGAUGUACUCUCUGAUAUUGUCUUUACCACUAUAUUUCAUUGAAACUAGGCAUGUCAAGAGCAUACUAACUUCAGCCUUUUCGUUCUUGAUAAAUCUUUUUUUAAUGUUCUGAAGGAACUCUUUAGCGGUUACAGUCUUUUCUGACAUUGUUCCCCUGAAUGCUUCUGUAACGGCUUUUUUAAUGAUCAUCAGACACAAGCGAUUUGAUCUCUCCUACCUCUCAUUAUUUCUUUUUUCAUCAAAGGUACUCUGAUCUGUAAGAGGUAGGGGGAGAAUCAAUCUUUAACGCAAGGUCGAGAUCCAUUACUCCAAGUACUAUCAAGAGAUUUUCUUUUCAGGACUUGAAGUUUGUGUCAUUCAACAUAGGAAUAUUAUUGAUGUUGGAAGUAAUAUUUGUAAGAUCAUUUGCAACUGAACAGAAAAUAUAAAAUAAUUAAGACUAUGCUUACAUAAACCAAAAUAAUAAUAAAUUUAAAUAAACGUAACCCUAUCUCAAGAUACAUAUGUUCCAUUAAUAUUUUGUCUUUGGACAAAAAUAUUAAUUUCUAAGUGAUAUCUUGGUGCAGUAAUAACUACUGAUAAUAAUAACAUAUCAAAAAUAAAUUUUUCUUUGGGCCAAUUUAUAAAUUACAUGUAAAAUCCAAAUGAUUAUCACGUAUUUAUUACUACAAGUGCACAUGUAAUUUUAUUAAAUAUUGACCUUCCUUUGGGCUGAUCAAUAUUCAUAAAAUUGCAAGUACCCAACUAGUUAUAUUUUAGAACAAAGUAAUUUCCAUAACAGAUGUCACUUUGGUGGCAUAUUAUUUCAAUUAAUUUAUUCUAAAAUAUAUAUAAUCAUACCAAUAUUCAAAUUUAAAAUUAUGCAAAUUAAACCAAAAAUUUUGAUCAAAGUCAACUUUGAUCAACUCUGAUCAAAACGUGGUCAAACCUGGUCAAUCUAGUCAAAUCUGAUCAAACCAGUCAAUUGGAUCAAGACUUAUUGGACUAAAAGUCCAUAUUCAUAAUUUGACCCAAAUUUAUCACACAAGCCCAAAAUUUUCUUGAAGUCCAUAAUGUCUUAUAAAACUAUAUAUUUAGUGGGCUAAACAUAUGGACUUUAGUAGGGCUUAAAUGUGUUAUUUAUCUUUAUUAGGGUUCACUCAAAUUAGAGGGAUCCUAAUUUCCUGAACAUAAAUACAAACAUAUUUAUAAACAAUGAAACAGGCCAAAGAGUCCAAUUAUAAACAAAUAGUUACAAGGGAUCAUAUCGAAUAUCAAUCUGGAUAAUAAACAACGAAUUGGUCAACUAAACAUCACUGCAAAUAGCCAAAGUUUGGUUAGUGGGACUUGACCAAAGCCAAAGAGAAGCAAAAGAAACUAUUUUGGCUUUCGGCUUUUAGCAUAGUAAGACAAUGGCCCACUACAAAGUCAUAUUCUUGCAUAUUUCAGCUUUCUGUUUCAGCUUUCUAUUUGAGAUAAGAAAAGGACAACUAUUUCACAAUUAAUUAAGAUCCCGAAAUACGUGCCAACUGGUGAUAGUAUGCUAAGUCAAAUUCUCCACAUAAUACCACACAACCAAGAUUUAGUUAUCAUGGGACCCGAAGUCAUAAGAGGUAUCAUAUCAAUUAUAAACAAACAAUUCAUCACGGAUGCUAUCAUGUUGUGACUUGGCCAGACCCACGGAACUAAAAAAUAAAACAUUAACAAAUAGAAACUUUGCCGACAUCAUAAACAACUAAAGUACUGGAAUCUAUGUGCCGCUUCGAUUCAUGUUUCAAUACAAAUUAAAAAUAAGCAUAUAUCCACAACCGAAUUCAAGAGGCACAUAUAUGUGUGUGUGUAUAUAUAUAUUAACAUAAAUUAUUAAGUCCAAAUUAUUCCUUAAUAAUCAACCAUAAAGGGCUCUGAUACCACUUGUUAGGGUGGCAAUUCAUAUUAACUUUUGGUGAAAACCAUCACCUAUUAAACCCAAAAUCUAUAUGGCGAUUAUUAAAAAAUAAAUUAAUAGUAAACAUAGUGGAAGCGUACCUGAAUUCAUAUCAAUAAAUUGAUAUAUGAAUCUCCAAAGAUAUUGGUGUGGCCGUCCAGGUCAACACGUAUUUACCGAUCCUUUGAGAGAAACCUUUAGUUUCUCUCUGGUAUCUUUCCUGACGAUGGGAUAUCAGGGAAGAGUUGUUUUGUGAUAUUAGGAAAUACAACAACUAGAAUGAUACUUAUGACCUGGGGACCAUAACCCUAUUUAUAGGUAAUAUUCCUGUUACCUUUUGGAGCCCUAUUUCAGCCCAUCAUAGAAAUUGGAGCCCAUAAGUCUCUAUACAUUAAAGGUCCACACCCUAUUAGAUUCAUUAAACCCAAACUAUAUUUGAUCACUUUAAUUGGGUUUAACCUUAAUUGACAGCUUGCAAUACAUAAUUAUUCACAUAUAAGUCUAAUGUUGGAUUAAGGAUCCAACAGACUUAACUGGGGAAAGCAAUAGGCUUUUGUCAAACUCGAAACUUUUGCUAGGAGCCUAGCAGUUCAACUUCCAAAUACAGAUGCAGAAAGCCUACUACUAUCAACAAUACUUAGUAUACUAGCAAAUAGAAAUCUUUCUUCUAGCCGUAGGAAGGACUCAAAGCAUCCUACAGCUCAUUGAAACUAGAUCAUCAUGAGCAUUUCAAUAUCUACUUUGUCCCUUUUUAUCUUACAUGCAAGUUUUGAAUAGCAUAGUCCAAUAUGUAUGUUAAUAGCAUGGUUAGCUAACAAAUAUCAUGCCUACUUCUUUGUUAAAGCUUCGAUGCUAUGGAAGCUAGCACUGAUAAAGUAUGAUUACGCAAGUAUUGAAAUAGUAUCAUCCAAAAAUAUUUGUUCAUUAUAAAUUUUAUAGGCCAAUCUCACGAAAAUACGUGAGGCCCCAUUGAAGUAGUUAUACUCAAUAUCCUAGUUAUUUUUACAUUAGGUUUCUUAGGAUUCCAUGCAAAAGUGAAAAAAAAGGAAAAGAAAAAAGGGACUGCACUGUCCAGUAGUUACCUCUAAAUCUAAUACAAUUUCACUUGUCCUUUCCAGAGGAGACUCUGCUGUUAGUUAGGUUUAGGAUGUAAAGUAAAAUGAAUCCAUGUCUUUCUCUAAAAGGAGGCAUGUAAUGUGCAUCUUUGGAAUUCAGAGAAAAAUAGUCGAUCAAUAAUAGACGCAAAUUAAGAAUCUAAUAGUUAGUUGGGUUUAGGGUAUGGGGCCUGGCCACCGCCUCGACUAACGAAUAUAUAUCCAGGUGGUCAGCCCAUAUCGUUAUUGGUCUCGGUACAACCAAGUUGACGCAUUACUUCGCAUGAUGUGACAUGUCCGUAUGGAUUAGUUGCUUUUAGGAGUGUUUUUAAAAUAUUUUAUUUAUAGUGUAUAUGAAAAAUUUUUAUUAUAAAUUUUUUUGAAAUACUUGAUAUAUUGUAUGGAUAAAAUGUUUUUUGAAUUGUUUUUAUUUGUGUGUUACUGUAGUAUUGUAUUUAAAAAACUUGUUUUUGAAAAAUAGCCCAAUUCAAAUGGAUGCGUUUAGAAGCCAACCUAGUAUUUUCUUGUGGCUGCCACUUUCGAGUGGCUUCUCCGACGGGGUUCUCGUCAGACCUCACAUUUUUCUUAAAUUAAAUUAGAGUAUAUUAUACAAAUGUUAUCGUUACGACAAAAAAAAAAUUCUCUAUGGCUAUUAAUGCACACCGAUUUCUCAAAAUCCAUAAUAAUAUCUGGGAUUAUAAAUACCCUCCCAUUCUAACACUCAAAGGUAACACAGCUUAUCUGCCUUUUUACUCACACUAGUAAUAGUUCACGUGCUUUGCACGUGAUUAUAAUAUCUUAAAAUAUAUUAUUUUUCAGAUACUAAAAUUUUUUUAUGAAAUUUUGAUCUUCAACAUCAUGAUAUAGUAUUUUUAUGUUAUUUAUUUUUUUAAGCUAGUUACUUUUAAAAAUUUUAUGAAAUGAAAAGAGGCAGAAAACAUUCAAAUGUAGUUGACAUAUCCCUUAGGAUUGAAUUUGAAAUCAUGAACCAAAUACUUUUUGAUUUAUAGCUUGAACUCCAACAUAUCAAAUAUUGAUAAUAUCAUGUUUUACCAAAAUUAUUGUAUAUUCAUGACUCUAUUGCAUAUAAACCACAAUCAUCACAAUUUUUUAUAAACGAAGAAUAUAAUUAAGUUAAAAAAAUAAACAUUAAUGUAAUUUGAUUUCUUUGUAUUAUGUUAAUUCUAUUUUUGUCAAUAAUGGAGUAUAAAUGAUCCACCACGUAAAGUUUUUUUGGCUUGUGCAUUCUAACAAUUGAAAUUUUAUAGAUAGAGAUAGUUGGAGUUUUUCUAUUUCCUUUUUCUUUAUUCAUGUUUUUAGCACAAUCCAAUGCGAAACAAGAGCAACAACAAGUCUACUUUUUUCAUAUGAGCACAAUAUUUUUUGUUUUAAUAUUAGUUUUUUUGAUGAUCAUGAAAUUGGAAAGAGAAUUGUGGCUAAUUAAUAAUUUUAAUAUUAAUUUUUUGUAUAUUGCCGUGAUUUAGUUUUUAAUUGCCAACUUUUAAUCCAUAACCACUAUCAUUAUUAUCAAUUAUUGGAAUGCAUUAAAUCUGUCUAAUUACAAUUGUCACUAUAAAUGAAAUUUACUUAAUUUUAAAGCUUUUCAUUUCAUAACUGCUUCCAUUAUUGACUAAUAUUGCAAUAUAAUAAAUAUAUGUAAUCAUUAGAAAAAUAAGAGUAUUUUGGAUAUCACCAAAAACAAUUUGGAUAUCAUUUUUAUUUUAUCAUUCUUCAUUUUAUAUUUACUCUUAUUAUAAUUCUUAUUUUAUCAUUAGAGAUGGUUUCUGACUUGAUGGAUGGAUUUGGUUUGCUCAAACCAAUACAAAUGAAGCAUUACUAUAUUAUUGCCAAUAACAAUGUUUGUCUUCCCCUGGAUAUCAGUGAUUUGGAUGUUGUCUUUGGUAUUACUUGAAUUGUAUUCUAACAUUUUAAUUCAUUUGCUAUUUACUUUAUGUCAUUUUAUAAAUAGUUUUCAAUUUUAUUUUAGUUUUUCUUGUUUUGAUCGGUUACUAUUAAUGAUAAUAGUGGUUUGUAUGGUGCUAUUUUAGAUUUCUUUUUUCUAGUUUAAUAUUGCUAUUUCAGUUAUAAAGGUGUCAUCAUUUUUUGUAUAUUGAAAUUUCAUUGGGUGUAACAUAAAAAAUUCUUCAUAUUGGUAAAAGUGCAUAAUUGUAAAAUUUGCUCGUGAUAUUUGUAUGAAAAUAUACAGAUGAAUAAAUGUUCUCUUCGUCUUGUAUGUUUCUUCAUUUUCUAGAGAGUAUCUGUAUUUUGACAUUGAUUAUUUUUUUUUUUACAAUCUUAACUAACAACUAAUGAGAAAUAUUUCAUGCUUCAAUUAAGAAAUCUUGAUACGUAUAAUAAUUGGAGAUGGAAUCCAAGGGUAGGUAAAUAGUUUUUAAUGAGAAAUUUUUUAUUAUAAUUACCAAUACCAUUAAAAUGUAAUCAAUUGGAGUGUUUUAUUUCUUUUAAUUAGUGCCACAUUAAAAUGUAAUAAUUCUAAUUAAAAGACAUGAGGGCAAUUUAGGGAUAACAAAAACUAAGAUAAAAAAGUGCUUACACUUGCACUCCCCAAUACCAACAUUCAUACUUUUUAUAUAGUAAUGAUAAACUCUCGAACUCCUAGUCACUAAUUUAGGUAUCGGAAUCAUUCCCGGGGCUUUAUUUAGGUAUCGGGAUCAUUCUCGGGAUAAAGCCCCGACCCGUGCCUUUAUUUUUCAUUGUGUUUGCAGGCAAGAAACUCGACUAAGACAGCUUUGCUCCGCCAGUUUCCUGCUCGAACAUAGGUCAUUAAUGAUUUUGUUAAGGACAUAGAAUCACCUGUUAACAUAUUUAAGGACAUAAAAUUUUCAUGAAUCACUAUACACUUUUUCGUAUAUGUAGAAACCAUGUUACUACGUCUGUUCAUACUAGGGCAUUUAGUAAUUAAGAAUUUGACUUUUUUGACAUUCUCUAAUUCGAAACAUAUACUAUUGGCGCUAUAAUAGAACAAGGGUUUUAGGAUUGAAGUGUCAAUUUUUUUGACACUCUUAAAAUUGAUUAAAGUGUUAAUUUUUUUUACAAGAUUAAAACUAAAUAUAGGGAGUAAUAAAUGUUAGCAUGUGCUAAUUUUUGGAAAGAUUGAAACUAAUGUGAGAAAAAAAAUUUAAAUGUAGAGGACAAUGGCCUUGUUUUCAAUUGAUUUUGAAAACCUGAUUUUAGCUUUUGAUCUUCAUAAAGCUAUUUCAUUGUAUUCUCAACUAAUUUUGAAAAUCUGAUUUUAGGCCCAAAAAGUUGAAAAUCAGAUUUUCAGGUCUUGAGGUGCUUUUGGGUUCUCUUUUUUUUUUUUUCUUUUUUCAUAUGGGCAAAAAUACCCUUCAAAUUUCAACAUAAUUACUAAACAACAUAACUUUUUAUGGUCUUUUUAUGUUCUUUCAAUUCUUAUCCCACUCAGAGAUUCAUCUAUGUGCCCCUUCUUUUCUCAUCUAAUAUUUAAUCUUCAUAAAAAAAUUUAAUUACAUCAAAAUUAUUUAAUUACACAAAAAUUUGUUUUUGUGGCAUAUAAAGGUAACAUGGUCCUUUUUGUUAAAAUUAGUUUUUUUAACUUUUUCUGAAAACACCUAUACCUCAAACGUAUUACUCCCUCCGUUACAUUUUGAUAGUCCUAUUUUUCUUUUUCAUCUAUCCCAAAUUAUAGUUCACUUUCCAAUUAAAAAAUAUAAUUAUCUUUUAAUUUCUCUAGAAAACCAUAAUUCAAUGUAGGUUGUUAUUAGUAUAAAUUACCUUAUUUAAUAUAGAUUGUUAACCUACCCCAUUUAAUACAUUUAGAUUUAAUGUGAAAUAAUGUAAAAUGGGGAUUGAUUCUUUCUUGACCGUCAAUUCAAGUUCCCAUAAACCAUCAAUUCAACUUUUCAUGAAUAAUUAAUAUAAAGUUGUACUCUAUUAAUGUAAGGUUAUUUUAUGAAAAUAGCAACCUUAAUUUGUUUUUCCAACAAAGUUAACUACUUUUUCUUAAACUGUAUGAAAGAAAAACUAAGACUUUUAAAAUGGGGCAGAGGGAGUAAAUUAUUAGUUGCAAACUUGUAAUUUACCGAGGGGACUCAUUAGAGAAAAUCUAUAAAAUAACGUGACAAGAAGUGAUCCUCAAAGAUACUUUCGGUUAUGUAUUUCAACAGUAAUAAAAGAUGAUCUAAGGGAUAAACCAAUAUAUGGUAAAUUUCCACAGUAAGAAAGCAUUCUUAGUGGUAAUGUGAUAUGCAGAAUGCUGAUGUGUUACAUGAAUUAGCUCAUAUGCUUGAUGCCAUUUCAACAGCAAUUUGAAAAAUCAUAAAUUUAACUACGUAAUCCAGGAAAAGGAAAAAAGAAGAAGAUAGAUACAGUGUAAAUUGAAGAUAUAGGUUCAAUCAAGAGUCAAUUAAAUACGAAAACAGAAAUAGCUAUUCCAUCUUCCAUGCUAUUAAGACAACAAUUGUUCUUGAAAUGACAGUUGUAACAAUAUUCUGGUUUAUAGCUCCUUGUUUCACAAUCAUAUAAAUUUAGGAUAAGUUCCAAAAUGCUCCUAAGAAAAAACUGCCCGAAAAUGAUUGUGAAAUUUGGAACUUAGGAGCAUUUUUUCUUUUUGAACGAUCUCAUGGAUAAAUUUAUCCAUCGAUUUGUCUCAUCUACGUUGACGACGAAAAUCUUGACAUAUUUGAUGAAUAUAAAGGAAAUCCGUGGAGAAUCUCUGCGCUAAUACGUGAAAAAGUUUCAUGAUGAAAACGUAUAGAUACCUGACGUGAAUGAACAAGUCACCAUCGCUGCCUUUACAAACGGAUUAGUGACGGAAGUAUUUAGUACCGAAGUACAUAGGGAGUAUCCCCAAACGCUUCAGGAGGUAUGGCUAAUACCUCGAUAAGGGCAUCCAAAAUGAGAAUGUUAAUGGCAUGAAGAAGGAAGCUCAGUUGAUUCGGACUAGCCAAAACCCUAGGAAAAGAAGGAAUCAUGGCCGAGGCGAAUCAGAACUAGACGGUUGAGAAGCACAGAGUUCCUCUUAUGACCGUUGAAGCGUCUUUGACAGGAUCACCAUGGGAAAACGACCCAUUCUCGAUUCUGAAUUAACCUUCCUUUAAUACAAACCGAUCACACAUCUUUACUGUGAUGGAACAACAUUACCUUGAUAGAUCUCCGUCAAAGAUGAACGAAAAAAGAGAGAAAAGGAAUGCUAACCUCUGCUGUGCAUACCACCGGAACAUCGGCCAUGAGACCAAAAACUACAACGACUUAAAAAAAGAAAUAAAAAAUCUGAAUAAGUAAGGACAUUUGAAACAAUUCGUUCGAGGUGAUGGAGGGUACGAUUGUCGGGAUAAUCGCUGGAUUCAAUAUUGGGAGAAUAGGCGAGAACAAAGAAACAAUAGUUGGGUUCUCCGGGACCCUUCCAGCUCCUCGAGAUGGAUCCCCUGAUUACGGGCCCAAUAUUGUAAGUAUCAUUGAUAGCAUUGUUGGUGGUUUGAUGGGGGGCGAUAGUCAAAACUUUCGAAAGAGAACAUAUAAGUUAAUCCAGAUCAUACAAAGGCAAGUUUUCGUCUCAUAGAGAUCAUCACAUAUGGCCCGAAUGAUCCAGUCUCGAAUGCAUCCAGCAACCAUGAUACCCUGGUGAUUGAGGUCCUUAUCAACAAUUAUAUCGUAAAAAAUGUGUAUGUCCACCCAAAAAUCUUGGUGGACGUCUUGCAUUACUGGACUCUAAAAAAUUUGAAAUUGACAGGUGACCAACUUGUCCCAAUACAGACCCCCUUAGUAAGAUUCAAGGGACACGCAGUCUUCCCCAAAGGGAUGAUUAUGUUGAUGACUGUCGAACGCCACCCGCACUACCAAAUUGUCCUCGUUAACUUCACUAUUGUUAAAGUCGACUCUCCCUACAAUUUGCUGAUAGAUCGGCCAACAUUAAAUGUUUUACGGGUUGUGUGCUCAACUUAUAAUCUAAUUUUCAAGUUUUCAACCCCGGCUGAUGUAGCCGAGAUGAGCAAUGAUGUGUAUGCAACUCGAGAAUAUUAUCUCGCUACCUUACAGGCAGCAGCCGCCUCAAGUACCGAGCCAAGAAUCGAGAGGAAACGACCAACUAUUUUGUCUAUAUGUUCCAUAGAUUAUCGCCAGACCGAAAAGUCUGAAAAACUUGAGAUCGGGGAUGAGGUUGAGGAAGUUGUUCUAGAUUUGCAGAGGUCGAAUCAGGUUGUCCGCAUCGGCACGAGUUUAUCCCCCACUCUCCGGAGUGAGAUGCUCAACAUCUUCAGGAAAUGCCGAAACAUCUUCGCUUUAAUCAGAGACUAUUCUCGAACUAGUUUAAAACAACCACUGUUGAACCAACAACAAAAGGUCAUUGAUCUACCGUUUCCCUAUUUUCAAAACUCAAAACUAUGGCAUCCUAUAACCUAAUAUCCGAUCAUCCUCCCCCUUCCCCACAAUCACAUGACGAAGAAAAAGGUUUCAAAGAAUCUGAAGUUGGAAAAAGGAAACAAAAAGUUCCUCAUGUUAAACCGCAAUUCCAAAUCAACAGAAUGUUCAAUGUUCAAAAACCAAUCGUCCCUCCACAUAAAUACUUUUCAGAUGCUGGAGAAGAAGAAAAAUAGGAUGAAGAGAAAGAAGAAGAGAACGACGAAUCAGAAAACUAUCCACAUUCUCCUUCUGCAUCAUUCUGCACAAUCAAGCAUAAAAAUAGUCCUACGAUUCCCACUUUCAAACACUCAAAAUCCAACUCAAAAUGCCCAUCAGCCAAUAAAAAUGACGAAAAAAGGUUUGAGAAGUGAAAAGGAGACUAAAUUUAUUGCUGAUGAAUCGAAUAAAGAUAAACUUUCAUAUGUUUCAGCCGCUACUACAUGCAUGGUUUGGAAUGAUGAGCAGGUGAUUAAAUUUUUCCAGUGUAUGAUUGAGUUUAAGACUAUGAAACGGGUUGAUACAGAUGCUGAUCCGGCUUCUUUUCAUGAGUUUGUGGAACAGGUGUUUUAAUUUAGAUAUUUCAAAAGUCGGGUAUAUGAGAAGGUGAGGCGCUUGUAGAUGAAGUAUUAUAAUAAUUUGAAAAAAUUUGACAAAGUUGGGAAGAAUACUGAUAUUUCCAAGGCUUAGUUUCAAACAUUAGAUCUUUCAAGACAGAUUUCAAAUGGUAGAGUUGGUGCUGGUGAUUUUGAGUCGACGUAUCAACUUUUAAGCCAGUCAUUUGAAGUAAAUUUCGGUGGCAUAAUGAAAUUUACAGGUUAAACAGCUGAUAAACUUAACUUCUUGAAAGAGAGCAUGCAUUUGAUUGCUGAUGACAUACCAAAGGGGUUGGAGAGAAAAAGGAAGACAUUGCAUGCGGUGCUCUUCUUUAAUAGUUUGGAAUUAAUGAAAGAGCAAACUGGUCUGGUGUUGGAAGCCACGAUGAGAAAGAAGUAAAUACCAAUUAGUGGUUGGUUGGUGUUGGGAAUAUGUUAUUCUACAGAAGUUAAUUUGACUGAGAGGAUUCUCAAAUCUAUGGAUAGGGUAAAAGAAGUUUCUGUUCUUGUUCCAACGAAAACAAUUAUUGUUCUCCAUGAUAACGUCCUCACUUCUCAACCGCAAAUAGGUAAUUGUCUUGAAAAGUUGAUUCUUUUACUGUUCCUUUGCAUUUUAUUUUUAUUUUUGUUUGCUCAGGGACGAACCAUUUUAGGAAUGCAAACAACUUGUUAUUCUGUUUUUGUUGGGUAGUCGAAGCACUGAACAAAGCAAGACUAGAAGCAAGUUGAGAGCGGUCAUCUCGGACCUAAUCGGUUUAAUGAUUGGCCGAGGAGGCCUUCUCUAAGCCUAUUCUACCUGGGCUCAUUGCCUCGUCUAUGUGGUUUAGAUCCAUAUUCCAAUAGUGGUGUCAUUUUGGCUCCGCCAGCCAUCUCUGCCCACUGGCACGUAACAUCCCGCUGAAAAAACUGACCACUGCAUAUGGAAUGACAUAACGUUGACGUGAUUGAAUGACAUAAUCACUAUUAUGUCCUAUCCGUUAAACCUGACACUAUCCUUGUCAGUGUCAUAUCCAUCAAAAAUAGAACUCAUCAUUUUUUUAACGAUCCUAUCUCCUAAAAAUACCCUUCCAUCCGUGAGAAAGAUACGCAUAUAGAGAAGUACACACACACUUGAGGUUCUUAAAUCAUUUUUAGUUUACGAUUGAAUACCCGAACAGACUUGAUCACUGGAGUAGGAUUGGUGGACAAAGUCCCGUACGUUGUAAAUUUGACAGGUGUAUUCGUUAGACUCCAGUAUUUCAGCCGAAAGUCACCUCUUCAAGUUGACUUGGUUCGACUGGAUCGAAAUCACAUCUUCAAUUGGCGCCGUUUGUGGGAAGCAAUAAGACUCUUCCAUAUGAAAUCCACGCGCUCUAGAAGUAAGAGAGUUCCCCCGACUGGGGCUGAACCAAGCUCUGCUGCCCAUCAAGAGGGCAGUCAAGAGAACCAUGAAUCUCAGCGAACUUUUCAACAGACAAACGAACAAGCCCUCGCAAGGAUGGCUGAGUUUGUGACUGCAAAUUUUGGUAUCUUUGAAGAAUUGGGAAGCUUCUUCAAGAGACAAGGAGAUGAGAAGGCCGAGUUUUCUCAACGUAAAUCGGUCAAAUCUCCUGAAAUUUUCCUCAGAAAAAGAGUUAGAUGAUAGGCAUGCGAAAGCCUUUCAAGCAUGCCUCCUCCAGGUCUACUUUCUUGAUUGCCUCUAUCUCAGAGCAUUCACUCAAGAUUUUCUCAAAAGACGUACUAGAGAGUUGUCUAGGCGUUCGGAGUGAUUGGCCACGGAUUAUGUUGGAGCGCCACUUUUUAUCGAUGACAUUAAUAGGGAUAUGGUUCCCCCCAACUUUAAAUUUUUUAUUUUACAGUCCUAUGGUAGGUGAGGUGAUCCAGAGGAUCAUCUUCAUGAUUUUAUCUCUAUUUUUAAGUUAUACUGUGUACCUGAUUCCAUUUUCUGUCCAGCUUUCUCCGUUUUCUGACAAGGAACUGCAUGAAAAUAAUUGUGAAAUUCGGAACUUAGGAGCAUUUUUUCUUUUUGAAUGAUCUCGUGGAUAAAUUUAUCCACCGGUUCGUCUCAUCUACGCUUAUGACGAAAAUCUUGACCUAUUUGAUGAAUAUACAGGAAAUCCGUGGAGAAUCUCUGCGCUAAUACGUGAAAAAGUUUCAUGAUGAAAAUGUACAUAUACCUGACGUGAAUGAACAAGUCACCAUCGCCGCUUUUACAAACGGAUUAGCGGCGGGGGUGUUUAGUACCGAAGUACAUAAGGAAUAUCCCCGAACGCUUCAAGAAUGAUGGCAAAUACCUCGAUAAGGGCAUCCAAAAUGAGGAUAUUAAUGGCAUGAAUAGAGAAGCUCAGGUAAUACGAACUAGCCAAAACCUUAGGAAAAGAAAGGAUCAUGGCCGAGGUGAAUCAGAACUAGGCGGUUGAAAAGCACAGAGUUCCUCCUAUGACCGUCGAAGCGCCUUUAACAGGAUCACCAUGGGAAAACAACCCAUCCUCGAUUCUGAAUAAACCUUCCUUCAAUACAAACUGAUCACGCAUCCUUACUGUGAUGGAACAACAUCACCUUGAUAGAUCUCCGUCAAAGAUGAACGAAAAAAGAGAGAAGAGAAAUGCUAACAUCUACUGUGCAUACCACCGGAGUAUCGGCAUGAGACCAAAAACUACAAUGACUUAAAAAAAGAAAUAAAAAAUUUGAUUAAGUAAGGACACUUGAGACAAUUCGUUCGAGGUGACGGAGGGUACGAUUGUCAGGAUAAUCGCUGGAUUCAAUUGCGGGAGAAUAGGCGAGAAUAAAGAAACAAUAAUUGGGCUCUCCGGGACCCUUCCGGCUCCCCGAGAUGGAUCCCCUGAUUACGGGCCCAAAAUUGCAAAUAUCAUUGAUAGCAUUGUUAGUGGUCUGAUGGGGGGCGAUAGUCAAAACUCUCGAAAGAGAACAUAUCGGCAAGUUAAUCCAGAUCAUACAAAGGCGAGUUUUCGUCUCACAGAGAUCAUCACAUAUGGCCCGAAUGAUCCAGUCCCGAAUGCAUCCAACAAUCAAGAAACCCUAGUGAUUAAGGUCCUCAUCAACAAUUAUAUCGUAAAAAAUGUGUAUGUCGCCCCAAAAAUCUUAGUGGACGUCUUGUAUUACCGGACUCUCGAAAAUUUGAAAUUGACAGGCGACCAACUUGCCCCAAUACAGACCCUCUUAGCAAGAUUCAAGGGACGCAUAGUCUUCCCCGAAGGGAUGAUUACGUUAAUGACUGUCGAACGCCACCCGCACUGCCAAAUUGUCCCUGUCAAUUUCACUAUUGUUAAAGUUGACUCUACCUACAAUUUUCUGAUAGAUCGGCCAACGUUAAAUAUUUUGCGGGUUGUGUACCCAACUUAUAAUCUAAGUUUCAAGUUUUCAAUUUCGACUGGUGUAGCCGGCGUGAGCAAUGAUAUGUAUGCGACUCGAGAAUAUUAUCUCGUUACGCUACAGGCUGUAGCCGCCUCAAGUACCGAGAGGAAGCGACCAACUAGUUUGUCUAUAUAUUCCAUUGAUUAUCACUAGACCGAAAAGUCUGGAAGGCUUGAGAUCGUAGAUGAGGUUGAGGAAGUUGUUCUAGAUUCGCAGAGGCCGAACCGGAUUGUCCGCAUCGGCACGAGUUUAUCCCCCACUCUUCGGAGUGAGAUGCUCAAUCUCUUCAGGAAACGCCAAAACGUCUUCGCAUUAAUCAGAGACUAUUCUCGAACUAGUUUAAAACAACCACUGUUGAACCAACAACAAAAGGCCAUUGAUUUACCGUUUUCCUAUUUUCAAAACUCAAAACUAUGGCAUCCUAUAACCUAAUAUUCGAUCAUCCUCCCCCUUCCCCACAAUCACAUGACGAAGAAAAAGGUUUCAAAGAAUCUGAAGUUGGAAAAGGAAACAAAAAGUUCCUCAUGUUAAACCGCAAUUCCAAAUCAACAGAUUGCUCAACGUUCAAAAACCAACCGUCCCUCCACAUAAAUGUUCUUCAGAUGCUGGAGAAGAAGAAAAAGAGGAUGAAGAGAAAGGAGAAGAGGACGACGAAUCAGAAAACUACCCACAUUCUCCUUCUGCAUCAUUCUGCAUAAUCAAACAUAAUAAUAAUCCGGCGAUUCCCACUUUCAAACACUAAAAAUCCAUCUCAAAACGCCCAUCAGCCAACCAAGAUGAUGAAAAAAGGUUUGAGAAGUGAAAAGGAGACUAAAUUUAUUGCUGAUAAAUUGGAAAAAGAUAAACAUUCAUCUGUUUCAACCGCUACUACAGGCAUGGUUUGGAGCGAUGAGUAAGUGAUUAAAUUUCUCCACUGCAUAAUUGAGUUUAAAACUAAGAAACGGAUUGAUGCAGAUGCUGAUCCAGCUUCUUUUCAUGAGUUUGUCGAACGGGUGUUUCAAUUUAGAUAUUUCAAAAGUUGGGUAUAUGAGAAGGUGAGGCAUUUGUAGAUGAAAUAUUACAAUAAUUUAAAAAAAUUUGACAAAGUUGGGAAGAACACUGAUAUUUCCAAAGCUUAGCUUCAAACAUUGAAUCUUUCAGGACAGAUUUCAAGUGGUAGAGUUGGUGCUGGUGAUUUUGAGUCGAAAUAUCAACUUUUAAGCUAGUCAUUUGAAGUAAAUUCCGAGGGCAUAAUGAAAUUUACAGGUUAAACAGCUGAUGAACUUAACUUCUUGAAAGAGAACAUGCAUCUGAUUGCUGAUGACAUACCAAAGGGGUUGGAGUGAAAGAGGAAGACAUUGCUUGCGGUGCUCUACUUUAAUAGUUUGAAAUUAAUGAAAGAGCAAACUGAUCUGGUGUUGGAAGUCACGAUGAGAAAGAAGUAAAUACCUAUUAGUGGUUGGUUGGUGUUGGGAAUAUGUUAUUCUACAGAAGUUAAUUUGACUGAGAGGAUUCUUAAAUCUAUGGAUGGGGUAAAAGAAGUUUCUGUUGUUAUUCCAACAAAAAAAGUUAUUGUUCUCCAUGAUAACAUCCUUAUUUCUCAACCGCAAAUAGGUAAUUUUCUUGAAAGUUUGAUUCUUUUGCUGUUCCUUUGCAUUUUAUUUUUAUUUUUGUUUGCUCAGGGACGAACCAUUUUAGGAAUGCAAACAACUCGUUAUUCUAUUUUUGUUGGGUAGUCGAAACACUGAACAAAGCAAAAUUGGAAGCAAGUUGAGGGCGGUCAUCUCGGAGCUAAUCGGUUUAAUGAUUGGCCGAGGAGGCCUUCUCUGGGCCUAUUAAACCUCGGUUCGUUGCCUCGCCUAUAGGGCUAAGAUUAGUUUUCCAAUGGUGAUUGUCAUUUUGGCUCUGCCACCCACCUACGUCCACUGGCACCUAACAUCUCGCUGAAAAAACUGACCAUUGCAUAUAAAAUGACAUAAUGUUGACGUGAUAGAAUGACAUAACCACUACUAUGUCCUGUCCAUUAAGCCUGACACUAUCCUUGUCAGUGUCAUAUCCAUGAAAAAUAGGGUCAACAUUCUUCCCACGAUCCUGUCUCCUAAAAAUACCCUUCCAUCUGUGAGAAAGGCACGUGCAUAAAGAAACACACACACUUGAGGUUCUUAAAUCAUUUUUAGUUUGCGAUUGAAUACCCGAACAGACUUGAUCAUUGGAGUAGAAUUGGGGGACAGAGUCCGGGAUGUUGUAAAUUUGACAUGUGUUUUCUUUGGACUCUAGUAUUUCAGCCGAAAGUCACCUCUUCAAGUUGACUUGGUUCAACUAGAUCGAAAUCACAUCUUUAAUUGGCGCCGUUUGUGGAAAACAGUAAAACUCUUCGAAAUGAAAUCCACGCACUCUAGAAGUAAGAGAGUUACCCUGACUGGGGCUGAGCCAAACUCUGCGGCCCAGCGAGAGGGCAGUCAAGAGAACCAAGAAUCUCAGCAAACUUUUCAACCGACAAACAAAUAAGACCUUGCAAGGAUGGCUGAAUUUGUGACUGAAAAUCCUGGUAUUUUUGAAGAAUUGGAAAACUUCUUCAUGAGACAAGGAAAGGAGAAGGCCGAGUUUUCUCAGCGUAAAUUGGUCAAAUCUCCUAAAAUUUCCCUAAAAAAAAAAGUUAGAUGAUAGGCAUGCGAAAACCUUUCAAGCAUGUCUCCUCCAGAUCUACCUUCUUGAUUGCCUCUAUCUCGAGAGCAUUCAAUCAAGAUCUUCUCGGAAGACGUCCUAGUGAGUUGUCUAGGCGUUCGGAGGGAUUGGCCACGGAUUAUGUGGGAGCGCCACUUUUUAUUGAUGACAUUAAUGGAGAGAUGGUUCCUCCCAACUUUAAACUUUCGAUUUUGCAGUCCUAUGAUAGGUGAGGUGACCCAGAGGAUCAUCUCCAUGAUUUUAUCUCUAUUUUAAAGUUAUAGUGUGUACCCGAUUCCAUUUUCUAUCCAGCUUUCUCCGUUUUCUUACAAGGAAUUGUCCGAAAAUGGUUGUGAAAUUUGGAACUUAGGAGCAUUUUUUCUUUUUGAACGGUCUCGUGGAUAUAUUUAUCCACCGGUUCAUCUCAUCUAUGCUGACUACAAAAAUCUUGACCUAUUUGAUGAAUAUACAGGAAAUCCAUGGAGAAUCUCUGCGCUAAUACGUGAAAAAGUUUCAUGAUGAAAACAUACAGAUACCUGACGUGAAUGAACAAGUCACCAUCGCCGUCUUUACAAACGAAUUAAUGGCAGGGUGUUUAGCACCGAAGUACAUAGGGAAUAUCCCCGAACGCUUCAGGAGGUAUGGCAAAUAUCUCGAUAAGGGCAUCCAAAAUGAGGAUGUUAAUGGCAUGAAGAGGGAGCUCAGGUGAUUCGGACUAGCCAAAACCCUAGGAAAAGAAUGGAUCAUGGCCGAGGCGAAUUAGAACUAGGCGGUUGAAAAGCACAGAGUUCUUCCUAUGACCACCGAAGCGUCUUUGACAGGAUCGCCAUGAGAAAACAACCCAUUCUUGAUUCUGAAUUAACCUUCCUUUAAUACAAACCGAUCACGCAUCCUUACUGUGAUGGAACAACAUCACCUUGAUAGAUUUUCGUCAAAGAUGAACGAAAAAAGAGAGAAGAGAAAUGCUAACCUCUACUGUGCAUAAGACCGGAAUAUUGGCCAUGAGACCAAAAACUACAACGACUUAAAAAAAGAAAUAAAAAAUCUGAUUAAGUAAGGACGCUUGAGACAAUUUGUUCGAGAUGAUGGAGGGUAUGAUUGUCGGAAUAAUCGCUGGAUUCAAUAGCGGGAGAAUAGGCAAAAAUAAAGAAACAAUAGUUGGGCUCUCAGGGACCCUUCUGGCUCUCCGAGAUGGAUCCCCUGAUUAUGGACCCAAUAUUGCAAGUAUCAUUGAUAGUAUUGUUGCUGGUCUGAUGGGGGGUGAUAGUUAAAACUCUCGAAAGAGAACAUAUCGGCAAGUUAAUCCAGAUCAUACAAAGACGAGUUUUCGUCUCACAGAGAUCAUCACAUUUGGCCCGAGCGAUCCAGUCUCGAAUGCAUCUAGCAACCAUGAAACCCUGGUGAUUGAGGUCCUCAUCAACAAUUAUAUUGUAAAAAAUAUGUAUGUAGACCCAAAAAUCUUGGUAGACGUCUUUUAUUACUGGACUCUCGAAAAUUUGAAAUUGACAGGAUACCAAUUUGCUCCAAUACAGACCCCUUAGUAAGAUUCAAGGGACAUGUAGUCUUCUCCGAAGGGAUGAUUACGUUGAUGACUGUCGAACGCCACCCCACUGUCAAAUUGUCCCCAUCAAAUUCACUAUUGUUUAAGUCGACUCUCCAUACAAUUUACUGAUAAAUCAGCCAACGUUAAAUAUUUUGCGGGUUGUGUACUCAACUUACAAUCUAAAUUUUAUGUUUUCAAUCCCGGUUGGUAUAAUCGUGGUGAGAAAUGAUGUGUGUGCAACUCGAGAAUAUUAUCUCGCUACCUUAUAGGUUGCAGCCGCCUCAAGUGCCGAGCCGAGAACCAAGACGAAGCGAUCAACUAUUUUGUCUAUAUAUUUCAUAGAUUCUCACCAUACCGAAAAGUUUGAAAGGCUUGGGACGGGGGAUGAGGGUGAGGAAAUUGUUCUAGAUUCGCAGGGGCAAAACCAGGUUGUCCGCAUAGGCACGAGUUUAUCCCCCACUAUCUGGAGUGAGAUGCUCAAUCUCUUCAGGAAACGUCGAACCGUCUUCGUUUUAAUCAGAAACCAUUCUCGAACUAGUUUAAAACAAUCACUGUUGAACCCACGACAAAAGGCCAUUGAUCUACCGUUUUCCUAUUUUCAAAACUCAAAACUAUGGCAUCCUAUAAUCUAAUAUCCGAUCAUCCUCCCUCUUCCCCACAAUCACGUGACGAAGAAAAAGGUUUCAAAGAAUCUGAAGUUGGAAAAAAGAAACAAAAAGUUCCUCAUGUUAAAUCGCAAUUCCAAAUCAAAAGAAUGUUCAAUAUUCAAAAAUCAACCGUCCCUCCGCAUAAAUACUCUUCAGAUGCUUGAGAAGAAGAAAUAGGAUGAAGAGAAAGGAGAAGAGGACGACGAAUCAGAAAACUGCCCACAUUCUCCUUCUGCAUCAUUCUGCACAAUCAAACAUAAUAAUAGUCCUGCAAUUCCCACUUUCAAACGCUCAAAAUGCAACUCAAAAUGCCAAUCAGCCAACAAAAAUGAUGAAAAAAGGUUUGAGAGGUGAAAAUGAGACUAAAUUUAUUGCUGAUGAAUCGAAGAAAGAUAAUCUUCAUUUGUUUCAACCGCUACUGCAGGCAUGGUUUGGAGCGAUGAGCAGGUGAUUAAAUUUUUCCAGUGCAUGAUUGAGUUUAAGACUAAGAAACGGGUUGAUGUAGAUGCUGAUCCGGCUUCUUUUCAUGAGUUUGUCGAACAGGUGUUUCAAUUUAGAUAUUUCAAAAGUCGGGUAUAUGAGAAGGUGAGGGGCUUGUAGAUGAAGUAUUAUAAUAAUUUGAAAAAAUUUGACAAAGUUGGGAAGAACACUGAUAUUUCUAAGGCUUAGCUUCAAACAUUGAAUCUUUCAAGAUAGAUUUCAAGUGAUAGAGUUGGUGCUGGUGAUUUUGAGUCGAAAUAUCAACUUUUAAGCCAGUCAUUUGAAGUAAAUUCCAAGAGCAUAAUGAAAUUUACAGGUAAAACAGCUGAUGAACUUAACUUCUUGAAAGAGAACACGCAUUUGAUUGCUGAUGACAUACCAAAGGGAUUGGAGAGAAAGAGGAAGACAUUGCAUGCGGUGCUCUUCUUUAAGAGUUUGGAAUUAAUAAAAGAGCAAACUGGUCUGGUGUGUUGGAAGCCACGAUGAGAAAGAAAUAACUACCAAUUAGUGGUUGGUUGGUGUUGGAAAUAUGUUAUUCUACAGAAGUUAAUUUGACUGAGAGGAUUCUCAAAUCUAUGGAUGGGGUAAAGAUGUUUCUGUUGUUGUCCCAAUGGAAACAGUUAUUAUUUUUCAUGAUAACGUUCUCACUUCUCAACUACAAAUAGGUAAUUUUCAUGAAAGAUUGAUUCUUUGUUGUUCCUUUGCAUUUUAUUUUAUUUUUGUUUUCUCAGAGACGAACCAUUUUAGGAAUACAAACAACUUAUUAUUCUAUUUUUGUUGGGUUGUCGAAGCACUGAACAAACCAACAUUAGAAGCAAGUUGAGGGUGGUCAUCUCGGCCCUUAUCGGUUUAGUGAUCGGCCGAGGAGGCCUUCUCAGAGUUUAUUCCACCUCGACUCAUAGCCUCGCUUAUGGGGCUGAGAUCAAUCUUCCAAUGGUGGUUCUCAUUUUAGCUUGGCCACCUAUCUCCGCUCUCUGGCACCUAAUAUCCCAUUAAAAAAGCUGACCUCUGCAUAUAGAAUGAUAUGGCGUCGACGCGAUAGAAUGACAUAACUACUACUAUGUCCUGUCCAUUAAGACUGACACUAUCUUUGUCAGUGUUAGAUCCAUAGAAAAUGAGAGUCAUUAUUGUUCCCACGAUCCUAUCUCCUAUAGAUACACUUCCAUCCGUGGGAAAGGUAGGUACAUAGAAUAAUACACGCACACACUUGAGGUUCUUAAACCAUUUUUAGUUUGCAAUUGAAUAUCCGAACAGACUUGAUCAUUGGAGUGGAAUCAAGGGACAGAGUCUCGUAUGUUGUAAAUUCGACAGGUGUAAUCUUUGGACUCCGCUAUUUCUAGCGAAAGUCACCUGUUCAAGUUGACUUAGUUCAACUAGAUGGAAAUCACAUCUUCAAUUGGUGCCGUCUGUGAGAAGCGAUAAGAAUCUCCGAUAUGAAAUUCAUGCUCUCUAGGAGUAUGAGAGCUCCCCCUACUGGAGCUAAACCAAGCUCUGCGGCCCAGCGAGAUGGCAGUCAAGAGAACCAAGAACAUCAGCGAACAUUUCAACCGACAAACAAAGAAACCAUUACAAGGAUGGCUGAUUUUGUGACUGAAAAUCCUGCUAUCUUUGAUGAAUUGGGAAGCUUCUUCAAGAGACAAGAAAAGGACAAGGCCGAGUUUUCUAAACGUAAACUGGUCUAAUCUCCCAAAAUUUUUCUCAGAAGAUGAGUCAGAUGAUAGGCAUGCAAGAGCCUUUCAAGUGUGCCUCCUCUAGGUCUACCUCCAAGAUUGCCUCUAUCUUGAGGGUAUUCACUCAAGAUCUUCUCGGAAGACGUCCUAAUGAAGUACCUAGGAGUCCGGAGGGAUUGGCCACGGAUUAUAUAAGGGCGCCACCUUUUAUCGAUGGCAUUAAUGGGAGAUGGUUCCCCUCAAUUUUAAAUUUUUGAUUUUGCAGUCCUAUGAUGGGUGAGAUGACCCAGAGGAUUAUCUCCAUACUUUUAUCUCCAUUUUCAAGUUAUACUGUGUACCUGAUUCCAUUAUUUGUCCAGCCUUUCCCGUUUUCUUGCAAGGAACUGUCCAAAAAUAUUUGUGGAAUUUGGAGCUUAGGAGCGUCUUUUUUUUGGACGAUCUCAUGGAUAAAUUUAUCCACCGAUUCGUCUAAUCUACGUCGAUGACGAAAAUCUUGGCCUACUUGAUGAAUAUAUAACAAAUCCAUGGAGAAUGUUAUAUCCAUGGAGAAUCUCUGCGCCAAUCCAUGAAAACAUUUCGUGAUUAAAAAAUAUACAGAUACCUGAGUUGAAUGAACAAGUCAUCAUCGUAGCCUUUACAAAUGGAUUAGUGACGGGGAUGUUUAGCACUGAAGUACAUCAGGAGUAUCCCCGAAUAUUUCGGGAGUUAUAGCAAAUGGUAAAUAAGGACAUCCAAAUUGAGGAUGUUAAUAGCACGAAAAGGAAAGUUCAAGCAAUUCGGACUAACCAAGACCCUAGGAAAAGAAAGUAUCAAGGUCGAGGCGAAUCAGAACCAAACAGUUGAGAAACACAGAGUUCAUCUCCGAUUCUAAAUUAACACCCCCUUAAUACAAACGAUCACGCAUCCUUACUGUGAUUGAACAACAUCACCUUGAUUGAUCUCCGUCAAAGAUGACCGAAAAAAGAGAGAAGAUGAAUGCUAACCUUUACUGUGCAUACCACCGGAAUAUCGGCCAUGAGACUGAAAACUGCAACGAUUUAAAAAAAGUAAUAAAAAAUCUGAUCAAGUAAGGAUACUUGAGCCAAUUCGUUCGAGGUGAUAGAGGGUAUGACUGUCACCGACUGAUAUAGCCGAGUUAAGCAAUGAUGUAUAUGCAGUUCGAGAAUAGUAUCUCGCUACCUCACAGGCUGCAGCCGCCUCAAGUACCGAGCUGAGAAGCGAGGGGAAGCGACCAAAUAUUUUGUCUAUAAAUUCUAUAGAUUCUUACCAAAUUGAAAAGUCUGAAAGAUUUGAGACCGGGGAUGAGCUUGAGGAAGUUGUUCAAGAUUCGCAGAGACAGAACCAAGUUGUCUGCGUCGACACGAGUUUAUCCCUCAUUCUCCGGAGUGAGAUGAUCAAUCUCUUCAGGAAACGCCGAAACAUCUUCACCUAAACCAGAGACCAUUCUCGAACUAGUUUAAAACAACUACUGCUAAACCAACAACAAAAGGCUAUUCAUCUUCGUCUCCCCUAUUUUCAAAAUUCAAAAUCAUGGCAUCCUAUAACCUAAUAUCCGAUCAUCCUUCCCCUUCCCCACAAUCACAUGAUGAAGAAGAAUGUUUCAAAGAAUCUCAAGUUGAAAAACACAAAUAAAAAACUCCUCAUGUUAAACCGCAAUUUUAAGUCAACAUAAUGUUUAGUGUUCAAAAACCAACCGUCCCUCCACCUGAAUACUCUUCAGAUGUUCGAGAAGAAGAAAAAGAUGAUGAAGAAAAAGAAGAAGAGGACGACGAAUCAGAAAACUGCCCACAUUCUCCUUUUACAUCAUUCUCCACAAUCGAGCAUAACAAUAGUCCAGCCAAACCCACUUUCAAAUACUCAAAAUCUAGCUGAAAACACCCCUCAGCCAACAAAGAUGACAAAAAAAGAUUUGGAAAGUAAAAAGGAGGCUAAAUUUAUUGCUGAUGAAUCAAAGAAAGAUAAACCUUCUUCAGUUUCAGCGCUACUACAGGCAUGGAUUGGAGUGAUGAGCAGGUAAUUAAACUUCUCUAGUGCAUGAUCGAGUUUAAGGCUAAGAAACGAGUUACUGCUGAUGCUGACUCGGCUUUUUUCAUGAGUUUGUCGAACGAGUGUUUCAAUUUAGAUAUUCCAAAAGUCCGGUAUAUGAGAAGGUGAUACGUUUGAAAAUGAAAUGUUGCAAUAAUUUGAAGAAAUUUGAGAAAGUUGGGAAGGACACUGGUAUUUUCAAGGUUGAGUUUCAAACAUUGAACCUUUCAAAAUAGAUUUCAAGUGAUAGAGUUGGUGCAGGUGAUUUUGAGUCGAAAUAUCAACUUUUAAGCCAGUUAUUUGAAGUAGAUUCCAGUGACAUAAUGAAAUUUGCAAGUACAACUACUAAUGAAUUUAAUUUCUUGAAAGAGAACAUAUAUUUUAUUGCUGAUGACAUACCAAAGGAGUUGGAGCGAAAGUGAAAGACAUUGCAUGCGGUACUCUUCUUUAAGAGUUUGGAAUUAAUGAAAGAGAAAAUUGGUCUGAUAUUGGAAGCCACGAUGAGAAAGAAGUAAAUACCAAUUAGUGGUUGGUUGGUGUUGGAAAUAUGUUGUUCUUCAGAAGUUAAUUUGACUUAGAGGGUUUUAUAAUCUAUGGAUGGGGUAAAAGAUGUUUCUGUUGUUGUCCCAACAAAAACAGUUAUUGUUCUUCAUGAUAACGUUCUCACUUCUCAACUGCAAAUAAGUAAUUUUCUUGAAAGAUUGAUUCUUUUGCUGGUCCUUUGCAUUUUGUGAGGACCCGUAAAUCUUCCUUAUUUCAUAAUAUUUUUAUUUUAUUUUCUCGCAUGCAUUUUCUUCAUUAUACCCUAUUAUAUUGAUUUUCCAGAGAUUUUUAUAAGUGAGUAGAGUUUUCAAAUCAUUUUCCUAAUUUAAGUUAGUUCAUAUUAAGUUUGAAGCGUAUUAUGGAUGUGGGAUCCGCUAGUGCGUUAAGUGCGAUAAAUUUUUGUCGAUUAAUUGAAGUUUUGUAUCAAGAAAUAUUAUUUUACAAGGUGAUAGGAAAUAAUUAGAGGUUACCUAGAGGGAUUAACCAUUGGAAGACAACAAGAUAAGGAUUAACCCUUGGAUGCCAUUUGUCCUUGAAACAUUGGACCUUAACUUUGACUUGGACUUGUCUUAACCUUUGCUAAACCAAAUUUUGACCCAAUUUCUUUCCAUUUUCAUUGUCUUGGCCGAAAUUUAUGGAGAGGAAAGAACGAGAGAGUUUCUUCAAUUUCAACUUCAAUUCUUGCUCAAAUCUUGAGUUUCAACCGUUGAAUUAUCAAAUUACUCCAUCCAAGUUGCUUACUAAGGAGGAUUAAAGCUUCUAGUUGAGGGAUUUGUGAAGGAAAAAUCCUACGUUAUCAUCUUUCUUGAGGUGUCAAGGUACUUUGCUUACAAACUUUCUCUUUACUUCAAUUAAUUGAUAAGUAGUGGCUUAUAAUUGUUAUAGAUGCUACUUUGUGGAAAUUUCAUAGAUUAAAGUGGAGUUAGCUAAAUUUCUGAUUUUUUUGAGAUUUUUCUAUUUUCAUAUGAUGAUUAUGGUUGGCCUUGGAUUGAUGACUCUAAAUUGUGUUAAAUGGAUCCCUUGUGCGUUAAUUGCGGUUAUUUACGAAAAAUUUCAGAUUGUGCGGAAAAUUUCAGCUUAGGGUUAGUAAUCUGUCCUGAUUUUGCACUGCAUGUUCAUUCUUGAAGAAGGCCGAAUCAGCCCUUGCCCAAAACAGGAAAGUUGUUGGUAAUUGAGUUAGCUAGCUACCUAUAAAUUUUAAACUCAAUAGGAGCACUGUAACAUGUGAAAUGACUGAAAUACCCUUGACUGCACAUAAACCCUGUUUCGCGGAUAGAUUUCUGUUUUCGUGGAGUUUUCCAUUUUUGACCAUGAAAAUGCAUGAUUUGACUUUUGAGGUCUUCAUAAGAAAUGUAGGUAUAUGUCUUGGUUUCGAAAUUCCAUAAGAUUCGUUUCAAUCCGAUAAGGGUAGUUUCAGUUAUGGAUAUUGUGCCAAAAGGUGUAUUUGAUCAUUUAUGAUGUGUAUGUGGUUAAUUUGAGAUGAAUUGGUGUUGCUUGUAGGAUGAAAAAGUAAGGAAAUUAAGGGGAUAUGAUGUUCGAUCUUUGAAAGCGUUUGAUUGCUUUGAGUUUGACUUGAAGGGUCUGGACUUGAGCAAGGUAAGGAUAUAUGAUGGAUGAUUCCUGAGCUGUGGUUGGUGAGUGACCCCAAACUAUUUUCAAAGCUACUUAUGAAUUGUUUCUUGCAUUAUUUACUCGAUUGCAUAUCAUGUGUGCUUGCAUGUGAGUUCAUGACAUGUUUUGGUUCAAAGGAGUACUUGGAAUUCGUGUGCUUAGAACCAAUGUCUCCACCACUGUUUACCUGGAGCAAAUGGCUCCCUAUCACUGUUUCACUGUUAACUGAUCAACUUGAGCGUUGGAGGUCUAAGUACCAUGAUUUCACUGGCUCACGAGAGCAAUAAAUGUACAUUUGAUUACUGAUUCAUGACAUCAUUGAAAUGAACUAUUAUGAAACUGAUUUGAUUACUGAUUCGACUGGUUACUCACUGAGCUUCUAACUUACGCCAAAAAUAUUUUAUUCCCCUCCACAGGGCUCGAGGCGAAAGAAGGGCUUAUAGUACUUAUUCACGUGACUGGAUGGCAUAUAUCUUGUACAGUUUAGAUUUGGAUUCAUUUUGUGUAAUCGUUGGGCUAGUGUGACUGUAUGGAAUUGAAGUGGAUGUAUGUGUACCUUCCACGCUUAGAAUUAGUUUCCGUUUCACUUAUGAUAUGUAAUUCUUGGAAAAUUUGAUGUAAUAUUUGAGAUUUAUAUUGUAAUUUGUUUGAGCACUGUAAUGAGUGAGUGAGUCCCGGCGAGAGUUAGGCAGUCGGUCCGCCGAAACCUUUGGUUCGCCUUAAGAGGAGGUGGGGCUGUCACACAUUUUAUUUUUAUUUUUGUUUGCUCAGGGACUAAUCAUUUUGAAAAUGCAAACAACUUGUUAUUUUGUUUUUGUUGGGUAGUCGAAGCACUGAACAAAUCAAUAUUGGAAGCAAGUUGAGGGUGGUCAUCUCGGCCCUCAUCGAUUUAGUGAUCGGCCGAGGAGGCCUUCUCAAGGCUUAUUCCACCUCGACUCGUUGCUUCACCUAUGGGGUUGAGAUCAGUCUUCCAAUGGUGGUUGUCAUUUUAGCUCGGCCACCUAUCUCCGCCCUCUGGCACCUAAUAUCCCGCUGGAAAAGUUGAUAACUACAUAUGGAAUGAUAUGACGUUGACGUGAUAGAAUGACUUAACCAUUACUAUGUCCUGUCUAUUAAGCCUGACACUAUCCUUGUCAGUGUCAGAUCUAUAGAAAAUGAGAGUCAUCAUUAUUCCCACGAUCUUGUCUCCAAUAAAUAUACUUCUAUCCAUGGGAAAGGUAUAGAGAAACACACACACACACUUGAGAUUCUUAAACCAUUUUUAGUUUACGAUUGAAUACUUGAACAGACUUGAUCAUUGGAGUAGGAUUGGGGGACAGAGUCCCGUAUGUUGUAAAUUUGACAGGUGUAAUCCUUGGACUCCGGUAUUUCAGCCGAAAGUCACCUCUUCAAGUUGGCUUAGUUCAACUAGAUGGAAAUCAUGUGAGAACCUGAAAAUUUUCACAUUUUCUAGACAUUAUUUUAUUUUUAUCUACAUUUUUAUACUUGCCUUUAAAAUAUUAAAGUUUCUAUGCAUUUUUAUAAGCAAGUACAGUUUUAAAUCAUUUUCCUAGUAUAAGUUAGUGUAUGUUAAAUUUGAAACGCAUUAUAGACGUGGGACCAGCUAGUGCGAUAAAAUUUUGAUGAUUACGUGAUUUUUGUGCUAUGUGUUAUUAGUUUACAAGGUACCAGGAGAUAAUUAGAGGUUAGUUAGAUAGAUUAACCAUUGGAAAAAAGAACAUAAGCUUGAACCAUUAAGAGUGCCAUGUGUCGCGACAUGAUUGGAAGUUGAACUUGCCUAACUUUCUUACCUUUACUAAAAUCCAAUUUUGACCCAAUUUUCUUCUAUUUUUCUUUGUCUUGGCCGGCCUUCUUGAGGAGCAAAACAAGAGAGGAAAGUUCUUCAUUUUCUAACUUCAUUUCUUGCUCAAAUCUUGUGAUCUAGCCAACCAAACUUGAAUCUACUCCAUACAAGUGAUCACUAGGACAGCUUAAAGGUGUUGGUGGAUUAAUUUUGGAGGAGGAAGAACUAAACUACCAUCUUUCUUGAAGUGUCAAGGUACCUUGCUUGGAAACUUUCUCUUUGUUCUUGUUAAUGUCAAAUUAGUGGCUUUAGUGGCUAAAUAUGUUGAUUUGUGGUAGAUUUUAUGGUUGAAAGUGGAGUUUUGAUGGAUUUUUGAUUUAUUAGUGAUUUUUCUGUUUUUAUAUCAUAAUUAUUGUUUAGUCAUGGAUUGAUGGCUUGUUAUAGUGUAAAAUGGAGUGGGUAUAUGUUGGAUAUGAUUGGUUACGAAAAAUUUCUGGUUUGGUGCGGAAAUUCCAGUUUAGGGUUUCAUUUUACCCUAUUAUAGCCGGUUCUGUUUGGCCAUGAUGAAAGCCGAAUCAGGCUUAGGUUAAAACAUGAAAGGUGUAGAAAAUGGUGUUAACUAACUACCUGAAAAAUUUCAGCUUGAUCCAAGCAUUGUAUCAUGUGAAAUGACCAAAAUACCCUUGACUGCCCAUGAGCCUUGUUAUUCGAAUAGAUUUCUGUUUUCGUGGAGAUUUCCAUUUUUGAUCAUGAAAAUGCAUGAUUUGGCUUCAGAGGUCUUCAUAAGAAAUGUAGGUAUAUGUCUUAGCUUCGAAACGCCAUAAGAUUCGUUUCCAUCCGAUAAGUAUAGCUUCCGUUGUGGUUGUUAUACUGAAAGGUGUUUUUGAAACUGUAUUUGAUUUGGGAUGAGAUUUGAUCUGUGAAUGUAGGAUGGAAAGUGAAGAAAUUAAGGGGAAAUGCUGUUCGUUUAUUUUCUUGAAGUUUGAAUAAGUAAAAGUGAUAUUUGAAAUGUGAUUUGGGGAUGCGUUGGACUUACUUUUCUUAGACUUACUUAGGUCCACUUUAAUGGUGUUACUUGAACUAGAUUCCAUUUGAACUUGUGCCUUCUCGCAUGGUCAAUGUGACAACCGUUUUAAGCAUGAUACUUAGUUACAAAUGUCAAGUUUCGAAUUUCAAAUGUUUACUCAUUUCUUUCGAAAACAAAGAAAAAUUGCCAAGGGUUUCUCGGCUGCAAACCCUAAUUUUAUCAAGCGAGGUUUUAGGUGUGCAUUUAGGGUUUUUUUAGCUUCUUUUUCACAUGAUUUUCAUCAAGACACUUGUUAUAUAAUAUCUACUUGAAUAUAUAUUGAUUUUGAGCCACAUAAACGAUUCAGGAAAAUAUUUCUUUAGCCUAGCUAGCCGGAUUCGUAUUUGUCUUCGGUCCAAGCGUUUUCUAUUGGAAAUUUUAUAACCCUUUUAGUUUCGUUUUAUGUUUGGUUUGUGAAACCCUUAGUUAUUUCCAUUUUCCGAUCCAAAUGCCUCUUUUCACUUUAAAGUCAUUUUUAUACAUUUUACUCAUAAUUAGUCGGGUUUCUUCGAUUAUACUUAAUUGUUUUGCUAGAUGAACUGUAAUAUUCUCUCUCGUUUAAUCUUAGGUUUCGUCGGUGACUGAGGAUAAUAUCUGGAGGGAUAUUUUGGACGUUAUUUUGCUUAAAUAGGUGAGUGUUUCUUGUUUGUUUUAUUUUUUUGAUUAUAUGGCUUGUAUGAACGAUUGAUAACAUGUUAAAUGCGUUCAAUGUUUGCCAAAACGAGUUUUCUAGACGAGUGUGUACUUUAUCACACUCGACCUAAAUGAAUGUGAAAUUUUCAAUGAUUUCAUGAUUGAAAAAUUACUUGUGCAUGAAUGUAAGCCUUUUGGCUGAACUGGGUCCUGCCCUUCGUUAUCGAUUGACUCGAGCCAGAAGCGGACUCGAUUGGGCGAUAUAGUGACCCUAGGUGAAUGUUUGGUAUACUCGAGUAUUACCUUGUAGUUUGGUGGAGCCUGGCCAACGUCGAGAAGGGGGUGAAUGAAAUGAACGAACGAAUGUCAAUGCAAACGAGGGGUUUUACUUACAAAAAUGCAUUUUCAAAUGAUUGGAGGAAUAAGGGAAUGAAAAGAGAAUGAAUGAAUGAAUGGCUCCCUGUGAGCACGUAUCCUUUUAAUCAAUGCGUUAUUAUCGCUUUCCAUUGUAAAUGCUUCUUGACAUAGUGUUUAACUUAUUGUUUGAUUAUGUGUUCGGAACCUCACUGAGUUUUUAGCUUAUCCCUUUAGUUUUGUUUUCCUUAACAGGGGAAGGCGAGCAAGGACGAGAGCUCGAUAUAGACUAGCUAGUCUAGUUCUUUUGAUUCUUUUGUAAUGGUUCUCGCCCUAGCGCUUGGCACGGGUUGGAUGUAUGAAGAAUUGAAAACCUUUGUAUAAUCGAAGUUUGUACUCCCCUUUUGGGAUAGCAAUGUACAUAAGUUUCGUUUUAAGUUUUGGAUUGUUGUUAUUCUUAUUCCUACGAUUUUAUUCCGAUUUUUGUUUGAGGUAUGACUGAGUCCUGACGAGAGUUGGAUAGGCCGUCCGCCAAACCCUUUGGUUCGCCUUAGGGUUUGGUGGGGCUGUAACAAAUCACAUCUUCAACUGGCGCCAUCUGUGGGAAGCGAUAAGACUCUUCGAUAUGAAAUCCACGUUCUCUAGGAGUAAGAGAGUUCCCUCUACUGGGGUUGAACCAAGCUCUGCGGCCAGCGAGAGGGCAAUCAAGAGAACCAAGAACAUCAGCGAACUUUUCAACCAACAAACGAAGAAACCAUCGCAAGGAUGGCUGAGUUUGUGAUUGAUAAUCCUGCUAUCUUUGAAGAAUUGGGAAGCUUUUUCAAGACACAAGGAAAUGACAAGGCCGAGUUUUCUAAACGUAAACUGGUCUAAUCUCCUGAAAUUUUCCUCAGAAGAUGAGUCAGAUGAUAGGCAUGCGAGAGCCUUUCAAGCGUGCCUCCUCCAAGUCUACCUCCAAGAUUGCCUGUAUCUCGAAGGUAUUCACUCAAGAUCUUCUUGGAAGACAUUCUAAUGAAAUGCCUAGGAGUCCGGAGAGACUGGCUACGGAUUAUAUGAGGGCGCCACCUUCUAUCGAUGACAUUAAUAGGGAGAUGGUUCCCCCCAGUUUUAAACUUUCGAUUUUGUACUCAUAUGAUGGGUGAGAUGACCCAGAAGAUUAUCUCCAUACUUUUAUCUACAUUUUCAAGUUAUGCUAUGUACCUGAUUUCAUUAUCUGUCCAGUCUUCCCCGUCUUCUUACAAGGAACUGCCCCAAAAUGGUUGUGAAAUUUGGAACCUAUGAGCGUUUUUUCUUUGGACGAUCUCAUGAAUAAAUUUAUCCACCAAUUCGUCUCAUCUACGCCGACGACGAAAAUCUUGGCCUACUUGAUGAAUAUACAGCAUGUCCGUCAAGAAUCUCUGCGCUAAUCCGUGAAAAUGUUUCGUGAUUAAAAAACAUACAGAUACCUGACGUAAAUGAACAAACUACCAUCACAGCCUUUACAAACGGAUUAGUGGCAGGGAUGUUUAACACCGAAGUACAUCGGGAGUAUCCCCGAACACUUUGGGAGUAAUGGCAAAUGAUAGAUAGGGGCAUCCAAAUUGAGGAUGUUAAUCGCAAGAAAAAGGAAGCUCAGGCGAUUCGGACUAGCCAAGACUCUAGGAAAAGAAAGGAUCAAGGCCGAGGCGAAUUAGAACCAGAUGGUUGAGAAACAUAGAGUUCCUCCUAUGACUGCCGAAGUGCCUUUGACAGGAUUGCCAAAGAAAAACAAUUCAUUCUCGAUUCUGAAUUAACCCUCCCUUAAUACAAAUCGAUCACGCAUCCUUACUAUAAUGGAUCAACAUCACCUUGAUCGAUCUCCGUCAAAUAUGAACGAAAAAAGAGAGAAGAGAAAUGUUAACCUCUACUGUGCAUAUCACAGAAACAUCGGCCAUGAGACCGAAAAUUGCAACCACUUAAAGAAAGAAAUAAAAAAUCUGAUCAACUAAGGACACUUGAGGCAAUUCGUCCGAGGUGACAGAGGGUAUAACUAUCGGGAUAAUCGCUGGAAUCAAUAGAGGGAGAAUAGGCGAAAACAAAGAAACAAUAGCCUGGUUCUCCGGGACCCUAUGGAGCCAGAAAGGCCUCCUCGAGAUGGAUCCCCUGAUUACGGGUCCAAUAUAGUAAAGAUCAUUAAUAGCAUUGUUGGUGGUCUGAUGGGAAGCAAUAGUCAAAACUUCCACAAGAAGACAUAUCGGCAAGUUAAUCCAUAUCAUACAAAGGCGAGUUUUCGUCUCACAGAGGUCAUCACAUAUGGGCCGAACAAUCCCGUCCCGACUGCAUCCAACAACCAUGAAACCCUAGUGAUUGAGGUCCUCAUUAACAAUUUAUCAUAAAGAAUGUGUAAGCUGACCCAAGAAACUUGGUGGACGUCUUGUAUUACUGGAUUCUCGAAAAUUUGAAAUUGACAGGUAACUAACUUGCCCCAAUACAGACCCCUUUAGUAAGAUUCAAGGGACAUGUAGUCUACCCGAAAAGAUGAUUACGUUGAUAAUUGUCAAACGCCAGCCGCGCUGCCAAAUUGUCCCCAUCAAUUUCACUAUUGUUAAAGUCGACUCUCCCUACAAUUUGCUGAUUAAUCGACCAAUGUUAAAUGUUUUGCGGGUUGUGUACUCAACUUACCAUCUAAAUUUCAGAUUUUCAACACCAACUGGUAUAGCCGAGUUAAACAAUAAUGUCUAUGCAGUUCAAAAAUAUUAUCUCGCUACCUUACAAGCUGUAGCCGCCUCAAAUGCUGAGCCGAGAAGCGAGAGGAAGUGACCAAGUAUUUUGUCUAUAAAUUCCACAGAUUCUUACCAGACCGAAAAAUCUAGAAGAUUUGAGACCGGGGAUGAGGUUGAGAAAGUUGUUCAAGAUUUGCAAAGGCAGAACCAAGUUGUCCGCGUCGGCACAAGUUUAUCUCCUACUCUCCAGAGUGAGAUGAUCAACCUCUUCAGGAAACGCCGAAACGUCUUCGCCUUAACCAGAGACCAUUCUUGAACUAGUUUAAAACAACUACUGCUGAACCAACAACAAAAGGCUAUUCAUCUUCGUCUCCCCUAUUUUCAAAAUUCAAAAUCGUGGCAUCCUAUAACCUAAUAUACGAUCAUCCUCCCCCUUUCCCACAAUCACAUGAUGAAGAAGAAUGUUUCAAAGAAUUUGAAGUUAGAAAAUACAAACAAAAAGCUCCUCAUGUUAAACCGCAAUUCCAAGUCAACAUAAUAUUCAAUAUUCAAAAACCAACCAUCCCUCCACCUGAAUACUCUUUAGAUGCUGGAGAAGAAGAAACAGAUGAUGAAGAAAAAGGAGAAGAGGAUGACGAGUCAGUAAACUACCCACAUUCUCUUUUUGCAUCAUUCUCCACAAUCGAACAUAAUAAUAGUCCUGUCAAACCCACUUUCAAACACUCAAAAUCCAGCUGAAAACGCCCCUUAGCUGACAAAGAUGAUGAAAAAAGAUCUGGAAAAGUAAAAAGGAUGCCAAAUUUAUUGCUGAUGAAUCGAAAAAAGAUAAAUCUUCUUCAGUUUCAGCGCUACUACAAGCAUUGUUUGGAGUGAUGAGCAAGUGAUUAAACUUCUCUAGUGCAUGAUCGAGUUUAAGGCUAAGAAACGGGUUGAUGCUGAUGCUGAUUCGAUUUUUUUCUUGAGUUUGUCAAACGGGUGUUUCAAUUUAGAUAUUCCAAAAGUCAGGUAUAUUAGAAGGUGAUACGUUUGAAGAUGAAAUAUUGCAAUAAUUUGAAGAAAUUUGAGAAAGUUGGGAAGGACACUGGUAUUUUCAACGCUGAGUUUCAAACAUUGAACCUUUCAAGACAGAUUUCAAGUGGUAGAGUUGAUGCAGGUGAUUUUGAGUCGAAGUAUCAACUUUUAAGCCAGUCAUUUGAAAUAGAUUCCAGUGACAUAAUGAAAUUUGUAGGUAAAACUGCUGAUGAAAUUAACGUUUUGAAAGAGAACAUGCAUUUGAUUGCUGAUAACAUGCCAAAGGAGUUGGAACGAAAAUGGAAGACAUUGCAUGCGGUAUUUUUCUUUAAGAAUUUGGAAUUGAUGAAAGAGCAAACUGGUCUGGUGUUGGAAGCCACGAUGAGAAAUAAGUAAAUAUUAAUUAGUGGUUGGUUGGUGUUUGAAAUAUGUUGUUCUUCAGAAGUUAAUUUGACUGAAAGGAUUCUCAAAUCUGUGGAUGGGGUAAAAGAUGCUUCUAUUAUUAUCCCAACUUAAAUAGUUAUUGCCCUCCAUGAUAAUGUCCUCACUUCUUGACUACAAAUAGGUAAUUUUUUUGAAAGGUUGAUUCUUUUGGUCUUUUGCAUUUUAUUUUUAUUUUUGUUUGCUCAAGAAUGGACCAUUUUGGGAAUGCAAACAACUUGUUAUUCUCUUUUUGUUGGGUAAUCGAAAUACUGAACAAUGCAAGACUGGAAGCAAGUUGAGAGCGGUCAUCUUGACCCUCAUCAAUUUAGUGAUUGACCGAGGAGGCCUUCUCAGGACCUAUUCCACCUCGGCUCAUUGCCUCCUCUAUGGGGCUGAGAUCAGUCUUCCAAUGGUGGUUGUUAUCUUAGCUCGGUCACCUAUCUCCACCCUCUAGCACCUAACAUCCCGCUGAAAAAGCUGACAUCUGCAUAUGGAAUGACAUGGCAUUAACGUGAUAGAAUGACAUAACCACUACUAUGUCAUGUCCAUUAAGCUUGAUUUUAUCCUUAUCAAUGUCAGAUCCAUGAAAAAUAGGACUUAUCAUUCUUCCUACGGUCCUGUCUCCUAUAAAUACCCCUCCAUCCGUGGGAAAGGUACGCACAUAGAGAAAUAUACACACUUGAGGUUCUUAAACUAUUUUUAGUUCGCGAUUGAAUACCCGAACAGAUCUGAGCAUUGGAAUAGGAUCAGGGACAGAUCUCGUAUGUUAUAAAUUUGACAGAUGUAUUCCUUGGACUCCGGUAUUUCAGCCGAAAGUCACCUCUUCAAGUUGACUUGGUUCAACUAGAUAGAAAUCACAUCUUCAAUUGGCGCCGUCUGUUGGAAGUGAUAAGACUCUCCGAUAUGAAAUCCAUGCGCUCUAGGAGAAAAAGAGUUCCCCUUACUGGGGCUGAGCCAAGCUCUGCGGCCCAGCGGGAGGGCAGUCAAGUGAACCAAGAACAUCAGCGAACUUUUCAAUCGACAAACGAAGAAACCAUCGCAAGGAUGGCUGAGUUUGUGACUGAAAAUCCUGGUAUCUUUGAAGAAUUGGGAAGCUUCUUCAAGAGACAAGAAAAGGACAAGGCCGAGUUUUCUAAAUGUAAACUGGUCAAAUCUUCUGAAAUUUUUCUCAGAAGAAGAGUCAGAUGAUAGGCAUGCAAAAGCCUUUGAAGCGUGCCUCCUCUAGGUCUACCUCCAAGAUUGCCUCUAUCUCGAGGGCAUUCACUCAAGAUUUUCUCGGAAGACGUCAUAAUGAUGUGCCUAGGCGUUCGGAGGGAUUAGCCACGGAUUAUAUGAGGGCGCCACCUUUUAUCGAUGACAUUAAUGGGGAGAUGGUACCCCCAACUUUAAACUUUUGAUUUUACAGUCUUAUGAUCGGCGAGAUGAUCCAAAGGAUCAUCUUCAUGCUUUUAUCUCCGUUUUUAAGUUAUCUGUCCAGUCUUCCCCGUUUUCUUACAAGGAACUACCUGAAAAUGGUUGUGGAAUUUGAAACCUAGGAGCAUUUUUUCUUUGGACGAUCUCAUGGAUAAUUUUAUCCACCGAUUCAUCUCAUCUAGGCCGACGACGAAAAUUUUGGCCUGAUUGAUGAAUAUACAGCAAGUCCGAGGAAAAUCUCUGCGCUAUUACGUGAAAAAGUUUCGUGAUGAAAACGUACAGAUACCUGACCCAAUUGAACAAGUCACCAUCGCGGCUUUUACAAACGGAUUAGUGGCGGAAGUGUUUAGCACUGAAGUACAUAGAGAAUGUUAUAGCAAAAGGUAGAUAAGGGCAUCUAAAGUGAGAAUGUUAGUCGCACGAAAAGGAAAGCUCAGGCGAUUCGGACUAGCCAAGACCCUAGGAAAAGAAAUGAUCAAAACCAAGGUGAAUCAGAACCAGACAAUUGAGAAACACAAAGUUCCUCCUAUGACCGCCGAAGCGCCUUUGACAGGAUUGCCAAGGAAAAACAAUUCAUUCUCGAUUCUGAAUUAACCCUCCCUCAAUACAAAUCGAUCACGCAUCCUUAUUAUGAUGAAUCAACAUCACCUUGAUCGAUCUCCGUCAAAGAUGAACGAAAAAAGAGAGAAGAGGAAUGCUAACCUCUACUGUGCAUACCACCGAAACAUCGGCCAUGGGAUCGAAAACUGCAACCACUUAAAGAAAGAAAUAAAAAAUCUGAUCAACUAAGGACACUUGAGGCAAUUCGUUCGAAGUGACAGAGGGUAUGAUUGUUGGGAUAAUCGCUGAAAUCAAUAGCGGGAGAAUAGGCGAGAACAAAGAAAUAAUAACCGGGCUCUCCAGGACCCUAGGGAGUGGAGAAGGCCUCCCCGAGAUGGAUCCCCUGAUUACGGGCCCAAUAUAGCAAGGAUCAUUAAUAGCAUUGUUCGUGGUCUGACAGGAGGCGAUAGUCAAAACUUCUGAGAGAGGACAUAUCGGCAAGUUAAUCCAGAUCAUACGAAUGCGAGUUUUCGUCUCACAAAGGUCAUCACAUGUGGCCCAAACGAUCCCGUUUCGACUGCAUCCAACAACCAUGAAGCCCUGAUGAUUGAGAUGCUCAUCAACAAUUAUAUCAUAAAGAAUGUGUAUGUCGAUCCAAGAAGCUUAGUAGACGUCUUGUAUUACUGGACUCUCGAAAAUUUGAAAUUGACUGGCGACCAAUUUGCCCCAAUACGGAUCCUCUUAGUAAGAUUCAAGGGACACGUAAUCUACCCCGAAGGGAUGAUUACGUUGAUGACUGUCGAAUGCCAUCCGCACCACUGAAUUGUCCCCGUCAACUUCACUAUUGUUAAAGUCGACUCUCCCUACAAUUUGCUGAUAUAUCGACCAACGUUAAAUGCUUUACAGGUUGUAUACUCAACCUAUCAUCUAAGUUUCAAGUUUUCAAAUUUAGCUGGUAUAGUAGAGGUAUGCAAUGAUGUGUAUGCAACUCGAGAAUAUUAUCUCGCUACCUUAUAGGCUGCAGCCGCCUCAAGUGCAGAGCCGAUAAUCGAAAGGAAGUGACCAACUAUUUUGUCUAGAUAUUUCAUAGAUUCUCACCGGACCGAAAAGUCUGGAAUGCUUGAGACCAGGGAUGAGGUUGAGGAAGUUGUUCAAGAUUCGCAGAGGCCAAAUUAAGUUGUUCGCGUCGACACGAGUUUACUCCCCACUCUUCGAAGUGAGAUGAUCAAUCUCUUCAGGAAACACCAAAAUGUCUUCACCUUAAUCAGAGACCAUUCUCGAUCUAGUUUAAAACAACCACUGCUGAACUAACAACAAAAGGCCAUUCAUCUACCUUUUCCCUAUUUUCAAAAUUCAAAACCAUGGCAUCCUAUAACCUAAUAUCCGAUCAUCCUCCCCCUUCCCCACAAUCACAUGAUGAAGAAGAAUGUUUCAAAGAAUUUGAAGUUGGAAAACACAAACAAAAAACUCCUCAUGUUACCCCGUAAUUCCAAGUCAAAAGAAUGUUCAAUGUUCAAAAACCAACCAUCCCUCCACCUGAAUACUCUUCAGAUGCUGGAGAAGAAGAAAAAGAGGAUGAAGAGAAAGGAGAAGAGGACGACAUAUCAGAAAACUGCCCACAUUCUCCUUUUGCAUAAUUCUCCAUAAUCGAGCAUAAUAAUAGUCCUGCCAAGUCCACUUUCAAACACUCAAAAUCCAGCUUAAAACGCCCCUCAGCCGACAAAGAUGAUGAAAAAGGUUUGGAAAGUAAAAAGGAAGCUAAAUUUAUUACUGAUGAAUCGAAGAAAGAUAAAUCUUCUUCAAUUUCAGCCGUUACUACAGGCAUGGUUUGUAGUGAUGAGCAGGUGAUUAAACUUCUCUAGUACAUGAUCGAGUUUAAGGCUAAGAAACAGGUUGAUGCUGAUGCUGAUCCAGCUUUUUUCAUGAGUUUGUCGAACGAGUGCUUCAAUUUAAAUAUUCCAAAAGUCGGGUAUAUGAGAAAGUGAGGCGUUUGAAGAUGAAAUAUUGCAAUAAUUUGAAGAAAUUUGAGAAAGUUGGGAAGGACAUGAAAACUCGAGAAAAUCAGGUGUGUGCUUUGCAUUUAUUUUAUUUUAUUUACCUUGAUAUUGGAAAUAUUACAUAUAACGAAUAAGUGGUUAAAUUAAAUGUUUAAUUGAAUUUCUAUGAAAUCGAGAAUUAGAAAUAUCCUAGAUUGGUGUAGAAAAAUUUUUAUGAAUCAAAUAAACACAUGGUAUGUAUAUUGUAAAUUGUGUCAUUUGCAUGUAUUACUAGACACGUAGCAUAUAUUGUACAGUUGAAUAAAUUAUAUGUCUAGUUGAUUUUUCUUUAACACCGAAUGUGUGAAAAUCUUUUAGAUAAAUGUAAGAGAAUUUUCAAGGGUAUACAAAUUAGAACAAAUGAAAUUUGGAGUCAAUGCGUGAGAUAAUAGAACUACAAAUCCUUAGCAAGCAAAUGAGCUAAAGUCAAAAGACCAAAUCAACCUUGAGCUUCGGUUGAACUACAAUGCAGCCUGCAAAAAUAAGCUAACAGAAUUUUUAAAGCAGAAAUCGAGAGACGGAAACAUCCGGAGUUUGGCCUGAGUGGAGUAGCUUAGAAUUGUGGAGCACCGAUUGGAAACAUUGACCACCGAGUGGCAUAAUCUUGUGAUUCUUAAGUCUUCCAAACAGCGAGAUAAAUGAGUAUAAGAGGAGAAAUUAGCUGCCAAUUAUUUGCUAAGUUAGGUGGUGACCAAAGAGAGAAAACUAAGGAGAAAGCAGCGGCCAACAAUCUGCUAAGUCAAGCGGUGACUAAGUGGAGCAAAUAGGAACUGGUUCAUUAGUUGGGCGGUGACUGAAAGCGAAGAAACUAGGCAGCUCUUCCUUUCUCUCUUUCUUUCAAUCUCUACAAAACAGAACUGAAGAAGUGGAACUAGAUGUGAGGAGAGGAAGUUGAUUAACUCCAUCAGCUGCUAAACAUAAACAAACAAACGAACGCAAGGAACGGGAGAGAUAGCUGGAGUAGGACUUGAGGAACUGAAUCAGAAAUGUGAGCGGUCUGCAACAUCGAAACUUAGGAGGACAAGGUAUGAAUCUGCAAUAAUCUCCUGCUUAUUCGGUAUAAAUGGAUUAAUAUACGAGCUGCAUGUGAAUUUAGCAAAGAAAAUGGGUCCUUAGCUAAGGUGAAACUCUGCUUUGAAGGAGAUAAAACUGUUGGACAGAUUUGGAGGGAAUUAGGAGCUGAUGUUUGGAUUUCAACCUAUAAAUGAUGAAAAUUUAUGUAGUAACCUCUUAAUCAUCUAGUAUAUAUUUGAAUACGCAUGUUGUGUACUGGAUUCAAGCCAAGAAAACCGAGUUUUGUUGCAGAGAUGAAGGGAAUAGAGCAAGGAAACCUGAUGCAUGCUGCUAUGCAUCAGAUUUGUAGUUAGGUGCAGAUAUGAGUCUUAAUUCAGUUUUUCUCUUGAAUUCUGGUCAUAAACUGCCGUGUUUGCUUAGGAUAACCUGUAGUCGAGUAAGUAACCUCUGCGUGAGUGGGUGAGACCUAAAACUGAAGAGGAAAUGGUGGGAAAAUGUCAAAGGAUAAACUACUGUUUUGCUGGAAAUUUAUUGGUUGCAACCGAGUGUGGGAAAUGAAGAAGUUCUAGCUAUUCUUAUGAAUGUUGGUCUUGAAAUUUUAUAUUAAACUGUAAUAUAUUUUAUAAUACAUUGGUCUUAACAUGCAUGUAAGAUUUAAGUCUAAAAUGAGGAGUUUAUUGGUGAAUUUUCGUGUCUUAAAGGCUGAUUGCUGCUAAGGCUUUUCCAAUGGCCGAGAGAGAACAGAGUCUUGAUCAGUCCUUGUUUCGAGUUUAGCUGCAAACUUUACACGUUCUAUUUAAGGCUACUCUGUAGCUUCGUAAAUGUGUUUUGCUUGUCUAGUUGGGGCAUGAAAAUGAAAGGAAAGACUGGAGAAAACAACAAAUGUUGGACUGAUACACUGCUAGGAAGUUGAGGGAUGCGAUAGCUAAUUACUAAUGCAGGUGAUGAUGACCGAUUUGUGAUCUAACAUUUAAUCGAAUAAAUUACUGAAACAUGGUGUUAUCUGUUCUGGCUUAUACUGGACUGAAAGUACGUUAAAGUAUUUAGAGCCGUAAGCAAGUAAAGAAAUGAAGUUUUGUUGAAAAUCUGAAAUAUAUUGCUGGAAUUUUGAUUUGAUGGCUGAAAUGGUAGUUAGUUAAGCCCUUUUAUGGUAUUUUUGGAAACUGUAAGGUAACUUGUUAUAGGUAUAUACAUAAGAUGGCUUCUAAUCACUUAAUCUUGUUUUCACAAGCAUUUUCUAGACUAUAAACAUGACAAUAAUCUUAAUCUCAGAAUAUUGAAUACAAGACUAUAAACUUGAAAAAUAAGUAUAUUUCUUUGGUUAAAAUGAUAAAGUUGUUAAGUUUCGAGAUAAAAUGUAAGAUGGGCGUUGGAUAUGUUAUAUCUUGUAUUUAAAACCAAAACUCGACUUUAAUAGUUUAAAACAUAAGACAACAAAUGACAAGUGAUUAUCUACGAACUGUAUCUUCAUUUUAGAGUUAUAAAUUUAUCUCAGGGGGUAGCUGUGAGCCAGAAAGCAAACCUGAGGCUUGAGAGUAAUUUAUUUGGGUAUUUGGUGAGUGUUUCCGAAUUUAUGUGUUUAACUGUUUAUGUGUACUUAAGUGAAAUUAUGUGACAAAUAUGUGUAUUAUGAAAUAUUGCUAAGUGAUUCAUUGUAAAGUGUAUCUCAAUUGUCCCUCACCUUCUAAGUCGAGGGUGUACUUUAUCGCACUCGACUUAGUUUGAGCUUGAAGGUAUUAAGCUAAGAAACUAUUAUUCUCUCUCUUAUGUUACAUUUUAUUGGAUAGAUGACUUGAAUCUUGAAUUAUAUUGGAUGAUACUCUAGUUUUGGUGAACAUUAACGAAUUUCAGCAAGGGUUAGAACUGGAACUGCAUAUUCGUUCAUGAUAAAGAACAAAUCAAUUCUUGUUCAAAACAUGAAAGUUUUAGAGAAUUGAGUUAGCUAGUUUCCUGCAAAAUGUCAGCCCAAUCUGAUCAGUGUAGCCUGAGUUAUGAUCAAAACACUAAUAGCUAUGCAAAAUGUUGGAUUUUGUGACGAUUGUAGUUUUUGCUUCUGACAGUGCUCAGUUCACCUUGAUAACGUGAGAAUUGGGUGUUUAAAUCUUCAUAAGACUUGUAGAUCUUUGUUUCACCGUCGAAUCAGUAUAAAAUGCGUCCAAAUCCGAGUUCGGUAGCUCCAGUUAUGCCCAAAACAAUGUAAGGUGCCAGAGCUGCCGUUGAAUCAGUCAGUUCUGUGCACGAACUUUGGACCCAUUUUUCCCCAUGCUCUGUAUUGAUUCAGCUUUUGGUCCAAACACAAAAGUUAUAGCGUUAUAAAUGAGCUUUUCAACACCUCUGGAAUUUCUUGAUUCCGAUCUCUGAGUCAUGAGUUGUGGUCAUUCAAAUAGGGUCUGUUUGGUACCCUGAAUUGAAACGGUUGGGACUGUCUUGUGCAUUUUUGCCCUAGUUUCGUUGAGAUCUGGUUUGAGGUAUUUUCAUAAAAGUUAUAGCCCUUCUUCUUAGCUUCGUAAUGGUACUUCAUAGACCUUAAUCUGACUUUCCUAACCCAACUUAUGGUCAAAACAGUUUGGGACAGCAACUAUGCCCGUUUCCGUUUCCGUAAGCCGUUUCCGCGCAUGCAUAUGCCAAUUUUGCCGUUUUACUUGAUUUAUGCAUUCUAGUAGCCGUUUGUGGAAUAAUGUGGUACAGUCUUCUAUUUCAGAUGGUGGUGAGUUAGACGGAGCCAGUGGGGCCUACUAGCUAUUACACGUGACGUGAUCUCCGCUCUUUUGCUAUACUUGCUUUUUGUGUAAGUAUUCAGGCCGUUUUUGUGUAUAACUUGCUUAUGUGCUUUGAUGUGAAUGAGAGGGUACGUAGGCGAGAGUGUACUUGAUCACACUCGACCUAAACCCUAAUUUUGCACCUGUGUUUGUCUAUGAGAUGUAUAUAUAUGAAUUAUUUUGAUGUUGAACCCCUUGAGCUUGUAGUUCGGGGUGAUGUUUGUGGGAUCCGAUCUCAAGACCUAGACGGACUAUUCGAGCCGGCCGGGGCUUGGUCGAAACCAGUCCAACCUAGUCUUGAGGUCACCAAGUUUGUGAACCAAGUUUGUGAACCGAGCUUGUGAAUCAAGUUCAAUUUCAUUUCGUUUGCUCGAGCCAUUUUGUGAGGUGACUGGCCAGUGAGGGUGAUAAGGUGUUAGGUGGGAAUACAAGUGGAGUUCUACGGAUCAUUAUUUGUGGUCGACGGAGUGUCGACAGGAGGUCACACGUGGCACAUGAUUUGGCUUUGGAGCCAACCUGUAUCCUUAACUUGUAUUGUUACUUUUAUACUUGCGAUUUGAUAUCUUUGUGACGAAAUUGUUUGUCUUAAUGUGAAAUUUACGCUUUUACCCCUGUUUACUUACUAAGUAUAUAACUUACCCCUUUUAGUUUUGGUUUCCUUACAGGAGUCGGAGAUUGAAGAGUGAUUGGAUUGAACUAGAAAGUUAUUUGGGAAGAUCCGUUAUUCUGUGUAUAUAGUGUAGGCAGGGUCUCUUUUGAAUUUUGAGACGAUUGAAGUUUUGGUUGAGUUGGUGAGAUAUUAAGAAUGGAUAUUUAGAACAGGUAUUUUGUUUCUUUUAUUGGACAAAUUUAUGUUUCAAAUUGAUUGGAGAUGUACUUAAGAGUGAAUGUUCAGUUGUCCAAUGGUAAUGUUAUCUCUGAAAUUAAUGUGAGUGAGUGGGUCCUGGCGAGAGCCAGGCAGGCGAUCCGCUAACUUCUAGGGUAUGCCCUAGGAGAAGGUGGGGUCAUCACAGGACACUAGUAUUUCCAAGACUGAGCUUCAAACAUUGAACCUUUCAAGACAGAUUUCAAGUGGUAGAAUUGGUGCUGGUGAUUUUGAGUCGAAGUAUCCACUUUUAAGCAAUUCAUUUGAAAUAGAUUCUAGUGGCAUAAUGAAAUUUGCAGGUAAAACUGCUGAUGAACUUAACUUCUUGAAAGAGAACAUGCAUUUGAUUGCUGAUGACUAUGUCGGAGAUCUUGACAGAAGGAGAUUACUUUCAAGUUAUGUAUUACACAUUGGUGGUUGUGCACUUAAUUGAAAAGUUACUUUACAACAUGUUGUAGUUUUAUCUACUACAGAGGCAGAAUAUAUGGCCAUGACCGAGGCAAUCAAAGAAGUCUCGUGGUUGAAGGGUUUAUUUGGCGAAUUUAGUCUAUAUCAAGGUGUUACUACUAUUUACUAUGAUAAUCAAAGUGCCAUUUAUUUGACUAAAGACCAAAUGUAUUAUGAGAGGAUGAAAUAUAUUAAUGUGAUAUUUCAUUUCAUUCGAGAUACUAUUGUUGAUGGAAAAGUACUUGUUCAGAAAAUCAGUACCAAGGAAAAUCCUACUGACAUGUUCAUGAAACCUCUUCCAGUUUACAAGUUCAAGCAAUGCUUGGACUUGGUUGGUGUUCGUUGUUAAUGAUUUAGGUCCAUUGGGGUUUAUGUGGAUAAGGUGGAGCAAAUUUGCUAUUGUCGAUGUUGGAAACACGCCAAGGUGGAGAUUUGUUAAAGUAACUUUGUCCACAUCGCCUUGUGUGUAAGGAAACCUUUCUCUUAGUUGCCUAUAAAUAUAGUGAAUCUAUGAUGGGAUUAAGUGCACAAAAUCAAGAGAGUUUUAGUGGGCUAUUUGAGACUUAGGGCCAUUAAAUCUUUUGUUUAGUAAAAUAUUUUUGGAUUCUCUUGUGUUUUAAAUAUUUGGUGUUUUGGGUCUAAAAACACUUUUUUUAGGCAUUUUUGUACUCUUCUCUUCAUAGUAAAAUAUUGCUCUUCCUCCGCCCGUGGACGUAGGUCAAUUUGAUCGAACCACAUAAAUUCCUGUGUUCCUAUUUUAUUUAUUUUUGCUUUGUUAUUUGUCUAUCUUGGGGUUGUCAAAAAUCCUUUCAUCAAUUUUUUGGGACCAGACCAAAUAAAAGUUCUAGUGUAAAAUCCUCAAAUUUUGAAGGUAUUGCUAGUCACGUCUAUUUAUCGUGAACCCCCAAGAUCUGUUGAAAGUCCACUUCAAAAUCUUGGGUUUGUUUGACUCAUAUAAGUCAUGACAAACACAUCCAUAUAGUUAAUGAAUUUGUAGUUUGCAAUUAAGAUUAAUGGAAUAGUUCUAAUGCUAAGCACAUCAACUUAACUUACAACCUUUGCGUGCAUUAUGAUUAGAGGUGUCAAAAUGGAUGAUUUGGAUGGGUUUGGAUUGGUUAAAAUUGGUAAUGGGUAUAAGUGAGUCAACCCAUUUAUGCCCAUUUAAUUAGAUGGAUAUAAAUGGGUAAGUCAAAAAAAGAAUUGGGUAACCCAAUUACCCAUUUAUUUUAUUUUUUUUGUAAACUCAUUUAAAUUCAUUUUUGCAAACUAAGUUAUGAAUUUAUACCACCCUUUCCACCCAUCAUUAGUUUUAAAUAUUAACUUAUAAUGUUCAAUAAGUCUAAUUAUCAAUUUUUUUCCAUCCGUACUCUAUGUUGUAAAAUUACAUGUUAUUUAAUAAUUGAAUAAUAAGAAUAUAAAAAUUUGAACUAAGUACUAUAAAAGUUAACAUAAAAACUUAAUUCAAAAUUUUUGAACCCCUAACUUUUUUUUGUGUGUAAAUUUUACAAAGGUAGAAAAAGAGGGUGAAACUUGUCAUAAAUUGGUCAUGCUGAAAAAUGAACAGGUUAACAAACUAAGAGAAAAUAAAAUGAUAAGAUAAAAUCAACAAAUAAUAAUAAAACAAAAGUAGUUAACAUUAUGACAAAAUGAAAAAUCUAAAAAAAAAUGGGUGGAGGAAGAGAGGAGACAUGAGGGAAGACAAUUCUAAAUGGGUCAAUUGGAUUUGAUGGGUUACCCCCCAUAUAUAAAAAUUUAAGAUACUCAUACUCAUCUAUUCAUAGACGGGUAUGGGUAAAUUUAACUAAAUGGAUUUGUUUGCCACCUAUAAUUAUGAUCACAGUCAUCACUAAAAACCAAAACUUGUAUACAAUUACAUUUUUUUAAUUAUAAGCUUUUAUGUUCGCAUAUUGGUUAGUCCAAAUGGAUUUCAAUAAAUCAAAGAUUGUGAGGAUUUUCUUUGGAUCAUUAUAACUGUAGGAUUACUUUGUUUUCUGAAUUUAGAUGGUGCUUAAAUGAAGGAUGGUUAAAUUAUUAACAAAAUUAGAACAAUCGAAUUAAUUUCCAUAAAUAUUUGUAAACAAGAUUAAUUUCUUCCACAUAUACCACUUUUUAUUUUGUGCUCUAAGUGAAGCAAAUGAAAAAGCCCAUACAUAAAGACACGCGUUACAUGUGGAACACUUAUAUCUCAUGCUUAAACUCAAAACAAAUUAACAAACAAAAGAGGGAAGUUCAUGUUAAUGACAUGCAAGUCUAUAUAAAUCUUUGAUACACAUAAUUUGUGCACUUAAUUAUUUAUAGUUAUAUCAAAAAAUUAUGGCAUUCCAAAUAUCUAACUACCAUAUUAAUCUUUAGAAACUUUUGAAUGUAAAUUUUGUAUAAUGUGAUAAUAUUGAUUAAUUAUUAUAAUGCACAAUAGCAUUUUUUUUUGGCCAAAUCAAUUAAGUCUCAAAUUACAUCAGGCUCCAACUAUACAUAAAAUAUUUGUUCAUUACCAUGCAAUGGCUUAUUAUUUUUCUUUCAUCAAAACGAUAUUUGAUUUUUUUUUCAACACAUGAGUAUUCCAUUUUUGCCAGACUAAUCUUCCUGCACCUGUAUACCCCGCUCUCCUAGGAUACACAAGUAGUAGAGAGGUGAUUCGAACACACGAUCUUGGGAUCUAACUAGACUACCCCGAAAUCAUCCGAGCCAACCCCAUGGGGCAUCAAACGAUAUUUGAUUAUAUUAAUGUCAAAAGCUAUACAAUUGCGAGUAAUGGCUAGAGAUGGCUUUCCUCGUCUAAUGUAAUGCCUUGUCAAGUGUACUUGACCAUGCAGUGGCUUAUGAUACUUCUCCAAAAUAGUUGUAUCAGUAAUUGGAUGCAUUUUGCAAUGCAAAGGGCUGUACUGGUUUUCGAAUUUGAUUUUUCCCAUGUGGUCCUAGUUUCCCCGACCUGGAUCAGUUUUUAUCGACAUUCAUGGUGAAGCCUACAAGGGAUCAUUGUGGUUUUUCGUCUUUAACAUCCUUGACAUAUUGUGCCGUUUUAUACAGAUCAUACAGGAAAUGAUUCAGUAGCUAUUGUCAAAUUCUCCACAUCUUGAACAUGCGAAGAAUCUGAGUAUUGUUAGUCCAUGUCAAGUCCUCGAUUGUACCUUCUUGCCAUCCUCUGGAGAUUCUGACAAUUUCUGCUACAAAUCUUCUUUUGUUUUUUUUUUUUUUUUGAGAAUGUGUUUGAACCUCCUACAAAUUCGCUUGUUGAAUAUCAGAAUACUCCUUCGCUGUUGGAGCUUACACUGGAUGGGGAAUUGUGUUCAGAUUUUCUUCUUCAUGCUUCCAAGGAUUUAAAGUGUAGCAACCAAUUGGAGAAACUUGUCUUGCGUGUGCCUUAUAAGGUUAGAAUGACCUUUUUGCUCAUUUCAUUGAUUACUUGUUAUGAUAAUUUCAACUGCAGUUGUACACUGACUUGUUGCAAACUUUUGAUUAGAUUAGUUUUCUUUCGAGGAGACAUAUUUGCCCGCCCGUUGAAAUUGGACUCCCCCAACUCCAAUAUCUCAAACAUCUGGAAUUGGUAAUGGUCAUAGCAAAGGAUACGAGCCUUCUCUACUUUGUAAAGUUAACCAAGGAGUCCCUAUUGUUGUCUCAAUGUGUAGUUCAGGUACUGCAUUUUUUCAUUAUCUGUAAGCCAUAUACAAAAUAUGAGCUAUUGGUUAGAUGUAUGUGUUUCUUUCCUAUUACCUAGAUUCGUAAAUAUAGUUUGUUAUCCCGUAUUUGGGAAGUAGUUCUUAGUAGGGAAGAUUUUCUUAUUUCAACAUGACUACUAUUCCUUAAAAAGCACAUGAAUGAGAACAAUGCUCUAUUCCUCACUUCAUCGUUUGUACUAGAUGCGUCAACUACAACCUAAUUAUAUCGAUCCACACAAACUCAUGGAGUUGGGUAUGUAAUGAACUUUGAAUAGAGAUCUAAAUGAGUACCCAAUUAGACCCAUUUAAUUGGUAGGUAGUGGGUUAACUCGGUUCAUCUAUUGACACUCACUUAUAAAUAAUUAUAUAUUUAAACACAAAUUUUAGUGGAUGUUAAACAUAUAAAUUUAAAUUUCCUUCCAAUCUAAUAAAAAUAAAAAUAUUGUUAUUUCUUAUUAAACAACAUGCAAAAAAAAUUUUUUAAAAAUAAGUAGAAUUUCAAGUGAGUCAUAAAUAGAUAAUUGAGUAUAUCCAUACUCAUUUCUUAAAUGAAUAUAAAUGAGUUGACUCAUUUUGAUCCAUUUAUUAAAUAGGUAUUAAUGGGUUGAUCGAAUUAUGACUCAUCCAAAUCCAUUGAAGUCACCCAUUUAAUUGGACGUAAUAUGUUAUAUUACUUUUUGUUUUACUUGUUCUAUAAUAGUAGUUGUCUAUUUAUGUGAAUUAUGAUAUUUUUAAUUAAAAAAUGAAUGAGGAUUGAUAUCAAAAUUCUUCAAGUGUAAUACUUGUUUUAUUCUAUUAUAUAGAUUUCUAAGUUAAAUUUUUGCAUUUAUUAGGAAUAUAAUUAGCAACAUAAAAUGUAAAUUACAUGAAGUCAAACAAUUAUAAUAUAUUUUAACAUGCUCUUAGGUAUUAUAAUAUACCUUCGUUAAUAUUAACAUGUUCCGUAUUUUACAUAUAAUAUUUUAGUUUUUAAAUAAUUUUUAUUUAUGACAUCAUUUGAUUCAACCUCGAUCGAACUCGGUCGAACGUAUUGAACCUUGUUCCCUAAAUUUGAACGAGUCGAUACCAGGUCUGAAUCUGAAAACAUAGCCAUUUGGCCAACUUGAUACCCUAUUUUAUGACUCUGUUCUCAUCUCUCUCCUCUGCUCUUGUCAUUUCUUUAGUUCCAAUCUCCUUCACCACUUCAACACUGCCAAUUUGCUCCUGUCGUGCCCCUUUUUUGAGAAAAUAAUCUAAGUGUUGAAAAAUGAAUUUUAAUUAAAAAAAUGAGUUUUUGAUUUUUCUUAUCAUUUUAUUUAAAAAAUGAGUUUUUAUUAAAAGAUGAGUAAAAGUUGUGUUUUUUAUUUUAGAAAAUAAAAAAAAAGGGCUUAAAUGGGGACUUGAAAAGUGCGACGAUUUGGCCCAAAACAAUAGUCUAAAAAGGAUUUUUUAAGAAAAAAUAAAAAUCACCACUUGGUAUCGAAUUUAGAUGUGCCAAAUCACUUAAAAAUAUAUUUUUAAUAAAAAAUAGAUAAAAUCUUUUUUAGACUACUCCAGGUCUUUGAAAACAAGAGAAAAGAAAGAAAAGGCAAAGAUUUGAUCUAAGGCACUCUUUCAACCUAAUCAAAGUUAGUUGCGAGAUUUAGUCAAAAAAUUUUCCUAAUCUAACCUAUAGAUUUAUCAUAUUUGGAUGUUUCUAUAUGGAUGCAAAUCUAGACCUAAUGGGUAUCAAGCGACUAGAAAAUAUCUCUUCGAAAUUUAAUUGGUGCCAAUCGCAUUAAUUGCGAUGCCCAAAAUACUUCUUAGAAGAGGUCAUGAAUAUGCAAAAGAUAAGACUCAAAGAAAAGAAAAAUUAUAAUAUAUAUAUAUAUAUAUAUACGUGACCUAAAAGAAAGGAAUUCAACAUAAUAGGUACGGGAGACUAAGAUUCAUGACUCAAUUUUUCUUUUUUAUAGAGGGGAUAUGAGCAUGCUAAGGUUAAGUAGCCAUACUCGUUCAUUCCCCAUAUUAAAAAGGGUGACUUAACUAAUCUAAUCAAGCAAAUGAACUAACCUAUUUCUAAUUUUCUAAAAAAAUGCAAGUCUAAAUGUCAUGUUUCUCACACAUAGGGGUAAGUGAUAUAAUUUAUAGGGAGAAUAUGAUGCAAAAUGAGUAAAGAUCCUAAAAAUGGAAAAUAUGCAUGCAAUGUGAUGAAUGUCACACAAACAUGUAAUUUUAGCACGAAAAGAUCUAAAAGAUUUAGCAUUGGACUAACCCAUAUCUAUAAAUUCUCACUAGCAUUGGACUAGUGAGAAAUCGGGAAAAAAGGACCACAACUAGUGUUGGACUAGUGUGGUGACGCCAUGCAUUUAUUAUAACAUAAUAAACCAUAUAGACAUAUUUAAAACAAGUAAACACAUAAACACGUAGAGCACAUAGCACGUAAGCAUAAUAUCUAAAUGCAAAUCUGCUAAGAAAGCGAGUAAAACACGUAAGCACAUAAGCAUGCAAACACACAGGCAAAUAAACACGCAUGAGAACCUAACUAUUACAUUUGGCGGCCCUAACUACAAUCUAAAGAGGAAAGUUAAAAAAUAAUAACCUAACUAUUAUAUUUAUCUAACUAAUUACAUUUUUGACAAAAUUAAAACCUAUCUAUUACAUAGUCUAACUAAAUACAUGUCUUGAGCACCUAUCUAUUACAAUUUGACAUUUAAAUGCCUCUCAAAUAAUCAUCAAAAUUAAAUAUAUAAAACUUGAAACAGAUAAAUGAAGAAAAACACUCAAAAACAAGCAAUUACACAUAAAAACACAUAGAAACACAUAAAAAGAUUUAAAAUAAUAAAAGAAGAUACCUCUCUUAAAAUAGUAGUUAAUUGGGGUUGGAUUUACCCUAUUUUUGCUCUAAAAUCAACAAAAUGGUCAAGGUACCAAUUUAAUUAACAAAUAAAAAGAAUAACAGGUAAAGAAAUGAAAAUAAUCAUAAAAUCUAUCAAUUAAAGCAUUUAAAUGAAGUAUAAUUAAUAAUUAAAGAAGACAAACAACUUAUAUUUAAGAAAUUAAAGCUAUUAGGGAUGUAAUUGCAAAGUUAAGAAAGUUUUGGGGUUAAAAUAAAUUAUUACAAAGUUUAGGGGUCCAAAUGGAAGAAAAAUUAAGUUUAGGAACCAAAUUGCUAUUAAUUUAGGUACCUAAUUGAAAGAAACCAAAGUUUUUAGGGCCUUAAUAUAAUUAUGUAAAAGUCCAGAGAUUAAUCUGCAAAUUAUGUUAUCAGAUCUUGAGAGCAACGGGCCACUAGGCCAUUUUAUUAAUUUCUUGGGCUAAAAGCUUACGGGCUCAAAGAAAAGCCUGAAGAACAAAGGUGGGCUGCCCUGCCUUUUACCACGAAAGAAAAACAAUCAAAAAGGGUUGGGCUUGAUCCCCAAGCCCGGUCUCAAACCCAAUUAGAAAAAGAAAAUCUUGGCCCUAAAUUUUUUUAACCCAAAACAUGUUUUAUCAACCCAUUAUAGCCUAGAUAGGAUUCAACCAAGUAAAACAAACCAAAUAAAUCAGAAAAAAAUAGAAAGAAAAUAGGUGAAGAACAUUCUGGCGGGUCGACCCGUUUGGAUGGAACCGGAAAUUCACCGGAAUCCAUUUUUACCAACUUUUAAAAUUGGAUCUUCACAUAUAUACGCAUUUCAUGGCAUGUUAGAUUUAAAUAAACAUCAAACAAAGGCCGAAAUCAGAAAAUCACGAAUAAACACGAGAUCUAAGUUCUUAAACAUGAACAUCCAUAAAUUCGUUCAAAUAUCUUGCAUAAAUAUUGAAUCAAACCAAGAAAGGUUGGAAAACUACCUGAUGAAGCUUUGGGAACGAAUUGGAACGAGAAAAAUGCGAAUGGACGCGGGUUGGAGAGAUUUUCAGCAAAGUUGCAGCGAAGCCAGGGAUGACGAGACAGCAAUUUUGAGGCCAAAUUCGAAGGCUUUAAGAUCUUUUUUGCUAUCAAAUUUCUGAAAGAAAAUUUUUCUCCUAACUACGUAGAUGGUGUAAAAAUUAAAAUUUCCUCGAGAGAAGCUAUAAUGAGAGAGAAAAGUCCCUUGCAAUAUGGCUCCAGAACCAGCCUUGUCUGCCAAAAUUCUGCAAAAAAAUUUUCUUUCUUUUCUCACUUUUUCACUCCUUUUUCUCUCUGUUUUCUGCUUUUUUUCCUUUUUCCGCAGCUAUCUACCCUCCUACCUCUUUAGGGUUGCGUUUUUAUCCCUUUUAUAGGUACAAAAUCCCCCAAAACCUAGAAUUAAGAGUGUAGAUGAUGGCAGAUUUUCUUGGUCACUUUGAGCCAUUAGAUUGGCUUGAAUUCAGAUUCUCUUUGGAAUUUUGGAUCACUACCAAGUGGUCCUGUACUAGAGUGAUUGACUGGAGGAAAAAAUGCAAGAAAAAUGCAUGGAAAUGCCCAAAAAAGACCCUGCGAAAUCUAGUACGAAACUAUCUCCACGGCUUCUGGUAUGAAGCCAUGGAGAUGACGCGAACACGCGUGUGAGGCAAAUAAAAAAUUUUUUUUGACAAAACUUGAUUUUGAUGAUUUUUUUCUUCUUUUCUUUUCGUCUCUUCUUCUUUUUAUUUGAUUAAAUGACUUUUUUAAAUUUUUUAUUUUGAUCUUAUUAUUAUUUUUUCUUUUCUUUUUUUCUUUAAGAAGAAGUAAUAAACAUAAAAUGAACUAAAAUAAUAAUAAAAAAUAAACUAAAAUGAGCAAAAGAUAAAAUAAGAUGAUGAAUUUUUUUUUUCGGUGUCUACAGCUCCCACUAUUACCAGCUUGACUGACACAUGCUCACAUUUUGCUCCAUACAAUGCCACAAAUCGGAUUUAUUAUAUAUUUAUUGGUUGUUUGAAAAAUUUAUUCCAAUUGCAACAUUGCUACAAAAUAUGGAUCUUUUUCGUUACAUUCUUUUCCUUUUGGUUUUUCAAAAAAAUGUGACUACUUCUCUUGUAUUGGGUAAAUAUGGGUAUCAAGGAAAUGUAGAGAAUCGACCGGAAAUAAAAGUUAUAGUUGUAAAACACUGAGAAAUUAGAAGACUAAAGAAAGAUGGAUUAAAAAGGAAAUACUCUGGUUAAAACCCGAAGGAGAAAGUGAGAAAGAAAGAGCAAAAAGAAGGCAUUUAACAGGGAAGCUCUAAUGUAGAAGUUUGGUGGCCCCGGUUACAAUUUUUACGGUCCCGUUUGGCAAGUAAGUUUUUUGGAUAUUUGCCUAAAACUUUACUGUAUCUUACUGUAGAAGUUGUAGAAAUUUUUUUUUAAAGUGUACAAAUUUUUGUAUAUUUUAAAGUAUAUAGUUUAAAAUUUUAAGAAGUUUUUUAAAAUUAUUGUAGUUAAAGUUGUUAAAAAAUUUGUAGCAAACAAACUUAGCCAAAAACGUGCUUGCCAAACAAGGCCUAUAGUUUUUUACUUUAAGGGUAUUCCCUUCACUCAACCAAAGUUGCUUCCGUUGUGUAUUAUUCAUUUGCAUUGGCAAAGAUAGUAGCUUUUAUUAAUUUCUACAUUGUAUUUAAAAAGUAAUUGAGGUUACUGUAGCAAUCUUUUUUUUUUUUUUUUUGGCCAUGUGUAUAAAGUGGCAGUUUUCAUUUUUAGUUGAAUUUUUGUUUAACUAUUUUUUUUAUUAGCCAAAAGUCAUAAAUAUCUCUUUUUUCAAUUCUUCUCUUCUUAUUCUUUCUGCAUUGAUAGGGUGUAUUUUGUUGGUAUAUUUGUGGAUGUUUUUUUUCUUGAUUUUAGUUAAAUAUUAUUUUAAUUGGUAUAUUUUUAGUGGUGUGAGAAUGACAUUUAAGAAACGGGAAAUAGACAAGAGGAUUAGAAUUUAGGACACCCCUAAAUAUAUAUACCACUUAGCUUGUUUAUUCAUUUAUUUUUUUCAUUUGUAUGGAAUGUUAUCUUGAUUCGACCAUUGGAUCAAACCAUCUUCUGUGCUUCAGGCAAAAAGCCAAAUCGAAAGAGAAUUGGACCGUAGACUUUAAGAAAAAACUCAAUAGCGUGUUGGGCAAUUACAUGGUUAACAAUUUUAAGACGUAAGAAAUUGAACCAGAAACAAAAGCUGCGUAUAGAAUAGGUAUUUGCAAUGAUAUCUAGAUUAACAGAAUAGACGUAAACAUCAAAAUAAUACAGAUCAGUGUUCAAGAUAUACACCAAUGUGUAUGUAACUAACAGAAAAUUAUUGUUAAAAUUUUGAGUAUAUUUGUUGAAAUCAUUUUCAGAAGAAUUAGUUUUAUUUGCUUGACACUAGAUAGUGGAAAGUUCAUCAAAAUAAAGUGUAUAAAUAGAUAGUUAUUUAGAAGUAAUUCGUCAAUAUAAUUGUUAGUUGCUAUUUGGUAAGAGGAGAUAUUGGAUAGUUAUUAAGGAUAGUUUUGAAAGAGCAUAAAAUGACAACAAUAUGUUUAUACCAAAAACCCUUUCCUCCAUUUUUUUUUCUUUUGGUGAGACCCUCCUUCUUUAUAUAUAGUAUAGAUAAUAAUACGAUAUAUAAUUAAUAUAAAAAUAUAAAUACUAAAACAACAACGUACAAAACACAACUUUUAAAGCAAAUAUUUGCAUGUUAAUCUAUUAAGGUCUAUAUUUAUCAUCGGGUGCUUACAAGUCACUACGUUUUUUAUAAAUUUUUCUCAAUUUCCUUGGUUCCUGGCGUACUUUGCAUUUAGCCUCAACAGUUGAAUUUGAAAAAAAAAAAAGCAAAAUAAUUUUUUAACUCUUUCUAGUUUUUAUAUAUACUUAUACACAUGAGAAGUAUUUUGCUUUAAGUUACUCCCUAACGUUCCCAAAAAUCUUUCACUUGCCAUAACCUUACAGACGCAACUGAAAAGAGUGGAUGGCAAUGCCAGACGUUAGAAUUUACAUAGAAGAAUAGCAUUUCCACCAAGAUUUUCCACUAAUUCCAUCAAAGUUCAGCGUAUUUAUAAUACAUACCAUGUCACAUUUUUCUAAGAUGGAGCAGACACUAGUACUGGCAAACGUGAGUGUGUUUGGAUAGUAGAUUAUUUGGGAUAAUUUUUUUAAAAAAAUACUAUUAUACUUUUUUGAUAUGAUGUAUGUGAAAUAAAAAAUUAGUUUAAAAAUGUAUUGAUAAUUCAACCAAAUAAAUUUUUGGAAAAAAGUUGUUGGACAUGGAAAUAUGCACUAUAGUACUAUGAAUUAGUCUUCUACUAAUAGUGCAAAAACUAACAAAUUUAGAUGGAGGAGAGAAGUAUAAAAUUUGAAUUUUAAAUUUAAAUUUAGCUUAAUUAUCUGCACUUAUACAUGCAUGCAUGCAUGCAUACAUACAUACAUACAUAUAUAUAAAGUUAUUGAUAUUUUUUUUUUUGGUGAAUUAAACAGUGGAAAGCGACAAACACUAUAGCUAACUUCCUGUUGGUGCGACUGUGAUUAGUGUUACCCGUUAUGAAUAUGAAAUUUUUGCAAUUGCUACGUGACUGGCAAUGCAGUUGAAUAAAAGUCCUUUCUUGCAAAUGUUUCCUUUACACUUGAAAAACAGAUAUAUACCACCCCAAGCUGGCCCCUUAUAGGGGUGAGCAAAUUCAGUACGUGCCGAAUUCAUACCCGAUUUCAAAUUCAAUUUGGUAAUUUGAAAUUGGAUAUUCAGUAAUUUGGAACAAAAGUGGUAUUUACCAAAUUCACUGAAUUUUAAUGUGAUAUGAAAUAGGUAAUGAGAUUUCCAAUUUAGUAAUAACCAAUUUCAAAUUCAAAUUCGGUAAAACAAAAUAGGGUACCAUAUUUAUCGCAUUUGAAUAACAAAUUAGUUUAUAAAAUGAUAUAAUAUAUAGGUCAAUGCUAUAUAGUAUUAAUAUAUUAUAUAGGUAAAGGUUAUUAAUAAUAGAUAACAUUUUUUUUUAGUGUAAGCGAGAAGACUUGAACCCGAGACCUCUUGUUUACACUCUCUUUCCCCGUGCCACCCAACCCAACCCUCCCCCCCCCAAAUAAUAGAUAGCAUAUAGCAUUAUCAUGUGCCUAUAAUAAUGAAAAUAUAUAAUGAUGUACAAUAUACUAUUUUAGUAUUUGUUAUAUGAUUAUAAUAAUACAAAUGCAAUAAUACAUAACUAUAAUACUUAUCUUUUUAUACAUAACUAGAAUCAAACAAUAAGUAUAAGUAUAGUACUAAAUAUUACACAUAAUUAAUAAUUAGAAUUUAGACAUUAGUUCAUCAUUCAUAUUUAGAUUAUUAAAUAUUUGAAUGGGUAACCUUUAACUUGCAAGUAUUAGUAUACUCUAAAAUUAUAUUACAAAUAUAAUAUGUGAAUUAAUAUUCUCUAAUCACUAAUCUUAUUUAAACAUAGACAAUUAAGCACUAUGAUUAAACAGUCUAAGUGAAUAUACGUGAAUUACAUAUCAACACAUUAGUAUAUUAGCAUUCACAAUUGAGAGCAAUCAUGUUAUUUGCAAAUUAAGCAUUUAAACUAUAUAAAAAAUAAGAAUGAAUGUAAAUGUAAUGCAACACAUAAUUAGUAAAUUAUAAGUGACUAAGUGUAUAUAACUGCACAAGUGAGUCCCAUUUUAAUUAUUUGGAAAUUACUAUCCAAUUAUAACCGAUUUCAUGACCUUUUCCGAAUUCAAUUUGGUAACCGAAUGAAUCGGAUAUUUCCAAUUCGAAAUUGAAAGCGGUUUAAAAUUUAACAAGUGAAAUAACCGAAAAAAUUGAAUUCAAAUAACCAAAUAAUCGAAUUUGUACCAAAUGCACACCCCUAGUCACAUGGACCAUUAAGCAAUGCUUGUUAAUUUACACAUUUAGUAACCACUACCACAACAUGUUUCCACAAGCAACUAUAAGGAAGAAAUGGUCUAUUGGUGUGUUUCUUAAGCAACUUGUUUCUGUAUGUAGAAUUUGUACAAGAUUAUUGACAUAUCUUUUGGAUCAAGAAAUGCAUAAAUAUUCAAAAAAUUCAAAGUGCAUAGUGGUUCUCCCAUUUCAUUUGUUUUAAUUCUUUUUUUCUUGGCAACCCCAUUUUAUUUGGUUGGACAUUACUAGAAGAAGCAGGGUUUUAAUAACUCAAAACAUUUCGUUUAGUCCCUCACAUGUAAAAUGUAGCCCCAGCCCAUUUUAGUAUAUUUGUUUUUAACUCAAAAAAUUACAUUAGGAGGAAAUUUUCGAGGAAAAUUGAAGCGGCAUAUUUCUUGUGUUUCAUUUUUUAUUUGAGCUAAGAAACAAAUGAUCAUUGGAUAGACAUUUUAUAUAGCUAAAAAAAAUUAUCCAAUUUGAGUUAAUUUUCAAAGAGUGAUUCUUUUCGUAUAACAACCAAAAAAGAUGAUAUUGACGAUCGGUUAUAAGGACUACAUUUUUAAGAGUUGAAAUCUUAAUAUUACAAGAUAAUUAUCAAUUUGUAUUAAGUUUUCCUGAGGUCGAAUAAGUCCAAUAUUUCUAGACAUUUCCAACUGAUUUGGUAAAAAAAAUUCUCUAGUAAAUUACUAUUGUUAACCGAGGCAAAGUUUUGUGUUCAAACUUUUUCUUUUUUUUUUUUUAGGCGUGUGUCAAACUUAAAAGUGGGUAAAAGUCUGUAGAAGAAUUAAAGAGAUAAUAGAGCAAUAAAAAUAAACAAGAAAUAAAGAGAUAAAUAUUGAAAAUUGAUACUAGUAAUUAAAAAAAAAAAAAGAGCUCUUCCAGGCUGUUAUCUUGACCAAAAAAGAGAAAAGGCGAGAUAAAUAAAACUUUUUCAUAAUGCAAGUGGGCUCCUUUAUUUCCAUCAAUCCCCAUCCGUCACCGAAGGAUAAUUAAUUCGGGACCUAAUUGGCACAUUUUGCUUUUUGUAUUUGGGAUGGCGAUGAUUUGACCGGAAACAAUUCUUAACGUGCGGGUCAAUUGAACUAGAAGUUGUUAUUUUGAUACUUAUAAUGUUCCUAAUAUUAUUCAAUAUUAAUAUGAUUAGGAAAUCCACAUAAAUUGAAAGAAACAAAUAUGAAAGUUUGAGCAUUUGUUUUUCGUCACUUUAUCUGUAUUAUUAUACUCUAUCCUAAUCUAAGUUAGAAGGCCUAAUUGAGCUUAUGGGAGAUCGAUGGAGACUAAACUACUAUCGAAUCAGAUAGGUGCGAUUUUUAGAUAUGUCAAAUAUUGUGAUAAUUGAUGGGAGGAAAGAAUUGAACCCUUAAUCUCUUACUCCAUCAAGCCGUAAGGACUUGGUGGUGGCCUUUGAGUUCGAGCAUGAUGGGCUUAAUUAUAAUUGACCUAGGAAGUAGAGAUGAAGCAUGCUCAAAUUGCCCCUUAUAACUUUAACAAAAUCAAUGUAAAAAAAAAAGUGAAAAAGCAGAAACUUGGCAAUUUUCCUUUAAAACUAAGAACCGUAUUUUCGGGUGAAUAAAUGGCACGAGAUGUACAUUUAUUUGUGGUUUCCUCGGGAAAAAGGGGCCAUCAUUUUGCUUCUUUUUUGAAGAGAAAAUAAACCAAUACAUGACAAAAAUAGUUACAAAGGAACCCCUAAUAACGGUCCUGAAUUGUAAAUAACAAUAUUAAUAUUUGCCUUCUAGAAAGGAGUUUACUUGUAUAUGUAUAUGUGAAGUUCAUACUUUUAGUCGGCCAAAAGCAACCAAAAGCAUGCAUUGUUUAGGCUUGAACCAGGCGCCUCCUUAAUUAUCCUUGAUGCAUUAGAACAAAAGAAAAUAAUUGUACUUGAUUCUACAAAACAAAAUUUGAGAUUUAAGAAAUUUGAGAACGAGGCAACUGCCAUCCAAAAGUAAUGAUUAAUUGACUAAUGAGGCACUUGAGGCGCGAAUGAAGUUUUGGUUUAGUGAUUAAAGUUGAGGGCUUGUGCCUUAGAAAUCUUGGAUUCCAAUUCUCCUUCUCUUUUUUCACUUCUUAAAUCUCACGCGAAUGAAGUUUUGGUUUAGUGAUUAAAGUUGAGGGCUUGUGCCUUAGAAAUCUUGGAUUCCAAUUCUCCUUCUCUUUUUUCACUUCUUAAAUCUCACACUUCUCCUGUUACAAAAAAAAAAAAAAAAAAAAAAAAACAGGGGGCAAGUGUAAUAAAAAUAAUAAUUUAGCUGCUACAGCUUGGGUUAAUUUUUUUAUAUGUACCAUUUGGAUCAAAAUUGUCUUGGUUUACCCAAAGUAACUGAAGUCCGAGAUAGCGGGCGCAAGGCACUGAGAUCAUUAAGUGUGGGAGACGAAAACUGCUUGAAAUUAUCUAUCCUGUUCUUAUUUAAUUACACUUAAAAUUGUCUAUUUCAAAUUUUGUUUCUGUUCUGUUUGUCUUGUCUAUGUUUAAUUAUCAUGUGUAUUGAUAAAUAACUCUUAAGAUUCUCUUGUAGAUAAGUCCAACAAUUAAUAGCUCUUAGAAUUUUAUUGGAGGAUAAGUCUAAUAAUACAAUACACAUGGUAGUUAAAUAAAAAGGGGGCAGAUAGGACAUAGAAAAAAUCUGGGACAGAUGAUUUGAAGCGGACAAAAACAUCUUCAUCACCUACCAUAUUUAUCCGGUCAAUGAAACUAAAACAUGUAGCUACAUCGAAGCAAAGUAGGACUAAGUAUUGGCAUGCUUUGCUGCAGAGCACACUACCUCAUGGACAGAGUACUGGCUGAAAAUAUCAUAAUGCUAGAGCGGCAAUUUUUACUAUUGUCAUUGAGCAACUUGUGAAUUUUCCUAUAACCUCAACGGUCAAUUAAAUCUUGUAAUUAAAUUCAGGGUAAAUUAUAUAUAAAUCUUCUUUAGUUUCAUCUAUUAUCACAUGACCCCUUUAACGUUUUAAAAUAUCCACCUCACCUUUCUAUGAUUUUAUGUAAAGUGAUAUUGGACGAAAAAUACAAUAUGUAACGCCACUAAUUGAAAUACCAAUAAUGCAUUUACUUAAAUACUAAAUCAAUUGAGGACUUAACUAUCUUAUAUAAAAGUAUAAGAGAAUUAUUUGGAUAAAUGCAAAAAUCAUAAAGGGGUAAAGUAGAUAUUUAUAUAAAUCAUAAAGGGAUUAUAUAGAGAUUAAGAUUUUAUCACACAUACUUUUAGAGUACGUUUGGUAUAAAUACCAUAACUAAUUGUGCAUUCUGUCAACUUUUCAUUUUAUAUAAAAUCAUAAGGGUAACGUGGCUAUUUUGAAUCCUUAGGAGGGUCAUUUGGUAUUAUAUAAAAUCACAGGAGUGUUAUACGUAAUUUAUUGUGAAAUUCAAGAGUUUAGUUGGCAAAAUAAUGUCAAGUUGGAGUUUCAUUUUUUGUACCAACUUAUAUCUCUCACAUUCCUUUCCCCUACUCUUAUCUCACACUUCUCUCCUUCCCAAGCUGUACAACAAAUAUCACCAAAUCGAGUAUCACUAUCGCAAAAACAUCCCCCAGCGCCAUUCGCUCCCUCAGCACCAUUACUUUCAUGUGUCUGAUUGCUUAUUGCAUAGCUCCAUGCUUCACUUCAAUAAUCAUCUUUGGCCCACAUGCCUGGUUUCCCUCCUACCUAUCCCCCCAUCCCAAAACCACCCUUAGACCCUCCUUUUUUUCUCAUCAACCCCUAACCACUUUGAAUUUUUAGGUUUUCAGCUCCAAACUGUCUGGCUUUAGAUGCUAACGAGUCUUUCUUCCUUUAUCCAUUUGUAGGUUCCAUGAAUAAUUGGGUUCCAAUAUUAAUGCUCUCUCUCUCCCCAUACACCCCAUCAGUCAAGCCUAGUUCUAUAUCUUCUUGGGUUUGUGGAAGUGAUGAGUUGAAAAUUUUUCAGCAGAGUAAAAGUCUCUUUUUUUUUUUUUUUUUUGUAUAACAUGAAAUUGCAAGCUCAGUGGAACUGAGUUACUUUAGGUUAGACUAUGUUUAUUAAUACCAUCUGCAGAAGGUGAUAAAACAAGAGACACCAUAGUUGUGCCGUCAUGGAAAGUGAGAAGUGGGAAUUGAAAAUGAGAGAGAGGAAUGAGGGAUACAAAUAUGGGCUACAACAAAUAAAAUUCUGACUUAGUAUCAUUCUACCAACUAGACUUUUGGUCAUCUAGUUGACAAGAUUUAAUUGUAUAUUGAGCAACUUAUGGGACAACCUAUAAGCUGCUUAAUGACCACAGUAAAGCUUGUCGUGCUAGAGCACCAAUAUUAACAAACAAAUUAAUUGUACAAAGGUUCACAGAUGCUGAUCAACUGACCCACAUUUCAAUUGUUGUCCUACCUAGUUUUUGUAGUGUUUUCAUACAAAAACUCAGAUCUGUAUCACAGGUUAUCAAAAUCCAGUCAUUAAGUUCAUCCUGAUACUUAAUUUUAAAACUUCCACCGGAUAGAUUGAAUCGUUGUGCAAUGUUGUUCUCCAGAUCGAUUUUACGGGCAGAAGAUGAAAGUUCAAAUUUUAUCUUGUCCUCUUGAUAUUUUGCCUUGAUCAUCCACAUACUGCUAUCAUCUUCUAGCCUCGUUGCAUCUAACCAGUGGUGUUCUUCAACAUUUUCAAUAGCGGGUUGAACAACUUUUUGUUUAGCAAAGACUUGGUUGACCUUUCUUUCUUUACGAGGGGGCCAUCUGUGAAUACCAUACUCCCUACAUAUACGCUUCAAUGUAGAUCGACUGACUGCAAAUUUUAGAAUGGAAAACUUCAGUGAAGGAAAAAGCCUUUACAAUGUGUAAACUAGAUAUUUCCAAAUAGAUCCAGAUUAAAUCAACAUGCAUUAACCAAAAUUUGAAUUCAAUUCUGAUCUAGAGAAAUGCGACAGUUAAAAAUUACCUCCAAUAUUUUUUGCAGCAUCUUCAAGUUUCCUCAUAGAAUUUUGUUCAAGAACCUCGUGAGUAAUUCCAAGGUCGCUUUUUAAAGUACAACUAGGCUCUUGCAUCUUUAAAUUAGUCACUUCAUUGCCGCUCUGUUCUAUACUAGCAUCAUCUCUUUUAGGAUCUUCCACAAUUGGUUCAUAAUCCGCUAUGCUGACCAUGUUCUGCAUGAGCACCUGUCCAAUUGAAGAUCUAACAAUUCCAUCUUGCUGUUCAUAAAUACCAUUCAUAGAAUUGUGCGCAACAUCAACUCCUGCAAGAUUUAAUUCUUGAUAUGAUAUGUUGACAAAGUCCUGCGCGUGCUCUGGUGCUUUUGCAACAAUCCCACUCUGCUGUCCAUGGACACCAUUCAUAUAAGCAUUUGCAGCAUCAACUUGCUGAGAUGAGAAAUCAACUUGCAUCAUUCCUUCUCCUCCUUGUGCUUUUGCAAGCCUAGGUGUAGAUUCAACACUUCCAUUCAUAGAACCAUUUGCAGCAUCAACUUGUUGAGAUGAGAAAUCAAGUUGCAUCAUUCCUUCUCCUCCUUGUACUUUUCCAAGCCUAGGUGUAGAUUCAAUACCAGUAGUACUGCAGAUUUCAAAAGAAUCAAAUUCAUCCUCUGGAGUGACUUUUAUAACCUCAACAGUCAAUUUUUGCCCCAAUUCUUGUCCUAAAGCAAUCUUAAAAGAACUCCUGAGGUAUUUUUUCAAUUUCUCCAUUAUGCUGUUCAGCAUUAUCCUACAAUCCCCAUAGUCUUUUUCAUUUGUAGGUAAAAAGAACUCCAGUACAUAAAUGCAAUUGCUCGAGCAAGAGCUCUGCAAACAAACUGCAAAACAGGCAGAGUCCCCAUAGUGUCGUGCAUUGGGUACCAACGGGUACUCUGUUAUGCUUAAUUGUCUUACAUCCCUACAAAAGCAUGCACUUUUGGAUGAGAAUGCUCUCCCAACUACCCCUUGUCCCUUCCGAAUAAAAUCUACGCCUUCACGAGAACUUAGUAUUUCUCCAGAAGUAGUCCAAGUUUCGGAAUAAUACAGUCCAUGUUUUGGACGCUUGAAUAUUGACUUGGUAUUUCUCAAUGCUUUGUCAAUUUUAGCAAUUUCUCCAUCUUGACCUAUAGAUGAAUGGCUUAAAAGUAUUAGCAUGGAAUGGAUAGCCUAAAGCUUCAGCCAAGGUUAUGCAGUAUAAAAAGAGGCAAAAAAAAUACUUGAGGUACUCACAUGAACUUGCUUCCGCGAGUCUUACACAAGUAGUUGUCAGAUUCACCUUCUGUAGUUGAUUCUAGCAAACACAUUAUUCAUGCGCAGCAAAUAAACUAAAGUGUUAUUUACAAGUUUCACAGUGUUUGCUUUGGCUUUUAAAAGCUGUUUAACAGGAACGGAUUUGCACUCAAAAAAGAAAAAAAAAAAAAAGCCAAUAAGAUAAGAUCUUUGUAUGCUUACUUAACUAAUUUUGGUAUAGAAGUUCCGAAAAGCCAAAACCUCCUUCGAACGACACAAAUUUUUUAGAAACAACUUCUUUCACUUAAAAAAUAACUUAAAAGAGAAGAUUAAUAUUAGGGUGACUGUCACCAUAGUUUUCGCAGUUAUAAGCAAUUGAAAAAUUGGUCAUUGACACAUGACAAAAGAGACCUUCCAUUAGCUUAAUUUAUAAAAAGCACCUGUCCUAUUGCCACCUAACAACUAGAAACCCAUGACUGCUGGAAACCACAAUCUAUCCCCAAAUUUGUAAAGGACAUGGAAAUACACAAAAUUCAUGCCAAGCAUCUCCCCCAUUGAAGUUAGGUUUAUCACGAAAUUCUUAUUAAGUGCCAAAUUUUGUUUGGUCUUGAGUUCACUAAAAACUUAAAUCAUUAAUGCUAUGCUAUUACAAAUCUUGCACCAUAUAACACACAAGAAGGCAAUGGUUGGUUAUGUUAUAAAUUACCUAGUUCAAAUAAUAAAUUAAUUAGUCAUCUUUAAAUUAGUUAUCACAAUAAGUAUGCUCUGAAGUGACCGUAAAGCCGAGACAUGUAGUUUGUAACUCUCAUGAAAAUUAUGGUCAGAUUGGCUUUUUUUAUAACAAAUGUCUGCACCCAUUUCAUAUAUAUAAUCUAAUUUGUUGAUAAAAUUAUACUAAUAAUUAUAACUCAUAAAUCAUAAGCAACACCACCAGGUCCCUGUGAGCAAUAGGAAAGAGGUAAUUAAGCAACUUAAAAAAAGAGAAAAGUCGAACCUGAAGCUUCUCCAAAACCUGACGUCGAGGUAAGUCGCCAACAACAUAUGGUGAUACAAUUUCCAGUACACCAACGGGAAGGUGCCGAGUAGGAUGAUAGAUUGGUAACGCCCAGUAAUACCUGGCACGGUCGACCGCAUAAUCACGUUGAGGAUACUCUCUACUAGUGUAAUCAUGCACAUCCUCUGCAUAUUCAGGGAAUCCACUGCGGAACACCCGACCAGGGGGACCAAUUAUAAGCUCAACAUCAUCAUCAUCAUCAUCAUCCACGGGUAUUAAG
rnacentral:lncRNA from 1 species